GGAUGCCUGCGGGACCUCCAAUCUGACGCAUUUUGCGUCAAACAGUGAGUGACGCAUAGGACGACCGCGACUGGGCCGACCCAAUAGAGGCUGCCUGACUGUAGGUCUAAAAUACGCAAAAAGAAUGCACUCACUGUGGUUCGAUCUUUCGAUCUCAUGAACCUGUGUCAGCGUUGCUAGCCAACCAAGCUAAUUACGGACCUUCACAAUUUACUAGCGCGAGUUCUCUACAAUUGAAGACAACGGCAAAUCCGAAACUUCUUAAAUUUCGGACAUGGAUAUGUUUGAAAAAGGAAACUUUUUAGAAACAUGAACAUUUUCAAAUCUGUGAAGCAUAUUUAAAAAACUCAAUUUUUUUGGCAAAAUGGGAAUUUUAUUGAUUCUGUGAGCAAGGUUUGAAAUUUUGAAUAGGUUUUGAAAAAAAUAACGCUUUUUCAAACUCAUAAACAAAAUUUGAAGAUGGGAACAAUUUUUUGAAUUUUCGAACAAAUUUUGAAAAUAUGAACACCUUUUUGUAUUGAAAAAAAAGAUUGCAAACGAGAACAUUUUUCAAAAUUAUGAACAAUUUUGUAGAAAACACAAACCUUUUUUGAGAAACAGGAAAAAAUUUGAAAAAUAAGAACAAUUCUCGAAAUUAUGAAACAUUAUUUCAAAACUUACAUUUUUCUAAAUCCCACGAAUAUUUUUCGAAUUUGCAAACAAAAUUUGAAAACAUAAUCGUUUUUGAAUUCAUGAACAAAUUUGGAAAGCUAGAACAUUAUUUGAAAUUCCCAACAUUUUUAAAUUUGUGAACAAAUAAAAUUCCCAUACCUUUUUUUGGAUUUCGGUCAAAUUUUCAAACACAUGAAUAGUUUCUAAUUCAUGAACAAAAUUGAAAAUUGGAAACAUUUUCUGAAGUUUCCAAACAUUUUUUGGAUUUGAGGAAUAUUUUCAAAUGAAUUCAUCUCAUUUUACAUGAAUUAUUAUUUAUGUAUAAAUAAAACCAGAUUUCUAGUUUUCUGAAACUAUUCAUGAGUUUAGGCCUUGUACAAUGCAAGAUGCUUGAAGAAAUAAACCAGACUUUCAUUUAGAACCGGUGCUUAUGUGUACAAGACAUACGCUUAAUUAGGCAUCUCUCCUAUAGAAAGGAUUGUACAAGGCCUUGAUGUGCUGCUUGACCUUGGGGGUUAUGGGUGAGUGAUUUUCUUCGUGCGGGACGCGGACAGUCGUCCAUGGUUUUCUUCCGACUUUUUAAGCGCCCGUGCGGGACGCGAGAUGCUCGAUGUACCACCACUUACGGUUUAAUACUAGAUAGAGGCACUUGAAGAAUGAAUUACAGCAGAACAUUUCUAAAAAAAACUGACUUCCAAACAUCUACUAUUAGCAAGCAGUGCUCCAAGUCUUUUGUUAUAAGGGCCACACGACCCACUUCAUUCGUGUGCCACGGACGUGCUCCGCAGUCCACAUCCUAAGGAUGUACAACGCCCAUCCCGCUCCUGCUGUACGGGCAUCUGAUGUGGUAUGGUAGAUCCAUGAGUCGGGGCUCUCGGUAAAAGUAGUUGCUUACAGGAGCACUCUUGUGCUUGUGCGGCCACCGGAGAACCCAGAGAAGAGGGGGCAAACAAAUUCGCCCAAGACUAACAAAAAAAAACAGCCGACUCCCAUAGAAAACCCUCAAAUGCUGCUUCUAUCUAACGCCCUAGGAGAAAACAGAGGGAUGAACUCAUGCAUAGCUACAUGGGCUAGUUCGGUCUUAUCCAUAAGCAUGAUCAUCAAGCUGAACAAAAACAAGGUUCAGCAGGGCAUGCAUCUACAAAUCGUGGUGAAUUUCUACAGCCCUUGCCCGCAGAGCUGAAGUGUUGCCUGCAGAGCAUGCAUCUCGAGAUGGUUUCAAGCCUGUGAAAAUCAAACAGGCAAAAUAUUGUAAGUAGUCAUAGUAGAGGCAUUAUAUGGGAAAAGGAAUGGUAGAAGUUAGUUAAUUAAAGUUGCGACAUCGACUGAAAACCAAAGUUGCAUGGUGGGAGUUUCAGAACUGAAAAGACACAUUUGGCAAAACAAACGAAUGUACAUCCGAGAGCCAUAAUCACCACAUUUCCAAGACCCCCCCCCAAUCUGCUGGGCAGACUUUUGUGGAUUGGUGGCAGCAGACAGUCCAUGCCACCGCCAACCCCGCGAGAAGAGGAACCCAGUCACUGAUUAUGCUCAUAGCUCAAGACAUAAUCAUCAACAGAGCACAGCCCUAUAGCAUUAGCCUACUCGACACGAUCAGGGCUGAGGCGUUUAGGGUGCAUUUAUAUAUUACCUUCUAUCUCUUCCCAGUAUAGCAUUCCUUGUCACUCUUCAUCCUCAGAUUUGAACGGUUCAAGAUCUGCAAUAUCUUCAUCCUCGAUUUCAUCCCUGUACAAUUAUAUAUAUUGUUCAUGCUUGGAGCUUUAAAGUCACAAUCAUGAAUACUUCCACAAUAAUUAUUCUAAGGAUUUCAAUAUCACAUAUCACAGUACAUAUCUGAUUAUAUAUAUGUUAAAUACAAAUUAAAACCCAGAACUUUUGCACCAGAUGCUUAUUAUCUAUGUAGUACUCCCUCCGUCCGGAAAUACUUGUCAUUGAAAUGGGUGUAUCUAGAUGUAUUUUAGUUCUAGAUACAUCCAUUUUCAUCCAUUUUGAUGACAAGUAUUUCCGGCCGGAGGGAGUAUAACAUAGCAAGAUGAACAAAAUAUAUUAAAUCAUCUAAUCACAGUUCUUGUUUUCCAGACUGUUACCUUGUCUCUUCAACAUCAGUGUCACUUUCUUCAUCCUCAGAUUCAGAUACUUGAUCUUCUAAGAAAUCCUCCUCGAUUUUAUCACUUCACAUUUAUAUAUUUUUCGUACAUGAUACAAGAAAUAAAAAUUAAAAUGAUCCCAUCAUUACAUGUAGAGCAAAAAGCGUAAUUACAAUAUGCAAUAUAAUAUUUAGGAAACUCACUCUGAAGCUAAGAGCGCUUGCCAUGCACGUAAAAAUCUACAAUGACAUAUAAUACAUUAACUAAGAAGAACAAUAUGCUAUAAGAUAAAACAAGAAACACAAAUACUUACAGUCCAUCCAUGUUUGUUUGAUUAACAAUGUGUCGAAUUAGUGAUGCCAAAUUACGAUCAAGACGACAGGCUAGCAUUAAAUGUAUUAAGAUCAUAUCUUGGACGUCUUGGCCUUCAGUGUUCUUCACAAGAACAAAACAAAAUUCAGAACAUGCAGACAAUAUCACAAAUCAUUUCUAUACACCAAUUGAACAAAACUAGCUAAAACAGAAUAUAUGUUAAGGCCUUGAGAAAUACCUUUGUCAGACUUAGAAUAUGUGAAGAGAAAUGUCUAACAAACUUUAGCAUAUACCAGUACGUAUUACUAUACGCAUUGACAAUGACACCAUUCUUCGAAUAGAAGAAGACGUCAUUAAACAGAAAUACUCCUAUAGCCUUGGGUGUCCAAUUUUCAACACCCUUCGGCUUAACGUUCAACGGUCCAUAUUGUUGAUCGCUGUUUGGCCGCAGUCCAUCACAAAUGCUAAAUAGCAGACAAAGAAACUGAAAUAUACUAACUGGUGGCAUGAAUGCAAAGUGUGCAGACAUGUACUUCUGAAAUCUGUCAAAUGCCUUUGGGUCCUUGAACGGAUCUGGCAUCGCCAUGGUGUCAGUUUGAAGAAUUUCCCAAUAUGGUGGACUAUUGGAGGAUUGUUUUUCUUUUGACGACGAGGAGGAGGAUUGUUUUUUCUUUGACCCAGAGGAAGAGGAUUGUUUUUUCUUUGACCCAGAGGAGGAGGAUUGUUCAACUGUGACAUAGAAAGGAUUCAGAAGCUCAAUGUACUUCUUAUAAUCCCAAGCCAUACCCUCGACAUCCGCAACAUACAAUGCUUCUGUGUCAAUAACAAACAAUCCAUCUUCGAUGCGCAUGUCAGACAAUUUCCAUUCACCUCUCCAACAAAGUUUUUCCUUGUGCUUCUUAAUGAUGCAGUUCAUUAGCCCACGAGCAGCUCUUCUUCCAGCAUAUGUCAUCAAGUACAAUCUUCCUUUCCAUCUAAGUGAAAAAAGUCGACGAAACUUCUUCGGAAGUUUAAAAGGCCUUGUCAACUUGUUUAGCCUAGCAUAUUUCUUAAAGGACAUGUUACUGCAUUUGAGAAAAGAAAGACGAUUGUCAAUUUUUGUUGGUUACUUGGUUGUAAGAAAAUUUUAAUAUCAAACAAAUAAUGUUUUCUUAUUUGGGGCAUUAUUAAAAACUGACCUGGUUGGUGAGGGCAGAUCCACCAUUAUCACUUUUAUACCCUCACGUAUCUCUUCCUCAGGUUUUCCAAUGUUAUGUUCAACAAGGUAUUGAGGAGCAGCACGUGAUAUAUCAGCUUUAACCCUGAAAUAAGAUAUAAAUAAGGUUAGAAUAGAGACAAUCAGUAACUGAUGAGGUGCUCGUCCAAAGAUAGUAAAAUGAGGUAAUUUAAGGUAGGUGUGUAUUAAUCUACAAACAAUUGACAUUUACUAAGCAGUUUAGGCAGGUUUAGUGGAGAAAAUAACUUAUAAUUGAUGCAGAGACCAGGCCAAACAAACUUGAAACUACUAGAUAAGGAUGAUAGUAGAUUGUUCAGCAAGAUAUAACUAGUAUGAGAUACAAAUGUUAAAUAUGACAAGACAUGUAUCAACAACAAGUACACAAAACAUAUAACAUUAGGAUGGAUCUAUGUAACUUUCAAACAUACCCGUCACUGUCAUGAUGAUCAAUAAUAUAUGCAGCAAGUUCUGCAGAAUACUCUUUCAUGUGCGGAAAAUGAAUGUGUAUAUCCAAAUUGCCCAUAUACUUAAUCGUUUCAAUUUCGCCUCUGUAGAACUUUUUGGGGUCGUUGUUCCUAAAGCUGCGUAAACAUAUGAAACAUAAACACUUGUUCGAACAGCAGACGAGUCAGAAGGAAAAUGAAUAAGCAGUACCUCCUAAGGAAUUCAAGAAUCAAAUCAUACAGAUUGCCAAUGCUGUCGUCUUCAGUAUGUUUUAAGGAUUGGCUACUUUGAACCAUGGAAGUUUCCGCUCCAAAGUUAGAAAUUGACAUCAUAAUAACUUAAUAGCAAUAACAGACUCAAUGAUAUUAAUCGAUAAUACCUGUCAUCUUUUGUACCGUCUCCAGUGCCUUCUAAAGGUGGAUCAUCAUGUUGGCCAGUAGAAUUAGAACUAUGACCUUUGGUGCCUUCUAAAGGUGGGCUAUCAUGUUGGUCAGUAGAAUUAGAACUAUGAUCUUCGGUAGAAUGAGCAGAAAUAUCCAGCUCUCCCUGACUGUUUUGGUCGUUGACCUUCUUUCCCCUACUGGAUAUUUUACUUCUAAGUUACAUAAUGAUAAUAAACAGUAAUUUUUAUCUCAGUAAUGCAUUAAUGGUGUUAGUGAUACCUUUUCUCCGCGGCAAUAAGAUCUUCCCCAACUUUAUAUGCUAGUGCAGCCUUGUAUUGUAACCAUUUGUUCAUCUGUUAUUAUUUAUAUAAUGUAAGCUUGUGUAUGUCCAAUGUUGAAACCAUAUUGUGACAAUACAUCAUCUCUUGCAUAAUAUAGUACAAACUUACCAAUGCCUUCUCAAGCAAGUAGCUGUGACAUGCAAGCAAUGAGUUCAUGUCAGUUAUGAUGUCACUCGGACUGACGUCCCAUAUUCCUCCCUCUUUGCAAUUACGAAUAUCAGAGCGUAACAAAGUUUUCUCGCUGGCGCCAUCGAGAACAGCAAACAGAACUUCUGACGUUAUCUUUUCUCCUUCCAUGGAACGACGCCUAAUGUCCUAUAAGAACACAAAAAAGGAAUAAAAACUCUUUACUGAUUUCAUACUUACAGAACAUGGUAUAGAGGUUAUGCAAAAUAACAUACCAACAACAUCAUAGCAACUCCGUCCUUUUGAGAAGAUCGCUGUUCUAGUAUUCGCACAAUGAGUUUUCCCUCAAGAUUCUGAAAAUAUAUUUCAAUUUCAGAUAAUUUUCUUACAAAAUGGCGUGUAAGUAAUGAUCAUGUUGAGUAAAAUACCUUAAAUUGCAUAUCCUCUAGAGACAAUAUCUCGGCAGACUCUUUAGAUGAGAGCCGAACAGCAUAAAAAAGGAAUAAAAGAGUUAUUAUAUCUAAAACUAAUUUACAAUGUGUGAGCAAACUAUGAAAACAAGCAUAAACAAUUUGUUCAGAAUAACUUACACUAUCCCAACAAUUACUAUAUUCACUUCUGUGUUGCAAAAUGUCCUACAAAACAUUGGCAAAACGGGGGUUAAUUGUGCGCAGUUUGACACAUGAAUAAAUAUAUAAAAACAAUAACUAGAUGGGAAAGAAAAGGAAAAAAGACAGACCAAUUCUGUGCUGCCAGAACUUGUAUGAUUAACAUAAUUAUGCCGUUGAAGAUUAAAUGAUGACGUAAAUGCCAAUAAACAAUCUGAAUUGAUGCAUAUAAAUUCGCCUGAUUUUCCAGAGAUCUGCAGGAUUAAUCAAGAAAAUAGUGAAAAUCUUUACGAGCACUCAAACAAACAAAGAGUUAAUCCACUAAAUUUCUAGAUACAGGCCUGCUGGUUGGUAGCAUUUGUGUUCUAACACAAUAUAAUAGUGUGUAGCUGAGCCAACAAAAAAUCCAUUGACAAGUACUACUAGUAAUAGAACAUACUCAACUACUCACUACUAUUACUACACCUAAUCAAUAGUAGUAGUUUGUUCUUACACAAUAUAGUGAAAAUGUAUUGUGUAGAAAGUCAAUAUGAGCACUCGAACCUACUAAGAUUUGUAUUAGCUUCUUCCAGAUAAUUAUUAUCAGUUAGCAUUAUAUCUCAUUUAUGAUGCACUUACAGGGUCAGGAAGACUGGCCAAAGUUGCUCCAGCACCAUCCACCUAAAAAAUGAACGAGUGAGAAGUAUAAUCAGAUGCUCAAAGAAAAACAAUCAAGUGACAAGUAGUUCACUAGUCACAAAAAUUAUUACACCUAAUCAAUAUGAACAGUGGUAGUGAUAUAAGAGAUAUGACGAUGAAAUUACAGUGUCUAAACUUCUCCAUAUUUUCUGUUCAUCAAAUGACCUCAAACUUGGAUUCAAAACAAAGAUGCGGUUAUUGCACUGCACGAAAGAAGGAUAGAGGACAUAAAAUAUCAGGAAGGUUAUUAAGUAAAAUCUGAGACAAUAACCUAACAAAGUAUGAAACCUUGAUAGCUGUAUGAAACUGUUUGUUCCAGAAUAUAACACAGAUAUCUGUUUCCGACAAUUCCUCUUGUAAAUUUCACAAACUGACAGGUUGAAAAAAAAGAACAAAUUAAGUUUACUGUGGAGAGAAAAACAUGUGUAAACAUAGUGUAGAUAUGUUGUACCCAUAUGGUGUUAGUUCAGUAUCAUGAUCUUUUAGGAACUUAUCAAGUAACUUUCCUGCAAAUGAACAAUAAAAUGAAUUACCCUUGUCACAAUCUAAGGAAUCAACACAUAUACAAAGAAUUUUGAAUAAUGAAGAAACAAAGUUCUCACCAUGAUCGUCAGCCUUCAAAUGAGAAGUUGGGCUCUCAGUUGUACAAUCAUAAUACUUUUCUCCAAUUGCAUUGCAAAGAUUGAGAUCCUAAACAUUUAAACAAACAUAAAUAGUAAAUCAUAGGCUAAAAGUAUUUGUUAGUAACAAAUGUCUAAAGUGGUACUGAGUAUACAAAUCAUUGAUCUGGCUUCAGAAGUAGAGCAUGUUGAAAGUUCUUUCUUCCUCAUGUACACAAUUAUGUGGCUAGAAGGUUUAGUGUGCAAAGCUACAAUAGCUUGUAAUGUAUAGAGAUAUAUAGAAAGUGACGUGUCAAAAAAGGCGAAAUUGGCCGAACUCCUAAGCAAGGUUUACUCACAGAGUGCUUAAACAAAUACCCACCUAAGGACAUGUGUCAAAAAAGGCGAAAUGAGAAAUAUCAUACAGCAAUAGCGAUGUAAAAUCAUAGAAAGAAGGUUGAAUCUAAUUCCGAAGACUAGAAAAGGUCAAGGAACAGUAGCUAGAACAACGACUCAUUCCAUAUGUAUUAAGUGCAUACCUCCGGGUCAGCGAUGAAACCAUGACAUAAACGAAAGCCAAGGCCCUCAAAAAUCUGAAGGUCUUUCAUGAUUUUUAUGUUGUAGAUGCUGCAAUAUUACCACACAAGAGGUUAUCAGAAUAUGAACCGCGUGAAGUAAGAAACUACAGAUAAGCAAACUAACUUUUUGAAGUUGAUUUUAACAUCGACAUGUUGAUGAAGGCAUCCUACUGCUACAAGCCAUUGUUCUGGCGUCAUGGUAUAGGACACAGUCUGUAAAUUAAAACAGCUCAUUAACAAAUUAACAUCAUAUACUCAAGACAAUGUACAGAAGUAGAAAUGAUUCGAUUAAACCUUUUUGGCCCCGAAAACAACUUGAUGAAGUUGGGCAAGAUUUAGACUCAAGUUACAAUCAAGUAUUUUACUCAGGUCCACAUCACCUCUUAGAAGGAUGGCAUUGCCUGCAGAACACAAGAUUGACUAAAAGUAGCCCUUCAACAGGAGCUAAAUUUGCAUCACAAUUGAGACACACUUACAUAGUGCUACCAGUGCAGAUGAGCCAUUCAUAUUAGGAUAAAUAAUGAAUGUCCAGCAACCUCUAAAAUACACAGAUUUUGCAACAUAGUCAUUCCCUUGUGUCCAUGAGCUGUCCAAAACCUUUGUGAAAAAGUGAAUUCAGUAGUCAAUUUAAUUUGCCCAUGCAAGCAUCAAAUGACAUUGAUGACUUAAAAAUGAGGAAAUAUAUGAUUGUUAAACAGGUUUUCAGUAAGGGCAUUCAAACAGUAAGAACUGUAACUUGGGAAAGAAAACAAAGUCGAAAUAAAUAGCAUAACAUACAUCAUUGAUAUGCUGCCAUGCAAUAGGCUUUUCAACCUGGUCUGAAGUAUUUUGUAACAGAAGUAAAGUUCCAUGUAGCUGCAUAAGAAAGCAGGAAGUUAUAAAACAUACAAAUUUAUUAAAGUACAUAUCCAGAAAGUAACAUAAUAAAAAAGAAACCACCUGCAACAUCAUGUGAAAGUGAUUCUUCCAGAACAAAGCACAUAUGGUUUCAUUCUUAUCUAUCAUCUGUUGUUUUAUAGACUGAAUACUGUCAUCUCAAAACAACAGCCACAUAUUAAUCAGUAACAUGAAUAGAGACAUAUUAACAUAAACAAAGCAUCAAUCCAUACCCGUAUGCUGUUAACUGAGUGUGUUUCUUGCUAAGGAAGUCAUCAAUCAAUUCCCCUGCAAUGCAAUUGUUUAGAAACACUGCAGUGAACAUCAUUAGCUAAAACGAUUUACAAAUCCAUAAUACGAAUAACCAGACUAAAAAUGCUCACAAUCGACUGCCUCCAAAUGCGAUGAUGCACUCUCAUCCACCUGUGAAGAACCGGGAGAAUGACUCUGCACAUCUGUCUUAGCUUUAUGUGCAGCAAGACCAGCCAAAAGGGUGUCAAAUGUAUUUGUCCCUACGGCUCUAACCAGUUCUUCUUCCUAGACAUCAACGUAAAUUAAAUAAAUCACAAGGUUCUAGUAAAAACGUGAGCGAGAGAAGGUAAUCACAUAAUCAGUACAAUUAAUCAUCAUGCUCCAAUAUCAGCAAUCAACAAAUUAAAUGAAAUAAAGCAAUAAAAUUUUGUUAUGAAGCAAGCAUAGAAGUAGCAACAAAUACUCUUGGUCACAUAGCAAAAACAAAAUCAGUUCACACUUAAUAUUUACCUUGGGAUCAACAACAUUGGCAUGAUAAACUUUAAUACCCAAUUGCUCAAAUAAUUUGAGUUCUCCGCUGUUCUCCAUAUGCUCAACACUACAACAUCAACAUGAUAUUAGAACACAAAUGAACAAAUCCACAUAAAAGGAACAAAUUAACAACUGACCAACUGAAUACCUUGUGAGCAUCAUUUUACAUUGAAUGGGUUGUGCCAAGCGUUUGACGGACUUAUUUGUAGUUUUCCUAAUUUUCGACACCUGUGAAUUGCAUUACACAUUAACAGCCCAACCACGAAGCACAAAACUAUUCGACUGCAUGAGAUUGAAAACAAACCUUGUGAGUGGCCUUAGUCAUAUAAUAAUCAGAGACACGCUCAAUAAGUUUCUUCUCUGAUAUAGUACAGACACCUUGCCUUAAAUUUAAGUUGAGCUCGCCCAAUAGAAUUAAUGAAUUACCUGUGAAGACAAUCACAUUCUUAAUUCAAAGUAAUAUUAAUCAUUUAAAUGUAGAAGAAUGCCCAGGUGAUAAACUAGUACUAACAUAAAGCUAAAAGUGGGCAUGGGGUAUUGUCUGUCUGACAGACAAUAGUGUGAAACAGUCCAUGGAAAGCAAUGACCCUGGUUGUAUAAUCCAUGGCGGGCGGGCGGGGAACAGCUGUGUAGAAAUAACAAACACGAAUUUAUCCUCAGUUAAUUGGCUAAUACACGGCACAUACGCAACGUGAAUCAUGAUAACAACUUGGGAAGGAGGGAUUAGGACGAAUCGUUGGGUCUUACCAGUCAGAAAGUGCAGAUAGGAGAGGGGUCAACGAGCUGAAACCGAUCAGCGGGAGGCAGGUCGUAGAGGUCGAGGUCGAGGCAGAUCGCGGAGGAAGCGCCGGGGUCGCCGGCGUGCCAACUGCGCCAGAAGCGAGGUAGAUGGUAACGUAGGUCGUCAGCAGGGUGAACGGGAGUAGCAAGAGAGGUGAGGGAGAGAAACCUACAGGCGGCGGAGACGUGGAAGGCGAAGGUCGACUCACGGAUGCCGCGCAGCGGGAGGCGGGUCGUCGAGGUAGAGGUCGAGGUCGAGGCAAAUCGCGGAGGAAGCGCCCGGGUCACCGGCGUGCGGACUGCUCCAGAAGCGAGGUAGCAAAUUGGGUCUUCGACAGGGUGAAUGUGAGGAGCAACACAGGAUUCACUCGAUCUAUCUUACAGACGAAGGAAUUCGAGGCUCUCGUUCUCGAUUACAGAUGAACAGAGGAGUACACGAGUUGGGGAAUGAGAGAGAGGAGGUAGCCGCCGCCGUGUCCUUCCGUGAUCCACUGGAUGCCCUAUACUCUGGUGGAGCUGCUGGAUCGGCUCAAGCCCAUUCCGGCCCAGCUACGCGUGGGUUGGGCUUGCGCUGUCGCACGGGCCUUGGUGUUGACUCGGGGCCUUGCAGGUCACUGCCAGCUGGGGUCGCCAUGUUAGUUCCGGCAAAGUUCUUAAGCAGGGCAUCAUAAAAUGCAUUGGUGAUGGACUCACGACACACAUAUGGGAUCAGAACUGGAUCCUGAGACCAGCAAAUAUGCGACCUAUUGCUAGUCUGACUGCUAAUCCAUCUCAAUGGGUUAGUGAUCUUAUCCUGCCUAGCGUAGAAUGGGACCGAGCUACAGUUUCGCAGAUCUUCUUGCCCACUGAUGCACAAGCAAUUAUGUCGAUACCUUUGUGUACGAGGCAUAUAGAGGAUUUUUGGUCAUGGGUACAUGAGAAGAACGGCGCAUUCACAGUCCGUUCGGCUUACCGUAUGCUUGUUGAAACAAAGAUGAGGAGAGAAGCCUGGCUUGAGGGGAGAGGCCACUCGUCAGAUACUGCCAGAGAAACCAAGUCCUGGGAGAGACUGUGGAAAGUGGAUGUACCAUCAAAAGUUAAAAUCUUCCUAUGGCGGCUAGCACAACAGUCGGUCCCCACAGCUGAUGUCCUUCACCAUCGGAACAUGUCAACCACUACGAGAUGUGGUUUGUGCGGCUCUGAAGACUCAUGGCAACACUCUUUGCUCCAUUGCACAGUUGCUCGAUGUGUAUGGGCGUUGCAAGAUCAUGACUUGGUUGAAGCUAUAAACAGCACCCAUGAGCCGGAUGCAAGACGUUGGCUGUUCUCCCUUUUGGACACACUAUCUUCUAUUGAAUUCACCCAAGUAGCAGUUACCAUGUGGGCUCUCUAGUAUGCUCGUCGGCAGGCACUCCAUGAAAACAUCUUCCAAAGUCCUCUGAGCAUGCAUAACUUCAUCAUGAGAUACAUCAGAGAGUUGGAGGACUGCAAACCGAAGAAGAGUGCUCCGCAUUCAGCUCCGAAUGUUGUACAACCAAGGCAGAAGUGGAUCUCUCCACCGCCGGGGUUUGCUAAGAUAAGAGUUGAUGGAGCGGUCUCGAGAGACAACCUGCAUGGCUCGUUCAGCGCAAUCUGCAGAGACUCCUAUGGCCAGUUUUUGGGUGCAUCAGCAAUCAAAAUACAGGGGGUCACGGAGCCCGCAACUCUCGAAGCACUGGCUUGCCGGGAGACGCUAGCACUAGCUUCAGACUUGGCCCUGUCCGAUUUCAUUGUGGCUACUGACUGCCAGGGAGUAGCAGACGACAUCAAGAAUGGUACGGGAGGGACGUAUGCUAGCAUCGUCAAAGAGAUUAGUGAAACAUCAAGAGACUUUCAUCAAUGUACCUUCAUCUUCGAAGGUAGAUCCACCAAUAUUGAGGUGCAUAGUCUCGCUAAGCACGCUUUCGAUCUGGAUCUUGGGCGCCAUUUGUGGCUUAUAAACCCACCAGACAUUCAUUGUAUCCCUAUGAACUUAUUUGAAUAAUAAAGUGUGUUUAGACUCAAAAAAAGUUAAAACUUUUCCUAUGCCGCCUUGCCUUGCAUUCGCUACCGACAAAUCCCAUUGUUACAUCUUAGCCUAAAAUGAAGCCUUCUCAGGGCGUUUGCGUUCUUGGUCGUCCAAUUGCUUGUCCAAACGAAUCGGGGUUGUCGAAUCUUCAGACGAAACGAUCCGGACCGUUGGAUCGAGUCCGAUGUGACAAUCAAUGAAUAGUGCUUCUCAUUUCUUACUUCCGAAUUUAUGCCAUAUAUGGAUGACACAUGGGGUCUUUUGUCCGUGGGCUGCUAUUUGUCAUUGGCCUUGAGUGUGGGUGUGGCCGGUGCGGCUAUACACACGCGCAGGGGUCAUGCCACCGCGCUGUAAUUUUCGAUGGCCGCCGAGGGUAGUUUCGAUAUUUCACAUGAGGACGCUUGUGUGGCGUCCUAUGGAUGGCCGGGUCGUGCGUAAGGGAAAGAGAGAGCCCGAUUGGGUGAAACCCUAGCAGUUAUCCCCGUCGCGCCCCUCCCCUUCGCUCUCGCGCCGCUAGCCCCGCGCUCGCCCCGUCUCCCUCGCGCCGCCAACCCCGCGCUCGCCCCGCCACCCCCGCCUCCUCCCUUGGACUAGGCACUCAGCGGCUUCUUUGACGGAGGACGUACUUGCUGCACAUUUCUUUUGGCCAAAGAUGAGACGGGAUGUUGAACGUUUUGUUGCCCGUUGCACUACAUGUCAAAAACCUAAGUCACGACUCAAUCCUCAUGGUUUAUAUAUGUCUUUGCCUGUACCUAGUGUUCCUUGGUAGGGUAUAUCUAUGGAAUUUGUUUUAGGUUUACCUUGAACAAAGAAGGGGAGGGAUAUUAUAUUUGUUGUUGUGGAUAAAUUUUCGAAAAUGGCACAAUUUAUACCAUGUCAUAAAAACGAUGAUGUUGCUGAUUUGUUCUUUCGUGAAAUUAUUCGCUUGCAUGGUGUGCCAAAUACAAUUGUUUCAGAUCAUGAUACUAGGUUUCUUAGACACUUUUGGAGAUGUUUAUGGGCUAAGUUGGGGACUAAACUGCUUUUUAAUACUACAUGUCACCCUCAAACUGAUGGACAAACUAAAGUAGUCAAUAGAACAUUGUCUACUAUGCUUAGGGUUGUUCUGAAGAAUAAUAAGAAAAAUAUGGGAAGAAUGAUUGCCUCAUAUCGAAUUUGCUUAUAAUCGUUCGAUGCAUUCUACUACUAACACUGGUGCGCGUCGGUUCUAAACAAACGGUGUUUAAAGCCCCUUUCCGCGACGGCAUUUGGAACGUCGCCAAAUGAGUAUAGGCGAUAGGGGGUCCUUCCCACACGACCCAGAAAUCGUCAGGGAUAAGGCCCCUACAGUACUCCUCGUUUCUGCUCGCAUUGCCAUCGCAGUCGGUAUUCCGUGGUGCUACAUUUAUGAUGCGCGGCCCAUCACAAAUGGUUCACUAUUAUAGAACGUGUAUGAUGCGCGGCCCAUCACAAACGAUUCACUGUUAAGAAGAUUAGCUAAUCAUCGUACGAGUGUCAGACAGGAUUACGAAACGUCAGACCGUCGUAACAUCGUCGUACACAACUACUGUCGAACACGCUAUUCUAUAAUGCAACGUUUACGAUGCAUACUUCAUCAUAAACAGUUAAUGGUUGCGAAUCAUGUACGAUAAGGCAACUAACAUAAACAUUUAGUUUGCCCGCACCGUUUGUGAUAUUGUCUGAUAUCGACACGCUUUGCAAAUGGCAAUUGUGUGCAUGCUUGCACACGUUUCCUCUAUGUGAACCGUCUCGGAUUAUGGUGCAUAUCGCAAACGUUUGUGUUUUACCAACCGUGUGUGUCGUAACAACCUGGAGAGCGUAAUUUCACCAUAAUUUAAUUGCUGCUUUUCCAAAUUGUAUCGAUUUUGGAUUUUAAUUUGAAUAUAUGCUACAGCUUUAUUCAUAUCCAUCAGGUUCAAACCACCAAUGCAGCGAUUCAUAGAUACAUAUGUUCAAGAAUUACAUAAGAACCAAAUAAAGAAUGAUGAACCACAGUUGUAUACUGUAUACUUGUACUAUUAAAGACGGUAAAUAAAGGGGCGAAAUAUAUUCUGGUUGCUAAACAAGGUGAAGUGGAAUGCCCAUAUUGUGCCCUCCUCCAUGCAGAAGGCACGCACGACUCUAGUCCAGCCCCUUGUGAUGGUCGACCGCCCAUCCUUCACGGUCUUCAUGAAGACAUCUAGAUAAUCAUCGUGUUCUGGUAAAAAUACUUUAACCUUUGCAUGCCCACCAAUCAUGUAGUUUGAGAGGUAAUCUUAAGUAAACUGCUUUGGCAACCACUGCAAAGGAAUAAUAUUUCAGACAUUGUCAUCUAACACAGCUCAUUAUGGGCAGUAAAAAGAAGGCUGCAGAGUUCUUACUUACCAUUCUGCAGUUCGUUGUUGUUUUGGAUAAAGUGUAAACAAAUAGUUUAAUUGCCAUCUUUGGACCCAUUUUACUAACAAUCUUUAUCAACUUCCUCACUUGAUGCUGGUUCAUUGAUAUCUCAUUGCCCCAUACGCAGAAAGGGUCGAAACGCGGAUCUUUACCAAUGACAUAUGUACCUAAAAGCACAAAGUUAAUAUUAGAAGCUAAACAGCAAUGGCACAAUGAUGUAGUACAACACUAUUUUAUAAUAUGUCUACAUACAUCUGUAUGUGGUAGUCCAUUUGAAAUCUUAAAAAGACAAAUAUUUAGGAACGGAGGGAUUAUCUUAUAACAUCCAAUAUACUCACAUAUUAGAUGGAUUGACAUCUUAUAUUAUGGGCCGGAAGGAGUUUAGUUCGUUCUUAAAAAUUAUCUGCUGCUGUAUCCACGGGUUACAGUUAAUUUGAGCUAGUUCGGGCUCAAAUAACCUUAAAGUAUAUCUAAACAUGAGGGCUAGUUUGAGCUAGUUGCAUCUAUAAACCACCCAAAAAAAACUAGUAUCCAACCCAAGAGGUGCUAAUUGGAGCUAGUUCUCCUAGUGCAUUUAUUGUCAAUCUAACCCUGCCAUCCAAACAACUCUUUGUAUGAAGUUAGUUCAGGGUUAGUAAAUGAGCUAGAAAGUAACUCUAACCUCUAGCUAAGUUGAGUAUCCAAACAGGGUUGUGUUGUUGCUGUUGUUGUUGCUGCUCUUCUACGUAUAUCUAGACAUCAUUAGAACAUUAAUGUAACACUCAUCCUUGUUGCUAUGUAGCCUAGGAUUGCAUAUUUAGACAUUAAGUACGGUGCAUGUUGCUAUGUAGCCUCAGAUAUAUUACAUACGGCCCUAGGUAACCUAAGGAAAAUGGCUUGCAGAUAUAUUCAGUUAAAAGUCUGAUUCACCGAUUAGUCCCUUAUCAGCCGCCGGCCUAUAUGGUACCAGCUAGGGAUAUCCUAAACAAUGAGCAGAUAUAAGCCAUGGGAUCAAACUAACGUCAAUGGUAAACAACAGUUGUUCCGAAAAUGGUCCUAUGUAGGUACAUUAAGAGGCAUGUUAAGCACAACAGGUUAAACAUCAACCAAAAUUACACAUGGCAGACAAAAUAAUCUCCAAAAGAUAGCUUCAGUGUGCAGGUUUAAGCACGCUAUUAAAGCAAAACAAGUGGAAAUGUGUGCUAACUGCAACAAGCCUAACAUUUAACAACAAGCAAACAUGGUCAUUCAAACUGGUAUUGUGCCGGUCUAAGUACACUGGUUAUGGUUAAAUAAAAAUGGAAAGGCGUGUUAACUACAAGAUGCAGCAACCAACUAUAGUCAUUCAUAAUGGUAUUGUUGAAACUGGUACUGAUGAAAUUGAACUGCACAAUUCAUACUUGCACAUAUAGAACAUCACGUUGUGAAUAACUGGAAUAAACAAGGCAUACUACGAACAACCAAAGAUGGCAUUUCAAACUGAACAUAUGCUAACUACAAACAACCGAAUAAUCAAAAAACUUUAAAAGAGGCAUAUGCUAGCUAUAACAGGUUUAACAGCAAGCAAAUAUAUGCAUUCCUAUCGGUAUGUUUAAAAUUGGAUUGAUGAAAUGUAUUGCACAGUAAAUAAUUGCACAUAUAGAGCAUCACAUUGUGAACAACUGAAAUAAACAAAUCAUGGGUUUCCCCACUUGUCACAGAUGGGCUCGUUCCCGUGGGAAGAGCAUGGACCCUGGAUGUGCUCCAUGUUGUCGUAGAUGGGCUCCUUCCCCUUGGAAGAGCAGGGCUAUAGGGUGCCCUCCCUGAUGUCGCAGACGGGCGCUUUCCUCUUGGAAGAGCAGAUGGGCUCUUUCCCCUUGAAAGAGUCGAAGAGGGUGCCGUCCUCGUGGUCGCCGUCGAUGAGGUCUGACUUGGAAGCCGUAGAUCCCAAGCCAGCGUCGCAGAACGUGUCCUUCAGAAAUGACAAAAGGGGCUUGAUGGCGAUGUAGAAUGACACAUUGUUGACAGUGAGCCAGAGGAGAUCAGUGGCAGGGCCAUGGAUGAGAUCGACGGUGGCUGAACCCGAGGGGUUGGGGUGGGCCACUUAACCUGUGACACAGCCCGCCUCAGGAGGUCGCUGUCGAUGACCUCGAUGUCGUAGCCGGCAGACGAGACAUGCCCGCAUCUAGCCCGCUGCUUGAGUGCAUGCCGCCAGUAAUGGUCGUCAGCUUCCUCAGUGACGUCGGGCGAAGAAACCACUAUACACCUUUUUUGGGCCAGUCGCUCCUCGAGCUCCACGGGAAGCAUAGCUGGGCUUAGGCUGUGAUGCUCUGGAGUGGGGGAUGGGGAUGGGGAUGGGGAUCUAUGGGAAAGGGGGCGUUUGGCAGGCGUCAUCUAAGAAACUCAAGGCGGCCUGGGUAUGGAGAUCGGUGGGUAAGCUGCACGGGCAAACCGGCAGAUGUUGACAAUGGAGGCCUUGCGGCGUCGGUGGCGGCGGGGACUUUGCUAGGGUUUCGAGCGAGGGAGGGUGUGUGUGUGUGUGCGCGCGCAUGUUCGAGAAGGUUUUGGUGUGUGUAUGUGUGUGUGGAGGGGGCGCGAGGUGUUUGAGAAACUGACGUGGGUACUGAAAAUUUUACUACACGGGAGUCAAACGCGGGAGUGAAAUGCCGGGCUAUUGAAAAUUUUGAUGAUAGUGCAUCGCACAUGGUCCGGAGAUAACAACCAUGUGUUACAAAAAAGAAAAACCCUCAAGGUGGGCAGAUAUUUUCGAUGCAGGCGGGAUUGGGAACAAGAAACAUUGCACACGGUCCGGAGAUAACAACCGUGUGUUAUGAAACAGAAAAACCCUCGAAGUGGGCAGAUAUUUUUGAGAGGGGGAGCCUCAUUGAUCCCAAUGUACUGUGCGGAUGUGUGCAUGACAGGUGCACCGGCAUGGCACACAGUUUGUUUGGGUGAACCGUGUUUGUUGUGUCAUCCGACUUGUCUAAUGUUCAUAAAUUUGACAAAAAAUGACGCAGGAGAGGGUCAGAACACGAACACACUUGCAUGUGCACCAAAUUUAUGUAUCAAAAGGGUGGUUUGUUUUUCAAAUACCAAAUGCAACUUCGAUGUGGCACCUCUCUCGCAAAGCGCACGAUAUUGCUUGCUCCCACCCUCUCGUGUCGGCACGAAGGGAAUCCUAAGCUAUGAAUGCAUGCCCCCUCUCCCUCGACCGAGGUUCACAUAGCAAAGUGCGAAGUAGCUAGCCGCCCCCUCAUCCCUCGUGUCGGCAUGAAGGGAAUCCUAAGCUAUAUAUUAUGAAUGCAUGCCCCCUCCCCCUCAACCGAGGUUCACCUAGCAAAAUGCGAAGUAGCUAGCAGCCCCCCUCCUCCCUCGUGUCGGCCCGAAGGGAAUCCUAAGCUAUAUAUGAAUGCAUGCCCCCCCCNNNNNNNNNNNNNNNNNNNNNNNNNNNNNNNNNNNNNNNNNNNNNNNNNNNNNNNNNNNNNNNNNNNNNNNNNNNNNNNNNNNNNNNNNNNNNNNNNNNNNNNNNNNNNNNNNNNNNNNNNNNNNNNNNNNNNNNNNNNNNNNNNNNNNNNNNNNNNNNNNNNNNNNNNNNNNNNNNNNNNNNNNNNNNNNNNNNNNNNNNNNNNNNNNNNNNNNNNNNNNNNNNNNNNNNNNNNNNNNNNNNNNNNNNNNNNNNNNNNNNNNNNNNNNNNNNNNNNNNNNNNNNNNNNNNNNNNNNNNNNNNNNNNNNNNNNNNNNNNNNNNNNNNNNNNNNNNNNNNNNNNNNNNNNNNNNNNNNNNNNNNNNNNNNNNNNNNNNNNNNNNNNNNNNNNNNNNNNNNNNNNNNNNNNNNNNNNNNNNNNNNNNNNNNNNNNNNNNNNNNNNNNNNNNNNNNNNNNNNNNNNNNNNNNNNNNNNNNNNNNNNNNNNNNNNNNNNNNNNNNNNNNNNNNNNNNNNNNNNNNNNNNNNNNNNNNNNNNNNNCUGAUGGUCGACUCGCGGAUGCCGCGCAGCGGGAGGCAGGUCAUCGAGGUCGAGGUUGAGGUAGAUCGGGAGGAAGCGCCGGGGUCGCCGGCGUGCCGACUGCGCCAGAAGUGAGGUAGAUGGUAACGUAGAUCGUCAGCAGGGUGAACGGGAGUAGCAAGAGAGGUGAGGGAGAGAAACCUACAGGCGGCGGAGAUGUGGGAGGCGAAGGUCGACUCACGGAUGCCGCGCAGCGGGAGGCGGGUCAUCGAGGUAGAGGUCGAGGUCGAGGCAAAUCACGGAGGAAGCGCCUGGGUCGCCGGCGUGCGGACUGCUCCAGAAGCGAGGUAGCAAAUUGGGUCGUCGACAGGGUGAAUGUGAGGAGCAACACAUGAUUCACUCGAUCUAUCUUACAGAUGAGGGAAUUCGAGGCUCUCGUUCUCGAUUACAGAUGAACAGAGGAGUACACGAGUUGGGGAAUGAGAUAGAGGAGGUAGCCGUCGUCGGGUCCUUCCGUGAUCCACUGGAUGCCCUACACUCUGGUGGAGCUGUUGGAUCGGCUCAAGCCCAUUCCGACCCAGCUACGCGUGGGUUGGGCUUGCGCUGUCGCAUGGGCCUUGGUGUUGACUCGGGGCCUCGCAGGUCACUGCCAGCUGGGGUCGCCAUGUUAGUUCCAGCAAAGUUAAAACUUUUCCUAUGCCGCCUUGCCUUGCAUUCGCUACCGACAAAUGCCAUUGUUACAUCUUAGCCUAAAAUGAAGCCUUCUCAGGGCGUUUGCAUUCUUGGCCGUCCAAUUGCCUGUCCAAAUGAAACCGGGUCGUCAGAUCUUCACGCGAAACAAUCCGGACCAUUGGAUCGAGUCCGAUGUGACAAUCAAUGAAUAGUGCUUCUCAUUUCUUACUUCUGAAUUUAUGCCAUAUAUGGAUGACACAUGGGGUCUUUUGUCAGUGGGCUGCUAUUUGUCAUUGGCCUUGAGUGUGGGUGUGGCCGGUGCGGCCAUACACAGGCGCAGGGGUCAUGCCACAACACCGUAAUUUUCGGUGGCCGCCGAGGGCAGUUUCGAGAUUUCACAUGAGGGCGCUUGUGUGGCGUCCUGUGGAUGGCUGGGUCGCGCGUAAGGGAAAGAGAGAGCCCGAUUGGGUGAAACCCUCGUCGUUAUCCCCGUCGGGCCCCUCCCCUUCUCUCUCGCGCUGCUAGCCCCACGCUCGCCCCGUCUCCCUCGCGCCGCCAACCCCACGCUCGCCCCCCUCUCCCUCGCCCCGCCACCCCGCCUCCUCCCUUGGACUAGGCACUCAGCGGCUUCUUUGAGAAAGAUUAAUGGGACACUUUGGCGUGAAGAAGACGGAGGACGUACUUGCUGCAUAUUUCUUUUGGCCAAAGAUGAGACGGGAUGUUGAACGUUUUGUUACUCGUUGCACUACAUGUCAAAAACCUAAGUCACAACUCAAUCCUCAUGGUUUAUAUAUGCCUUUGCCUGUACCUAGUAUUCCUUGGUAGGGUAUAUCUAUGGAAUUUGUUUUAGGUUUACCUCGAACAAAGAAGGGGAGGAAUAUUAUAUUUGUUGUUGUGGAUAAAUUUUCGAAAAUGGCACAAUUUAUACCAUGUCAUAAAAACGAUGAUGCUGCUAAUGUUGCUGAUUUGUUCUUUCGUGAAAUUAAUCGCUUGCAUGGUGUGCCAAAUACAAUUGUUUCAGAUCAUGAUACUAGGUUUCUUAGACACUUUUGGAGAUGUUUAUGGGCUAAGUUGGGGACUAAACUAUUUUUUAGUACUACAUGUCACCCUCAAACUGAUGGACAAACUGAAGUAGUCAAUAGAACAUUGUCUACUAUGCUUAGGGUUGUUUUGAAGAAUAAUAAGAAAAUAUGGGAAGAAUGAUUGCCUCAUAUCGAAUAUGCUUAUAAUCGUUCGAUGCAUUCUACUACUAACACUGGUGCGCGUCGGUCCUAAACAAACGGUUUAAAACCCCUUUCCGCGACGCCAUUUGGAACGUCGCCAAAUGAGUGUGGGCGAUAGGAGGUCCUUCCCACACGACCCAGAAACCAUCGGGGAUAGGGCCCCUACAUUACUCCUACCCGUUUCUGCUCACAUUGCCAUUGCAGUUGGUAUUCUGUGGUGCUACGUUUACGAUGCGCGCCCAUCACAAAUGGUUCACUAUUAUAGAACGUGUAUGAUGCGCGGCCCAUCACAAACGGUUCAUCGUUAAGAAGAUUAGAUAAUCAUCGUACGAGUGUCGGACAUGAUUACGAAACAUCGGACCGUCGUAACAUCGUCGUACACAACAACUAUCGCACAUGCUAUUCUGUGAUGCAACGUUUACGAUGCAUACUUCAUCAUAAACAGUUAAUGGUUGCGAAUCGUGUACGAUAAGGCAACUAACACGGAUGUUUAGUUUGCCCGCACCAUUUGUGAUAUUGUCUGACAUCGACACGCUUUGCAAACGACAAUUGUGUGCAUGCUUGCACAUGUUUCCUCUCCGUGAACCGUCUCGGAUUAUGGUGCAUAUCGCGAACGUUUGUGUUUUACCAACCGAGUGGGCCGUAACAACUUGGAGAGCGUAAUUUUACCGUAAUUUAAUUACUGCUUUUCCAAAUUGCACCAAAUUUGGAUUUAAAUUUGAAUGUAUGCUACAGCUUUAUUCAUAUCCAUCAGGUUCAAACAACCAAUGCAGCGAUUCAUAGGUACAUAUGUUCAAGAAUUACAUAAGAACCAAAUAAAGAAUGAUGAACCACAGUUGUAUACUGUAUACUUGUACUAUUAAAGACAGUAAAGAAAGGGGCGAAAUAUAUUCUGGUUGCUGAACAAGGUGAAGCGGAAUGCCCAUAUUGUGCCCUCCUCCAUGCAGAAGGCACGCACGACUCUAGUCCAACCCCUUGUGAUGGCCGACCGCCCAUCCUUCACGGUCUUCAUGAAAACAUCUAGAUAAUCAUCGUGUUCUGGUAGAAAUAUUUUAACCUUUGCAUGCCCACCAAACAUGUAGUUUCAGAGGUAAUCUUGAGUAAACUGUUUUGGCAACCACUGUAAAGGAAUAAGAUUUCAGACAUUGUCAUCUAACACAGCUCAUUAUGGGCAGUAAAAAGAAGGCUACAGAGUUCUUACUUACCAUUCUGUAGUUCGUUGUUGUCUUGGAUAAAGUGUAAACAAAUAGUUCAAUUUCCAUCUUUGGACCCAUUUUACUAACAAUCUUUAUCAGCUUCCUCACUUGAUGCUGGUUCAUUGGUAUCUCAUUACCCCAUACGUAGAAAAGGUCGAAACACGGCUUUACCAAUGACAUAUGUACCUAAAAGCACAAAGUUAAUAUUAGAAGCCAAACAGCAAUGGCACAAUGAUGUAGUACAACACUAUUUUAUAAUAUGUCUACAUACAUCAGUAUGUGGUAGUCCAUUUGAAAUCUUUAAAAAGACAAAUAUUUAGGAACGGAGGGAGUAUCUUAUUGAAGGAAAUAUGCCCUAGAGGCAAUAAUAAAGUUAUUUUUUAUUUCCUUAUAUCAUGAUAAAUGUUUAUUAUUCAUGCUAGAAUUGUAUUAACCGGAAACAUAAUACAUGUGUGAAUACAUAGACAAAUAGAGUGUCACUAGUAUGCCUCUACUUGACUAGCUCGUUGAUCAAAGAUGGUUAUGUUUCCUAACCAUAGACAUGAGUUGUCAUUUGAUUAACGGGAUCAGAUCAUUAGGAGAAUGAUGUGAUUGACUUGACCCAUUCCUUUAGCUUAACACUUGAUCGUUUAGUUUGUUGCUAUUGCUUUCUUCAUAACUUAUACAUGUUCCUGUGACUAUGAGAUUAUGCAACUCCCGUUUACCGGAGGAACACUUUGUGUGCUACCAAACGUCACAAUGUAACUGGGUGAUUAUAAAGGUGCUCUACAGGUGUCUCCGAAGGUACUUGUUGGGUUGGCGUAUUUCGAGAUUAGGACUUGUCACUCCGAUUGUCGGAGAGGUAUCUCUGGGCCCUCUCGGUAAUACACAUCACUCAAGCCUUGCAAGCAUUGCAACUAAUAAGUUAGUUGCAGGAUGAUGUAUUACGGAACGAGUAAAGAGACUUGCCGGUAACGAGAUUGAACCAGGUAUUGAGAUACCGACGAUCGAAUCUCGGGCAAGUAACAUACCGAUGACAAAAGGAACAACAUAUGUUGUUAUGCGGUCUGACCGAUAAAGAUCUUCGUAUAAUAUGUAGGAACCAAUAUGAGCAUCCAAGUUCCGCUAUUGGUUAUUGACCGGAGACGUGUCUCGGUCAUGUCUACAUAGUUCUCGAACCCGUAGGGUCCGCACGCUUAAAGUUCGGUGACGAUCGUAAUUAGGAUUUGUUGUGUUUUGAUGUACCGAAGAUCGUUCGGAGUAUUGGAUGUGAUCACGGACAUGACGAGGAGUCUCGAAAUGGUCGAGACAUAAAGAUUGAUAUAUUGGAAGCCUAUAUUUGGAUAUCGGAAUCGUUCCGGGUGAAAUUGGGAUUUUACCGGAGUACCGGGGGUUACNNNNNNNNNNNNNNNNNNNNNNNNNNNNNNNNNNNNNNNNNNNNNNNNNNNNNNNNNNNNNNNNNNNNNNNNNNNNNNNNNNNNNNNNNNNNNNNNNNNNNNNNNNNNNNNNNNNNNNNNNNNNNNNNNNNNNNNNNNNNNNNNNNNNNNNNNNNNNNNNNNNNNNNNNNNNNNNNNNNNNNNNNNNNNNNNNNNNNNNNNNNNNNNNNNNNNNNNNNNNNNNNNNNNNNNNNNNNNNNNNNNNNNNNNNNNNNNNNNNNNNNNNNNNNNNNNNNNNNNNNNNNNNNNNNNNNNNNNNNNNNNNNNNNNNNNNNNNNNNNNNNNNNNNNNNNNNNNNNNNNCUAAGUGAGAAGAGGAGGGCCGGCCAGGGCAGGCCGUGCCCCCCUCCCCCCUAGUCCGAAUAGGACAAGGAAGGGGGGCGGCGCCCCCCUUUCCUCUUUCCCCCUUCCCCUUUCCUUCUCCAACAAGGCAAGAGGGACUCAGACUCCUUCAGGCGCACCCCUAGGGGCCGGCCGCACCUCCCCCCUCCCUCCUUUAUAUACGGGGGCAGGGGGCACCCCAUGACACACAAGUUGAUCUUCGUGAUCGUUCAUUAGCCGUGUGCGGUGCCCCCUUCCACCAUAUUCCACCUCGGUCAUAUCGUAGCGGUGCUUAGGCGAAGCCCUGCAUCGGUAGAACAUCAUCACUGUAAUCACGCCGUCGUGCUAACGAAACUCUCCCUCAACACUCGGCUGGAUCGGAGCUCGAGGGACGUCACCGAGUUGAACGUGUGCAGAACUCGGAGGUGCCGUACGUUCGGUACUUGGAUCGGUCGGAUCGGGAAGACGUAUGACUACUUCCUCUAUGUUGUAUUAACGCUUCCGUUGCCGGUCUACGAGGGUACGUAGACAACACUCUCCCCUCUCGUUGCUAUGCAUCACCAUGAUCUUGCGUGUGCGUAGGAAUUUUUUUGAAAUUACUACGUUCCCCAACAGUGGCAUCCGAGCCAGGUUUUAUGCGUUGAUGUUAUAUGCACAAGUAGAACACAAGUGAGUUGUGGGCGAUAUAAGUCAUACUGCUUACCAGCAUGUCAUACUUUGGUUCGGCGGUAUUGUUGGAUGAAGCGGCCCGGACCGACAUUACGCGUACGCUUACACGAGACUGGUUCUACCGACGUGCUUUGCACACAGGUGGCUGGUGGGUGUUAGUUUCUCCAGCUUUAGUUGAAUCGAGUGUGGCUACGCCCGGUCCUUGCGAAGGUUAAAACAACACCAACUUGACAAACUAUCAUUGUGGUUUUGAUGCGUAGGUAAGAACGGUUCUUGCUAAGCCCGUAGCAGCCACGUAAAACUUGCAACAACAAAGUAGAGGACGUCUAACUUGUUUUUGCAGGGCAUGUUGUGAUGUGAUAUAGUCAAGACAUGAUGCUAAAUUUUAUUGUAUGAGAUGAUCAUGUUUUGUAACCGAGUUAUCGGCAACUGGCGGGAGCCAUAUGGUUGUCGCUUUAUUUGUAUGCAAUGCAAUCGCGCUGUAAUGCUUUACUUUAUCACUAAGCGGUAGCGAUAGUCGUGGAAGCAUAAGAUUGGCGAGACGACAACGAUGCUACGAUGGAGAUCAAGGUGUCGUGCCGGUGACGAUGGUGGUCAUGACGGUACUUCGGAGAUGGAGAUCACAAGUACAAGCUGAUGAUGGCCAUAUCAUAUCACUUAUAUUGAUUGCAUGUGAUGUUUAUCUUUUAUGCAUCUUAUCUUACUUUGAUUUACGGUAUCAUUAUAAGAUGAUCUCUCACUAAAUUUCAAGAUAAAAGUGUUCUCCCUGAGUAUGCACCGUUGCCAAAGUUCGUCGUGCCCAGACACCACGUGAUGAUCGGGUGUGAUAAGCUCUACGUCCAUCUACAACGGGUGCAAGCCAGUUUUGCACACGCAGAAUACUCAGGUUAAACUUGACGAGCCUAGCAUAUGUAGAUAUUGCCUCGGAACACUGAGACCGAAAGGUCGAGCGUGAAUCAUAUAGUAGAUAUGAUCAACAUAUUGAUGUUCACCAUUGAAAGCUACUCCAUUUCACGUGAUGAUCGGUUAUGGUUUAGUUGAUUUGGAUCACGUGAUCACUUAGAAGAUUAGAGGGAUGUCUUUCUAAGUGGGAGUUCUUAAGUAAUAUGAUUAAUUGAACUUAAAUUUAUCAUGAACUUAGUACCUGAUAGUGUCUUGCUUGUCUAUGUUUGAUUGUAGAUAGAUGGCCCGUGCUGUUGUUCCGUUGAAUUUUAAUGCGUUCCUUGAGAAAGCAAAGUUGAAAGAUGAUGGUAGCAAUUACACGGACUGGGUCCGUAACUUGAGGAUUAUCCUCAUUGCUGCACAGAAGAAUUACGUCCUGGAAGCACCGCUGGGUGCCAGGCCUGCUGCUGGAGCAACACCAGAUGUUAUGAACGUCUGGCAGAGCAAUGCUGAUGACUACUCAAUAGUUCAGUGUGCCAUGCUUUACGGCUUAGAAUCGGGACUUCAGCGAUGUUUUGAACGUCAUGGAGCAUAUGAGAUGUUCCAGGAGUUGAAGUUAAUAUUUCAAGCAAAUGCCCCGAUUGAGAGAUAUGAAGUCUCCAAUAAGUUCUAUAGCUGCAAGAUGGAGGAGAAUAGUUCUGUCAGUGAACAUAUACUCAAAAUGUCUGGGUAUCAUAAUCACUUGACUCAACUGGGAGUAAAUCUUCCUGUUGAUAAUGUCAUUGACAGAGUUCUUUAAUCACUGCCACCAAGCUACAAGUGCUUCGUGAUGGACUAUAACAUGCAAGGGAUGGAUAAGACGAUUCCCGAUCUCUUCGCAAUGCUAAAGGCUGCGGAGGUAGAAAUCAAGAAGGAGCAUCAAGUGUUGGUGGUCAAAAAGACCGCCAGUUUCAAGAAAAAGGGCAAAGGGAAGAAGAAGGGGAACUUCAAGAAGAACAGCAAGCAAGUUGCUGCUCAGGAGAAGAAACCCAAAUCUGGACCUAAGCCUGAAACUGAGUGCUUCUACUGUAAGCAGACUCGACACUGGAAGCGGAACUACCCCAAGUAUUUUGCGGAUAAGAAGGAUGGCAAGGUGAACAAAGGUAUAUGUGAUAUACAUGUUAUUGAUGUGUACCUUACUAGAGCUCGCAGUAGCACCUGGGUCUUUGAUACUGGUUCUGUUGCUAAUAUUUGCAACUCGAAAUAGGGACUACAGAUUAAGCAAACACUGGCGAAGGACGAGGUGACGAUGCGCGUGGGAAAUGGUUCCAAAGUCGAUGUGAUCGCAGUCGGCACGCUACCUCUACAUCUACCUUCAGGAUUAGUAUUAGACCUAAAUAAUUGUUAUUUGGUGCCAGCGUUGAGCAUGAACAUUAUAUUUGAAUCUUGUUUGAUGCGAGACGAUUAUUCAUUUAAAUCAGAGAAUAAUGGUUGUUCUAUUUAUAUGAGUAAUAUCUUUUAUGGUCAUGCACCCUUGAAGAGUGGUCUAUUUUUGAUGAAUCUCAAUAGUAGUGAUACACAUAUUCAUAAUGUUGAAGCCAAAAGAUGCAGAGUUGAUAAUGAUAGUGCAACUUAUUUGUGGCACUGCCGUUUAGGUCAUAUCGGUGUAAAGCGCAUGAAGAAACUCCAUACUGAUGGACUUUUGGAAUCACUUGAUUAUGAAUCACUUGGUACUUGCGAACCGUGCCUCAUGGGCAAGAUGACUAAAACGCCGUUCUCCGGUACUAUGGAGAGAGCAACAGAUUUGUUGGAAAUCAAACAUAUAGAUGUAUGUGGUCCGAUGAAUGUUGAGGCUCGUGGCAGAUAUCGUUAUUUUCUCACCUUCACAGAUGAUUUAAGCAGAUAUGGGUAUAUCUACUUAAUGAAACAUAAGUCUGAAACAUUUGAAAAGUUCAAAGAAUUUCAGAGUGAAGUUGAAAAUCAUCGUAACAAGAAAAUAAAGUUUCUACGAUCUGAUCGUGGAGGAGAAUAUUUGAGUUACGAGUUUGGUCUACAUUUGAAACAAUGCGGAAUAGUUUCGCAACUCACGCCACCCGGAACACCACAGCGUAAUGGUGUGUCCGAAUGUCAUAAUCGUACUUUAUUAGAUAUGGUGCGAUCUAUGAUGUCUCUUACUGAUUUACCGCUAUCAUUUUGGGGUUAUGCUUUAGAAACAGCUGCAUUCACGUUAAAUAGGGCACCAACGAAAUCCAUUGAGACGACACCUUAUGAACUGUGGUUUGGCAAGAAACCAAAGUUGUCGUUUCUGAAAGUUUGGGGCUGCGAUGCUUAUGUGAAAAAGCUUCAACCUGAUAAGCUCAAACCCAAAUCGGAGAAAUGUGUCUUCAUAGGAUACCCAAAGGAGACUGUUGGGUACACCUUCUAUCACAGAUCCGAAGGCAACACAUUCAUUGCUAAGAAUGGAUCCUUUCUAGAGAAGGAGUUUCUCUCGAAAGAAGUGAGUGGGAGGAAAGUAGAACUUGAUGAGGUAACUAUACCUGCUCCCUUAUUGGAAAGUAGUACAUCACAGAAACCGGUUUGUGUGACACCUAUACCAAUUAGUGAGGAAGCUAAUGAUAAUGAUCAUGAAACUUCAGAUCAAGUUACUACCGAACCUCGUAGAUCAACCAGAGUAAGAUCCGCACCAGAGUGGUACGGUAAUCCUGUUCUGGAAGUCAUGCUACUAGAUCAUGAUGAACCUACGAACUAUGAAGAAGCGAUGGUGAGCCCAGAUUCCGCAAAAUGGCUAGAAGCCAUGAAAUCUGAGAUGGCAUCCAUGUAUGUGAACAAAGUGUGGACUUUGGUUGACUUGCCCGUUGAUCGACAAGCAAUUGAGAAUAAAUGGAUCUUCAAGAAGAAGACUGACGCUGACGGUAAUGUUGCUGUCUACAAAGCUCGACUUGUUGCGAGAGGUUUUCGACAAGUUCAAGGGAUUGACUACGAUGAGACCUUCUCACCCGUAGCGAUUCUUAAGUCUGUCCGAAUCAUGUUAGCAAUUGCCGCAUUUUAUGAUUAUGAAAUUUGGCACAUGGAUGUCAAAACUGCAUUCCUGAAUGGAUUUCCAGAAGAAGAGUUGUAUAUGAUGCAACCGAAAGGUUUUGUCGAUCCAAAGGGAGCUAACAAAGUGUGCAAGCUCCAGCGAUCCAUUUAUGGGCUGGUGCAAGCCUCUCGGAGUUGGAAUAAACGCUUUGAUAGUGUGAUCAAAGCAUUUGGUUUUGUACAGACUUUUGGAGAAGCCUGUAUUUAUAAGAAAGUGAGUGGGAGCUCUGUAGCAUUUCUGAUAUUAUAUGUGGAUGACAUAUUAUUGAUUGGAAAUGAUAUAGAAUUUCUGGAUAGCAUAAAGGGAUACUUGAAUAAGAGUUUUUCAAUGAAAGACCUCGAUGAAGCUGCUUACAUAUUGGGCAUUAAGAUCUAUAGAGAUAGAUCAAGACGCUUAAUUGGACUUUCAUAGAGCACAUACCUUGACAAAGUUUUGAAGAAGUUCAAAAUGGAUCAAGCAAAGAAAGGGUUCUUGCCUGUGUUACAAGGUGUGAAGUUGAGUAAGACUCAAUGUCCGACCACCGCAUAAGAUAGAGAGAAAAUGAAAGAUGUUACCUAUGCUUCAGCCAUAGGCUCUAUCAUGUAUGCAAUGCUGUGUACCAGACCUGAUGUGUGCCUUGCUAUAAGUCUAGCAGGGAGGUACCAAAGUAAUCCAGGAGUGGAUCACUGGACAGCGGUCAAGAACAUCCUGAAGUACCUGAAAAGGACUAAGGAUAUGUUUCUCGUAUAUGGAGGUGACAAAGAGCUCAUCGUAAAUGGUUAUGUAGAUGCAAGCUUUGACACUGAUCCGGACGAUUAUAAAUCGCAAACCGGAUACGUGUUUACAUUGAACGAUGGAGUUGUCAGUUGGUGCAGUUCUAAACAAAGCGUCGUGACGGGAUCUACAUGUGAAGCAGAGUACAUAGCUGCUUCGGAAGCAGCAAAUGAAGGAGUCUAGAUGAAGGAGUUCAUAUCCGAUCUAGGUGUCAUACCUAGUGCAUCGGGUCCAGUGAAAAUCUUUUGUGACAAUACUGGUGCAAUUGCCUUGGCGAAGGAAUCUAGAUUUCACAAGAGAACCAAGCACAUCAAGAGACACUUCAAUUCCAUUCGGGAUUUAGUCCAAGUGGGAGACAUAGAAAUUUGCAAGAUACAUACGGAUCUGAAUGUUGCAGACCCGCUGACUAAGCCUCUUCCACGACCAAAACAUGAUCAGCACCAAGGCUCCAUGGGUGUUAGAAUCAUUACUGUGUAAUCUAGAUUAUUGACUCUAGUGCAAAUGGGAGACUGAAGGAAAUAUGCCCUAGAGGCAAUAAUAAAGUUAUUAUUUAUUUCCUUAUAUCAUGAUAAAUGUUUAUUAUUCAUGCUAGAAUUGCAUUAACCGGAAACAUAAUACAUGUGUGAAUACAUAGACAAACAGAGUGUCAGUAGUAUGCCUCUACUUGACUAGCUCGUUGAUCAAAGAUGGUCAUGUUUCCUAACCAUAUACAUGAGUUUUCAUUUGAUUAACGGGAUCACAUCAUUAGGAGAAUGAUGUGAUUGACUUGACCCAUUCCGUUAGCUUAGCACUUGAUCAUUUAGUUUGUUGCUAUUGCUUUCUUCAUAACUUAUACAUGUUCCUAUGACUAUGAGAUUAUGCAACUCCCGUUUACCGGAGGAACACUUUGUGUGCUACCAAACGUCACAACAUAACUGGGUGAUUAUAAAGGUGCUCUACAGGUGUCUCCGAAGGUACUUGUUGGGUUGGCGUAUUUCAAGAUUAGGAUUUGUCACUCCGAUUGUCGGAGAGGUAUCUCUGGGCCCUCUCGGUAAUACACAUCACUCAAGCCUUGCAAGCAUUGCAACUAAUAAGUUAGUUGCGGGAUGAUGUAUUACAGAACGAGUAAAGAGACUUGCCGGUAAUGAGAUUGAACUAGGUAUUGAGAUACCGACGAUCGAAUCUCGGGCAAGUAACAUACAGAUGACAAAGGGAACAACGUAUGUUGUUAUGCGGUCUGACCGAUAAAGAUCUUCGUAGAAUAUGUAGGAACCAAUAUGAGCAUCCAGGUUCCGCUAUUGGUUAUUGACCGGAGACGUGUCUCGGUCAUGUCUACAUAGUUCUCGAACCCGUAGGGUCCGCACGCUUAAAGUUCGAUGACGAUCGUAAUUAGGGUUUUUUGUGUUUUGAUGUACCGAAGGUUGUUCGGAGUCCCGGAUGUGAUCACGGACAUGACGAGGAGUCUCGAAAUGGCCGAGACAUAAAGAUUGAUAUAUUGGAAGCCUAUAUUUGGAUAUCAGAAUUGUUCUGGGUGAAAUCGGGAUUUUACCGGAGUACCGGGGGUUACCGGAACACCCCCAGGGGUUAAUGGGCCUACAUGGGCCCUAAGGGAGAAGAGGAGGGCCGGCUAGGGCAGGCCGCGCGCCCCCUCCCCCCUAGUCCGAAUAGGACAAGGAAGGGGGGGCGCCCCCUUUCCUCUUUCCCCCUUCCCCUUUCCUUCUCCAACAAGGCAAGAGGGGGGAGUCGUACUCCCGGUGGGAGUAGGACUCCUCCAGGUGCACCCCUAGGGGCCGGCCGCACCUCCCCCUCCCUCCUUUAUAUACGGGGGCAGGGGCACCCCAUGACACACAAGUUGAUCUUCGUGAUCGUUCCUUAGCCGUGUGCGGUGCCCCCUUCCACCAUAUUCCACCUCGGUCAUAUCGUAGCGGUGCUUAGGCGAAGCCCUGCAUCGGUAGAACAUCAUCACCGUCAUCAUGCCAUCGUGCUGACAAAACUCUCCCUCAACAGUCGGCUAGAUCGGAGCUCGAGGGACGUCACCGAUUUGAACGUGUGCAGAACUUGGAGGUGCCGUACGUUCGGUACUUGGAUCGGACGGAUCGGGAAGACGUACGACUACUUCCUCUAUGUUGUAUUAACGCUUCCGUUGCCGGUCUACGAGGGUACAUAGACAACACUCUCCCCUCUCGUUGCUAUGCAUCACCAUGAUCUUGCGUGUGCGUAGGAAUUUUUUUGAAAUUACUACGUUCCCCAACACUUAUAACAUCCAAUAUACUCACAUAUUAGAUGGAUUGACAUCUUAUAUUAUGGGCCGGAAGAAGUUUAGUUCGUUCUUAAGAAUUAUCUGUUGUUGUAUCCACGGGUUAUAUUUAGUUUGAGCUAGUUCGGGCUCAAAUAGCCCUAAAGUAUAUCUAAACAUGAGGGCUAGUUUGAGCUAGUUGCAUCUAUAACCCACCCAAAAAAACUAGUAUCCAACCCAAGAGGUGCUAAUUGGAGCUAGUUCUCCUAGUGCAUUUAUUGUCAAUCUAACCCUGCCAUCCAAACAACUCUUUGGAUGAAGUUAGUGCAGGGUUAGUAAAGGAGCUAGAAACUAACUCUAACCUCUAGCUAAGUUGAGUAUCCAAACAGAGUUGUGUUGUUGCUGUUGCUGCUGCUGCUCUUCUAUGUAUAUCUAGACAUCAUUAGAACAUUAAUGUAACACUCAUCCUUGUUACUAUGUAGCCUAGGAUUGCAUAUUUAGACAUUAAGUACAGUGCAUGUUGCUAUGUAGCUUCAGAUAUAUUACAUACGGCCCUAGUUAACCUAAGGAAAAAUGGGUUGCAGAUAUAUUCAGUUAAAAGUCCGAUUCACCGAAUUAGUCCCUUAUCAGCCGCCGGCCUAUAUGGUACCAGCUACGGAUAUCCUGAACAGUGAGCAAAUAUAAGCCAUGGGAUGAAACAAACAUCAAUGGUAAACAAUAGUCGUUCCCAAAAUUGUCCUAUGUAGGUACAUCAAGAAGCAUGUUAAGCACAACAGGCUAAACAUCAACCAAAAUUACACAUGGCAUACAAAAUAAUCUCCAAAAGAUAGCUUCAGUGUGCAGGUUUAAGCAUGCUAUUAAAGCAAAAACAAGUGGAAAGGUGUGCUAACUGCAACAGGCCUAACAUUUAACAACAAGAAAACAUGGUUAUUCAAACUGGUAUUUGUGCCUGUCUAAGUACACUGGUUAUGGUUAAAUAAAAAUGGAAAGGCGUGUUAACUACAAGAUGCAGCAACUAAAUGUAGUCAUUCAUAGUGGUAUUGUUGAAACUGGUACUGAUGAAAUUGAACUGCACAGUUCAUACUUGCACAUAUAGAACAUCACGUUGUGAAUAACUGGAAUAAACAAGGCAUACUAUGAACAACCAAAGAUAGCAUUUGAAACUAAAGAUAUGCUAACUACAACAACCGAAUAAUCAAAAAAACUUUAAAAGAGGUAUAUGCUAGCUAUAAUAGGCUUAACAGCAAGCAAAUAUAUGCAUUCCUAUCGGUAUGUUUAAAAUUGGAUUGAUGAAAUGUAUUGCACAGUAAAUAAUUGCACAUAUAGAGCAUCACAUUGUGAACAACUGAAAUAAACAAAUCAUGGGUUUCCUCACUUGUCAUAGAUGGGCUCGUUCCCGUGGGAAGAGCAUGGACCCUGGAUGUGCUCCAUGUUGUCGCAGAUGGGCUCCUUCCCCUUGGAAGAGCAGGGCUGUAGGGUGCCCUCCCUGAUGUCACAGACGGGCGCUUUCCUCUUGGAAGAGCAGAUGGGCUCUUUCCCCUUGAAAGAGCCGGAGAGGGUGCCGUCCUCAUGGUCGUCGUCGAUGAGGUCUGACUUGGAAGCCAUAGAUCCCAAGCCAUCGUCGCAGAACGUGUCCUUCAGAAAUCUCGGUGAGACCGACAUGUCAAAAUGUGACUGAUUUAGUUCAAAAUGUGAAGGUUAGGAUUCUCGGUGGGACCGACAUGUCAACUCGGUGGGACUGAUAUCAUUAGGGUUAGGGCAUACCGUAAUCUCGGUGAGACCGACUACACAAACUCGGUGAGACCGAUUUUGGUAAUAGCCAAACAGAGAGUUGGUCUGGCAAACUCGGUGGGACCGAUUCGCUCUUUCGGUUGGACCGAAACGUUACGAAAAGGAAACAGAGAGUUUGCAUUGCAAUCUCGGUGGGACCGAUCGCUCAUCUCGGUUAGACCGAAACGUUACGAAGAGAAACAGAGAGUUUGCAACCCCAUCUCGGUGAGACCGAGAUCCCUAUCGGUGAGACCAAAUUGAUUAGGGUUUCUGGCAGUGGCUAUGUGAGCUAAACUCGGUGGCUCUGGAUAGAAAAAAUCAGUGGGGCCGAGUUGGAAUUUUUGGUUUAGGAUUUAUGUGGAAGUGAGAAAGUGGUUGAGGGCUUUGGAGCAUAUCAUUAAGCACUUUGAGCAAGAUUCUCAUUAAGCAACACCUCAUCCCUUCUUAAUAGUAUUGGCUUUCCUAUGGACUCAAUGUGAUCUUGGAUCACUAAAAUAGAAAAUGUAGAGUCCUGAGCUUUGAGCUCGAGCCAAUCCUUUGUCCUUAGCAUAUUGAAGGGGUUCCACAUCCUCUAGUCCAUGCCACUCCAUUGUUGAACUUGUCUGAAACAUACUAGGUAGAAACAUUAGUCCAACAAGAGAUAUGUUGACAUUAAUUACCAAAAUCACCCAGGGAGCACUUGUGCUUUCAAUCUCCACCUUUUUGGUAAUCGAUAACAACAUACAUUAAAGCUUUAGAUAAAGAUAUAGAGAACAACAAGUAAAGCUUUGGAAAGACAUGUAACAUGCAAAGGCUCCCCCUGUAUGUAUGCAAUCAUAUAAAUAUGAAACAUAGGAGCAUGUGAAUGCAUAAGCAUGAUAGAGUAAGCCAUGUGUUACAUGUAUCUUGGCUAUAUGCAUCAGAGUGAAAGAUGUAAGUAUAGGAAAUGUGCCUUCAUGCUCAUGAGUCCUUCUUGCAAACAAUAUGUACAUCAGCAAGAAAUCCUCAUGCACAUGACUGUGAUGCAUAUACUUAUCUUGUGGUCUUGAGUUGGCUUAGAAGGGAAUGGACCCGAGUAAACAAGGUUAGAUAACACAGAUAGAUCUACUAGCCAGAGCAAACAAAAGAACCACAAAGGUACCAAGACUGGGAUGACAUGUAGAGUGUGAGUACUGAGUUCUCUAUUGGAUAUAAACAUGUCCCCAAAGGUAAAGAUGUGCAAUAGAAUCAGAGAUUUCAUCCCCUUUAGAUGUCUUGCUCCGCCUGAAUCUUGAAUGGGAUAUUGGGAGAAGAUCGAGAACAGAAAAUCAGAGCAAAAGAAAAAAACAGAGCUAAUGCAAGCAAUCAAAUAUGAUGAACAUGUCUUUCCCCUCUUAAAGACAUGUAACUUCUCUCCUCUUGAACACCAAGAAUCCGGGGUUUUAUUACUUUCUUCCCCUUGAGUGUUCUCUCCCCCUAUAGAAAUGAUUAAGCAUAGAGCUUUGAUGUGAUCUCUCUCUCCCCCUUUGACAUCAAUUUCCAAGAAGGGCUCUUCUGGAUUUUUGUUUUAUUGCAGAAGGGUUUGGUCCUUGAGUCACAAAGCAAGUCGAAUGUGAUGCUGGUAGAGGACAAGAAUCAUUGAGUGGAGCUGGAGCAAAAAUGUAUGCAUGAAUAAGUGGCAAGUUGUCUUUCCUGUAAUGAAAUUGGUAGCACCGAGUUAUGUGCUUCGGUGGCACCGAGUGAACUCAGUUGGGCCGAAGGAAACAAACCGGUGUGACCGAGUUCACCGCAGUAAAAACAAUUGUCACCUCAGCUCACUAGGCACUUUAAGAUCUCACAAGGAUUUUCAGGGAAUUUGCUGAAAGAUUUGCAAUGAAUUGGAUGCAGAAAAUGCAGAAUAACAAGAAAGAAAACAAAUAAAGAGAUCUAGAUAAAGUUUUUUUGAAAGGGGAAAACACAUAUGCAAGAGACAAAUGCAAGAGGAAACACAAGAGAAUUUCAUCUAGAAUUGGGCGGUGACAAAGUCACCUAUGUUAGAGUAUAUUGACUUAGGAGUCAAGUGAGGUCACUUGAUCUUUGGUCAUACUCAUCGUUUAAGCUCAAAAUGGGGUUACCAUUUUUCGGUUAAGCAUCUUGAUGUAUUCACAUCUUGUUGAGUCGCUUUGACCCAUGUCUUGGAGUAAAGCUUCUCUAAGAUGGAACAACAUACCUUGGGUGGUGGUGUUGAUCUUGAUCAUGUAGUUGAACUUGUGUGGGUUGCUCAAGGUUGAUGUAGCUCAUAAAGAGUUGGGAGCAUCACCUUGGAUUUUGAGUUUAUCUUCCUACAUGAGUUAGCUUUGCAAGGAAGAGCACUUGUGUAUCCAAAAUGACAAUCAUAAAUCUUAAUGUAGAAUGUGUCAAAGGAUAUGUUUGAAGAGUUUUGUGCUUCCUUGUCUGCAACCACCAUUAUGUAGAGACUUGAUGAUGUAGAGAUUGCUCAAGAUGUGAGUGAGUUGCAAUCUCAUGGAUUUAGAUUCAUCCAAGUAUCUACAAGGGUUAGAUAGCAUGCAAGGGUGCAAAAAUAUCCAAGACAUAUAGACAACAUCAUGAAAGAGCUAUCAAGGAUUAGUCAAAGGCUCAUGCCUUGCAUGUAUCCAAAUGGAGUUCCUACUCCAAGUUUGAAGCAUCAAUGAUGUUCAAUUCACCUCUCAAACGGCAAAAGACUUUCUCAUCAAGCGGUUUGGUAAAUAUAUCCGCUAAUUGCUUAUAGGUGCGAACAUGCUUAAGAUCAGUGUCCCCUUUGGCAACAUGAUCUUGAAUGAAAUGAUGACGAACUUCAAUAUGCUUAGUUCGAGAAUGUUGCACGGGAUUGUGAGCAAUCUUAAUAGCACUUUCAUUGUCAUAGAGCAAUGGAACAUGUUUCACAUAUAUCCCAUAAUCUUUAAGAGUUUGGGUCAUCCAAAGUAAUUGAGCACAACAUGAUCCAGCAUCAAUGUAUUCCGCUUCGGCGGUGGAUAAGGAUACCGAGUUUUAUUUCUUGGAGGACCAAUACACAAGAAAUAUACCAAGAAAUUGACAAGUACCCGAAGUGGAGUUUCUAUCAACCUUGUCUCCGGCAUAGUCCGAAUCGUAGUAACCAACAAGAUCGAAAGAAGUCCUCUUAGGAUACCAAAUGCCAAAAUUUGGUGUGUAUAUUAAGUAUCUCACUAUCCUUUUCACAGACUUAAGAUGACACUCUUUAGGGGCCGCUUGAUAUCGUGCACACAUGCACACACUUAACAUAAUGUCAGGACAGGAGGCACAUAGAUAUAAUAAUGAACCAAUCAUAGAGCGGCAAACCUUUUGAUCAACCGGUUCACCAUCUUUGGUCAAAUCAAGAUGUCCACUAGUAGGCAUGGGUGUAGACAUACCUUUGCAUUCUUGCAUAUUGAACUUCUUGAAUAAGUCUUUGGUGUACUUUGUUUGAGAAAUAAAGGUACCUUCUUUAGUUUGCUUGAUUUGCAAACCGAAAAAGAAUUUGAGUUCACUCAUCAUAGACAUCUCAAACUUCUCCGACAUUAGCUUUCCAAACUUCUCACUAAAAAGUGGGUUAGUUGAACCAAAUAUAAUAUCAUCAGCAUAAAUUUGGCACACAAAUAGUUCUCCAUUGACCCUUUUAGUAAAAAGAGUAGAAUCAAUUUUACCAAUUUCAAAGCCUUUUUCAAUAAGGAACUUGGUCAAGCAUUUAUACCACGCUCUAGGGGCUUGUUUAAGACCAUAAAGGGCUUUGUGAAGUUUGUAAACGUGAUUAGGUUUCUUAGGAUUGACAAAGCCGGGAGGUUGCUUAACAUAAACUUCCUCCUCAAUUUCACCAUUUAGAAAAGCACUUUUAAUAUCCAUUUGGUACAAGGUGAUAUCAUGGUGAUUAGCAUAAGCAAGUAAGAUGCGAAUGGACUCAAGUCUAGCAAUAGGAGCAUAUGUCUCACCAUAGUCCAUACCUUCGACUUGAGUGUAGCCUUGGGCGACUAGACGUGCUUUGUUGUAGAAGACUUGACCAUCUUCAUCUUGCUUGUUGCGAAACACCCAUUUGGUACCAAUGAUGUUGUGGUUGUUGUCGGGCUUCUCGACCAAUGUCCAUACUUCGUUUCUCUCAAAGUUGUGUAGUUCUUCAUGCAUAGCGUUUAUCCAGUCCGGAUCUUCCAAUGCUUCUUCAACCUUCAUAGGUUCAAUGCUAGAGAUGAAUGAGUAAUGUUCACAAAAAUUUGCCAAUCGAGUUCUUGAGCGGGUGAUUCUCCCGGUUUGGAUAUCAUUGUAGAUUUGCUCGAUGGGAUGAUCUUUGGCGAUUCUUGCUCAAACUCAUGGGAGCUUUGGCUUGGCUCGGGGUGGAACAUCUUCUUCAUCUUGUUCUUCUUCUUGGCCUUCUUCAUUGUUGACGUUGUCAUUCUCUUGUUGUGGUGGAGAAGGAGGUUUUUUAUGUUCAUCUUGGUGUGCUUCCUCAUUUUCUUUGUCUUGGUGUGUCCCACUUGUGGAUGCUUCCAUAUCAAUUCUUGGUUCACCUUGUCGUGAGGUAGAAGCUUCCACUUGGACGGACGAGGUACUCUCCUUCACCUCCGUUGGACGAAUCUUGCCAGUAGACAAGUCUUGGAUAGCUUCCAAAGGGUCCUUGUCUCCUACAUCAAUUGGCAAUUGCUCUGCUUGCGAGCCGUUAGAUUCAUCAAACUUCACAUCUACCAUCUCUUCAACCUUUCCGGUGAAAUUGUUGUAGACACGAUAAGUGUGAGAGUUUGAGCCAUAACCAAGUAGGAAACCUUCAUGAGAUUUAGGAGCAAAUUUAGAAUGACGAUGUUUAUCAAGAAUGUAGCACUUUGAUCCAAAUACUCGAAAGUAUCCAACUUGGGGUUUGUUACCGGUGAGGAGCUCGUAUGCCGUCUUGCCGAGUAGCUUGUGAAGAUAUAAGCGAUUUGUUGCAUGACAAGCUAUCUCAACCGCUUCUGCCCAAAAGUGUUUUGGAGUCUUGUACUCAUCAAGAAUCGUUCUUGCCAUCUCAAUAAGAGUACGGUUCUUCCUCUCAAUAACUCCAUUUUGUUGGGGUGUAUACGUAGCCAAGAACACAUGUGAAAUCCCUUCUUCGUCAAGAAAGGUAUCCACAUUUACGUUCUUGAACUCCGUUCCGUUGUCACUCCGAACCUUCUUGAUCUUCACGUCAAAUUGAUUUUGGGCCUUCCUAGCGAAGUUUUUGAAGAUCUUUUGCACCUGUGAUUUGUCAUCAAGAAAGAACACCCACGUAAAUCUUGAAAAAUCAUCAACUAUGACUAGUCCAAAUGAGUUAUCAUUGAGACUCUUGUAGGCAUUUGGACCAAAGAGAUCCAUGUGAAGUAGCUCGAGUGGUCUUCUCAUGGUCAUGAUGUUCUUUGUGCGAUGACUCCCUCCAACUUGUUUCCCUGCUUGACAAGCACUACAAAGUCUAUCCUUUUCAAAUAUGACAUCUUUUACACCAAGGAUGUGAUCACUUCUAAUAAGCUUAUCAAGAUUUCACAUGCCCACAUGACCUAGCCUUCUAUGCCACAACCAGCCUUUAGAAGAUUUAGCAAUUAAGCAAGUUCUAGGUUGAGCCUUUUUUGUGAAAUCAACAAUGUAAAGAUCACAUCUAUGUAUACUGGUAAAGACCAUUUUACGAUUGUCUCUACGAAACACUUGGCAAUCUACCUCAGUAAAUAGGACAUUGAAACCGAAAUCAGCAAGCCUAGAUACUGAAAGUAAAUUGUACCCAAGAGAUUCAACGAGCAUGACAUUUUGUAUGGAGCUAUCAUGUGAGAUGGCCACCUUACCUAGGCCAACCACCUUACCCUUUGAGUUAUCACCAAAGGUGACAUACUUUCGAGGGCCGUCAUUUUCAGCAAGCUCACGGAACAUAUCUUUAUCUCCGGUCAUAUGAUCAAUACAUCCACUAUCAAGAACCCAUUCCUUUCCUCCAGCCAUGUAGCUGCGAAGAUUUGCCAUAAGACCAAAGUGUCUCAUUGCAUCAUUAAGAUCAUAGUCACUGUCAUCAUCAUCCUCAUCAUAGUAUCCAUGUUCAACAUCAUCUUAUGAUUGAUCAAUUCCUAGAGAGGGUAAUUCAUUAGAUAAAUUAUCAUUUCUAUAGUUAUCUUUAUGAAUUCUAAUAGCUUUGGAAAUGAUAUUGCUAAUGAUUCCAACAUCUCCUUUGGCACUCGUAAGAUUAGUAAGCUUAAAUAAGCAGUCACCAAAUUUGGGAUCAUUGGAACUCAUCUUAAUCAAGGCAAUGGACUUAUGAAGAAUCUCAUCUAAGUUCUUCAAGGAAUAGUUUGGAAAAUGUUUCUCAAGGAAUCUCCAUAUAGUGUAGGCACAAUCAAGAGUAGGCAAACAUUCAAUCAAGUUUCUAGGCAAGCCGCUAGUGAUAAGAUUAACAGUUCUAAGGUUGCGGAUCAUGUCAAUAGACUCAUCAAGGGUAGGAUGCAAAGGAUCAACAUGAGGUGCACAAGCGCCCUCCACCCUCGUCGAGCCCUCGUGUCCUUCCCGGACUGCUUCUUAUUUUUCUAUUUUUCUAAAUAUUCCAAAACAGAGAAAUAUUGCCUUAAAAACUAUUUUGGAGUCGGUUUACUUACCGUACCACAUACCUAUUCCUUUUCGUAGUCUAAAACGUUCCGGAAAGUGUCCCUUAUGUAUUCCUCUGUGGUUACGGUUUCAAUAACAUUGGUUUCAACAUUUAUGGGAUUACCUGAGAUAUAAUGUUUAAUUCUUUGACCGUUCACCACCUUCGGAUUUGUGCCUUCGAAGUUGUUGAUUUUUAUGGCACCGGAACGAUAGACCUCCUCGAUAACAUAAGGACCUUCCCAUUUAGAGAGAAGUUUUCCUGCAAAAAAUCUUAAAUGAGAGUUGUAUAGCAAUACAUAAUCACCUACAUUAAACUCACGCUUUUGUAUCCUUUUGUCAUGCCAUCUUUUAACUUUUUCUUUAAACAACUUGGCAUUUUCGUAGGCUUGGGUUCUCCAUUCAUCAAGUGAGCUAAUAUCAAAUAACCUCUUCUCACCAGCAAGUUUAAAAUCAUAAUUGAGUUCUUUAAUAGCCCAAUAAGCCUUGUGUUCUAGUUCGAGAGGUAAGUGACAUGCUUUUCCAUAGACCAUUUUAUACGGAGACGUACCCAUAGGGUUUUAUAUAUGCAGUUCUAUAGGCCCAUAAUGCAUCAUCAAGUUUCUUGGACCAAUUCUUUCUAGACCUAUUGACAGUCUUUUGCAAAAUUAAUUCGAGUUCUCUAUUACUCAAUUCUACUUGACCACUAGACUGAGGGUGAUAAGGGGAUGCAAUUCUAUGAUUAACGUCAUAUUUAGCAAGCAUUUUACGGAAAGCACCAUGAAUAAAAUGUGAACCACCAUCAGUCAUUAAAUAUCUAGGGACUCCAAACCUUGGAAAAAUAAUUUCUUUAAGCAUUUUAAUAGAAGUGUUAUGAUCAGCACUACUACUUGGAAUAAUUUCUACCCACUUAGUAACGUAAUCAACAACGACUAGAAUAUGUGUAUAACCAUUAGAGGAAGGAAAGGGUCCCAUAUGGUCAAAGCCCCAAACAUCAAAUGGUUCAAUAACAAGUGAAUAAUUCAUAGGCAUUUCUUGACGUCUACUAAUAUUACCAAUUCUUAGACAUUCAUCACAAGAUAAAACAAACUUACGGGCAUCCUUGAAGAGAGUAGGCCAAUAAAAACCAGAUUGCAAUACCUUAUGUGCAGUCCUAUCUCCAGCAUGGUGUCCUCCAUAAGCUUCGGAGUGACACUUGCGUAGGAUCUGUUCCUGUUCAUGCUCAGGUACACAACGUGUAAUAAUACCAUCUACUCCUUCUUUAUAAAGAUGUGGGUCAUCCCAAAAGUAAUGCCUCAAAUCAUAGAAGAACUUUUUCUUUUGCUGGUAUGUGAAACUAGGUGGUAUAAACUUAGCAACAAUGUAAUUAGCAUAAUCAACAUACCAUGGAGCAGUAUGAGAAGCAUUUAUAACAUUUAAUUUCUCAUCAGGAAAGCUAUCAUCAAUAGGAAGUGGGUCAUCAAGCAUAUUUUCUAACCUAAACAAGUUGUGUGCAACGGGGUUCUCAGCUCCCUUUCUAUCAACAAUAUGUAAGUCGAAUUCUUGUAGCAAGAGAAUGUUGGGGAACGUAGUAAUUUCAAAAAAAUUCCUACGCACACGCAAGAUCAUGGUGAUGCAUAUCAACGAGAGGGGAGAGUGUUAUCUACGUACCCUCGUAGAUCGCAACGGAAGCAUUGAUACAACGUAGAGGAAGUAGUCGUACGUCUUCUUCCCGAUCCGACCGAUCCAAGCACCGUUACUCCGGCACCUCCGAGUUCUUAGCACACGUUCAGCUCGAUGACGCUCCCCGGGCUCCGAUCCAGCAAAGCUUCGGGGAGGAGUUCCGUCAGCACGACGGUGUGGUGACGAUCUUGAUGUUCAACCGUCGCAAGGCUUCGCCUAAGCAAUGCAACAAUAUGAUCGAGGUGGAAUAUGGUGGCAGGGGGCACCGCACACGGCUAAGGAACGAUCAUGUGGAUCAACUUGUGUGUCUAGAGGUGCCCCCUGCCCCCGUAUAUAAAGGAUCCAAGGGGGGGGGGUGCGGCCGGCCAUAGGAGGCACGUAGGAGGAGUCCUACUCUUACCGGGAGUAGGACUCCCCCCCAAUCCUUGUCCUACUAGGAGAGGUGGAGGGAGAAUAGGAAAGGGGGGGGGGGGCGCCGCCCCUCCCUCCUUGUCCAAUUCGGACUAGGGGGAGAGGGGGCACGUGGCCUGCCCUGGCAGCCCCUUCCUCUUCUCCACAUUAGGCCCAUGAGGCCCAUUAACCCCCCGGGGGGUUCCGGUAACCCCCCCGGUGCUCCGGUUUUAUCCGAUACUCUUCCGGAACCCUUCCGGUGUCCGAAUAUAGUCAUCCAAUAUAUCAAUCUUUAUGUCUCGACCAUUUCGAGACUCCUCGUCAUGUCCGUGAUCACAUCCGGGACUUAGAACUAACUUCGGUACAUCAAAAUGCAUAAACUCAUAAUAACUGUCAUUGUAACGUUAAGCGUGCGGACCCUACGGUUCGAGAACAAUGUAGACAUGACCGAGACACGUCUCCGGUCAAUAACCAACAGCAGGACCUGGAUGCCCAUAUUGGCUCCUACAUAUUCUACGAAGAUCUUUAUCAGUCAGACCGCAUAACAACAUACGUUGUUCCCUUUGUCAUCGGUAUGUUACUUGCCUGAGAUUCGAUCGUCCGUAUCCAAUACCUAGUUCAAUCUCAUUACCGGCAAGUCUCUUUACUCGUUUCGUAAUACAUAAUCUCGCAACUAACUCAUUAGUUGCAAUGCUUGCAAGGCUUAUGUGAUGUGCAUUACCGAGAGGGCCCAGAGAUACCUCUCCGACAAUCGGAGUGACAAAUCCUAUUCUCGAAAUACGCCAACCCAACAUCUACCAUUAGAGACACCUGUAGAGCUCCUUUAUAAUCACCCAGUUACGUUGUGACGUUUGGUAGCACACAAAGUGUUCCUCCGGUAAACGGGAGUUGCAUAAUCUCAUAGUCAUAGGAACAUGUAUAAGUCAUGAAGAAAGCAAUAGCAACAUACUAAACGAUCGGGUGCUAAGCUAAUGGAAUGGGUCAUGUCAAUCAGAUCAUUCAACUAAUGAUGUGACCUCGUUAAUCAAAUAACAACUCUUUGUCCAUGGUUAGGAAACAUAACCAUCUUUGAUUAACGAGCUAGUCAAGUAGAGGCAUACUAGUGACACUCUGUUUGUCUAUGUAUUCACACAUGUAUUAUGUUUCCGGUUAAUACAAUUCUAGCAUGAAUAAUAAACAUUUACCAUGAUAUAAGGAAAUAAAUAAUAACUUUAUUAUUGCCUCUAGGGUAUAUUACCUUCAGAGAACCCAUCUAAUAAGUCUAGGUUUAGCAUCUUUUUUUUUCCAUAAGAUAUUUAAUAGUAGCAUGAUCAGUGUGAAUAGUUACUUUAGAAUCAACAAUGUAAGGUCUGAACUUAUCACAAGCAAAUACAACCGCUAAAAAUUCCUUUUCAGUAGUAGCAUAAUUUCUUUGAGCAUUGUCUAGGGUUUUACUAGCAUAUUGAAUAACAUUUAAUUUCUUAUCAACUCUUCGUCCUAGAACAACACCUACAGCGUAAUCACUAGCAUCACACAUAAUUUCAAAGGGUAAAUUCCAAUCAGGUGGCUGAACAAUGGGUGCAGAGAUCAAUGAUUUCUUAAGUAUUUCAAAUGCUUCUACACAAUCAUCAUCGAAAACAAAUGGAAUAUCUGUGUGUAAUAAAUUAGUCAGAGGCCGAUAAAUCUUUGAGAAGUCCUUAAUGAACCUCCUAUAAAAACUGGCAUGACCAAGGAAACUUCUUAUACCUUUGAUGUCCUUGGGACAUGGCAUCUUUUGAAUAGCGUCAACUUUGGCUUUAUCAACUUCAAUACCUCUUUCAGAAACUUUAUGCCCCAAGACAAUACCUUCAUUAACCAUAAAGUGGCACUUUUCCCAAUUCAAGACAAUAUUAGUUUCUUCACAUCUUUGCAAAACUCGAUCAAGGUUGCUCAAGCAAUCAUCAAAAGAAGAUCCAUAGAUGGAAAAGUUGUCCAUGAAAACCUCACAAAUCUUUUCACAAAAGUCAGAGAAUAUAGCCAUCAUGCAUCUUUGAAAGGUAGCAGGUGCAUUACAUAAACCAAAAGGCAUACAUCUAUAAGCAAAAGUACCAAAAGGACAUGUAAAAGUAGUCUUUGAUUGAUCUUUGGCUGACAUAGGUAUUUGAGAGAAACCAGAAUAACCAUCUAGAAAGAAAAAAUGUGUAUGUUUGGAUAAUCUUUCUAGCAUUUGAUCGAUAAAAAGGUAAGGGGUAAUGAUCCUUUUUAGUAGCCUUAUUUAAUUUGCGGAAAUUAAUUACCAUCCUAUAACCUGUAAUAAUUCUUUGAGGGAUCAAUUCAUCUCUAUCAUUAGGAACAACAGUAAUGCCUCCCUUCUUAGGGACACAAUGGACAGGACUUACCCACUGACUAUCAGCAACGGGAUAGAUUAUACCUGCCUCAAGGAGCUUUAGUAUUUCCUUUCUUACCACUUCUUUCAUUUUAGGAUUGAGCCGGCGUUGAUGAUCACGGACUGGUUUAGCAUCUUCUUCCAAAUUAAUUUUAUGUUGACAUAGAGUGGGACUAAUGCCCUUAAGAUCAUCAAGAGUAUACCCAAUAGCUGUUGGAAAUAUGCCCUAGAGGUAAUAAUAAAUUAGUUAUUAUUAUUAUAUUUCCUUGUUCAUGAUAAUCGUUUAUUAUCCAUGCUAAAAUUGUAUUGAUAGGAAACUCAGAUACAUGUGUGGAUACAUAGACAACACCAUGUCCCUAGUAAGCCUCUAGCUGACUAGCUCGUUGAUCAAUAGAUGGUUCCGGUUUCCUAACCAUGGACAUUGGAUGUCGUUGAUAACGGGAUCACAUCAUUAGGAGAAUGAUGUGAUGGACAAGACCCAAUCCUAAGCAUAGCACUAGAUCGUGUAGUUCGUAUGCUAAAGCUUUCCUAAUGUCAAGUAUCAUUUCCUUAGACCAUGAGAUUGUGCAACUCCCGGAUACCGUAGGAGUGCUUUGGGUGUGCCAAACGUCACAACGUAACUGGGUGACUAUAAAGGUGCACUACGGGUAUCUCCGAAAGUGUCUGUUGGGUUGGCACGAAUCGAGACUGGGAUUUGUCACUCCGUGUGACGGAGAGGUAUCUCUAGGCCCACUCGGUAGGACAUCAUCAUAAUGUGCACAAUGUGAUCAAGGAGUUCAUCACGGGAUGAUGUGUUACGGAACGAGUAAAGAGACUUGCCGGUAACGAGAUUGAACAAGGUAUCGGGAUACCGACGAUCGAAUCUCGGGCAAGUAUCGUACCGAUAGACAAAGGGAAUUGUAUACGGGAUUGAUCGAAUCCUUGACAUCGUGGUUCAUCCGAUGAGAUCAUCGUGGAACAUGUGGGAGCCAACAUGGGUAUCCAGAUUUCGCUAUUGGUUAUUGACCGGAGAACGUCUCGGUCAUGUCUGCAUGUCUCCCGAACCCAUAGGGUCUACACACUUAAGGUUCGAUGACACUAGGGUUAUAAAGGAAGUUUGUAUGUGGUUACCGAAUGUUGUUCGGAGUCCCGGAUGAGAUCUCGGACGUCACGAGGAGUUUCGGAAUGGUCCGGAGGUAAAGAUUUAUAUAUGGGAAGUCCUGUUUUGGUCACCGGAAAAGUUUUGGGGUUUAUCGGUAACGUACUGGGACCACCGGGAGGGUCCCGGGGGUCCACCAAGUGGGGCCACAAGCCCCGGAGGGCCACAUGGGCUGUAGGGGGUGCUCCUUGGCCUACAUGGGCCAAGGGCACCAGCCCCAAGAGGCCCAUGCGCCUAGGGUUUCAAGAAGGGAAGAGUCCCACAAGGGGAAGGCACCCCCUAGGUGCCUUGGGGGGGAGGGAAUCCUCCCUUGGCCGCCGCCCCCCUAGGAGAUUGGAUCUCCUAGGGCCGGCGCCCCCCCCUUGGCCCCCCUAUAUAUAGUGGGGGAGAUGGAGGACUUCUUACCUUUGCCUUUGGUGCAGCCCUUCCCCUCUCCCAAGUCCUUCUCCUCUCCCGUGGUGCUUGGCGAAGCCCUGCAGGAUUGCCACGCUCCUCCACCACCACCACACCGUUGUGCUGCUGCUGGAUGGAGUCUUCCUCAACCUCUGCCUCUCUCCUUGCUGGAUCAAGGCAUGGGAGACGUCAUCGGGCUGUAUGUGUGUUGAACGCGGAGGUGCCGUCCGUUCGGCACUAGGAUCUUCGGUGAUUUGGAUCACGACGAGUACGACCCCAUCAACCCCGUUCACUAGAACGCUUCCGCUUAGCGAUCUACAAGGGUAUGUAGAUGCACUCUCCUUCCCCUCGUUGCUGGUUUCUCCAUAGAUAGAUCUUGGUGACACGUAGGAAAAUUUUGAAUUUCUGCUACGUUCCCCAACAGUGGCAUCAUGAGCUAGGUCUAUUGCGUAGAUUCUAUGCAUGAGUAGAACACAAGUAGUUGUGGGCGUUGAUUUUGUUCAAUAUGCUUACCGUUACUAGUCCAAUCUUGAUUCAGCGGCAUCGUGGGAUGAAGCGGCCCGGACCGAACUUACACGUACUCUUACGUGAGACUGGUUCCACCGACUGACAUGCACUAGUUGCAUAAGGUGGCUAGCGGGUGCCUGUCUCUCCCACUUUAGUCGGAUCGGAUUCAAUGAAAAGGGUCCUUAUGAAGGGUAAAUAGAAAUUGGCAUAUCACGUUGUGGUCUUUGCGUAGGUAAGAAACGUUCUUGCUAGAAACCCAUAGCAGCCACGUAAAACAUGCAAACAACAAUUAGAGGACGUCUAACUUGUUUUUGCAGGGUAUGCUAUGUGAUGUGAUAUGGCCAAAGGAUGUGAUGAAUGAUAUAUGUGAUGUAUGAGAUGAUCAUGUUCUUGUAAUAGGAAUCACGACUUGCAUGUCGAUGAGUAUGACAACCGGCAGGAGCCAUAGGAGUUGUCUUUAUUUAUUUAUGACCUGCGUGUCAACAUUAACGUCAUGUAAUUACUUUACUUUUAUUGCUAACCGUUAGCUGUAGUAGUAGAAGUAAUAGAUGACGUGACAACUUCAUGAAGACACGACGAUGGAGAUCAUGAUGAUGGAGAUCAUGGUGUCAUGCCGGUGACAAGAUGAUCAUGGAGCCCCAAGAUGGAGAUCAAAGGAGCUAUAUGAUAUUGGCCAUAUCAUGUCACUAUUAUUUGAUUACAUGUGAUGUUUAUCAUGUUUUUGCAUCUUGUUUACUUAGAACGACGGUAGUAAAUAAUAUGAUCCCUCAUAAUAAUUUCAAGAAGGUGUUCCCCCUAACUGUGCACCGUUGCGACAGUUCGUUGUUUCAAAGCACCACGUGAUGAUCUAGUGUGAUAGAUUCUAACGUUCACAUACAACGGGUGUAAGACAGAUUUACACAUGCAAACACUUAGGUUGACUUGACGAGCCUAGCAUGUACAGACAUGGUCUCGGAACACAGAAGAUCGAAAGGUCGAGCAUGAGUCGUAUAGAAGAUACGAUCAACAUGAAGAUGUUCACCGAUGUUGACUAGUCCGUCUCACGUGAUGAUCGGACACGGCCUAGUUGACUCGGAUCAUGUAAUCACUUAGAUGACUAGAGAGAUGUCUAUCUGAGUGGGAGUUCAUAAGAUGAACUUGUUUAUCCUGAACAUAGUCAAAAGGUCUUCGCAAAUUAUGUCGUAGCUCGCGCUUCAGUUCUACUGUUUAGUUAUGUUCCUAGAGAAAAUUUAGUUGAAAGUUAAUAGUAGCAAUUAUGCGGACUAGGUCCGUAAACUGAGGAUUGUCCUCAUUGCUUCAUAGAAGGCUAAUGUCCUUAACGCACCGCUCAGUGUGCUGAACCUCGAACGUCGUCUGUGGAUGUUGCGAACAUCUGACAUACACAUUUUUGAUAACUACGUGAUAGUUCAGUUAAACGGUUUAGAGUUGAGGCACCAAAGACGUUUUGAAACAUCGCGAAACAUAUGAGAUGUUUCGAGGGCUGAAAUUGGGAUUUCAGGCUCGUGCCCACGUCAAGAGGUAUAAGACCUCCGACGAUUUUCUUAGCCUACAAACUAAGGGAGAAAAGCUCAAUUGUUGAGCUUGUGCUCAGAUUGUCCGAGUACAACAAUCAUUUGAAUCGAGUGGGAGUUGAUCUUCCAGAUGAGACAGUGAUGUUUCUCCGAAGUCAUUACCACCAAGCUGCUAGAGCUUCAUGAUGAACUAUAAUAUAUCAGGGGCAUAUAUGAUGAUCCUUGAGAUAUUCGUGAUGUUUGACAACACAAAAGUAGAAAUCAAGAAGGAGCAUCAAUUGUUGAUGGUUAGUGAAACCACUAGUUUCAAGAAGGGCAAGGGCAAAAGGGGAUGCUUCAUGAAACGGCAAAUCAGUUGCUGCUCUGGUGAAGAAACCCAAGGUUGAACCCAAACCCGAGACUAAGUGCUUCUGUAAUAAGGGGAACAACCACUGGAGCAGAAUUACCCUAGAUACUUGGUAGAUGAGAAGGCUGGCAAGGUCGAUAGAAGUAUAUUGGAUAUACAUUAUGUUAAUGUGUACUUUACUAGUACUCCUAGUAGCACCAGGGUAUUAGAUAUCGGUUCGGCUGCUAAGUGUUAGUAACUCGAAAUAAAAGCUACGGAAUAAACGGAGACUAGCUAAAGGUGAGCUGACGAUAUGUGUUGGAAGUGUUUCCAAUGUUGAUAUGAUCAAGCAUCGCACGCUCCCUCUACCAUCGAGAUUGGUGUUAAACCUAAAUAAUGGUUAUUUGGUGUUUGCGUUGAGCAUAGACAUGAUUGGAUUAUGACUAUCGCAAUACGGUUAUUCAUUUAAGGAGAAUAAUCGUUACUCUGUUUAUUUGAAUAAUACCUUCAAUGGUCUUACGCCUAAAAUGAAUGGUUCAUUGAAUCUCGAUCGUAGUUAUACACAUGUUCAUGCCAAAAGAUAGUAAUGAUAGUACCACCUACUUGUGGGACUGCAAAGUAAGUCAUAUCGGUAUAAAACGCAUGAAGAAGCUCCAUGUUGAUGGAUCUUUGGGCUCACUCGUUUUUGAAAAGUUUGAGACAUGCGAAUCAUGUCUAUUGGUGUUUAUGCAUGAAGAAACUCCAUGCAAAUGGACCGUUUGGACUCACUUGAUUUUUUGAAUCACUUGAGACAUGCAAAUCAUACCACAUGGGCAAGAUGACUGAAAGCCUCGGUUUCAGUAAAAUGGAACCAGAAAGCAACUUGCUGGAAGUAAUACAUUUUGAUGUGUGCAGUCCAAUGAGUGCUGAGGCGUGUAGUGGAUAUCGUUAUGUUCUUACUUCACAGAUGAUUUGAGUAGAUGUUGAGUAUAUUUACUUGAUGAAUCACGAGUCUGAAUUAUUGAAAGGUUCAAGUAAUUUCAGGGUGAAGUUGAAAGAUCGUCGUGACAAGAGGAUAAAAUAUCUAUGAUAUGAUCAUAGAGAUGAAUAUCUGAAUUACGAGUUUGGCACAGAAUUAAGACAUUGUGGAAAUUGUUUCACAACUAAUACAGCCUGGAACACCAUAGUGUGAUGGUGUGUCCGAACAUCAUAACUGCACCCUAUUGGAUAUGAUGCAUACCAUGAUGUCUCUUAUCGAAUUACCACUAUAGUUUAUGGGUUAGGCAUUAGAGACAACCACAUUCACUUUAAAUAGGGCACCACGUAAUUCCGAUGAGAUGACACCGUAUGAACUAUGGUUUAGAGAAACCUAAGCUGUCAUUCCUUAAAAGGUUUGGGGCUGCGACGCUUAUGUGAAAAAGUUUCAGGCUGAUAAGCUCGAACCCAAAGCGGAUAAAUGCAUCUUCAUAGGACACCCAAAACAGUUGGGUAUACCUCCUGUCUCAGAUCCGAAAGCAAUAAGGGAUUGUUUCUAGAAUCGGGUCCUUUCUCGAGGAAAAGUUUCUCUCGAAAGAAUUGAGUGGGAGGAUGGUGGAGACUUGAUGAGGUUAUUGAACCGUCUCUUCAACUAGUGUGUGACAGGGCACAGGGAGUUGUUCCUGUGGCACCUACACCAAUUGAAGUGGAAGCUUAUGAUAGUGAUCAUGAAACUUCAGAUCAAGUCACUACCAAACCUCGUGGGAUGACAAGGAUGCGUACUACUUCAGAGUGGUACGUAAUCCUGUCUUGGAAGUCAUGUUGCUAGACGACAAUGAACCUACAAACUAUGGAGAAGCGAUGGUGGGCCCGGAUUCCGAUAAAUGGCUCAAGGCCAUAACAUCCGAGAGAGGAUCCAUGUAUGAAAACAAAGUGUAGACUUUGGCAGAAUGGCUCGAUGGUCGUAAGGCUGUUGAGUACAGAUGGAUUUUAAAAGGAAGACGGAAAAUGAUGGUAAAUGUCACCAUUAAGAAAGCUCGACUUGUCAUUAAGAUGUUUUCCGACAAGUUCAAGGAGUUGACUACGAUGAGACUUUCUCACUCGUAGCGAUGCUAAGAGUCUGUUGGAAUUAUAUUAGCGAUUACUGCACUAUUUAUGAAAUCUUGCAGAUAGGAUGUCAAAACAUUGUUUCCUCGAUGAUUUUUGAGGAAAGGUUGUAUGUGAUACAACCGGAAGGUUUUGUCAAUCCUGAAAGAUGCUAAUAAGUAUGCAAAGCUCCAGCAAUCCUUCUAAGGACUGGAGUAAGCAUCUCGGAGUUGGAAUGUAUGCUUUGAUGAUGAUCAAAGAUUUUGGGUGUAUACAAAGUUUAUGAGAAACUUGUAUUUCCAAAGAAGUGAGUGGGAGCACUAUAGAAUUUCUGAUAAGUAUAUGUUGUUGACAUAUUGUUGAUCAGAAAUGAUGUAGAAUUUCUGGAAAGCAUAUAGGGUUAUUUGGAAAGUGUUUUUCAAUGGAAAGCCUGGAUUAAGCUACUUGAACAUUGAGCAUCAAGAUCUAUAAGGAUAGAUCAAAACGCUUAAUGGUACUUUCAAAUGAGCACAUACCUUGACGUGAUCUUGAAGGUGUUCAAGAUGGAUCAGUCAAAGAAGGAGUUCUUACCUGAGUUGUAAGGUAUGAAGUUAAGACUUAAAGCUCGACCACAGCAGAAUAGAGAGAAAGGACGAAGGUCGUCCCCUAUGCUUAAGACAUAGGCUCUACAGUAUGCUAUGUUGUGUACCGCACCUGAAGUGUGCCUUGCCAUGAGUCAGUCAAGGGGUACAAGAGUGAUCCAAGAAUGGAUCACAGGACAGUGGUCAAAGUUAUCCUUAGUAACUAGUGGACUAAGGAAUUUUCUCGAUUAUGGAGGUGGUAAAAGAGUUCGUCGUAAAGGGUUACGCCGAUGCAAACUUUGACACUAAUCCAGAUUAUUCUGAGUAGUAAACUGGAUUCGUAUAGUAGAACAGUUAUUUGGAAUAGCUCCAAAUAGAACGUAGUAGCUGCAUCUAGGAGAUGACAUAGAGAUUUGUAAAGCACACACGGAUCUAAAAGGUUCAGAUCCGUUGACUAAAACCUCUCUCACAAGCAAAACAUGAUCAAACCCAGAACUCAUUGAGUCUUAAUCACAUGAUGAUGUGAACUAGUUUAGUGACACUAGUAAACUCUUUGGAUGUUGGUCACAUGGCGAUGUGACCUGUGAGUGUUAAUCACAUGGCGAUGUGAACUAGAUUACUGACUCUAGUGCAAGUGGGAGACUGUUGGAAAUAUGCCCUAGAGGCAAUAAUAAAUUAGUUAUUAUUAUUAUAUUUCCUUGUUCAUGAUAAUCGUUUAUUAUCCAUGCUAGAAUUGUAUUGAUAGGAAACUCAGAUACAUGUGUGGAUACAUAGACAACACCAUGUCCCUAGUAAGCCUCUAGUUGACUAGCUCGUUGAUCAAUAGAUGGUUACGGUUUCCUAACCAUGGACAUUGGAUGUCGUUGAUAACGGGAUCACAUCAUUAGGAGAAUGAUGUGAUGGACAAGACCCAAUCCUAAGCAUAGCACUAGAUCGUGUAGUUCGUAUGCUAAAGCUUUCCUAAUGUCAAGUAUCAUUUCCUUAGACCUUGAGAUUGUGCAACUCCUGGAUACCGUAGGAGUGCUUUGGGUGUGCCAAACGUCACAACGUAACUGGGUGACUAUAAAGGUGCACUACGGGUAUCUCCGAAAGUGUCUGUUGGGUUGGCACGAAUCGAGACUGGGAUUUGUCACUCCGUGUGACGGAGAGGUAUCUCUGGGCCCACUCGGUAGGACAUCAUCAUAAUGUGCACAAUGUGAUCAAGGAGUUCAUCACGGGAUGAUGUGUUACGGAACGAGUAAAGAGACUUGCCGGUAACGAGAUUGAACAAGGUAUCAGGAUACCGACGAUCGAAUCUCGGGCAAGUAUCGUACCGAUAGACAAAGGGAAUUGUAUACGGGAUUAAUCGAAUCCUCGACAUCGUGGUUCAUCCGAUGAGAUCAUCGUGGAACAUGUGGGAGCCAACAUGGGUAUCCAGAUCCCGCUGUUGGUUAUUGACCGGAGAACGUCUCGGUCAUGUCUGCAUGUCUCCCGAACCCGUAGGGUCUACACACUUAAGGUUCGAUGACGCUAGGGUUAUAAAGGAAGUUUGUAUGUGGUUACCGAAUGUUGUUCGGAGUCCCGGAUGAGAUCCCGGACAUCACGAGGAGUUUCGGAAUGGUCCGGAGGUAAAGAUUUAUAUAUGGGAAGUCCUGUUUUGGUCACCGGAAAAGUUUCGGGGUUUAUCGGUAACGUACCGGGACCACCGGGAGGGUCCCGGGGGUCCACCAAGUGGGGCCACAAGCCCCGGAGGGCCACAUGGGCUGUAGGGGGUGCUCCUUGGCCUACAUGGGCCAAGGGCACCAGCCCCAAGAGGCCCAUGCACCUAGGGUUUCAAGAAGGGAAGAGUCCCACAAGGGGAAGGCACCCCCUAGGUGCCUUGGGGGGGAGGGAAUCCUCCCUUGGCCGCCGCCCCCCUAGGAGAUUGGAUCUCCUAGGGCCGGCGCCCUCCCCCCCCUUGGCCCCCCUAUAUAUAGUGGGGGAGAUGGAGGACUUCUUUGCUUUGCCUUUGGUGCAGCCCUUCCCCUCUCCCAAGUCCUUCUCCUCUCCCGUGGUGCUUGGCGAAGCCCUGCAGGAUUGCCACGCUCCUCCAUCACCACCACGCCGUUGUGCUGCUGCUGGAUGGAGUCUUCCUCAACCUCCCCCUCUCUCCUUGCUGGAUCAAGGCAUGGGAGUCGUCAUCGGGCUGUACGUGUGUUGAACGCGGAGGUGCCGUCCGUUCGGCACUAGGAUCUUCGGUGAUUUGGAUCACGAUGAGUACGACUCCAUCAACCCCGUUCACUUGAACACUUCCGCUUAGCGAUCUACAAGGGUAUGUAGAUGCACUCUCCUUCCCCUCGUUGCUGGUUUCUCCAUAGAUAGAUCUUGGUGACACGUAGGAAAAUUUUGAAUUUCUGCUACGUUCCCCAACAAUAGCAGCACGGUGCUUCUUCAGAGUUUUCAAUAAUCUCUCUUCCUCAUGCUCUGAAAGGUUAGCACUAAUAAUAACAGAAUAUAUCUUUUUCUCAUCAAGAUAAGCAUAUUUAAGAGUAUCAGGCAACGGUUUAAGCUCAAACACGGGAUCACCCUUGGGUGGAGGAGGAUCCCCUAAGAUUUGAACAGGCAAAUUGUGUUUCAGAAUAGGUUCCUGUUUAAAGAAUACUUCAUCUAAUUCCCUUCUUUCAUUCAUAAACAUGUCAUUUUCAUGGUCUAGCAAGUAUUGUUCUAAAGGAUCACUAGGAGGUAAGGCAAUAGAAGCAAGACCAAUAAUUUCAUCCUUACUAGGUAAUUCUUCUUCACGGUGUUGUCUACUAAAUUUAGAGAAAUUAAAUUCAUGAGUCAUAUCAUCUAAACCGAUAGUAACAACAUCCCUUUUGCAACCUAUGGUAGCAUUAACAUUAUUUAAGAAGGGUCUACCAAAUAUAAUGGGACAAAAGCUAUCUUGUGGGGAACCAAGAACAAGAAAAUCAGCAGGAUAUUUAGUUUUCCCACACAAGACUUCAACACCCCUAACAAUUCCCAUUGGUGAAAAGUAUCUCUAUUGGCAGGUUUAAUUAUGACAUCAAUAUCUUUCAUCUCAGCAGGUGCAAUAUCAUGCAUAACUUCUUUGUAUAAGGAAUAAGGUAUUGCACUAGCACUAGCACCCAUAUCACAUAAGCCAUGAUAACAAUGAUAUCCUAUUUAACAGAAAUAACGGGCAUGCCUACCACAGGUCUAGGUUUAUCUUUAUCACAGGGUUUAGCAAUUCUAGCAAUUUCAUCACAGAAAUAAAUAACAUGCCCAUCAAUAUUAUCAGACAAGAGAUCUUUAACAAUAGCAAUAUUAGGUUCAACUUUAACUUGCUCAGGAGGUGUAUAUGUUUUAAUAUUGCUUUUACGAACCACAGUUGAAGCUUUAGCAUGAUCCUUUAUCCUAACAAGAAAAGGUGGUUUCUCAACAUAAGAAGUAGGAACAAUAGGAUCAUUAUAAGUGACAAUCUUUUCUUCAACUUUAAUAGGUGCAAAUACUUUUACUUCUAUGGGAGGAUGAUAUUUAAACCACCUCUCCUUGGGGAGAUCAACAUAAGUAGCAAAGGAUUCACAGAAAGAAGCUACUAUCUCAGAGUCAAGUCCAUAUUUAGUGCUAAAUUUACGAAAAAUAUCGGUAUCCAUAAAAUAUUUGACACAAUCAAAACUAGGUGUCAUACCUAACUCCUUACCAUUGUCGAGGUCCCAAUCUUCAGAGUUGCGUUUAAUUAUUUCCAAUAAAUUCCAUUUGAAUUCAAUAGUCUUCAUCAUAAAAGAGCCAACACAAGAAGUAUCAAGCAUGGUGCGAUUGUUAUCAGAAAGCCGAGCAUAAAUUUUUUGAAUAAUCAUUUCUCUUGAGAGCUCAUGAUUGGGGCAUGAAUAUAACAUUGACUUAAGCCUCCCCCAAGCUUGAGCGAUGCUUUCUCCUUCGCGAGGCCAAAAAUUAUAUAUGUAAUUGCGAUCACGAUGAACAAGAUGCAUAGGAUAAAACUUCUGGUGAAAUUCCAAUUUCAAUCGUUUGUAAUUCCAAGACCCCAUAUCAUCACAUAGCCUAUACCAUGUCGAUGCAUCUCCCUUCAAAGAUAAAGGGAAGACCUUCUUCUUAACAACAUCUCCAGGUACACCUGCAAGCUUAAAUAAUCCACAAACUUCAUCCACAUAUAUUAGAUGCUCAUCAGGAUGUUUUGUUCCAUCUCCUAAAAAAGGAUUAGCUAGCAAUUUUUCUAUCAUACCCGAAGGAAUUUCAAAGUAGGCAUUUUCAUUUUCAUUUUCAUUUUCAGUAGGUUGAGUAGGUUGAGGAGCAACUCUUUGCUCUACUGGUCGGGGUGAAGAUACCCCGAACAAGCCCCUCAGAGGAUUACUUUCCAUAGUAACAAGUGACAGUAAAUUUCAGCACACUAUAUAAAUUUUUCCUUACCAAAUUCCACCUACCAAAGGUGCUUCACUCCCCAGCAACGGCGCCAGAAAAGUGUCUUGAUGACCCACAAGUAUAGGGGAUCUAUCGUAGUCCUUUCGAUAAGUAAGAGUGUUGAACCCAACGAGGAGCAGAAGGAAAUGAUAAGCGGUUUCCAGCAAGGUAUUCUCUACAAGUACUGAAAUAAGUGGUAAUAGAUAGUUUUGUGAUAGGAUAAUUUGUAACGAGCAACAAGUAACAAAAGUAAAUAAAGUGCAGCAAGGUGGCCCAAUCCUUUUUGUAGCAAAGGACAAGCCUAAACAAACUCUUAUAUGAUGUAAAGUGCUCCCAAGGACACAUGGGAAUAUUGUCAAGCUAGUUUUCAUCACGUUCAUAUGAUUCGCGUUCGGUACUUUGAUAAUUUGGUAUGUGGGUGGACCGGUGCUUGGGUGCUACCCUUACUUGGACAAGCAUCCCACUUAUGAUUAACCUCUAUUGCAAGCAUCCGCAACUACAACAAAAGUAUUAAGGUAAACCUAACCAUAGCAUGAAACAUAUGGAUCCAAAUUAGCCCCUUACGAAGCAACGCAUAAACUAGGGUUUAAGCUUCUAUCGCUCUAGCAACCCAUCAUCUACUUAUUACUUCCCAAUGCCUUCCUCUAGGCCCAAAUAAUGGUGAAGUGUCAUGUAGUCGACAUUCACAUAACACCACUAGAGGAGAGACAACAUACAUCUCAUCAAAAUAUCGAACGAAUACCAAAUUCACAUGACUACUAAUAGCAAGACUUCUCCCAUGUCCUCGGGAACAAAAGUAACUACUCACAAAGCAUAAACAUGUUCAUAAUCAGAGGGGUAUUAAUAUGCAUAUAGGAUCUGAACAUAUGAUCUUCCACCAAUUAAACCAACUAGCAUCAACUAUAAGGAGUAAUUAACACUACUAGCAACCUACUAGCACCAAUCCCGGACUUGGAGACAAGAAUUGGAUACAAGAGAUGAACUAGGGUUUUGAGAGGAGAUGGUGCGGAUGAAGAUGUUGAUGGAGAUUGCCCUCUCCCGAUGAGAGGAGCGUUGGUGAUGACGAUGGCGAUGAUUUCCCCCUCCGGGAGGGAAGUUUCCCCGGCAGAACAGCUCCGCCAGAGCCCUAGAUUGGUUCCGCCAAGGUUCCGCCUCGUGGCGGCGGAGUUUCAUCCGAGAAGAUGGCUUAUGAUUUUUUUCCAUCGAAAGACUCCAUAUAGCAGAAGAUGGCCACCAGAGGGCCACCAGGGGGCCCAUGAGGUAGGGGGCGCGCCCAGGGGGUAGGGCGCGCCCCCACCCUCAUGGGCAGGGUGUGGCCCCCCUGGUGAAGUUCUUGCUCUCAAUAUUUUUUAUAUAUUUGGAAAACAUCUUCCGUGAAGUUUCAGGACUUUUGGAGCUGUGCAGAAUAGGUCUCUAAUAUUUGCUCCUUUUCCAGCCCAGAAUCCCAGCUGCCGGCAUUCUCCCUCUUUAUGUAAACCUUGUAAAAUAAGAGAGGAUAGGCAUAAGUAUUGUGACAUAAUGUGUAAUAACAGCCCAUAAUGCAAUUAAUAUCGAUAUAAAAGCAUGAUGCAAAAUGGACGUAUCAGGAGGCGUGCGAGUAGCUGUGUGAAACUUUGGUAGACAUGCCAGCAGUCCGGUGCGCAGGCUCACCGGGAGGCGAGCCAUCGGUUUGACCGUCGCCCGCCUCUCCCCCACAACUCCCACUACUCCAUAUUAAUGGUGUGACCGAGCGGCCGCACCCCCCAUCAUCGCUACACACACACAAUCCUUUCUCUCUGCUUGCAACCUCGACGCUGCUCUCAGUGCUCAAAGCCAUCAGUGUAUGAGGAUGCCACCGAAGCGCCCCAUCAGAGGGAGUGGCGACGCCGGGGCUGCUAAAGCACCGGAGCACGGCGUGGAGAUGGAGACAGAGGUUGUCGUCACCGCCGGCGAGUUAUCGCUGCACCCUGACGUCGUCGAGCUUCCACAGCCGGAGGCGGAGUUCCACACCAACUCCGACGACGACUCCGACGACCACUCCGGCAAUGACUCCGACAACCACUCUGGCGACGACUCCAACGACGACAGAUAGCUGGUUAGUCAUCUAUACCCAUUUAUGUGUCAAAUAGAUCAUAGGGUUUCUCUGGUUACUCAUGCCUCCUCCUUUUUGGAAUAGAAAUCAUGUGGUUAUGUUCUCCCAAUCCAUGAAAUCUGAGUAAAUUUUGUUAGAUCCGUGUAGUGUAUUGAUUGUUUAAAUGUUACAGGUGAUAAGUGAUUAGUUGUUUCAUCUGUGCAAAUAAUUUCUGCUAGUAAUCCGACUAGGGUUAGUGUUCGUGCUAAUAAUUCCUAGCCAGGACUUGACAAUUGAUUUGGAAUGACCUACAUAUGUUUGUGCCAUUAUUUUCUUCAAGAUUGGUCUGUACAUAGAUGACUGUGCUUAAAAAUUGAAUCAUAAUCUCUGAAUAUGUAUAAAUAAAUAGCCAUAAAUUCCUAAUCCUACUUCACGACAUGUAAUCAGUGAUUUGAUGCUAAAUUUGUUUUACUAUAUGUAUAGGUGCUUUCUGACGAUGUGGACAGCGUGGAUGAAGAUGCCCAGAGGAGGUACAAGAGGCGAAUCCCGAGGGAGCUUUAUGCGGGAAUGCAUAGGAGGCGUAUUAGGACAUGGAACGACGACUAUGGAUGCCCAUUUUGCAACCACAAGGUUCAUGACGCGUAUCUAAGUGUUCUUUCGCAUGCAAGAGGAUGGGCCGUUGGCUCCUUCAAGCAGAAGUAUUCUCGCUGGGUGGCGCACGACGCGUACGCCGAGUACCUGGAGAAGCUUCAGGAUCGUGCCGGCCGCAUGUGAGAUGAGAUGUGGGAUGGACCGAACUAUGUACGCUUGAGUAUGCUUUAUGACGGUUGAACCAUGUACUUAUGAUUGAACUAUGCUUAUGUACGUGUACGCUUAUUAUCUAUGUCUGAGUAUGUUAAAUAUUUCUCCAAAUUUUGGUAAAAAUUACAACGGGUGACCAAUAAACUCGGACAGAGGUAGUACGUCAAUCACACACAGUUCCCAAAAUUGGAACCAUGUGCAAUGACUAUCAUUUUGCCUGCUGCGUCAAUCACACACGGUUCGCUCCAGCAAACCGUCGCCCCCAAAAUUCUUUGUGGGACAGAAAACCCUCACCACCCAAUUCAAAAAAUAAAAAAAGAAAAUCAUCACCAUCCCCACGUCACAAAAACCCUCACCCCGCCCGCCACCCACCUCGGCCCCUCCGGUACGUUCCCCAUUCACACCUACAGAAGCUCCUACACGUCUAUGCCAUGGCACCGCCUAUCGCGGUGGUAAACACUUAGCUCGACGCCUGCCGCCGUCGCCAGGCUGCUGGCAAAGCCCACUGUAUUUCGCCACUUCCGCUUGCCACCGCCUAUCGCCAUCGACUUUCUCGACACUGCUCGCGGUCGACCCAGCUCCGCUCGGUUGGGGAAUCUGUAGUACUGAGGGUUCUUUCUCAUGGACGACAAGGUAACUUGUUUAACGAGAUAUUAUCUCAUCUCUUGUCCCAGUUCAUCUGCCUCCUUUAAUCACCCGGUGGAAAUCGCUGUGAAUUCAUUUUUAUCCGAGUUGAUUUGAGGGUUUUCUUUCAUUCAUAUAAUGUACAGUGCACCAAUACUUCAGGACUUGGCGACCGCCGCCAGAGAUUCCAUCUCAUCGUACAAGAUAACUUGAGGAUGUGCGCCAUAUGUUCAAUCUCACCCUAAAUCAGUUGGCAUGGCCUACUUUCCUGAACAUAUUCUAAAUAUUGCUACAUUUGGAUAAAAGGUGCCACAUGCACCAUAUACGUCAAAGGGGAUUCCCCCCUCUUCUUUGUAUAUUAGGCAAAUUAAUGAUGUAUUGUUCAUUCGAUUAUUCUCAUAUUUCCAUGACAUCAUGUUUACCCUAUCUGUUUAAUUAUAGACUUUUUUCCUUCGAUUUCAACUGUUGUACAGUUCUUUCAAUUUGGGCCCAUAUUUGCAUGUUACCAUAUUUUAUUUAACAACCCCACCAUUUUCUGUAGGACAUCCCUCGCUAUGCAAUAGAUUAUGUAGUGCACAAUUUUUCCCUUUACAUACUUCAAGGCUCCACGAAUGUCAUACUGCGCACAAACCAUGGAUUUACAAUCGUUGCUACUGUAAGACUUGAUGAACGUGGUGACUCCUAUUUUGGCACUGGCUUUUGGAAUGAAAUUGCAAAGUUUUAUGUACUGAAAGCUGGCACUAAAAUUGUACUGCACAUAGAAGGGUCUGGUCCUGAGAUAUAUGCUAACUUCCCCGACAAAAUCAUCCGUCCAUACUUUGUUCGAAGUAAGUUUUCUUUUCAACUAUCUGCAUAUGUUGACUUACCCAGCAAUGUCAAAUGAAUUGUGUAGUAUUUAAGUAACUAAUUACUAUUCCCUUAUCUUACUAUAUUCCUACCUAAUAACUUCUAGUUGCCAAUACACUUUUCUAUUGCCCUGUUUUAACUAAAUAUUCCUUGUACUCCCAUUUCUAUUAGAAAACGCCGCUGACAAGGAGACUCCGGAGGUGGAGAACGGGGCUGCCAACAAGCGAAGGCGGGGCGAGCUAGAACCGCAAGAGACUCCAACAGGCCUAGACUUAAUCAGCACCCUCCCCGAUGAUAUGUUGAGAGUCAUCAUCUCCCUCCUCCCAAUCAAAUAUGGGGUGCGGACAACCCUUAAAAAGGGCUGGCCCGUUAAAAGGACGCUUACUUUGCGAACGAAGUUCAGAAUCAACAAGGGUUCUCCGAACGAAGGGAGUGUACAACUGGGGCGCAGCCCAACUUUUUUGUUGGAGAGAUAGAAUGGAGUUCUUCACGAAGUUUGAGACAAAGGAAAUAAUCAAAGUUUCUCUAUAGCCUCUUCGUUUUGAGACAUUAUGGCUUUGGGGUCGACCCCCCGAGGAUGCUUGGAGCGGGAGGGCGGGGGAUCGGCAUGGAGUAAGCAUGCACAACCCCCAUCCAGGGAUUAUACCCCGAGAGCCAUGGCGGAGGAGGGGCGGCCGCGGUUGCAGCGGGAGGACGCGGCGCCGAGUUGGUGUUGCGGCCGCAAGCCCCGCGGCCCUUCUGCUUGCGUCCACCGGUGGGCGCGGGCGCGGGUGGCGGGGUCGGAGGAGGCGCACGUGGUGCUGGCGGAGUUGGCGGAGCGUCGUGGCCAGCGGCGAGACCGACGUGGAGGGCGGCGUGGGUCGCCUGCCGAGCGGUGUGACGGAGACGCUUUUCCUCCAUGCGAAGAUAAGUGACCGCCUUCGCGUAUGUCGAUGUGACGAGGGAGAGGUUGGCGGCGGACUGGCCAAGGUCGGGGUGGAGGCCGCGGAGGAGGUUGGUGAGGAGGACGGAGUCGUCGAUGGUCAUGCCAACGUCGCGUAGUUCAUCGGCGAGGACCUUCAGCCGCGUGCAGUACUCAUCGAUCGAAAGAUCGUUUUGCUGCAUAGUGAAGAACUCCCCUUGAAGAAAGACGCGGCGCUGGAGUUGAUUGUCGAGGAAGAGAUCACAAAGGCGUGUCAACAUAGCAUGCGCGGACGGAUCACAGGCGUUCACCAUGUUGAAGAGGCCGCCGGAGAUGGUGAGGAAGAGCCACUUGACGAUGUAGGCGUCCACAGCAAGCCACUCGUCGUCGUCCUUCAUGUCGCGGAAGUCGACACUCCCAUCAACAUGCUCGAUGAGACGGUAAGAGCGGAACAACAACGCGAAGUAGGUGCGCCAUGCGUUGUAGGACGGCGAGUCGAGGUCGAGGAUGACCGGUACGUGGUCUUUGAUGUGAAGUUCGUUGAGGCGGUCGGAGGUGAACAUGGCACCGGAGAAGGAACCGGCGUCGGAUGCAUCAGCCUUGGCCAUGGUGGCGUCGGGUGGUUUGGGUUUGGGUGCGGCGGCGGCGGCUACAGAAGAUAGAUGGGAGCGGCGGCGACUGUUAGGGUUUGGGGAGGAGUGUGGCGGCGGUAGGGAGAAGAAGGGAAGCUGCGGCGGCGGCUACGGGAGAGGUGGCAGCGGUGGCAGCAGCGUGAGGGGUUUGGGGAGGAGUGGGCGGCGGCGGUGGCUACGGGAAAAGCAGUGACGGCGGCGGCGGUAGGGUUUGGAGUUGGCGCGGCAGCAGCGACUAAAGGAAGGCGCGGCGGCUGCAGGUUGUGGAAGCGAGAAAAGAUCGCGGUAAAACUGAUACCAUGUAGAGAGAAUAUUUGGUGCAACUCAAUUGUAUUCCAGGGAGUCGGUCACAAUAUAUACACAUGAUGUCUUGCGUGACAAGGAAACUAAUCCUACCAUAUCUCUAGGAAUCAACUAUACAAGGCUAGAGAAGAUAGGAUAAGCUAUACAAAUAUGUCACGUUCAAUAGGAUGUAAAGCACUAGAAAACUUGAAAGAUGUGAUAUUGGUUUGGUAUGAUUAUCUACUAAUCACAUAAGUACUAUAGGGGUCAGCCUCUUUCCCACCAUCAGAACUCUACUUACUACACCUGUUAUGGAUAUUAUGUUUUCUGACUAGGUGACAGACACCUUAUUCCUUUUGUGUGCUUCAACAACCUAUAAUGCAGUGCUCUCCAAUUAAUCAAUCAAACUUCAAAGAUAAGCUCUUUAUCUUGCUUCUUGCUAUAAUUUAUGCAAUUAUGUGUCAGUUAUGCUGAUAAGGGGAAACGGUCCCUGCAAGGCGGUAGCCAUGGGGUGCAGGAUACACUUUGCUACUGCCAUUGUGUAACUGGAAGCUGACACGCCGGUGUGAGGGCUUCUACUUCGCGGUGCUCCGCGGGGCGGCAGUUUGGUUGGGUGUUUAUACUUUAAAUUUGUAAUCAGCACCUUCCAUUACAAUGGUGAGUUGCGCAUACGCAAGCAGUCUACUGUGAGAUGCAUAUUAAUUUGUUUUUGCAGGUUGAUAUGAAAAAUAUAUCUUCAUUUGUGGAUGUGCCUUCUCUGACAUGGGGAAGAUUUGUCUCGGAAAGUCUAUAUGAUUGGCAAUAAUAAAAUCUCUACUUUUUGGAACGACCCUUCUUUUAUUUAAUAUGCUUCCAUAGCGUGUCUGAAAGUAUGUGCCCUGUGCAAGACAUAGCCACUGUCUUUUUCGUUUUGGAAGAAUAAUAUUUCAUGAAUUGUGUGAUUAUGCUUUGAUGAAUGCUCUCGAGGAAUCAAGCUUGCUUGAAGAUGUAAGUUUAUUUGAUGGUCUUGUGACACUUAUGAAUUUUUAUAUAUACGCUCAUAUACUAAACGUAACUUUGGAUAACUUCCUACUGAUACUGCGAAUGAUGAUCUGCCUUACACUAGAAUUUAUUGGGAGGUUGCCAAUGCCAUUGGUUUCACUCAUCUCACUGAAGCUCAAUUGGUUCAGGUCACAAACUUGUUUGCAUGUUUUGGUUUCUUUACUGGCUAUCUUAUUCAAGAUCAUCUUUAUUUUAAUCGAUGCUUCCAGGAGGUCAGCUUUGUUGUUCAGUCUACUGGAGUAGAUCCUACACUGCAGUUUUUCCUUCCCAUUUUGUCAACUUCAAAACCUAGCUAAUAUAUCUUGUCAGGUUCUCUGGGAGCCCAUGAACAAAUAGGCAAGCAAUAAAAAGUUGUUCAAAAUGAACAAUGUUAGCCUGUGAUUUGUUUGCAUCAGAAGUUUUGUUUAAAGAAUUCCUUCUUUGAUGAUUUAUAACAGGAAACAUGGCAUAAAAAUGGAAAACGGUGCGGCGAAGCGCACAUUUUCUUCUAGUAUUAUUGAAAUGCUACAGAUCGUGAAAAAACCGAUAUUUUGAUUAUAUUUACAAUUGCAAGUACAAAACUUGAUAUUAGUCAAAUAAAACAAUCUUCGGUAAAAAUUAGCAGCAACAACCUAGUAUGAUAAGUUAAAAUGAAUAAACAACGAGGAAUAUACCUCAAGUGUAACAACAUGAUCCAUUAUGCGUGGCCUUGCUGCAGUGUAGUCCAUAGGUGAAUCAACCUUCUCUGGAAUCAGUUUCUCAUCCCAAGUGAUAAAAUAGAGGUCACCAUCCAAAUCGCCCCCGGAGCAUUCAUUUGGAUGAGGCCUGAUUAACAUCAAAGAUUAAAGUCUAUAUGAACGAGGACUAUUAAACAUCAAAGAUUAAUUGAAGGAGAAAGCAAGCAUUGUCAACGUCCAUCAAUAGGUAGAGAUGUAAGUACGUAACAUGAGGGGAUAUCAAUCUGACAUGGAAACGAACAUGCUGACAAACACUUCAAUAGAGAUUUGAGCUCCUCUGAAAGCAUUGCCAGAGCAAUAUAAACUCUAGAUGACCGUCUUUCAGUUUCAGUAUAACAUACGACAUUACCUUUCUCCUCUUUGGGGGAAGACAACACAAUCAACCAGGUUCUUAGCGUACAAACCAUGGUCAUAGAUAGCUUCAAGUACUCUGAUGUCACUAGGAUGGAGACAAGGAUUUCUCGAUACUGCAACUUUUCCAACAACAACUGCUGUUUUCUCUUUUCCAUUAUCUUCAGCAAAAUAUGGCUGACAAUUAUCCUUCUGCUCUUUGCUGUUCUUUGUAAUUCUGAUGUACACUUGACCGUAUUCUAAUUCACCUGUUUCAUCCAAACAACCAUUAAGAACACGGCCUUUCGGAACAUGAAUCUUACAUCUAGUUCUUAUGUCAGUCAGCCUAUUAUCCUGAUGGGCCUUAAGAAUCAUCAACAGGUAAGGCUCUAAACUUGGUUCAUAGCCUUGCAGUAAAAUUUUCGAUGCUGUCUUUGUUUCUGCACUACCAAUUUUCCCCAGAACAGAGAGAGCAACUUCUCUGUUGGUCAGCAUUUCAUCUAACUCACGCAUAUCAUUCUGUUGCAUAGACUCAAAUAUCUCAUCUCUUAUCCCCAAAGUUGAAAGGAGAGAGAUAACUUCACGAUUCAUAUAGCAUGGUUGGGAUUUGCGGGUACUUGUAAUGUUAAACAUCCUGCUCUUUGAUUCAAAUUUCUUCAUACUAGGUCGCAGAGAAAGAUUACGAAAGGAAUCAGGGUUGACAGCAACAACUCCUUUGUAGCCAUCAUACCUUAUUUGAAAAGCUGAAGGAGGGUUAGUAUAGUCUAAUCCAAUUCGGCAAGCCAUUUCUUUAGCAAGUCUCUCAGAGAUCUUCCCGAUACCAUCAGAAAAUAUGUAUUUACUGCCAUCAGUUGUGACUUCAAUAUCUGGAAUCUCUUCUACAUCCCGUGGUAGGAUUUCAAGUGUUUGUCUGGAGGAGCUGAACAACUGGCCCAUUCUAGCCGCACACUUAGAUACUGAACGAAUAUCUUCAAAGUUGUCCAUCCACCUUCUUAUAUCCUCGGCCUUCAGGGAGUCAUUAGAAGCAAACAUCCAAAUAGAACUUCCACGAAGCUGACUUGCUGAGAAGGCCAGGAAUUCAUACUUCUUUGGACCAAUGGAAAAUCCUUCUUUAAGGAUGGAUAAAAUACGAUGAUAUAGGCCAGUUUUCAAGGGUUGAGAAAAGAACCCUCGUCCAGUUCUAGCUGAGAUAGCAUCUGGAAAAAGCUUACUCCAGUCUUCGUCUACAAAAGUAACUCUAGCAAAGUCAGAAGCAUACUGUUUGUGAUGCUUAACCACAUAACUUGAUACUUCUUCCUCAGGUCCCAAGCAGUAUAUUUUGGAUGGAGUGAUGUGAAUUCUGUAACACAUCAUUAACUUUCCUUCACCUUCAGUCUUACUGGAAAGCAAACCAUCAUGGCUCCUCUUCCUGCUAUGAGCCUCCUACUGGAUGAAUUGCAAAGGUUCAUAGCAUGUAAAGUCUAACUUGCUCAUUUUCUCAAAAAUCCUCCUUGAAAUAUGAACUGGUAUUUCUUCAAGAGCUUUAAACAGAUCAGCAUUAACAUCCUUGGCAACUAUCUUCCCCAUGUGAACAAGAGAAUUGAGACGAAAAAGAACUUCAUAUGACACUGAACAACCACUUGGGCAGUCAACAAGGGGAACGACUUUGGACGACGGGCCAAAAAAUUCCAUUGAAGAAAUGACCAAUUCCCCUAAUUCUCCUGACAAAGGCAAGCUGUUGAGAAUAAAUGACACCGGUGCACCUUCAUCAAGUACGAGGGCAAGAGUUGAACACUUCCCAAAAGAGUGGUUGGGUGUAAAAUCUAGUGCUCUGACCCAGGUAAAUUUUGCAUCCUCCUUGCAUGCAUGAAAGCGGUCAUCUGAGAACCUUGAAUAAACUGCAGGCCCAGAAACUGUUGUGCAUAUCCUUGGUGCAUACAUGAGCUGAAACAAAUAGUAAAUUAACAUUAGUCAAGAUAAUAUAUAUUUUACUAACUUCAGAAUUAUAGAAAGAAUUAAAAGAGUGUUGCGCCUCACCAACUUAUAGUCUAAGAAGUAUGACAAUCAGUAAAUUCAGAAAAGUAACGGUGAUGUGUAUUCAUCAGAUAAGCUUCAUAUUCAUUUCAUUCCAAUUAGUAACCACCAACUGAGAUAUUUAUAGGAGUGGAAAUAAAAGUCGCACCACUAUCCGUCUUACAUUAUGAGCUCUAACGCAUAAUUGCAAACCAGACCACUGUGAUGGUUCUCUAGUUUACUGACUCGAGAACUUGUCAAUUUUUCAGCUCGCGCAAGUAUUGAGGGAGGAAGUACAUCUAGAGCUUCCUUCUUCAAAUUUCUACCUCGCCCUAUAACCGCAACUUCUGACUAAUAUAUAAUGUACAAAGGAAAAACAGAAGUAUCACAGCAACAUGGUGACCAACUGUAACGCCCCGAGACCGAUGUGCCAGGUGUCGCGCAGUUAUUCGUUGUUGUUGUUGCGUUGUCAUUGCUUGAGUGUCAUGCAUUUCAUAUCAUGUCAUCAUGCGCAUUUCAUUUGCAUACGUGUUCCUCUCUUGCAUCCGAGCAUUUUACCCGUUGUCCGUUUUGCAUUCCGGUGAUCCGUUCUCCUCCGGUGGUCAUUUCUACCUUCCUCUUGUGUGUGGGGGUUAAACAUUUCCGUAUUGGACCGAGACUUGUCAUGCGGCCUUGGUUUACUACCGGUAGACCGCCUGUCAAGUUUCGUAUCAUUUGGACUUCGUUUGAUGCUCCAACGGUUAACCGAGGGACCGAAAAGGCCUCGUGUGUGUUGCAGCCCAACACCCCUCCAAUUUGGCCCAAAACCCACCAAACUUUGCUCCAUCGUCUCGGUCGUUCGAUCAAGAUCGCGUGGCCGAAAACCGCACCUCAUUUGGACUCUCCUAGCUCCACUUAUGCCUAUUUAUACCCCCCUCCAUUUCGGAUCUCGUCUUCCUCCUCCAAACCCUAAAAAAAAGAAACAGAUCCAUCUUCCCCCGCGCCGGGCCGGACGUGUCCGCCCGCGCCGGACGUUGUCCGCCCCGCCGCCGCACCCACUCACGCGCCGCCACGUGGGCCGCGCCCNNNNNNNNNNNNNNNNNNNNNNNNNNNNNNNNNNNNNNNNNNNNNNNNNNNNNNNNNNNNNNNNNNNNNNNNNNNNNNNNNNNNNNNNNNNNNNNNNNNNNNNNNNNNNNNNNNNNNNNNNNNNNNNNNNNNNNNNNNNNNNNNNNNNNNNNNNNNNNNNNNNNNNNNNNNNNNNNNNNNNNNNNNNNNNNNNNNNNNNNNNNNNNNNNNNNNNNNNNNNNNNNNNNNNNNNNNNNNNNNNNNNNNNNNNNNNNNNNNNNNNNNNNNNNNNNNNNNNNNNNNNNNNNNNNNNNNNNNNNNNNNNNNNNNNNNNNNNNNNNNNNNNNNNNNNNNNNNNNNNNNNNNNNNNNNNNNNNNNNNNNNNNNNNNNNNNNNNNNNNNNNNNNNNNNNNNNNNNNNNNNNNNNNNNNNNNNNNNNNNNNNNNNNNNNNNNNNNNNNNNNNNNNNNNNNNNNNNNNNNNNNNNNNNNNNNNNNNNNNNNNNNNNNNNNNNNNNNNNNNNNNNNNNNNNNNNNNNNNNNNNNNNNNNNNNNNNNNNNNNNNNNNNNNNNNNNNNNNNNNNNNNNNNNNNNNNNNNNNNNNNNNNNNNNNNNNNNNNNNNNNNNNNNNNNNNNNNNNNNNNNNNNNNNNNNNNNNNNNNNNNNNNNNNNNNNNNNNNNNNNNNNNNNNNNNNNNNNNNNNNNNNNNNNNNNNNNNNNNNNNNNNNNNNNNNNNNNNNNNNNNNNNNNNNNNNNNNNNNNNNNNNNNNNNNNNNNNNNNNNNNNNNCCCCGGCCGCGCCGCCCCUCGCCGUCUCGUCGCCGGCCACCGCCUCCUCCACGCCCGGCCCCCUCUCCGGCGACCUCCCCGGAGCCCGGCGUCCCUUUCCUCUCUGGCAAACAGUGAACUCCGGCGCCACCUCGGGAUCCGUGCCGCCAGAUCCAGAUCCAGUUUUGGAUUCGGUUGACUUCUCUCCCCCUAACUCUAAUUUUCGUGCCUACUUUGACUGCUCAUAACUUUGCUGUGGCUCCGUUUUGGACAUAUAAUAUAUCAAAAUCUUCGUCUCGACGAGUACAUCAUUUCAUUCCAUUGCAUCAUUUGCAUUUGAGUUCAUCUUGAUGCCCAAAAUGCUGUUAGAAGGAGGCAUCGUGAGUUAAAUUGCAGAUCCGUUAGCUCAUCAUUGACUUUUGUCAUUUUUGCCAUGAUUGUUGUGUGCAUGAUAUGCGUGUACCCCUUUGGGAUGAAUUGUUAAGCAUGUUGUCUUCUUUCCAGAGGUGCCACCCAUGCAUUUUUAAGAUGUGUGUGGUGUCUUUUGCAAGCUUGCAAAGAGGGGUACCUGAGAUUGCUGAUUUCAGGGACUUAGUGAUUUUCACUAAGUCUGGGAUAUUUUAGUUCAUGAUGCCAUGUGUCCAGCUUGUUUCCUAGUGAUCCGUGCCUCUUUUGAGGAUGAUCAGUAAGGGAGUUUUGAUAUUUAUGUUGUGCUCUAUCCAUCUGUGUCUGUACUUGUUAUGUUGGAGCACCCUAGGUUGAUUCUAUCGAGCUCUACUUUUGCAUCGUUGUUAAUUUGGGCAGAUCGUGAACUCUUUUGCGAUUUUGCCAGUGCUAUUGUUAGUGAUCCAUGCAUGCUAUGCCAUUGUUCUUGCCAUGUCUAGCUAGCUUUUUGUGCCUUCUCUAUGGAUAUAUGCUUGACUUGCCAUGACUUGCACCGUAGUGAGUGCAUCGAGCUCAUUUACAUGCCUUCGUGAGUUAAAUUUCAGCAUGUCUCAGUUUCCACUAAGUCUGAAACCUGAUUGUGUUUCAUCUAUGUUCGUGUGCUCGUUAGAGUAUUUUGUGAACCCUUUUGGCCCCAGGUCACUUUGGAUGUUUUGUUAAGCUUGUUGAGUAGCUCCAUGCCAUGUUCUUACUUGUCAUGUUCAGGUUAUGUUUCAUCUUGUUUUGCUGCUCCGAAGAGAGCAUCAUGGUCUGAAAUUUCAGACUAGUGUUAAUUUCACUAAGUCUGAAAUCUGUUUUGCUUAUUCAGUUUUGCCAUGCUUGUUUGAACCCCUUAAUGGAUGAAUUUGGCUAUGACUCGGUGCUAGUGAUUUGUUAAGCAUCUUGUGUACAUCCCUGCCAUUUCUUUUGUUGUCAUGUUUGGUGGCUGUAGAAUGUUCAUUUUGUUGCAUUUAGGUGCCUACUUGAUGUAAAUCGCAGAUCGGUUCGUUUUGUAAAACGCUUGCCAUUUCCAAACCGUAGCUCCGAUUCCUAUGAUCUUUAUAUCGUUUUCAAGUGAUUUCAUCCCCUCUAUCUAGUGGCACACUUGGUUUUCCAAGUUGAGGCUAGGUUCAUGCAUUUCCUGUCAUAUCUUGCAUUUUGCAUCCCGCAUCGCAUCCUGCAUCUCGCAUAUCAUACCAUGUUCAUGUGUUGGUUGUUUACUAUGUUGUGUGCUUCUUUUCCGAUGUUUGCUUCUUCGGGUUGGAUCUGGUAACGUCGAGUUUGUGAGGAUCCGUUCGACUACGUCCGUUGUCUUCUUCAUGGACUCGUUCUUCUUCCUUGCGGGAUUUCAGGCAAGAUGAUCAUACCCUCGAAAUCACUACUAUCUUUGCUAUGCUAGUUUGCUCGCUCUUUUGCUAUGCCAAUGCUACGAUGCCUACCACUUGCUUGUCAGCCUCCCAAAUUGCCAUGUUCAACCUCUAACCCACCAUGUCCUAGCAAACCGUUGAUUGGCUAUGUUACCGCUUUGCUCAGCCCCUCUUAUAGCGUUGUUAGUUGCAGGUGAAGAUUGAAGUUUGUUCCUUGUUGGAACAUGGAGAUCGUUCCUUAUUGGAACAUUGUUUACUUGUUGGGAUAUCACUAUAUAUCGUAUUUAAUUAAUGCAUCUAUAUACUUGGUAAAGGGUGGAAGGCUCGGCCUUAUGCCUGGUGUUUUGUUCCACUCUUGCCGCCCUAGUUUCCGUCAUAUCGGUGUUAUGUUCCCGGAUUUUGCGUCCCUUACGCGGUUGGGCUAUAAUGGGAACCCCUUGAUAGUUCGCCUUAAGUAAAGCUUCUCCAGCAAUGCCCAACAUUGGUUUUACCAUUUGCCUCCUAGCCUUUUCUUUCCCUUGGGUUCUGCAGACUCAAGGGUCAUCUUUAUUUUAGCCCCCCCCCCCCGGGCCAGUGCUCCUCUGAGUGUUGGUCCGAACUAGAGUCCUGUGCAGCGCCCCCUCGGGGAAACUCGAGGUUUGGUUUUAGUUGUAUGGAGAGCUCAUCUGAGUGUGCCCUGAGAAAGAGAUAUGUGUAGCUCCUAUCGGGAUUUGUCGGCACAUUCGGGCGGUGUUGCUGGUUUAGUUUUACCCUAUCGAAAUGUCUUGUUGUACUGGGAUACCGAGUCUGAUCGGAACGUCUCAGGUGGAGGUCUAUUCCUUCGUUGACCGUGAGAGCUUGUGAUGGGCUAAGUUGGGACACCCCUGCAGGGAUUUGAACUUUCGAAAGCCGUGCCCGCGGUUAUGGGCAGAUGGGGAUUUGUUAACGUCCGGUUGUAGAAAACCUGAAGUUAACCUUAAUUAAAAUGAAUCAACCGCGUGUGUAACCGUGAUGGUCUCUUUCCGGCGGAGUCCGGGAAGUGAACACGGUUGUUGGAGUUAUGCUUGACGUAGGUAGUCUAGGAUCACUUCUUGAUCAUACUUUUAUCGACCGUGCUUUGCCUUCUCUUCUCGCUCUCAUUUGCGUAUGUUAGCCACCAUAUAUGCUAGUCGCUUGCUGCAGCUCCACCUCAUACCUUUACCUUACCCAUAAGCUUAAAUAGUCUUGAUCGCGAGGGUGCGAGAUUGCUGAGUCCCUGUGGCUCACAGAUACUUCCAAAACCAGAUUGCAGGUGCCGAUGAGUCCGUGCAGAUGACGCAACCAAGCUCAGGAGGAGCUCGAUGAAGAUCUUGUCCUUUGUGUUGUUUCGUUCUAGUUGAUCAGUAGUGGAGCCCAGUUGGGGUCGAUCGGGGACCUUUGUUGCAUUUGGGGUUCUUCUUUUAUUUUGGUUUCGUAGCCAGACCAUGAGUGUAUUUGGUUGAUGUAAUGCUUUAUUCAUGUAAUUGUGUGAAGUGGCGAUUGUAAGCCAACUAUGUAUCCUUUUCCGUAUUAUAUUACAUGGGUUGUGUGAAGAUUACCUCACUUGCGACAUAUGCCUUCAAUGCGAUUAUGCCUCUAAGUCAUGCCUCGACACGUGGGAGAUAUAGUCGCAUCGAGGGUGUUACAAGUUGGUAUCAGAGCCUUCCCCGACCUUAGGAGCCCCCAUUGCUUGAUCGUUUUUAGGAGCCGAGUUGUGUCUAGAAAAAUGUUUUGAGUCCUUAGGAAUUAUAUAUCGGAGAGCUUAGGAAUUCUUUUUACUUCCCAGUCUCCUCAUCGCUCUGGUAAGGCAUCCUGACGUAGAGUUUUGACUCUUCUCUUCUCAAAUUUCACAAAAAAAAAAUUAGGAUCACGCGAGUAUCUUGGAUUUGUUCCGAUGGCUUAUGAUGAGAAUACUGUCUUGGUGCCUCCUGUCAGGGGUUUAGUGGAAGUGUCCCGGGGAGUUGAGCUCUGAGGUGUUGUCAUCAUAAUUUUAUCGUUGCAAUUCUGGAAUACUUGAGAUAUGUGCGCGACAUCGAAAAUCUCCUUUAUGCAGUUCGUUGGUGAGAUAACCUCGACGCCACCCAGUACUGGGGCGGGAGUUCGGGAGUAUCGCCAUAACUUGUAUAACGGAUGCUUUUCGAAGGUUGAGAUAGAUGGUUUCCGAAGGUUUCUUGGUUAUGUGUUGAAGGAUGGAUACAGCUGGAUGUAGGAUUUGCUAGUUUGGGUGAGAUAUUAUGCUUCCCCUGUAUCCUAAACACCUGAUUGCAUAACCGGGAAGUUUCGGGAGUUUCAUAGGUGGGAAUUCAAGUAGCUCUUAGGAUAUAUUUUCCGACAGAUGUAUGAUAUGAAAUUGGGGUUCGACGUCUAGUGGUUCGCCUAUUCACGGUCGAUUUUACAGUGGUUUUGUUGCGUCUUAAAGAGUCCUUGGCUAUGCUGACUCGGGGACGCUUUGUAUGUCAUGUGCACAGCCUUGUACAUGAUGGUGCUGUACGAUUGAGCCCGUGUAGGUUCCACCACGAAAACUUCGGACGAAAUCUCUAUCAUAUGUUUGUUCCGGCUUAUUCUGCAAGCCAAUCCUUUGUUUUUGUUUUGAGUUGUGGUAUUCGAGUUGCUUCGAAGUCAAAUGUUGAUUCCAUACCAUCCUCAAGUGGUGUUCUCAUAUUCCUAUGCGAAUACUAAUCCUUCAUGAUAAUCGAGAUUGUCAUGUUAAUCCUUUUUCAACCGGCGUGUUUUCUCUUCUAGUGAUUCCGAUCAUUUCAACUCCCGCAAGAUCAAUUAUCACUUCUUCUCAACGGUGUUUGUUUCAUUCUUCCCAAGCUGCCUUUGUUUUUCCCUCCCUCCCACCCUUGUUUCUUCGAGGAACCGGAUUUCUUAUUCAAGUAUCCAUUUUAUUGAUGGGAAGCCUCUCCAUUCUUUUCCGUCUAUAUUCUUACCCGGUGGUUCUCAAGAAGAUGUUCUACUAGUUCGUCAUUCCUCAUUCCUUUUCUUCUCCGGUGGAACCAAUUCAAGCUUUUGGUGUUGAUCAUAUCUUUUCCUCAUUUCAGAAGUUUUUUAACAUACCGGUGCACCUCAUAAUCAUCCACUCUUCGCUAUUCAUUUGUUCCGGAGUGCUCAUGAUAUCUCGAAGAUUCGUGUAUCCACUCUUCUUUCAUUCAAGCUAUUUCGAGGAUGUUAUCUCUUUCAAGCCAUUUAAUUUCAACCGGUGCAAUCUCUCUUUCUAAUCGUUCUACGGUGUAUCUUUUCAGUGGGCCCUAACCCACAGGUCUUUUCCCAGGAUCUUACCUGACUCUUCUUAUUUUCCUGGAGAUAUUCUCAAAUUCUUUUCGAAGUUUAACGUAAGAACGAUUUUCUUCAGUCAAGUGCCUUUCUCCAAGAUCGGUUAAAUUCUUUUCAUCAUUGGCUCAACCUUUUUCAUUCUUCGUUCCGGAGUGUCUAAAUAAUUCUUGGUGGUGUUUCUCAUUGUCAUUUGAAGAUCGAAGAAGAGUUUCUCUUUAAUCUUGUUCCAUUCUCUUCAAGAUUCGUGAUUCUGUCUUGUUGCCAUCCUCUCAUAAUAAUUUGCGAUUGUGAGAUAUUCUUUUCACUUAUCCGGAGAAAUUCAAGAGUCUUCUCAAUUUCUUAUCCGGAAUCCAUCUUUUCAAAUAUUAUUUAUUCUCAGCUUUCAGUUAUCAUUCUCCAAAUUUUCCCGGUAAAUCAAGUGAUCUCUAAUCAGCUCGUGAUCUCUUCGCUCUCAUGUAUCUAAAUUCUCUCAAGCGCCUUCGUUCAUUUGCUUAAUUCUUCCCGGUGUUUCUUCAUAUUUUAAUCGUUCUUUUUCAAUUCUUAUGGUGGUUCGCUCAAGAUUCUUCUUCCUUCAUUUAUCAUAUCAAUUUAUUCAUUGCUUCCUAAUCCUACCGGUGGUUCGUUGAAGACCUUCUCAAGUUAUCGAUAUCUCUCUUUAAUCCUUUCCACGAGAAUAAGUAAUAUGCCAAAUCCAUUGCUUGUCAUCAAUUUUAAUUGGUGAAGGAUACGCAUAAUGUAAAUCUUAUUCUUGUUUCAUCGAGUUUAUUCUAUUCCCGUUUUUUCCGGAGUGGCUCAUCAUACUCAUUCUUGUUUUCACUUGUUUCAUCUUUUCUUUUCCGGAGUUCCAAGUUCUCUCAAUUAUAUCAUCACGGAGAUCCAUCUAAAUCAUUGCAAGGAUUCACCUUGUGUCUUCAAUAUCUCUCUCUUUUAUUCUUUGGUUACUGGAGUUUCUUCUUGGAGGUUAUACAUGAUGGUUCAUCAAGGAUUUAAUUCCUUCUCGAAGUGUUCAUCGAGAUUCUUUUUCUAAGGAGCUCAAGUAUUCUUCAUCUUGCAAUCCGGAGUGCAAAUUCUUUCUACCAUAUUACCGGAGGUGGUAUUGUGUCAUUCUUGAUAAUUUGAGUUCUUGUUUUACAUGUUAUUAAGAAUGAGGUAUUUUAAAUCCAUCAAUCUUGUCAUUGGAGUUAUCUUGGGUUAUAUUUCACCUUAAGCCUUCCCUAAGGAUGGUUGUUGUUAUUGUGCUUAUACAUGACCCAAGUUCUUCUUUUAUCCUCCCGGUGAUAUAGCCUUCUCGUCUCCUUGUUCCUAUCAAUACAAUUCUUUUCCCGUGAGUGGCAGGUUGUCACCUCAUAAUUUGAGAUGUAUUCCAUAAGACCAUAUCAACCUUAUUCUUUUCGUUGGUGGUUUUUCCAACAACUCCGUUCAACCCCUCUCCUAAAGAUGCCUUUCCAAACUCUUUUGUGGUAGAAAUUGGCAUUUUAUUCUCAAUUCUCUUAUUUCAAUUAUCUAUCUUCUAUUCUUUUGUUCCGGAGGCAUUGUGAUGUUCAUCUUUUCAACCCAUCAUCUCGUUUUGUCAAAGAUCAUGUUCUUUUCAUGCCUAUCCAUUUUAGCCGGAGUGUUGUGUUCCUCUUUUCUAACGAAGUGCUUUCAACUUCGUUUAUCUCCAUUGUUUUCUUUUCUCGAGGUGGCUUAUCCUCUUAUAGGUUAUUUGGUUUCACUCGUUUGUCAAGAAGCAACUUAAUUUUACCUCUUCUCUUUCUCUUUCGUUGUCCCUCCGGUGCCAUUCUAGAUCUCGGGACGAGAUCCUCUCGUAGUGGUGGAGUGUUGUAACGCCCCGAGACCGAUGUGCCAGGUGUCGUGCAGUUAUUCGUUGUUGUUGUUGCGUUGUCAUUGCUUGCGUGUCAUGCAUUUCAUAUCAUGUCAUCAUGCACAUUGCAUUUGCAUACGUGUUCGUCUCUUGCAUCCGAGCAUUUUACCCGUUGUCCGUUUUGCAUUCCGGCGAUCCGUUCUCCUCCGGUGGUCAUUUCUACCUUCCUCUUGUGUGUGGGGGUUAAACAUUUCCGGAUUGGACCGAGACUUGUCAUGCGGCCUUGGUUUACUACCGGUAGACCGCCUGUCAAGUUUUGUAUCAUUUGGACUUCGUUUGAUGCUCCAACGGUUAACCGAGGGACCGAAAAGGCCUCGUGUGUGUUGCAGCCCAACACCCAUCCAAUUUGGCCCAAAAGCCACCAAACUCUGCUCCAUCGUCUCGGUCGUUCGAUCACGAUCGCGUGACCGAAAACCGCACCUCAUUUGGACUCUCCUAGCUCCACUUAUGCCUAUUUAUACCCACCUCCAUUUCGGAUCUCGUCUUCCUCCUCCAAACCCUAAAAAAAAGAAACAGAUCCAUCUUCCCCCGCGCCGGGCCGGACAUGUCCGCCCACGCCGGACGUUGUCCGCCCCGCCGCCGCACCCACUCACGCGUCGCCACGUGGGCCGCGCCCACAUCGCCGCCGCUGGGCCCGCCAGGCCCACGGGGAGCCCCCGCGAGCCCAUCUCGCAUCGCCGCCGCCGCCUGUCUUCCUCCCUCUCCAGCACCGUCCGCGGCCACCUUCGCCNNNNNNNNNNNNNNNNNNNNNNNNNNNNNNNNNNNNNNNNNNNNNNNNNNNNNNNNNNNNNNNNNNNNNNNNNNNNNNNNNNNNNNNNNNNNNNNNNNNNNNNNNNNNNNNNNNNNNNNNNNNNNNNNNNNNNNNNNNNNNNNNNNNNNNNNNNNNNNNNNNNNNNNNNNNNNNNNNNNNNNNNNNNNNNNNNNNNNNNNNNNNNNNNNNNNNNNNNNNNNNNNNNNNNNNNNNNNNNNNNNNNNNNNNNNNNNNNNNNNNNNNNNNNNNNNNNNNNNNNNNNNNNNNNNNNNNNNNNNNNNNNNNNNNNNNNNNNNNNNNNNNNNNNNNNNNNNNNNNNNNNNNNNNNNNNNNNNNNNNNNNNNNNNNNNNNNNNNNNNNNNNNNNNNNNNNNNNNNNNNNNNNNNNNNNNNNNNNNNNNNNNNNNNNNNNNNNNNNNNNNNNNNNNNCCUUCGCGUCGGGCGCCCACGGCCACGGCGACCCCGGCCGCGCCGCCCCUCGCCGUCUCGUCGCCGGCCACCGCCUCCUCCACGCCCGGCCCCCUCUCCGGCGACCUCCCCGGAGCCCGGCGUCCCUUUCCUCUCCGGCGAACAGUGAACUCCGGCGCCACCUCGGGAUCCGUGCCGCCAGAUCCAGAUCCAGUUUUGGAUUCGGUUGACUUCUCUCCCCCUAACCCUAAUUUUCGUGCCUACUUUGACUGCUCAUAACUUUGCAUCUGUGGCUCCGUUUUGGACAUAUAAUAUAUCAAAAUCUUCGUCUCGACGAGUAAAUCAUUUCAUUCCAUUGCAUCAUUUGCAUUUGAGUUCAUCUUGAUGCCAAAAAUGCUGUUAGAAGGAGGCAUCGUGAGUUAAAUUGCAGAUCCGUUAGCUCAUCAUUGACUUUUGUCAUUUUUGCCAUGAUUGUUGUGUGCAUGAUAUGCCUGUACCCCUUUGGGAUGAAUUGUUAAGCAUGUUGUCUUAUUUCCAGAGGUGCCACCCAUGCAUUUUUAGGAUGUGUGUGGUGUCUUGUGCAAGCUUGCAAAGAGGGGUACCUGAGAUUGCUGAUUUCAGGGACAGUGAUUUUCACUAAGUCUGGGAUAUUUUAGUUCAUGAUGCCAUGUGUCCAGCUUGUUUCCUAGUGAUUCGUGCCUCUUUUGAGGAUGAUCAAUAAGGGAGUUUUGAUAUUUAUGUUGUGCUCUAUCCAUCCGUCUCUUUACUUGUUAUGUUGGAGCACCCUAGGUUGAUUCAAUCAAGCUCUACUUUUGCAUCGUUGUUAAUUUGGGCAGAUCGUGAACUCUUUUGCGAUUUUGCCGGUGCUAUUGUUAGUGAUCCAUGCAUGCUAUGCCAUUGUUCUUGCCAUGUCUAGCUAGAUUUUUGUGCCUUCUCUAUGGAUAUAUGCUUGCCUUGCCAUGACUUGCACCAUAGUGAGUGCAUCGAUCUCGUUUACAUGCCUUCGUGAGUUAAAUUUCAGCAUGUCUCAGUUUCCACUAAGUCUGAAACCUGAUUGUGUUUCAUCUAUGUUCGUGUGCUCGUUAGAGUAUUUUGUGAACCCUUUUGGCCCCAGGUCACUUUGGGUGUUUUGUUAAGCUUGUUGAGUAGCUCCAUGCAAUGUUCUUACUUGUCAUGUUUAGGUUAUGUUUCAUGUUGUUUUGCUGCUCCAAAGAGAGCAUUGUGGUCUGAAAUUUCAGACUAGUGUUAAUUUCAGUAAGUCUGAAAUCAGUUUUGCUGAUUCAGUUUUGCCAUGCUUGUUUGAACCCCUUAAUGGAUGAAUUUGGCUAUGACUCAGUGCUAGUGAUUUGUUAAGCAUCUUGUGUACAUCCCUGCCAUUUCUUUUGUUGUCAUGUUUGGUGGCUGUAGAAUGUUCAUUUCGUUGCAUUUAGGUGCCUACUUGCUGUAAAUCGCAGAUCGGUUCGUUUCGUAAAACGCUUGCCAUUUCCAAACCGUAGCUCCGAUUCCUAUGAUCUUUAUAUCGUUUUCAAGUGAUUUCAUCCCCUCUAUCCAGUGGCACACUUGGUUUUCCAUGUUGAGGCUAGGUUCAUGCAUUUCCUGUCAUAUCUUGCAUUUUGCAUCCCGCAUCGCAUCCCGCAUCUCGCAUAUCAUACCAUGUUCAUGUGUUGGUUGUUUACUAUGUUGUGUGCUUCUUUUCCGGUGUUUGCUUCUUCGGGUUGGAUCCGGUAACGUCGAGUUUGUGAGGAUCCGUUCGACUACGUCCGUUGUCUUCUUCAUGGACUCGUUCUUCUUCCUUGCGGGAUUUCACGCAAGAUGAUCAUACCCUCGAAAUCACUACUAUCUUUGCUAUGCUAGUUUGCUCGCUCUUUUGCUAUGCCAAUGCUACAAUGCCUACCACUUGCUUGCCAGCCUCCCAAAUUGCCAUGUUCAACCUCUAACCCACCAUGUACUAGCAAACCGUUGAUUGGCUAUGUUACCGCUUUGCUCAGCCCCUCUUAUAGCGUUGUUAGUUGCAUGUGAAGAUUGAAGUUUGUUCCUUGUUGGAACAUGGAGAUCGUUCCUUAUUGGAACAUUGUUUACUUGUUGGAAUAUCACUAUAUAUCGUAUUUAAUUAAUGCAUCUAUAUACUUGGUAAAGGGUGGAAGGCUCGGCCUUAUGCCUGGUGUUUUGUUCCACUCUUGCCGCCCUAGUUUCCGUCAUAUCGGUGUUAUGUUCCCGGAUUUUGCGUCCCUUACGCGGUUGGGCUAUAAUGGGAACCCCUUGACAGUUCGCCUUAAGUAAAGCUUCUCCAGCAAUGCCCAACAUUGGUUUUACCAUUUGCCUCCUAGCCUUUUCUUUCCCUUGGGUUCUNNNNNNNNNNNNNNNNNNNNNNNNNNNNNNNNNNNNNNNNNNNNNNNNNNNNNNNNNNNNNNNNNNNNNNNNNNNNNNNNNNNNNNNNNNNNNNNNNNNNNNNNNNNNNNNNNNNNNNNNNNNNNNNNNNNNNNNNNNNNNNNNNNNNNNNNNNNNNNNNNNNNNNNNNNNNNNNNNNNNNNNNNNNNNNNNNNNNNNNNNNNNNNNNNNNNNNNNNNNNNNNNNNNNNNNNNNNNNNNNNNNNNNNNNNNNNNNNNNNNNNNNNNNNNNNNNNNNNNNNNNNNNNNNNNNNNNNNNNNNNNNNNNNNNNNNNNNNNCGAGGUUUGGUUUUAGCUGUAUGGAGAGCUCAUCUGAGUGUGCCCUGAGAAAGAGAUAUGUGCAGCUCCUAUCGGGAUUUGUCGGCACAUUCAGGCGGUGUUGCUGGUUUAGUUUUACCCUGUCGAAAUGUCUUGUUGUACUGGGAUACCGAAUCUGACCGGAACGUCCCAGGUGGAGGUCUAUUCCUUCGUUGACCGUGAGAUCUUGUGAUGGGCUAAGUUGGGACACCCCUGCAGGGAUUUGAACUUUCGAAAGCCGUGCCCGCGGUUAUGGGCAGAUGGGGAUUUGUUAACGUCCGGUUGUAGAAAACCUGAAGUUAACCUUAAUUAAAAUGAAUCAACCGCGUGUGUAACCGUGAUGGUCUCUUUCCGGCGGAGUCCGGGAAGUGAACACGGUUGUUGGAGUUAUGCUUGACGUAGGUAGUCUAGGAUCACUUCUUGAUCAUACUUUUAUCGACCGUGCUUUGCCUUCUCUUCUCGCUCUCAUUUGCGUAUGUUAGCCACCAUAUAUGCUAGUCGCUUGCUGCAGCUCCACCUCAUACCUUUACCUUACCCAUAAGCUUAAAUAGUCUUGAUCGCGAGGGUGCGAGAUUGCUGAGUCCCUGUGGCUCACAGAUACUUCCAAAACCAGAUUGCAGGUGCCGAUGAGUCCGUGCAGAUGACGCAACCAAGCUCAGGAGGAGCUCGAUGAAGAUCUUGUCCUUUGUGUUGUUUCGUUCUAGUUGAUCAGUAGUGGAGCCCAGUUGGGAUCGAUCGGGGACCUUUGUCGCAUUUGGGGUUCUUCUUUUAUUUUGGUUCCAUAGCCGGACCAUGAUUGUAUUUGGUUGAUGUAAUGCUUUAUUCAUGUAAUUGUGUGAAGUGGCGAUUGUAAGCCAACUAUGUAUCCUUUUCCUUAUUAUAUUACAUGGGUUGUGUGAAGAUUACCUCACUUGCGACAUAUGCCUUCAAUGCGAUUAUGCCUCUAAGUCGUGCCUCGACACGUGAGAGAUAUAGUCGCAUCGAGGGUGUUACACCAACUCAACUGGUUCUUCACGUCUAACAAUUGGACUUCAGUAUAUCCUAAUACCAAGUUUACUGCCAUGGCCAAACCAAUCCCCGACCACAUGCCUUGUUUGGUCAGUAUAGGAUCAUCGAUCCCCGCGACCAAAAAAUUUAGGUUAGAAUCUUACUGGAUGUAGCACAGAGGCUUCUUUGAGGUGGUGAAUACUUCUUGGUCCAAACCAAGUUAUUUGCAUAAUAGUGCAGCCAGGAUUUGCCAGAAAAUGAGAAGACUAACGUACGCCCUUAAGAAGUGAGUAAAGGCCUCUCACAUCUCAAAGUGCUGAUCCAAAACACUGAAUGGGCCGUUAUUGAGCUAGAUGAAAUUGAAAACCUGAGAACACUCACAACCCCAGAAUCGAACUUCGGGCGAAUUCUAAAAACUCACCUACUGCAGCCUCUGAACAUUCAGAACCAACACUGGAGAAAAAGGAUGCACUGUCAGGGUUAUUCGUUUUGGAGAGGAAACUACGAAAAAUUCCACCGGAUGGCCAUAGAGCGAUACCGAAAUAACUUCAUCACCAUGCUGAAAUUACCCGAUGGCACUGAAGUUGAGAACCACACAGGCAAAGAAGGGAUACUGCUCAAUGUGUUUAAAGAAAGAUUGGGGGAAUCUUCGCCUCCAAAUCAGAAAUUCGACCCAGGCUCUAUCAUUACCAAGAUUGAUGGACUGGAAGAACUUUAUGUCCCAUUCACUGAGGCGGAAAUUGAUGAGGUGGUUGGUGUCAGGAAAUAUGCAACUUGUAUUACUAGGAGGCCAAAGCCACCAUAUAUAUAAUGUGCAUGAGGAUGCCAAAAGGCAAGAAUACAAAAGGCCAAAGGCCAUCAUCAAUACAACUCUAACACCCCCCCUCAAACUCAUGGUGGCUCGACAACACUGAGUUUGGAGAGGUGAAAUCUAUGUUGUGCUCUAGUCUGUGCCUUCGUGAAGAAGUCUGCUAGCUGUAACUCGGAAGGCACAUACUGAAGAGCAACAACAAGAUCCUGCACAGCAGCGCGCACAUAAUAAGCAUCAACACCAAUAUGCUUGGUAAGUUCAUGCUUCACAGGGUCCCGCGCAAUACUGAUAGCACCUGUACUGUCAGACAAGAGGGUGGUAGGUCUAGUAACAGAAACACCAAAAUCCUCCAGUAGCCAUCGUAACCAAGUUACCUCUGCCGUCAGAAGAGCCAUAGCUCUAAACUCGGCCUCUGCACUCGGACGAGAAACUACAGUCUAUUUCUUCGUCUUCCAGGCAAUGAGAAAACCACCAAGAAAGACACAGUAAGCAGAAAGUGAACGGCGAUCCGAAGGAUCACUGGCCCACGUAGCAUCUGAAUAGGCCUGGAGUUGUAAAGAGCUGGAACGAGGAAAAAAGAGACGAUGAGAGAUCGUGCCACGAAGAUAUCGUAGAACACGAAGAAGGUGACUAUAGUGAACUGAAGUGGGAGCGAAAACAAACUGGCUCAGAAUAUGGACAGGAUAGGAGAUAUCCGGACGAGUGACAACAAGAUAGACAAGACUCCCAACAAGAUGACGAUAACGCGUCGGAUCAGACAAGAGCUCACCAUCAGAAGCACGAAGGUUAACAUUGAGCUCCAUAGGAGUCUCAGCAGUGCGCUCGUCACUAAGAGAUGCACGAGCAAGAAGAUCCUAGAUAUAAUUUUUUUGGGAAAUAGAAAAGCCAUCAGAGGAGGAGGAAACCUCAAUCCCAAGAAAGUAACGAAGGGGACCAAGAUCAGACAUAAGAAACUACUCACUAAGAUGGGCCUUGACAAAGGAAAUGUACUCAGAAUCAUCGCUAGUGAUGAUCAUGUCAUCAACAUAUAGAAGAAGAAGAGUGCGACCACGAGCAGAAACAUGGACAAACAACGCUGGAUCAUGAGCACUGGGCGAAAAACCAGCUGAAGUGACCAUAGAGGCAAAACGCUCAAACCAAGCGCGGGGUGCUUGCUUAAGGCCAUAUAGAGAGCGACGAAGACGGCAAACCAUGCCAUCGGGAACUGAAUACCCAGGUGGUGGCUGCAUAUAAACUUCCUCACGCAACUCACCAUUAAGAAAGGCAUUCUUAACAUCAAGCUGAGACACAGACCAGUGGCGAACAGAGGCCACGGCGAGAAGUGUGCGGACAAUGGUCAUAUGGGCCACAGGAGCAAAAGUCUCAUCAUAAUCAGGACCAUGCUCCUGCUGAAAGCCACGAGCCACAAGACGAGCUUUAUAACGCUCAAGAGAACCAUCAGAGCGAGUCUUAAUCUUAUAGACCCACUUACAAGUGAUGGGACGAACACGGGGGGGGGGGNNNNNNNNNNNNNNNNNNNNNNNNNNNNNNNNNNNNNNNNNNNNNNNNNNNNNNNNNNNNNNNNNNNNNNNNNNNNNNNNNNNNNNNNNNNNNNNNNNNNNNNNNNNNNNNNNNNNNNNNNNNNNNNNNNNNNNNNNNNNNNNNNNNNNNNNNNNNNNNNNNNNNNNNNNNNNNNNNNNNNNNNNNNNNNNNNNNNNNNNNNNNNNNNNNNNNNNNNNNNNNNNNNNNNNNNNNNAGCAAUCUCCUCUGCCAUCGCGAACUGCCAUUCAGGAUGAACAAUAGCAUCUCGAUAAGAAGUCGGCUCAAGAACGGCCGAAAGACCAUAACGAGAAGGGGAAUAUCGGUCAGGGGGCGGACAAGGCCGAGAACGAAGACCAUAAGUCUGAUGAGAGGAGGGAGACGACACACCAGAAGUAGAGGGCACAUUGGUAGACUCAUUCACAACACGUGAACGACGAGUAUAAUGGAAAGGAAAGGACGGAAGAGGUGGAAUCACUGGAGGUGGAGACGAGGAAUUUAUUGGUGAUGAAGGUGGAGAAGGGGAAGCUAUCGGCGAUGAAGGUGGAGAAGGGGAAGCUAUCGGCGAUGAAGAUGGAGAAUCAUGCGACGAGUGAGUAGAAGAAACCGUAGGAGAGGACGGCGUCAGAUCUGCAACAACAAGAUGAGGAGUAGGAAUACUGGGCACAGAGAGAGGUGUAUCUGGAAAAGUAAGAAAAGAGAUGUCCUCCAUAGAAAAAGACGAGCAGGAUGGACGCGGGUAGAAGGGACGAGAUUCAUCAAAGGUCACAUCUCGGGAAAUACGCAUCCGGCGACCGACAGGAUCCCAACACCGAUAGCCCUUAUGCUCAUCACUAUAUCCAAGAAAGACACACUCAACAGACUGAGCGGUCAGUUUGGUGCGUUCACGAGGGGGCAAGCAAAACAUAGCAGACACAACCGAACAAACGGAGCGCCGAAUAAUCAGGAGAACGACCAGAAAGACGCUUGAGAGGAAUACCACUUUGUAGAGUAGCAGAUGGCUGAAUGUUGAUGAGAUGGGUGGAAGUAGUAACAGCCUCAGCCCAAAAGUCAGGAGGAAGAGAGGCGGCGAUCAUCAUCGCACGCGCCGUCUCAAGAAGGUGACGAUGCUUGCGCUCAGCCACGCCAUUCUGAGCAUGAGCACCAGGACAAGAGAACUGAGCAAGAGUACCCUGCUCAGCAAGAAAUCCUCGCAGCGCAUGGGAGAUAUACUCACCAGCUGAAUCUGCACGAAAAACACGAAAAGGAGUGGAAAACUGGGUAUGAACCAUGGCAGCAAAUUUUUUGUAUAUAGAUAAGACCUCAGUACGAGAAGACAUGAAAUAGAUCCAAGUGUACCGAGAAAAGUCAUCUAUAAAGAUAAUAUAGUAGAGAUGACCCCCUUUCGAAGAUGGCCCCUUUCGAAGCGAAGGGAGUCGGACCCCAAACAUCAGAGUGAACGAGAUCAAAAGGACGCUCGGACACUGACUCACUGUGAGGAUAGGGUAGCUGAAUCUGCUUACCAAGCCGACAACUCAUACAAUCCAACGAAGCGUUACCAGAGACAGACCCCAGAACACCAUGAUGAACCAGAGACGAGAGACGAGAACCACAUAAAUGGCCAAGACGAUGAUGCCACUGCUGAAAAGAGCUGGUAGAUGCAACAACAGGGGUUGCGAGACUGGUAGAGGUGGCAGCGGAGGUAAGACGAAGCUAGUCAAGCUCCCAGAGACCAUCAGAACAUCGAGGGCCAGCACCAAGUAGAGCGCCCGUGCGACGAUCCUGAACAGAACAUGAAUCAAAGUCUAGAAUGACCCUACAACUAGAGUCAACAAUCUGACCACCAGAUAUGAGCUGCAUGGUAAGUCGAGGAACAUGAGAAACAAAGGGAACAUGAAAUGAAGAAGUGCUAAGAGUGCCUCGACUAGCUACAGGGAGGGGAGUGCCAUCAGCCGUAAGAACACGAACAGGAGACUCGACAGGUCGAACGGAGGUCAAAGUUGAAGAAUCAUAAGUCAUAUGAAAAUACGCUCCAAUAUCAAGAAUCCAUGGGGAUGUACCCGAAUGAGUAGGAAGUGGUUUCUCAAUGACGGAAGAGUCAGCCACGGAACUUGCAGAAACUGUUGGCGAAGAAUCCCAAGCAUCAAGCAGGCAUCGCAGCUAUGCAAUCUCACAUGCAGACAGGGACAGGACAGAAGAGGUCGAGGUAGAAGCAUCUGCCGAUGAUGAACAGUCGCCACCACCAGUGGAAGCCGAAGGUAGAGUCGACAUAGAGCCACAUGGGGAGUCGACAUAGAGCGGUCACCGUCGUGCGCACAAGCCGCAAUAGGAGUCGAUGUAGAGCGACUAGCAGCACCGAUGGAUGUCGCAAUAGGUGUCGAAGUAGAGCGACAGCCAUCACCUCCAAGUGGGCGAGCACCAAGCACCGAGGAACGGCUCAUGUGCGAGACAGGAUCAAUAUAUGGAACACCGCCAAAAAACAUCGAGCGGUGAGGGAGAGGUGUACCAGAUGAAAACAUUGCACUCUUUCUUUCUUUUUUUUCUUUCUUUUUUUGUCUCUCUCUCUUUUUUUAGAAGUCAGCAGGAGAGCCAAGAGCCGAAAGAAUUGGCAAACCACUCACAGCGGCCCACCAGGAGCCCAAGCAACCAGCGCCUGCGAAAUCACAUGAAUUGAUCUGAUCUGAACGGGAACUGAAAGUGCGGCAGUUUCACACACGCACACGACCACGCGAGCGCACGCGGAGGCCAACUGUGCGGAGAGACCAGGGCCAAACGGGCGGCCGGCGGCGACGGGUGGGAGGGGCCGGCGGCGACGGGCAGACUGGGCCGGAGCCGGACGGUGACGGGCAGACGGGGUCGGAGGAGCAGUCGGGCGGCGACGGGAAGAUGAGGCCGGAGGAGCAAUGCCCGAUGGGCUGCGGGCGGCAGCCGGAGGAGCGUCGGGCGACAGCCUGAAGUUCACCGGCGGCGGUGGAGAACCUCCUCCGUGGCGGCCAGGCCGGCGUGAACCAGUUGGAGGAGCCGAAAGGUGCAAGAUGCACGGGAGCGGCGUUCAGCCACGCUCUAGAGUGGAGACAACAACAAUCUGAUGGAAAGAAAUGGCAGCAGCGGAGAUGAGGGAGCGGCCACAUCGGGCAAGAGGACGACGGCGACGCGAUAGAAGGAUCAAGCACGAGUUGCACAUGCGAAAAAAUUUGACCUAAGCUCUAAUACCAUGUCAGAAAAUAUGCAACUUGUAUUACUAGGAGGCCAAAGCCACCAUAUAUAUAAUGUACAUGAGGAUGCCAAAAGGCAAGAAUACAAAAGGCCAAAGGCCAUCAUCAAUAUAACUCUAACAGUUGGAACCAUGCCGGCCGACAGAGCUCCAGGGCCGGAUGGGUUUAGGGUCACUUUACCAAAUCAUGCUAGCAUAUAAUCAAACCUGAAUUUUAUCAGCUUUGUCAUGAUCUCCGCGCAGAAGAACUCAAUCUUGAAAGCAUAAACACCGGGUUCAUCAUUCUCAUUCUGAAGAUCCACUCGCCCCAGAGAGCAAAAGAUUUUCGCCCCAUCACACUGCUAAACUGUUGUCUUUAGCUAAUAACCAAACUGCUUGCGGAUCGGUUACAGAAAUGGAUUCUAAAAAUCAUUCACAGGAACCAAUACGGAUUUUUGAAAGGGAGAAUGAUAUAGGACCUGCUUGGCUUGGGUGUUCGAGUAUAUAUACCAAUGUCAAGCCUCUGGAUCUCAGGCGUUUAUUCUAAAACUGGACUUUUCCCAGGCCUUCGAUACUAUAGAACACCCGGCUAUGAUUGAGGUCAUGAGACACAUGGACUUUUCCCACAGCUCAAUGGGGUACCGGGCCGUCAGUUUCAAUGCCGCCACCGGGGGCGGGGCGACAAGGUGACCCGCUAUCGCCCUUGAUCUUCGUCCUCGCGGCCAACCUGCUGCAAGCUGCUGUCAACGGCGCACUUCGCCGAGGGGUCCUCAGACACCCAACCCCCCCAUGCACACACAAAGACUUCCCCGCAAUACAAUACGUGUAUGACACGAUAAUUGUGAUGCAGACAUAUGAAGAACAAGCAAGAGGCAUGAAGAAAAUUCUGCUUGAUUACGCUGACUUGGUUGGACUUUGGAUAAACUUCGAGAAGACUACUCUGGUGCCGAUCAACCUAGACGCAGCGUCAGCGGCAGGCUUUGCUGCGAUCUUUGGAUGUACAGUAGGCUCGAUGCCGUUCACGUACCUGGGGCUGCCCAUGGAGAUCACGAAACCCACAGUCGUCGAUCUGAUGCCCCUGGUUGACACUGUAGAGAGAAGACUGUCUGCAACAAUCUACAUGGCCUCUUAUGGAUCCAAACCGACCUUGGUAAACUCCGUGCUCACUUGCAAUCGCGGUGUAUGCGGUGUGCUCCAUCCGCCUGCCGCCUAAAAUUCUUGCUCACUUGGACAAGAUCAGAAGACUGUGCCUUUGGAGAUGGAAGAAUGAGAAUGGGGAGAUAGCAAACUCACUGGCCUCAUGGAUGAUGGUGUGUAAGCCGAAAGACAAGGGGGGGCUCAGUGUGCUGGAUACAAAAACAUUAAACACAGCCCUUUUACUCAAGUUCCUAGACAAAUUCUAUAAAAGACACGAUCUGCCAUGGGUGACCUUGAUCUGGUACACGUACUAUGUGGAUAGAAUCCCGCACGCCACUGGACCAUGCGGGUCGUUCUGGUGGAGAGAAGUAAUGUCGCUGUCUCCUAUCAUCAGAGGAAUCUCCACGGUUAAAAUAGGGGAUGGCUCCAACACACUAUUUUGGAAAGAUAAAUGGUGCAAGGUAACCUUCCAAGAAGGAUUCCCAAGAGCGCACUCCUAUGCUAUAUCUGAAGAUAUGACUGUCCAUGAAAUCCUGAGCGCGAAAAGUGCAGAAGCGGUCUUUUUUCUGCCAAUGUCUCAACAGGCAACACAAGAAGCGAGGGAUUUGCAGCUGGCGACCGCUGAGUGUCAGAUAGACCUAGAGCAGAGAGAUGUUUGGGCAUGCACAUGGGGGGCCCAAAUAUUCAUCGUCCAGAUAUACAAUGUCACAGUUGAUCAGGCUUUUCGGUGGAUUUGGAAGUCGAGGUGUACAAUGAAACUAAGGGUUUUUGUGUGGCUCCUCUUGUCCGAUAGAUUAAAACACCAAGAACAUGCUCAAACGUAGACAUUAAGUAAUGGGCUCAUCGACAGACAGGACGGACUACUGUGUGCUCUACCAAACCCAACAAGAAGAAACUCUGGAACAUCUGUUCUAUACCUGCAGUUUCUCGUAUACGUGCUGGACUUCAGUUGGGUUGACCUGGGCAAUAGAAGGAGAUAGGUUUGACUGGAUGGCAGCGGCUAAACAAACCCAUGAUCAUGGAAGUGUUCACCACAGCAGCGUGGUAGAUCUGGACAGAGAGGAAUAACCUGAUCUUCAGAGGAGUGACGCCUUCCGACAGGUCCUGGUUGUCAAGAUUCAGAGAAGAUUUCUUGAUGUUGCAACACAGGACAAAACCUGAGCUGCUAGGGUUCAUUACUGAAUUUGCCAGAGAGAUUGCCUAUGGUUAGCCAAACUACUUUAAUCCCUUGUAAUUACUUAUACCUCUGAACCCUAGUACACUGUGAUUGGGGCAAAAGCCCCACCACACCCUUGUACACUAUGUAAAGUACUUUCUUGAUUAAUAUACUAGCACAUAUGCCCGUGCGUUGCAACGGGAAAAAUUGAUGUUUUAAUGUCCCAUAGCACCGGAUUCACUAUGAAGAACAUGCUGCAACGCAGCAUCCUUAUACAAAAUGAACAUAAAAAUACGUUGCAAUUUAGCCAUGUUCAUAUUUUCUUUGCCGGGCAUAAUUUCCCAUUGAUUUUAUUUAAGUAUAAUAUUUUUAAUGGCAUUUAUUGUUAGGGAACGUAGCAGAAAUUCAAAAUUUUCCUACGUGUCACCAAGAUCUAUCUAUGGAGAGACUAGCAACGAGGGGGAGGAGAGUGCAUCUACAUACCCUUGUAGAUUGCUAAGUGGAAGCGUUCAAGAGAACGGGCUUGAUGGAGUCGUACUCGUCGUGAUCCAAAUCACCGGAGAUCCUAGUGCCGAACGGACGGCACCUCCGCGUUCAACACACGUACAGCCCGACGAUGUCUCCCACGCCUUGAUCCAGCAAGGAGAGAGGGAGAGGUUGAGGAAGACUCCAUCCAGCAGCAGCACAACGGCGUGGUGGUGAUGGAGGAGCGUGGCAAUCCUGCAGGGCUUCGCCAAGCACCACGGGAGAGGAGGAAGAGAGAGGGAGGGCUGCACCAAGAGGCAGAGAUUAGAUCGCGUGUUAUGGGCAGCCCCAUGCCUCACUAUAUAUAGGGGAGAGGGAGGAGGGUGCGCCCCCUCUAGGGUUCUCACCCCUAGGGGGCGGCAGCCCUAGAUGGGAAACAAGGGGCGGCCAAGGGGGAAAGAGAGGGAGGCGCCCCUAGGGUGGGCCUUAGGCCCAUCUAAGCCUAGGGUUUCCUCCUUUUUUUCCUAGCUGCCCCUUGGGCCUUGUGGGAGGCGCACCAGCCCACUCAGGGGCUGGUACCUCACCACUCUUAGACCACGCAAGCCUCCGGGGUUGGUGGCCCCACUUGCUGGACCCCCGGGACCCUCCCGGUGGUCCCGGUACGUUACCGAUAAACCCCGAAACUCUUCCGGUGACCAAAAUAGGACUUCCCAUAUAUAAAUCUUUACCUUCGGGCCAUUCCGGAACUCCUCGUGACGUCCGGGAUCUCAUCCGGGACUCCGAACAACAUUCGGUAACCACAUACAAACUUCCUUUAUAACCCUAGCGUCAUCGAACCUUAAGUGUGUAGACCCUACGGGUUCGGGAGACAUGCAGACAUGACCGAGACGUUCUCCGGUUAAUAACCAACAGCGGGAUCUGGAUACCCAUGUUGGCUCCCACAUGCUUCACGAUGAUCUCAUCGGAUGAACCACGAUGUCAAGGACUUAAUCAAUCCCGUAUACAAUUCCCUUUGUCUAGCGGUACGAUACUUGCCCAAGAUUCGAUCGUCGGUAUCCUGAUACCUUGUUCAAUCUCAUUACCGGCAAGUCUCUUUACUUGUUCCGUAACACAUCAUCCCGUGAUCAACUCCUUGAUCACAUUGUGCACAUUAUGAUGAUGUCCUACUGAGUGGGCCCAGAGAUACCUCUCCGCUUACACGGAGUGACAAAUCCCAGUCUCGAUUCGUGCCAACCCAACAGACACUUUCGGAGAUACCUGUAGUGUACCUUUAUAGUCACCCAGUUACGUUGUGACGUUUGGCACACCCAAAGCACUCCUACGGUAUCCGGGAGUUGCACAAUCUCAUGGUCUAAGGAAAUGAUACUUGACAUUAGAAAAGCUUUAGCAUACGAACUACACGAUCUAGUGCUAUGCUUAGGAUUGGGUCUUGUCCAUCACAUCAUUCUCCUAAUGAUGUGAUCCCGUUAUCAACGACAUCCAAUGUCCAUGGUCAGGAAACCGUAACCAUCUAUUGAUCAACGAGCUAGUCAACUAGAGGCUUACUAGGGACAUGGUGUUGUCUAUGUAUCCCCACAUGUAUCUGAGUUUCCUAUCAAUACAAUUCUAGCAUGGAUAAUAAACGAUUAUCAUGAACAAGGAAAUAUAAUAACAAUCAAUUUAUUAUUGCCUCUAGGGCAUAUUUCCAACAGUCUCCCACUUGCACUAGAGUCAAUAAUCUAGUUCACAUCGCCAUGUGAUUAACACUCACAGGUCGCAUCGCCAUGUGACCAACAUCCAAGAGUUUACUAGAGUCAAUAAUCUAGUUCACAUCACUAUGUGAUUAGCACUAAAUGAAUUCUGGGUUUGAUCAUGUUGCUUAUGAGAGAGGCUUUAGUCAACGGGUCUGAACCUUUCAGAUCCAUGUGUGCUUUACAAAUCUCUAUGUCAUCUCCUAGAUGUUGCUACCACGUUCGAUUUGGAGCUAUUCCAAAUAACUGUUCUACUUGGAGCUAUUCUAAAUUGUUGCUCCAUUAUACGUAUCCGGUAUCUCUACUCAGAGCUAUCCGGAUAGGUGUUAAGCUUGCAUCGACGUAACCCUUUACGACGAACUCUUUUACCACCUCCAUAAUCGAGAAAAUUCCUUAGUCCACUAGAUACUAAGGAUAACUUUGACCGCUGUCCUGUGAUCCAUUCUUGGAUCACUCUUGUACCCCUUGACUGACUCAUGGCAAGGCACACUUCAGGUGCGGUACACAGCAUAGCAUACUGUAGAGCCUACAUCUUAAGCAUAGGGGACGACCUUCGUCCUUUCUCUCUAUUCUGCCAUGGUCGAGCUUUAAGUCUUAACUUCAUACCUUACGACUCAGGCAAGAACUCCUUCUUUGACUGAUCCAUCUUGAACACCUUCAAGAUCAUGUCGAGGAAUGUGCUCAUUUGAAAGUACUAUUAAGCGUUUUGAUCUAUCCUUAUAGAUCUUGAUGCUCAAUGUUCAAGUAGCUUAAUCUAGGCUUUCCAUUAAAAAACACUUUCCAAAUAACCCUAUAUGCUUUCCAAAAAUUCGACGUCAUUUCUGAUCAACAACAUAUAUUCAUCAGAAAUUCUAUAGUGCUCCCACUCACUUCUUUGGAAAUACAAGUUUCUCAUAAACUUUAUAUAAACCCAAAAUCUUUGAUCAUCUCACCAAAGCGUACAUUCCAACUCCGAGAUGCUUACUCCAGUCCUCAGAAGAAUUGUUGGAGCUUUGCAUACUUAUUAGCAUCUUUCAGGAUUGACAAAACCUUCCGGUUGUAUCACAUACAACCUUUCCUCAAGAAAAUCGUCGUGGAAACAAUGUUUUGACAUCCUAUCUGCAAGAUUUCAUAAAUAAUGUAGUAAUCUCUAAUAUAAUUCCAACAGCCUCUUAGCAUUGCUACGAGUGAGAAAGUCUCACUGUAGUCAACUCCUUGAACUUGUCGGGAAACACCUUAAUGACAAGUCAAGCUUUCUCAAUGGUGACACAUACCAUCAUUGUCUGUCUUCCUUUUAAAAUCCAUCUGUACUCAACAGCCUUACGACCAUCAAGUAGUUCUUCCAAAGUCUACACUUUGUUUUCAUACAUGGAUCCUCUCUCGGAUUUUAUGGCCUCGAGCCAUUUAUCGGAAUCCGGGCCCACCAUCGCUUCUCCAUAGCUCAUAGGUUCAUUGUUGUCUAGCAACAUGACUUCCAAGAUAGGAUUACGUACCACUCUGAAGUAGCACGCAUCCUUGUCAUCCCACGAGGUUUGGUAGUGACUUGAUUUGAAGUUUCAUGAUCACUAUCAUAAGCUUCCACUUCAAUUGGUGUAGGUGCCACAGGAACAACUUCCUGUGCCCUGCCACACACUAGUUGAAGAGACGGUUCAAUAACCUCAUCAAGUCUCCACCAUCCUCCCACUCAAUUCUUUCGAGAGAAACUUUUCCUCGAGAAAGGACCCGAUUCUAGAAACAAUCCCUUAUUGCUUUCGAAUCUGAGACAGGAGGUAUACCCAACUAUUUUGGGUGUCCUAUGAAGAUGCAUUUAUCCGCUUUGGGUUCGAGCUUAUCAGCCUGAAACUUUUUCACAUAAGCGUCACAGCCCCAAACUUUUAAGAAAUGAUAGCUUAGGUUUCUCUAAACCAUAGUUCAUACGGUAUCAUCUCAUCGGAAUUACGUGGUGCCCUAUUUAAAGUGAAUGUGGUUGUCUCUAAUGCCUAACCCAUAAACUAUUGUGGAAAUUCGAUAAGAGACAUCAUGGUAUGCAUCAUAUCCAAUAGGGUGCAGUUAUGAUGUUCGGACACACCAUCACACUGUGGUGUUCCAGGCUGUAUUAGUUGUGAAACGAUUUCCACAAUGUCUUAAUUCUGUGCCAAACUCGUAAUUCAGAUAUUCAUCUCUAUGAUCAUAUCAUAGAUAUUUUAUCCUCUUGUCACGAUGAUCUUUCAACUUCACCCUAAAAUUACUUGAACCUUUCAAUAAUUCAGACUCGUGAUUCAUCAAGUAAAUAUACUCAACAUCUACUCAAAUCAUCUGUGAAGUAAGAACAUAACGAUAUCCACUACAUGCCUCAGCACCCAUUGGACUGCACACAUCAAAAUGUAUUACUUCCAACAAGUUGCUUUCUAGUUCCAUUUUACUGAAAACGAGGCUUUCAGUCAUCUUGCCCAUGUGGUAUGAUUUGCAUGUCUCAAGUGAUUCAAAAUCAAGUGAGUCCAGACGGUCCAUUUGCAUGGAGUUUCUUCAUGCAUAUACACCAAUAGACAUGGUUCGCAUGUCUCAAACUUUUCAAAAAUGAGUGAGCCCAAAGAUCCAUCAACAUGGAGCUUCUUCAUGCGUUUUAUACUGAUAUGACUUACGUGGUAGUGCCACAAGUAGGUGGUACUAUCAUUACCAUCUUUUGGCAUGAACAUGUGUAUCACUACGAUCGAGAUUCAAUAAACCAUUCAUUUUAGGUGUAAGACCAUUGAAGGUAUUAUUCAAAUAAACAGAGUAACCAUUAUUCUCCUUAAAUGAAUAAUCGUAUUGCGAUAGACAUAAUCCAAUCAUGUCUAUGCUCAACGCAAACACCAAUCUUGAUGGUAGAGGGAUCUUGCGAUGCUUGAUCAUAUCAACAUUGGAAACACUUCCAACACAUAUCAUCAGCUCACCUUUAGCUAGUCUCCGUUUUAUUCCGUAGCUUUUAUUUCGAGUUACUAACACUAAGCAACCGAACCGGUAUCUAAUACCCUAGUGCUACUAGGAGUACUAGUAAAGUACACAUCAACACAAUGUAUAUCCAAUAUACUUCUAUCGACCUUGCCAGCCUUCUUAUCUACCAAGUAUCUAGGGUAAUUCUGCUCCAGUGGCUGUUCCCCUUAUUACAGAAGCACUUAGUCUCGGGUUUGGGUUCAACUUUGGGUUUCUUUACUAGAGCAGCAGCUGAAUUGCCGUUUCAUGAAGUAUCCCUUCUUGCCCUUGCCCUUCUUGAAACUAGUGGUUUCACCAACCAUCAACAAUUGAUGCUCCUUCUUGAUUUCUACUUUCGUGGUGUCAAACAUCGCGAACAUCUCAAGGAUCAUCAUAUAUGUCCCUGAUAUAUUAUAGUUCAUCAUGAAGCUCUAGCAGCUUGGUGGUACUGACUUCGGAGAACUAUCACUAUCUUAUCUGGAAGAUCAACUCCCACUUGAUUCAAAUGAUUAUUGUACUCAGACAAUCUGAGCACAAGCUCAACAAUUGAGCUUUUCUCCCUUAGUUUGCAGGCUAAGAAAAUCGUCGGAGGUCUUAUACCUCUUGACGUGGACACGAGCCUGAAAUUCCAAUUUCAGCCCUCAAAACAUCUCAUAUGUUUCGCGAUGUUUCAAAACCGUCUUUGGUGCCUCAACUCUAAACCGUUUAACUGAACUAUCACGUAGUUAUCAAAACGUGUAUGUCAGAUGUUCGCAACAUCCACAGACAACGUUCGAGGUUCAGCACACUGAGCGGUGCAUUAAGGAUAUAAGCCUUCUAAGAAGCAAUGAGGACAAUCCUCAGUUUACGGACCUAGUCCGCAUAAUUGCUACUAUCAACUUUCAACUAAUUUUUCUCUAGGAACAUAUCUAAACAGUAGAACUAUAACGUGAGCUACGACAUAAUUUGCAAAAUCCUUUUUGACCAUGUUCAGGAUAAACAAGUUCAUCUUAUGAACUCCCACUCAGAUAGACAUCCCUCUAGUCAUCUAAGUGAUUACAUGAUCCGAGUCAACUAGGCCGUGUCCGAUCAUCACGUGAGACGGACUAGUCAACAUCGGUGAACAUCUUCAUGUUGAUCGUAUCUUCUAUACGACUCAUGUUCGACCUUUCGGUCUUCUGUGUUCCGACGCCAUGUCUGUACAUGCUAGGCUCGUCAAGUCAACCUAAGUGUUUCGCGUGUGUAAAUCUGGCUUACACUCGUUGUAUAUGAACGCCUGAAUCAAACACCCGAUCAUCACGUGGUGCUUUGAAACAACGAACUGUCGCAACGGUGCACAGUUAGGGGAAACACUUUCUUGAAAUUUUAAUGAGGGAUCAUCUUAUUUACUACCGUCGAUCUAAGCAAAUAAGAUGUAUAAACAUGAUAAACAUCACAUGCAAUCAAAUAGUGACAUGAUAUGGCCAAUAUCAUAUUGCUCCUUUUGAUCUCCAUCUUCGGGGCUCCGUGAUCAUCAUCGUCACCGGCAUGACACCAUGAUCUCCAUCAUCGUGUCUUCUUGAAGUUGUCACAUCAUCUGUUACUUCUACUACUACAGCUAACAGUUAGCAAUAAAGUAAAGUAAUUACAUGACGUUUAUGUUGACACGCAGGUCAUAAAUAAAUUAAGACAACUCCUAUGGCUCCUGCCGGUUGUCAUACUCAUCGACAUGCAAGUCGUGAUUCCUAUUACAAGAACAUGAUCAAUCUCAUACAUCACAUAUAUCAUUCAUCACAUCCUUUGGCCAUAUCACAUCACAUAGCAUACCCUGCAAAAACAAGUUAGACGUCCUCUAAUUGUUGUUUGCAUGUUUUACGUGACUGCUAUGGGUUUCUAGCAAGAACGUUUCUUACCUACGCAAAAACCACAACGUGAUAUGCCAAUUGCUAUUUACCCUUCAUAAGGACCCUUUUCAUCGAAUCCAUUCCGACUAAAGUGGGAGAGACAGACACCCGCUAGCCACCUUAUGCAACUAGUGCAUGUCAAUCGGUGGAACCAGUCUCACGUAAGAGUACGUGUAAGGUCGGUCCGGGCCGCUUCAUCCCACGAUGCCGUCGAAACAAGAUUGGACUAGUAACGGUACGCAUAUUGAACAAAAUCAACGCCCACAACUACUUUGUGUUCUACUCGUGCAUAGAAUCUACGCAAUAGACCUAGCUCUGAUACCACUGUUGGGGAACGUAGCAGAAAUUCAAAAUUUUCCUACGUGUCACCAAGAUCUAUCUAUGGAGAGACUAGCAACGAGGGGAAGGAGAGUGCAUCUACAUACCCUUGUAGAUUGCUAAGCGGAAGCGUUCAAGAGAAUGGGGUUGAUGGAGUCGUACUCGUCGUGAUCCAAAUCACCGGAGAUCCUAGUGUCGAACGGACGGCACCUCCGCGUUCAACACACGUACAGCCCGACGAUGUCUCCCACGCCUUGAUCCAGCAAGGAGAGAGGGAGAGGUUGAGGAAGACUCCAUCCAGCAGCAGCACAAUGGCGUGGUGGUGAUGGAGGAGCAUGGCAAUCCUGCAGGGCUUCGCCAAGCACCACGGGAGAGGAGGAAGAGAGAGGGAGGGCUGCACCAAGAGGCAGAGAUCAGAUCGCGUGUUAUGGGCAGCCCCAUGCCUCACUAUAUAUAGGGGAGAGGGAGGAGGGUGCGCCCCCUCUAGGGUUCCCACCCCUAGGGGGCGGCAGCCCUAGAUGGGAAACAAGGGGCGGCCAAGGGGGAAAGAGAGGGAGGCGCCCCCUAGGGUGGGCCUUAGGCCCAUCUAAGCCUAGGGUUUCCUCCUUUUUUUCCUAGCUGCCCCUUGGGCCUUGUGGGAGGCGCACCAGCCCACUCAGGGGCUGGUCCCUCACCACUCUUAGCCCACGCAAGCCUCCGGGGUUGGUGGCCCCACUUGCUGGACCUCCGGGACCCUCCCGGUGGUCCCGGUACGUUACCGAUAAACCCCGAAACUCUUCCGGUGACCAAAAUAGGACUUCCCAUAUAUAAAUCUUUACCUCCGGACCAUUCCGGAACUCCUCGUGACGUCCGGGAUCUCAUCCGGGACUCCAAACAACAUUCGGUAACCACAUACAAACUUCAUUUAUAACCCUAGCAUCAUCGAACCUUAAGUGUGUAGACCCUACGGGUUCGGGAGACAUGCAGACAUGACCGAGACGUUCUCCGGUCAAUAACCAACAGCGGGAUCUGGAUACCCAUGUUGGCUCCCACAUGCUCCACGAUGAUCUCAUUGGAUGAACUACGAUGUCAAGGACUUAAUCAAUCCCGUAUACAAUUCCCUUUGUCUAGCGGUACGAUACUUGCCCGAGAUUCGAUCGUCGGUAUCCCGAUACCUUGUUCAAUCUCAUUAUCGGCAAGUCUCUUUACUCGUUCCAUAACACAUCAUCCCGUGAUCAACUCCUUGAUCACAUUGUGCACAUUAUGAUGAUGUCCUACCGAGUGGGCCCAGAGAUACCUCUCCGCUUACACGGAGUGACAAAUCCCAGUCUCGAUUCGUGCCAACCCAACAGACACUUUCGGAGAUACCUGUAGUGUACCUUUAUAGUCACCCAGUUACGUUGUGACGUUUGGCACACCCAAAGCACUCCUACGGUAUCCGGGAGUUGCACAAUCUCAUGGUCUAAGGAAAUGAUACUUGACAUUAGAAAAGCUUUAGCAUACGAACUACACGAUCUAGUGCUAUGCUUAGGAUUGGGUCUUGUCCAUCACAUCAUUCUCCUAAUGAUGUGAUCCCAUUAUCAACGACAUCCAAUGUCCAUGGUCAGGAAACCGUAACCAUCUAUUGAUCAACGAGCUAGUCAACUAGAGGCUUACUAGGGACAUGGUGUUGUCUAUGUAUCCACACAUGUAUCUGAGUUUCCUAUCAAUACAAUUCUAGCAUGGAUAAUAAACGAUUAUCAUGAACAAGGAAAUAUAAUAAUAAUCAAUUUAUUAUUGCCUCUACAGCAUAUUUCCAACAUUUAUGUAUAAUCCUUUUAUUAAUUAUCAUGACGUCAUCACUCGUUUUUGUCGGUAAUCAAUCCUUCCUUUUCUAAUUUCGUAGCCCCAACACAUUGAAUCCUAUAGAUCCUUCCUUUUAAUUAUCCUACCUUUUUAUCUUAAAUCCUUCGAGUAGAGUUUAUCAAGACGACAAUCUUUCUUUUAGUUAUUCCACUGGUUUACGCAUAAUCCUUUAUUUAAUUAGCCAGAUCCGUUUAAAUAUUCUAUUUAAGCCCACAAUUCUUCCUUUAUUAGCUCAUUCGCUUAAUUAGCUCGCCCUAAACAUGAUGACUGCCACUCGUAUAUUUAGAGCGAGUUGGGAUUAGUAAAUGUGAAAGGCGCAUAGGUUGUUGUUUGUUACAUCGAAGAGCUAGACAUGAGGUCCUGUGUUCAAUUCCCACAAUGUUGAUUUAUUUUGACGCAAUUAUUUUUCACACAGGUCUCUAUGAAAGUCCAUAAAAGGCCCAUCAACAUACAAGUAUCUGGCCCAAAUCACUUAACGUGUGUAAACCAAACAAAAAGGACCAAACCAAACUAAGAAUACCUAUUCCCUUUAAUAGUAGGUAUAUAGAUAUAGAUGUGACUGCCUACAGUCUUCAACGUUCAAAAAUAAAUAAACACCGUGAGCAGCUCACCUGAAGCAAUAUGACGCCGGUCCCAUCGAAGCUGCACUGGAGACAAUCCCUGAUGUCCUCGAAGAACACCUCAAGCAUGUACCUCUGGGAAUCAUGAUUCAGGUACAGGUCUAUGCGCCGCUUCCCCGGGAUGACCUCCACGCAGACGUUGUCCCAAGUGUCGGCCGCCUCGAAUUCGUGCUCGGCCAUGCGGUUGCCGACAAGGAGGCGGGCGUCGGCCAUGCGAAGAGAAAGGUCGGGCACGCGGGGGAGAAGGUCCGCGGGGGCAGGGGAGACGGAGAGGAGGGAGCCGAGGAAGCGCGAUAGGCGACCGGAGGAGGCGAGUUCGGCGGUGAGGGUUGCGGUGGCGGUGGAAUCAAACUAAACGCUCCCAUCGCCUCGACUUAACCAGCCGCGUCGGGCGGCAGCGAUCUCGCAGGCGUAGGCUUCGCCGGCAGUGGCGACGGCGGAAUCGAGGAAUGCUAAGAGCUCCUUAGUGACGGCGGAGGGCGGGAUAUUGGAGACCCGCACCGUCGCCGUGAAGACGGGCGCCGACACCGCCGUCGCCAUUGGAAUGUAGUGGGGACAGAAGGGUUUGGUGUUCCAGCGUGCUCUUGGGGGUUUGUGUACUCCGAGCAGGUUUAUGUGUAUAAGUGUCUCCCAUGGUCUCAGAAUAUAUAUAUAUCUCUACUUCUAAUAAAGCAGUUGGUAAAAUUAGUUUAGGUUUUUUUCGUCUCCUCACUUUUGUCUGAACAUUUUCAUCCCCUCCUUCCACCCCACUGGUUUAUUUUCAUGUCACCCUCUCACGCAACGAAAAAAUCAAAACAAAUCAAAACUUUCCAUGUUGCCGCAAGUUAUUUAAUAAUGUCUUUAUGUGAAAGAAUCGAUCGCGAUCAAUCUCUAAAGACCAAAUCUAAAUUAAUUAGCCUUACCUUAAAUCAUCCAAUUACAUUAAUUAGGAAACAAAUACACAUUAAUUAGGAAACAAAUCGUCCAGGGUUUUUUUGUCCCACCACUUUCAUUCGGGUUUGUUUUGACUGGUUCUUUUGUCCCCACCCCUCCCCCCACCGGUUUAGUUUUGCAACACUCUCUCACACAACGAAAAAAAACUGAAUAGAUCAGAAUUUUCCAUGUUGUCGCAAGUUAUUUAAUAAUGUAUUUAUGUGAUGGAAUCAAUCGUGAUCAAUCUCUAAAGACCAAAUCUAAAUUAAUUAACCUUACCNNNNNNNNNNNNNNNNNNNNNNNNNNNNNNNNNNNNNNNNNNNNNNNNNNNNNNNNNNNNNNNNNNNNNNNNNNNNNNNNNNNNNNNNNNNNNNNNNNNNNNNNNNNNNNNNNNNNNNNNNNNNNNNNNNNNNNNNNNNNNNNNNNNNNNNNNNNNNNNNNNNNNNNNNNNNNNNNNNNNNNNNNNNNNNNNNNNNNNNNNNNNNNNNNNNNNNNNNNNNNNNNNNNNNNNNNNNNNNNNNNNNNNNNNNNNNNNNNNNNNNNNNNNNNNNNNNNNNNNNNNNNNNNNNNNNNNNNNNNNNNNNNNNNNNNNNNNNNCUUACCUUAAAUCGCCCAAUCACAUUAAUUAGAAAACAAAUAAGGAAAUUUAAGAAAAUCUCUACUUCUAAUGGAGCAGUUGGUAGGAUUGCGUCCAAGGUUUUUUCGUCCCACCACUUUUGUUUGUUUUUUUUGACUGGUUUUUUUUCGUCCCCUCCCUCACCCCACCGGUUUAGUUUCGCAUCACCCUCUCACACAAGGAAAAAAAUCUGAACGGAUCAAAACUUUCCAUGUUGCCGCAAGUUAUUUAGUAAUGUCUCUAUGUGAAAGAAUCAAUCACGAUCAAUCUCUAAACACCAAAUCUAAAUUAAUUAGCCUUACCUUUAAUCGCCCAAUCACAUUAAUUAGAAAACAAAUAACCAAUUUUAAGAAAAUUAAUGUGUAAAUCAUAUAACAAAGAAAUAUCUACUAUUCGUACCAAUGACCGCGUCCUGCCCUCCCUUCGGCGACCCACCCCGCACGAUCGGUUCCUUCCCCCGUCGCUCCCGCGUCGAUAGCCCCUCGUGAAAAAAAGCCCUCCAAGAAAAAUAGGAUCCCUCCCGAUCCAACUUCUCUCACUGACCAAGCCCUAUCCCCAUCCCAAUAUGGUCACCGCCACAAUUGUCAACGUCGCCUACCCUCCUCCAUCUUCUCACAAGCGUCGGGACAUGGCUGUCCUCUAGCAAUGUGCCGCCCACCCACCGACGCCACACACCUACGACGACGAUGUACCGCAUGCGACCCAGCGACUCGAUGCGAAGCCCCGGGCUACUUCUCCAAUGGCGCCCGCCGUUCGUCGGCUUCGUCCUGGUCUUGAAGAAACUUUGGAUGCUAUGGAGACACUUUAGGUGCUGUAAGAAAGCAACUCCUUUUUAUUCCCUAGUAUGACUACCUGUCAGCGACGAGUCUUUAUAAAUUUCUUAUCAUGACUACGAAUUGACUAAAUUCACCUCUAAGUAGUACUAUAGGGAAGCAAACUCUUUUUUGUCCUAGUAGGACUGCCUAUAGGUUCGUUUGUGUCAAGCCGAGAAACUAACACGAAAACAUGAGGCAACUUUAGUGCUACAUGCAAGCAACUUCACUGCACUAUGUGUACAUGUGAAUUUUUGUAACAUUAUCCCAACUUGCCUAUCGUGGCUACUCAAUUGCCUAGGUUGAUGCUCAGUUGCCUAUAAAUACAAUAAAAUUUCCCAUGAUUGAAGCAGAGUUGCCUGCUAAUAGUAAUUAGUUGCCUAUCGUGGCUACUCAAUUGCUUAUAAAUACUACUAGAUCAUGGAUGGCACGCGUUGCUGCGCCCGUCUAUUUGUAAUACUGAAUGUUAGUGUUUGAUACAAAUAUGUGGAGGCAUUAUAUACCUAAACAUUAAGCAAUAGUAAUAGCUACAAGACACCAAUGCUAGUGUUUUGAAACAUAGCACACUUUGUAUGGUAGAAGUAUCAAUGCUGCAUUGAGUUUGUUUGCAAAUAGGUUUCAGAGUGAAGACAAUAAACACAAAGGUUAUUAUGAAAAAUAGGAAAGAAAUAGUUCUAAUGGGAUAUGAAAGGCUCCUUCCUGAUUUAAUGGCAUAUUAUUUUUCGACUGCCGAAAUAACAGUUUACAGGAAACUAUUGCUGGAUAGCCUUAUAAUAUACUACAAAAUUAUUUCUAAGAGCAGUCACAACACUUCACAUGCCAACUUGAAGGCAAAGAUUUACCUACGAUGAAAGAUUGUACCCUUUUUUGUUAAUCAAUGGCAGUUCGGAGGAAGAAAAGGCGAGUUCAAAUGUUAACAGUAGCAAGAUCAUAGAGGAAUGUAGUUUACCUGCUUCCAUUUGUAGCAAUGGAACCACAAAGAUUUACAUGACCUCUGUUUCUUUACUUCGUCUUGCAGGUUUGACAAAUGCACACUUUUUUAUCAACCCAAUCACUUGAUGCUACAUAAAAGUUAGAUUAAAUACUUCAAAGGUCAGAUAGUAGCCACUAAAAGAUUAGAGAUAAUAAUAUAAAUGUAAGAUCACAUAUCACAUCAACAAAGAUAAAAUCUGUGACACCAAGAUGGUUAAUUACUCAUAUACUACGUGUUGAUGCAUCUAACUUUUUUGACAUCACUAUAGGAGGGCAACACUAUUACAAAGGAUGACUGACUGAUGAAAGGUGCACAGAAACCAUCAUAUUUACUCAGUAUUACAUGGUGCAAUUAACUUUGCAGCCAUUAGUAAAUUUCUCAUGUACACAAUGGUGCAUUUAACUUUGCAGUGCCACAUUAUUAGCAAAGGCACUUGAGAGGGAAACUACUAUUUGCUUGGAAGACAUGAGCACAGACAACUAAGUCAGAUUGGUUUUUUAGCAAGUGUAUGCACGACAGACAACACCGGCACUUUAGAAGGUCAGGUCUUCAAUUAAAACAGAUGUGCAGACAGUAAGUACUUACUACAGAAAAUAUGUCCUUGUUAAGCUGAGAUCUCAAUCAAUACAGGCAAGAACUCCACCGACCCGAGUGUUGUUCUUGACAGUGAGCAUGAGCAUGAACCAGGGGGGGCAUGCUGAACUCCUCCUCCUUCCCCUGCUGCCACAAAAGAGAGAAAGAACCAACCAUGACAGUUAGGUGCGGCAAGAAGGUCUGGCUCUUAGUUAGUUAUGGGCGUUGUCGGAUGCUCAAGUCGAUGGGUGGUCCCUCCGCCAUUGACUUGACGGCUGGCUCGUGGGGCAAAGUGCGGUGAUCUGCACGCAGAACAAACCAAAUCAGUUGUGGCAACAUGUACCUUGUAUUGUUGCAGCGCAGUACAUACUUCAAAAAUCAUAUAUGGCAGUCAUUCUAUUCCAAUUUCCAACAAAAUGUGUUACACUAUUAAGGAAACAAACUUUUAAUUCCAAUUUGUAAUUUGUUGUCGAUAAUUCUGACAAUUUAUGUCAAAAUAUUGAAGAGUCGGCUCCACAAAAUACCCUUGUGCAUAACCCUUCUAUUCUCCUGAUAUGUUGCAGCUUUGUUAGACAAAUGAGAACAAAUAGGCAUCAUCUUCUUGCAGUGAAAGAGCAACCAUGUAUCAACAUGAACCUUUGGAUGCAAACUUAGUGCAGGAAUCAAUUUAUCUAGUCUCUUCUUUCCAACGGAUAUAUAUAUAUAUAUAGAAAAAUGGGUUAAUACUCCUAGGAGUACAUACUCCCAUGCCCGUGUCUCUCCUUUAUUACGUGGGAAAAAUUCAGCCGAAACGACCAAACUCAUUGCUCCGAUUUUCUAGGUGUUUUUAUAUGCAUCGUUGGACCAUCCUAUAAAUUUGAGUCCUUAUCCAUCUAUCCCGUCAUCUCAUUUGUGGCCUGCGGCGGCAGCGGCGACGGCUGGCACGGCUGCAGCGACAGCGGCGACGGCUGGCAUGACAGCGACUGCGGCGGACUACACCACCCUCCUAGAGAAGGAGCUCGCUCGGCAGCAGCCUCCAUUGGCAGUUGUUCAUCCUCUCAUUGAUUGGAUCCAGUCUUCUGAGAAUUAGUAUUCAAUCUGCUGCAGAUCUUUUGAGAAACACAAAAGAGGAUCCGAUGUAAUACAAAAGGAGCAUGAUCCAUUUUAUUCCAGAGGUACGUUCAUGUGUUAUCAGUUGGGGCCCAGCUUUCAUUCUGACGACAACUUCUCUAUCUCCCCAACAACAAACAGUAUUUCUUGUGGAUAAGUGGCGGAGGGCGGAGGCCACGGUACACAUGAUGUUCUUGGUCACCGACCAUCCUCUAGGUGUUGACCUGAAGUAAUUGUUUUUUGUAUCUAUCCUACAUGAUUUCUGCAAGCGGUUUCCUUUUGCCAUUUUUUGUGACCUGUGGAAGUGAUGAAUGUUAUAUCUACCGAGCAGUAGCAUCGAUGGCCAAGGGUGCAGCGCAAAGAUGACAGCGGCCGAUGGUGGUCUGACCUCCUGUAAUCAAGCACAUGUCGUGACGCAAACUUGAACGUGUUCACAUAGCCACCACUGAUGCAUAUACAUGAAUGCUUUAUCAUGUACUGUAUGAAUGGAACAACUAUAGCAGGUUUCUUUGCACUUUUGCAAACAAGCCAUUUUUGUUACCAGUGAUCAAACAUGUGCAUACUUCUUAUUACGUGUAUACGUAUACUCUUUUUUGGUGAAUAAAUUCUUAUGCGAGCUUACCAUACUAAUUUUUCUUUUUCUUAAUAACACAGUAUAUACUCUUUGAUAAAAAAAAGUAUAUAAUUGAUAAAUAAUGUGGUAUAUACUCUCGGAUACAAAAAUAACAUAUAUACUCAAUCACAAUUUUGCAAUAUAUAUACUCUCUUGUAUAACGAAGACAUAUAUUUCCUCACAAAUGAUGUAAGUAUAUACUUCUUUAGAAAAAAAGUAUAUACUCCCUCAGAAAAGAUGUGUUGCAUACUCUCCCAUAAGAUAUUAAGUAUAUACUUCCUCACAAAUGAAGUUGCACGCACUUACUCACAACAUGUAGUAUAUACUUCCUCAAAAAAGAUCAGGUAUAUGCACUUUCAUAAAACAGAAGCAUAUACUUCUUAAAAAAAUGUAGUAUAAACUAUCUUGUAGAAAAAUAGAGUAUAUACUAUCUCACGGCAGAAGCAUAUACUCCCAUAUCUACAGAAAUAAAAAGUAUAAUACUCAAUACAAUAGGAUCAGGGUAGUGUAGACCCGUCAAACAACUAACAACCAGAUUAGAUAAAUAGAUUAGCAUGCACCGUUCCUUCUUUUUAGGGAGUAGCUAUGCAUACAAACUUAAUUUGUUAGUCUUUUUUACUAAUUAGCACGUCCACACCUUUAAACCUUAUCCAUUGUGAGUGAGAGUACAUACUCUUGGGAGUACAAAAGAGAAGUCCCCGAUUCUCCCAAAAACAGGGGAUGAAGAUGAGAGGUGGGGGCUCUAGAAGGGGCUCCGGCAACCACGGCCAGGUCCUCACGCACUGCGGCUGACUGGAUCGAUCGGCCCCCGAUUCAGCCACAUCCCACGCCGGAUCCCUUCGCAAGCCUCACCUCAACUUGAUCCCCACCCGUGCCUUGGCUGGAUUGACCCAGAUCGCCCGCGUCGCCGCAUCGAGCGCCUCCGAGUGCAUACAGCGCGUGAUCUAGUGAUGAGACGUGGCCCCCUGGAGCAAUGAUGAGCGGUGGGUGGAUCGGAGAGGCAAUGAACGGUGGACGACGAGGAAGCCUCAUUCUCCGAGGCCAUCUCAGGCGGCGCCGUCGGAACAGAACAGGUCGCGAACCUGUUUAGGGUUUGUCUGUGGCGUUUCACCCUGUGCGCUGUGUUGGAUAGGACGGUAGAAAAGGCCAUGAUGGUAGAAAAGGCCCAAAAGGCCAGUAGGCCCAAUUAAACGUGAGACAACCAAAAAAGCCAUCGGAGCAGCAGCCCACAAAGCCCAGCACAGCCUGACGCACGAGUUAGCGCUUGCCUACGAGAAUUAGGUGGGACUAACAGUGAAUCCGACGGCCAAAAACGAUUAAAAGUGUCGAUCUAACGGCUAGAAAUGCUAAUGCCUGAGAGGGUUGGAAGGGUGCUCAGUUUUAAUAUAUCCAAAUGAAUUGUCUACCAUUGAUGCCAUAUGAGAAUAAUGGUGGUUCUAUUUAUAUGAGAGACAUGUUUUAUGGUCAUGCCCCGUUGGUCAAUGGUUUAUUCUUAUUCAAUCUCGAACGUGAUGUUACACAUAUUCAUAGUGUGAAUGCCAAAAGAUGUAAGGUUGAUAAUGAUAGUCCCACAUACUUGUGGCACUGCCGCCUUGGUCACAUUGGUGUCAAACGCAUGAAGAAACUCCAUGCAGAUGGACUUUUGGAGUCUCUUGAUUAUGAAUCAUUUGACACGUGCGAACCAUGCCUCAUGGGCAAAAUGGCAAAGACUCCGUUCUCCGGAACAAUGGAGCGAGCAACCAACUUAUUGGAAAUCAUACAUACUGAUGUGUGCGGUCCAAUGAGCGUUGAGGCUCGCGGUGGUUAUCAUUAUGUUCUCACCCUCACUGAUGACUUAAGUAGAUAUGGGUAUGUCUACUUAAUGAAACACAAGUCUGAGACCUUUGAAAAGUUUAAGGAAUUUUAGAGUGAGGUUGAGAAUCAACGUGACAGGAAAAUCAAGUUCUUACGAUCAUAUCAUGGGGGGAAUAUUUGAGUCACGAAUUUGGCACACACUUAAGGAAAUGUGGAAUUGUUUCACAACUCACGCCGCCUGGAACACCUUAGCGUAAUGGUGUGUUCGAACGUUGUAAUCACACUCUAUUAGAUAUGGUGCGAUCUAUGAUGUCUCUUACCGAUUUACCGCUACCAUUUUGGGGUUAUGUUAUAGAGAAUGCCGCAUUCUCUUUAAAUAUGACUCCGUCGAAAUCCGUUGAGAUGACACCGUAUGAAUUGUGGUUUGGGAAGAAACCUAAGUUGUCGUUUCUGAAAGUUUGGGGAUGCGAUGCUUAUGUCAAGAAAUUUCAACCUGAAAAGCUCGAACCCAAAUCGGAAAAAUGCGUCUUCAUAGGAUACCCUAAGGAAACUAUUGGGUAUACCUUCUACCUCAGAUCUGAAGGCAAGAUGUUUGUUGCCAAGAAUGGAUCCUUUCUAGAGAAAGAGUUUCUCUCAAAAGAAGUGGGUGGGAGGAAAGUAGAACAUGAUGAAGUAUUGCCUCUUGAAUCGGAGAGUAGCGCAGCUCAAGAAAAUAUUUCUGUGGUGCCUGCACUGAUUAGAGAGGAAGUUAAUGAUGAUGAUCAUGAAACUUCAGAGCAAGUUGCUACUGAACUUCAUAGGUUCACAAGGACACGUUCCGCACCAGAGUGGUACGGCAACCAUGUCCUGGAAAUCAUGUUGUUAGACAAUGGUGAACCUUUGAACUAUGAAGAAGCAAUGGCGGGCCGGGAUUCCGACAAAUGGCUUGAAGCCAUGAAAUCCGAGAUAGGAUCCAUGUAUGAAAACGAAGUAUGGACUUUGACAGACUUGCCCGAUGAUCAGCGAGCCAUAGAAAAUAAAUGGAUCUUUAAGAAGAAGACAAACGCGGAUGGUAAUGUAACCAUCUAUAAGGCUCGGCUUGUCGCUAAGGGUUAUCGACAAGUUCAAGGGGUUGACUACGAUGAGACCUUCUCACCCAUAGUGAAGCUGAAGUUUGUCCGAAUCAUGUUAGCAAUUGCCGCAUUCUAUGAUUAUGAGAUAUGGCAAAUGGACGUCAAAACGGCAUUCCUUAAUGGUUUCCUUAAGGAAGAAUUGUAUAUGAUGUAGCCGGAAGGUUUUGUCGAUCCUAAGAAUGCUGACAAGGUAUGCAAACUCCAACGCUCGAUCUAUGAGUUGGUGCAAGCAUCUCGGAGUUGGAACAUUCUUUUUGAUGAGAUGAUCAAAGCGUUUGGGUUUACGCAGAUUUAUGGAGAAGUCUGUGUUUACAAGAAAGUGAGUGGGAGCUCUGUAGCAUUUCUCAUAUUAUAUGUGGAUGACAUACUACUGAUGGGAAAUGAUAUAGAACUCUUGGAAAGCAUAAAGGCCUACUUGAAUAAGUGUUUUUCAAUGAAGGACCUUGGAGAAGCUGCUUACAUAUUAGGCAUCAAGAUCUAUAGAGAUAGAUCGAGACGCCUCAUUGGUCUUUCAAAAAGCACGUACCUUGACAAGAUAUUGAAGAAGUUCAAUAUGGGUCAGUCCAAGAAGGGGUUCUUGCCUGUAUUGCAAGGUGUGAGAUUGAGCACGACUCAAUGCCCGACCACGGAAGAAGAUAGGGAAAAGAUGAGUGUCAUCCCCUAUGCCUCGGCCAUAGGGUCUAUUAUGUAUGCCAUGAUGUGUACCAGACCUGAUGUAAACCUUGUCGUAAGUUUGGUGGGAAGGUACCAAAGUAAUCCCGGCAUGGAACACUGGACAGCGGUCAAGAAUAUCCUGAAGUACCUGAAAAGGACUAAGGAUAUGUUUCUCAUUUAUGGAGGCGACGAAGAGCUCGUCGUAAAGGGUUACGUUGAUGCUAGCUUCGACACAGAUCUGGAUGACUCCAAGUCACAAACCGGAUACAUGUAUAUUUUGAAUGGUGGGGCAGUCAGCUGGUGCAGUUGCAAGCAAAGCGUCGUGGCGGGAUCUACAUGUGAAGCGGAGUACAUGGCAGCCUCGGAGGCAGCACAUGAAGCAAUCUGGAUGAAGGAGUUCAUUACCGACCUAGGAGUUAUUCCCAAUGCGUCGGGCCUGAUAACUCUCUUAUGUGACAACACUGGAGCUAUUGGCCUUGCCAAGGAGCCCAGGUUUCACAAGAAGACCAGGCAUAUCAAGCAUCGCUUGAACUCCAUUCAUGAAAAUGUUCAAGAUGGAGACAUAGAGAUUUGUAAAGUGCAUACGGACCUGAAUGUCGCAGAUCCGUUGACUAAACCUCUUCCACGUGCAAAGCAUGAUCAACACCAGAACUCUAUGGGUGUUCGAUUCAUCACAAUGUAACUAGGUUAUUGACUCUAGUGCAAGUGGGAGACUGUUGGAAAUAUGCCCUAGAGGCAAUAAUAAAAAGGUUAUUAUUAUAUUUCCUUGUUCAUGAUAAUUGUCUAUUGUUCAUGCUAUAAUUGUAUUAUCCAGAAAUCGUAAUACAUGUGUGAAUACAUAGACCACAAUGUGUCCCUAGUGAGCCUCUAGUUGACUAGCUCGUUGAUCAAUAGAUGGUUACGGUUUCCUAACCAUGGACAUAGGAUGUCACUGAUAACGGGAUCACAUCAUUAUGUGAUGGACAAGACCCAAUCCUAAGCAUAGCACAAGAUCGUGUAGUUCAUCUGCUAAAGCUUUUCUAAUGUCAAGUAUCCUUUCCUUAGACCAUGAGAUUGUGCAACUCCCGGAUACCGUAAGGGUACUUUGGGUGUGCCAAACAUCACAACGUAACUGGGUGGCUAUAAAGGUACACUACGGGUAUCCCCGAAAGUAUCUGUUGGGUUGGCAUGAAUCGAGACUGUGAUUUGUCACUCCGUAUGACGGAGAGGUAUCUCUGGGCCCACACGGUAGGACAUCAUCAUAAUGAGCUCAAUGUGAUCAAUGAGUUGUUUAUGGGAUGAUGUGUUACGGGAACGAGUAAAGAGACUUACCAUGACGAGAUUGAACAAGGUAUCGGUAUACCGACGAUCGAAUCUCGGGCAAGUAUCGUACCGAUAAACAAAGAGAAUUGUAUACGGGAUUGAUUAAAUCCUCGACAUCGUGGUUCAUCCGAUGAGAUUAUCAUGGAGCAUGUGGGAUCCAACAUGGGUAUCCAGAUCCCGCUGUUGGUUAUUGACCGGAGAGUUGUCUCGGUCAUGUCUACGUGUCUCCGAACCCGUAGGGUCUACACACUUAAGGUUCGGUGACGCUAGAGUUGUACAGAUAUUAGUAUGCGGUUAACCAAAAGUUGUUCGGAGUCCCGGAUGAGAUCCCGGACAUCAAGAGGAGUUUCGGAAUGGUCCGGAGGUAAAGAUUUAUAUAUAUGAAGUCCAGUUUCGGCCACCGGGAGAGUUUCGGGGGUCACUGGUAUUGUACCAGGACCACCAGAAGGGUCCCGGGGGUCCACCGGGUGGGGCCACCUAUCUCGGAGGGCCCCAUGGGCUGAAGUGGCAAGGGAACCAGCCCCUGGUGGGCUGGUGCGCCCCACCCAAGGGCCCAAGGCACCUAGGGUUGGAAACCCUAGUGGGCCGUUGCCCCCCGAGGGGGCAUGCGCCCCCUGGUUGGAAACCCUAAGGGGGACGUUGCCCCGAGGGGCCGCCGCCCCCCCUCUAGAUGGGAUCUCCAAGGGGGCAUGCGCCCCCCUAGCCCCUAUAUAUAGUGGAGGGGAGGGAGGGCAGCCGCAACCUAAGCCCUGGCGCCUCCCUCUCCCUCCCGUGGCACCUCUUCCUCCUCUAGUAGUGCUUGGCGAAGCCCUACUGGAAUCCCGUUGCUUCCACCACCACGUCGUCGUGCUGUUGGAUCUCCAUCAACUUCUCCUCCCCCCUUGCUAGAUCAAGAAGGAGGAGACAUCUCCGCUCUGUACGUGUGUUGAACGCGGAGGUGCCGUCCGUUCGGCGCUAGGAUCAUCGGUGAUUUGGGUCACGACGAGUACGACUCCAUCAACCCCGUUCUCUUGAACUCUUCCGAUCGCGAUCUAUAAGGGUAUGUAGAUGCACUCCUCUCUCUCUAGUUGCUAGAUGACUCCAUAGAUUGAUCUUGGUGAUGCGUAGAAAAUUUUAAAUUUCUGCUACAAUCCCCAACAAUGUUCUCAUUGGGCAUGACACCACACUUGUUGGUGGCGAUGACUUAAGGAAGUUCAUCAAGGACUUAAACCUUGGCCAUGGGGAGCUUGUUGUUUUUCUCAUGAUUGGACGUAUCGCCAAAGCGUUUGUGUGCUGUUUCGAUGGAGUUUUUUGUUGGAGAUCAAGCUGAAGCAGCAGAGGGUGUUGUAUCUAAUCAUGAUGAGGAAGGAAGAGCAAUGUGUUUUUUUGCCUGUGUUUUCUUUUUUGGAUUUUUGCAGUUGGGUAACUAUAAAUGAAUAAUAAUGCAUGGGAAAUGAUAAUCACAUAAACUGAAAACAUUACAAGAGUUUUAUUUACUAGUGGUCUAACAACAUUUUUUUGACAGCGUAAGCAUCAGUACGAAGCGCCCCUCUGUUACUAGGCUGAUGCAGUUUUUAUAGGUUAUUAUCAGGAUGUUUUUUUAGCAUCCUGAAAUGCUAGUAUGACAUCUUUUAAUCUAUGUGUUUGUUUUUCUGUUUGAAAAAUAUUUUUUGAAGGUCCUAUCUAAUUUUUUUGUUCUUUUUGCUAUGAACUAGGAUGGUGUGCGCAGUUUGCUUUGCUCAUUGCAAUGCGGGCAACAACGAGAGCUUCAACAUAUUUUUUUGCGUGGAUGAAACCUUGGUGGUAAGCUUUUCAUGCCUCCCAGUUGCAAUAGCCCAGCUGCAAGUCCACCAUUGACUUGCAAUUGUGGCCCCAUAGUUUUUGUUUCAUUUUUCCACUUGCAAGUGAAGCCUCGACUUUGCAACUAGGUUUUUUGUUUGAUGCCACUUGCACGUCGACCCUCGACUUGAAACUGGAUCUUUUGUUUUAUGCCACUUUCAAGUUGACCCUUGACUAGCAAUUGGGUCUUCUAUUUUUAUGCCACUUGCAAAUAAACCCUCGAUUUGCAACCGGGUUCUUUUGUUUGAUGCCAUUUGCCAACCGAGCAUUGACUCGGAACUGUGUUUAUUCUCUAGUUGUAAUAGCCCCAGUUGCAAGUCCACCAUCAACUCACAAUUGUGGGCCCGUAGUUUUUGUUUCAUUUCCACUUGCAAGUGAAGCCUCGACUUGCAACUAUGCUUUUUGUUUGAUGCCACUUGCAAGUUGACCCUUGACUUGCCAUUGGGUCUUUUUGUUUGAUGCCACUUGCAAGUUGACCCUCGACUUGUAACCGGGUUCUUUGUUUGAUGCCUCUUGCAAGUUGACCCUUGACUCGCAACCGUUCUGCUUGUCUAGUUGUAAUAGCCCCAGUUGCAAGCCACUGCAAGCCACCCCUCGACUUGCAACUAGGUUUUUGGUUUGAUGCCACUUGCAAGUCGACCCUCAGCUUGGAACUAGGUUUUUUGUUUGAUGCCACUCACAAGUCGACCCUCGACUUGGAACUAGGUCUUUUGUUUUAUGCCACUUGCAAGUCGACCCUCGACUCGCAACUGAGUUCUUUGUUUGAUGCCACUUGCAAGUCCAGGUGGGAGACAUAGAAAUUUGCAAGAUACAUACAGAUUUGAAUGUUGAAGACCCGUUGACUAAGCCUCUUCCACGAGCAAAACAUGAUCAGCACCAAGGCUCCAUGGGUGUUAGAAUCAUUACUGUGUAAUCUAGAUUAUUGACUCUAGUGCAAGUGGGAAACUAAAGGAAAUAUGCCCUAAAGGCAAUAAUAAAGUUAUUAUUUAUUUCCUUAUUUCAUGAUAAAUGUUUAUUAUUCAUGCUAGAAUUGUAUUAACCGGAAACAUGAUACAUGUGUGAAUACAUAGACAAACAGAGUGUCACUAGUAUGCCUCUACUUGACUAGCUCGUUGAUCAAAGAUGGUUAUGUUUCCUAGCCAUAGACAAAGAGUUGUCAUUUGAUUAACGGGAUCACAUCAUUAGGAGAAUGAUGUGAUUGACUUGACCGAUUUCGUUAGCUUAGCACAUGAUCGUUUAGUUUGUUGCUAUUGCUUUCUUCAUGACUUAUACAUGUUCCUAUGACUAUGAGAUUAUGCAACUCCUGUUUACCCGAGGAAAACUUUGUGUGCCACCAAACGUCACAACGUAACUGGGUGAUUAUAAAGGUGCUCUACAGGUGUCUCCAAAGGUACUUGUUGGGUUGGCGUAUUUCGAGAUUAGGAUUUGUCACUCCAAUUGUCGGAGAGGUAUCUCUGGGCCCACUCGGUAAUGCACAUCACUAUAAGCCUUGCAAGCAUUGCAACUAAUGAGUUAGUUGCGGGAUGAUGUAUUACGAAACGAUUAACGAGACUUGCCCGUAACGAUAUUGAACUAGGUAUUGAGAUACCGACGAUCGAAUCUCGAGCAAGUAACAUACCGAUGACAAAGGGAACAACAUAUCUUGUUAUGCGGUCUGACCGAUAAGAUCUUCGUAGAAUAUGUAGGAGCCAAUAUGGGCAUCCAGGUCCCGCUAUUGGUUAUUGACCAGAGAGGUGUCUCGGUCAUGUCUACAUAGUUCUUGAACCCAUAGGGUCUGCACGCUUAACAUUCGUUGACGAUAUAGUACUAUAUGAGUUAUGUAUGUUGGUGACCGAAUGUUGUUCGGAGUCCGGGAUGAGAUCACGGACAUGACGAGGAACUUUGGAAUGGUCCAAAGAUAAAGUUUGAUAUAUGGGAUAAUAGUGUUUGGUCACCGGAAGGGUUCCGGAAUUCACCGGAAGGGGUUCCAGAUGUUUCCCGAAAUGUUUGGGUACGAGAACACUUUAUUUGGGCCAAAGGGGAAAGCCCACAAGGUUUUUGGAAAGCUCAAAAGAAAAUUUUGCGGAGUUCAGGGGCCAGGCGCCAGGGUCCCUGGUGUCUGGGUCCAGACGCCGAGAACCCUGGCGUCUGGCCCUGGAGUCCGAGAAGGACUCUUGCCAUUCGGGUGAAACCGACUUUGUGGAGGCUUUUACUCCAAGUUUUCGACCCCAACGCUCAACAUACAAAUAGAGGGGUAGGGCUAGCACCCAAGAAACAUCAAGAAACACCAAGCCGUGUGCCGGGAACCCCGUCCCCUCUAGUUUAUCCUCCGUCAUAGUUUUCGUAGUGCUUAGGCAAAGCCUUGUGGAGAUUGUUCUUCAUCAACACCGUCACCACGCCGUUGUGCUGCCGAAACUCAUCUACUACUUCGCCCCUCUUGCUGGAUCGAGAAGGCGAGGACGUCAUCGAGCCGAACGUGUGCAGAACUCGGAGGUGUCGUGCUUUCGGUACUUGGAUCGGUCAGACGUGAAGACGUAUGACUACAUCAACUGCGUUGAUAUAACGCUUCCACGAAUGGUCUACGAGGAUACAUAGACAACACUCUCCCCUCUUGUUGCUAUGCAUCACCAUGAUAUUGCGUGUGCGUAGGAAUUUUUUUGAAAUUACUACGUUCCCCAACAGUCGUAUCAUAGCCAGGUUUUAUGCGUUGAUGUUAUAUGCACGAGUAGAACACAAAUGAGUUGUGGGCGAUAUAAGUCAUACUGCUUACCAGCAUGUCAUACUUUGGUUUGGCGGUAUUGUUGGAUGAAGCGGCCCGGACCGACAUUACGCGUACGCUUACACGAGACUGGUUCUAUCGACGUGCUUUGCACACAGGUGGCUGGCGGGUGUCAGUUUCUCCAACUUUAGUUGAAUCGAGUGUGGCUAUGACCGGUCCUUGCGAAGGUUAAAACAACACCAACUUGACAAACUAUCAUUGUGGUUUUGAUGCGUAGGUAAGAACGGUUCUUGCUAAGCCCAUAGCAGCCACGUAAAACUUGCAACAACAAAAUAGAGGGCGUCUAACUUGUUUUUGCAGGGCAUGUUGUGAUGUGAUAUGGUCAAGACAUGAUGCUAAAUUUUAUUGUAUGAGCUGAUCAUGUUUUGUAACCGAGUUAUCGGCAACUGGCAGGAGCCAUAUGGUUGUCGCUUUAUUGUAUACAAUGCAAUCACGCUGUAAUGCUUUACUUUAUCACUAAGCGGUAGCGAUAGUCGUGGAAGCAUAAGAUUGGCGAGACAACAAUGAUGCUACGAUGGAGAUCAAGGUGUCGCGCCGGUGAUGAUGGUGAUCAUGACGGUACUUCGGAGAUGGAGACCACAAGUACAAGAUGAUGAUGGCCAUAUCAUAUCACUUAUAUUGAUUGCAUGUGAUGUUUAUCUUUUAUGCAUCUUAUCUUGCUUUGAUUGACGGUAGCAUUAUAAGAUGAUCUCUCACUAAAUUUCAAGAUAAAAGUGUUCUUCCUGAGUAUGCACCGUUGCCAAAGUUCAUCGUGCCCAGAUACCACGUGAUGAUCGGGUGUGAUAAGCUCUACGUCCAUCUACAACGGGUGCAAGCCAGUUUUUGCACAUGCAGAAUACUCAGGUUAAACUUGACGAGCCUAGCAUAUGCAGAUAUGGCCUCGGAACACUGAGACCGAAAGGUCGAGCGUGAAUCAUAUAGUAUAUAUGAUCAACAUAUUGAUGUUCACCAUUGAAAGCUACUCCAUUUCACGUGAUGAUCGGUUAUGGUUUAGUUGAUUUGGAUCACGUGAUCACUUAGAAGAUUAGAGGGAUGUCUUUCUAAGUGGGAGUUCUUAAGUAAUAUGAUUAAUUUAACUUAAAUUUAUCAUGAACUUAGUACCUAAUAGUAUUUUGCUUGUCUAUGUUGAUUGUAGAUAGAUGGCACGUGAUGUUGUUCCGUUGAAUUUUAAUGCGUUCCUUGAGAAAGCAAAGUUGAAAGAUGAUGGUAGCAAUUACAUGGACUGGGUCCGUAACUUGAUGAUUAUCCUCAUUGCUGCACAGAAGAAUUACGUCCUAGAAGCACCGCUAAGUGCCAAGCCUACUGCAGGAGCAACACCAGAUGUUAUGAAUGUCUGGCAGAGCAAAGCUGAUGACUACUCAAUAGUUCAGUGUGCCAUGCUUUACGGCUUAGAACCAGGUCUUCAACGACGUUUUGAAUGUCAUGGAGCAUAUGAGAUGUUCCAGGAGUUGAAGUUAAUAUUUUAAGCAAAUGCCCGGAUUGAGAGAUAUGAAGUCUCCAAUAAGUUCUAUAGCUGCAAGAUGGAGGAGAAUAGUUCUGUCAGUGAACAUAUACUCAAAAUGUCUAGGUAUCAUAAUCACUUGACUCAACUGGGAGUUAAUCUUCCUGUUGAUAGUGUCAUUGAUAGAGUUCUUCAAUCACUGCCACCAAGCUACAAGAGCUUCGUGAUGAACUAUAACAUGCAAGGGAUGGAUAAGACGAUUCCUGAGCUCUUCGCAAUGCUAAAGGCUGCGGAGGUAGAAAUCAAGAAGGAGCAUCAAGUGUUGAUGGUUAAUAAGACCGCCAGUUUCAAGAAAAAGGGCAAAGGGAAGAAGAAGGGGAACUUCAAGAAGAACAGCAAACAAGUUGUUGCUCAGGAGAAGAAACCCAAAUCUGGACCUAAGCCUGAAACUGAGUGCUUCUACUGCAAGCAUACUGGACACUGGAAGCGGAACUGCCCCAAGUAUUUGGCGAAUAAGAAGGAUGGCAAGGUGAACAAAGGUAUAUGUGAUAUACAUGUUAUUGAUGUGUACCUUACUAGAGCUCACAGUAGCACCUGGGUAUUUGAUACUGGUUCUGUUGCUAAUAUUUGCAACUCGAAACAGGGACUACGGAUUAAGCGAACACUGGCAAAGGACGAGGUGACGAUGCGCGUGGGAAAUGGUUCCAAAGUCGAUGUGAUCGCAGUCGGCAUGCUACCUCUACAUCUACCUUCGGGAUUAGUAUUAGACCUAAAUAAUUGUUAUUUGGUGCGAGCGUUGAGCAUGAACAUUAUAUUUGGAUCUUGUUUGAUGCGAGACGGUUAUUCAUUUAAAUCAGAGAAUAAUGGUUGUUCUAUUUAUAUGAGUAAUAUCUUUUAUGGUCAUGCACCCUUGAAGAGUGGUCUAUUUUUGAUGAAUCUCGAUAGUAGUGAUACACAUAUUCAUAAUGUUGAAGCCAAAAGAUGCAGAGUUGAUAAUGAUAGUGUAACUUAUUUGUGGCACUACCGUUUAGGUCAUAUCGGUGUAAAGCGCAUGAAGAAACUCCAUACUGAUGGACUUUUGGAAUCACUUGAUUAUGAAUCACUUGGUACUUGCGAACCGUGCCUCAUGGGCAAGAUGACUAAAACGCCGUUCUCCGGUACUAUGGAGAGAGCAACAGAUUUGUUGUAAACCAUACAUACAGAUGUAUAUGGUCCGAUGAAUGUUGAGGCUCAUGGCGGAUAUCGUUAUUUUCUCACCUUCACAGAUGAUUUAAGCAGAUAUGGGUAUAUCUACUUAAUGAAACAUAAAUCUGAAACAUUUUGAAAAGUUCAAAGAAUUUCAGAGUGAAGUUGAAAAUCAUCAUAAUAAGAAAAUAAAAUUUCUACGAUCUGAUCGUGGAGGAGAAUAUUUGAGUUACGAGUUUGGUCUACAUUUGAAACAAAGCGGAAUAGUUUCGCAACUCAUGCCACCCGGAACACCACAGCGUAAUGGUGUGUCCGAACGUCGUAAUCGUACCUUACUAGAUAUGGUGCGACCUAUGAUGUCUCUUACUGAUUUACCGCUAUCGUUUUGGGGUUAUGCUUUAGAGACGGCCGCAUUCACGUUAAAUAGGGCACCAUCGAAAUCCGUUGAGACGACGCCUUAUGAACUAUGGUUUGGCAAGAAACCAAAGUUGUCGUUUCUUAAAGUUUGGGGCUGCGAUGCUUAUGUGAAAAAGCUUCAACCUGAUAAGCUCGAACCCAAAUCGGAUAAAUGUGUCUUCAUAGGAUACCCAAAGGAGACUGUUGGGUACACCUUCUAUCACAGAUUCGAAGGCAAGACAUUCGUUGCUAAGAAUGGAUCCUUUCUAGAGAAGGAGUUUCUCUCGAAAGAAGUGAGUUGGAGGAAAGUAGAACUUGAUGAGGUAACUGUACCUGCUCCCUUAUUGAAAAGUAGUUCAUCACAGAAAUCGGUUUCUGUGACACCUACACCAAUUAGUGAGGAAGUUAAUGAUGAUGAUCAUGGAACUUCAGAUCAAGUUAUUACUGAACCUCGUAGAUCAACCAGAGUAAGAUCCGCACCAGAGUGGUAUGGUAAUCCUAUUCUGGAAGUCAUGCUACUAGAUCAUGAUGAACCUACGAACUAUGAAGAAGCGAUGGUGAGCCCAGAUUCUGCAAAAUGGCUAGAAGCCAUGAAAUCUGAGAUGGGAUCCAUGUAUGAGAACAAAGUGUGGACUUUGGUUGACUUGCCCAUUGAUCGGCAAGCAAUUGAGAAUAAAUGGAUCUUCAAGAAGAAGACUGACGCUGACGGUAAUGUUACUGUCUACAAAGCUCGACUUGUUGCGAAAGGUUUUUGACAAGUUCAAGGGAUUGACUACGAUGAGACCUUCUCACCCGUAGCGAUGCUUAAGCCUGUCCGAAUCAUGUUAGCAAUUGCCGCAUUUUAUGAUUAUGAAAUUUGGCAGAUGGAUGUCAAAACUGCAUUCCUGAAUGGAUUUCUAGAAGAAGAGUUGUAUAUGAUGCAACCGGAAGGUUUUGUCGAUCCAAAGGGAGCUAACAAAGUGUGCAAGCUCCAGCGAUCCAUUUAUGGACUGGUGCAACCCUCUCGGAGUUGGAAUAAACGCUUUGAUAGAGUGAUCAAAGCAUUUGGUUUUGUACAGACUUUUGGAGAAGCCUGUAUUUACAAGAAAGUGAGUGGGAGCUCUGUAGCAUUUCUGAUAUUAUAUGUGGAUGACAUAUUACUAAUUGGAAAUGAUAUCGAAUUUCUGGAUAGCAUAAAGGGAUACUUGAAUAAAAGUUUUUUAUGAAAGACCUCGGUGAAGCUGCUUACAUAUUGGGCAUCAAGAUCUAUAGAGAUAGAUCAAGACGCUUAAUUGGACUUUCACAAAGCACAUACCUUGACAAAGUUUUGAAAAAGUUCAAAAUGGAUCAAGCAAAGAAAGGGUUCUUGCCCGUGUUACAAGGUGUGAAGUUGAGUAAGACUCAAUGCCCGACCACUACUUCAGCCAUAGGCUCUAUCAUGUAUGCUAUGCUGUGUACCAGACCUGAUGUGUGCCUUGCUAUAAGUCUAGCAGGGAGGUACCAAAGUAAUCCAGGAGUGGAUCACUGGACAGCGGUCAAGAAUGUCCUGAAAUACCUGAAAAGGACUAAGGAUAUGUUUCUCGUUUAUGGAGGUGACAAAGAGCUCAUCGUAAAUGGUUACGUUGAUGCAAGCUUUGACACUGACCCGGAUGAUUCUAAAUCACAAACCGGAUACGUCUUUAUAUUAAACGGUGGAGCUGUCAGUUGGUGCAGUUCUAAACAAAGCAUCGUGGCGGGAUCUACGUGUGAAGCGGAGUACAUAGCUGCUUCGGAAGCAGCAAAUGAAGGAAUAUGGAUGAAGGAGUUCAUAUCCGAUCUAGGUGUCAUACCUAGUGCAUCGGGUCCAAUGAAAAUCUUUUGUGACAAUACUGGUGCAAUUGCCUUGGCAAAGGAAUACAGAUUUCACAAGAGAACCAAGCACAUCAAGAGACGCUUCAAUUCCAUCCGGGAUUUAGUCCAGGUGGGAGACAUAGAAAUUUGCAAGAUACAUAUGGAUUUGAAUGUUGCACACCCGUUGACUAAGCCUCUUCCACGAGCAAAACAUGAUCAGCACCAAGGCUCCAUGGGUGUUAGAAUCAUUACUGUGUAAUCUAGAUUAUUGACUCUAGUGCAAGUGGGAGACUGAAGGAAAUAUGCCCUAGAGGCAAUAAUAAAGUUAUUAUUUAUUUCCUUAUUUCAUGAUAAAUGUUUAUUAUUCAUGCUAGAAUUGUAUUAACCGGAAACAUGAUACAUGUGUGAAUACAUAGACAAACAGAGUGUCACUAGUAUGCCUCUACUUGACUAGCUCGUUGAUCAAAGAUGGUUAUGUUUCCUAGCCAUAGACAAAUAGUUGUCAUUUGAUUAACGGGAUCACAUCAUUAGGAGAAUGAUGUGAUUGACUUGACCCAAUCUGCUAGCUUAGCACAUGAUCAUUUAGUUUGUUGCUAUUGCUUUCUUCAUGACUUAUACAUGUUCUUAUGACUAUGAGAUUAUGCAACUCCCGUUUACCGGAGGAACACUUUGUGUGCCACCAAACAUCACAACGUAACUGGGUGAUUAUAAAGGUGCUCUACAGGUGUCUCCAAAGGUACUUGUUGGGUUGGCGUAUUUCGAGAUUAGGAUUUGUCACUCCGAUUGUCGGAGAGGUAUCUCUGGGCCCACUCGGUAAUGCACAUCACUAUAAGCCUUGCAAGCAUUGCAACUAAUGAGUUAGUUGCGAGAUGAUGUAUUACGGAACGAGUAAAGAUACUUGCCGGUAACGAGAUUGAACUAGGUAUUGAGAUACCGACGAUCGAAUCUCGAGCAAGUAACAUAUCGAUGACAAAGGGAACAACAUAUGUUGUUAUGCGGUCUGACGAUAAAGAUCUUCGUAGAAUAUGUAGGAGCCAAUAUGGGCAUCCAGGUCCCGCUAUUGGUUAUUGACCAGAGAGGUGUCUCGGUCAUGUCUACAUAGUUCUCGAACCCGUAGGGUCCGCACGCUUAACGUUCGUUGACAAUAUAGUACUAUAUGAGUUAUGUAUGUUGGUGACUGAAUGUUGUUCGGAGUCCGGGAUGAGAUCACGGACAUGACGAGGAACUCCGGAAUGGUCCGGAGAUAAAGUUUUAUAUAUGGGAUAAUAGUGUUUGGUCACCGGAAGGGUUCCGGAAUUCACUGGAAGGGGUUCCGGAUGUUUCCCGAAAUGUUUGGGUACGAGAAAACUUUAUUUGGGCCAAAGGGGAAAGCCCACAAGGUUUUUGGAAAGCGCAAAAGGAAGUUUUGCGGAGUCCAGGGGCCAGACGCUAGGGUCCCUGGCGUCUGGGUCCAGACGCCGGGAACCCUGGCGUUUGGCCCUGGAGUCCGAGAAGGACUCUUGCCUUUCGGGUGAAACCGACUUUGUGGAGGCUUUUACUCCAAGUUUCGACCCCAAGGCACAACAUAUAAAUAGAGGGGUAGGGCUAGCACCCAAGACACACCAAGCUGUGUGCUGGCAACCCCGUCCCCUCUAGUUUAUCCUCCGUCAUAGUUUUCGUAGUGCUUAGGCGAAGCCCUGCAGAGAUUAUUCUUCAUCAACAACGUCACCACGCCGUCAUGCUGCCGGAACUCAUCUACUACUUCGCCCCUCUUGCUGGAUCGAGAAGGCGAGGACGUCACCGAGCCGAACAUGUGCAGAACUUGGAGGUGCCAUGCUUUCGGUACUUGGAUCGGUCGGACGUGAAGACGUACGACUACAUCAACCGCGUUGAUAUAACGCUUCCGCGAACGGUCUACGAGGGUAUGUAGACAACACUCUCCCCUCUCGUUGCUAUGCAUCACCAUGAUCUUGCUUGUGCGUAUGAAUUUUUUUGAAAUUACUACGUUCCCCAACAUUUAUGCCACUUGCAAGUCGACCCUCGACUUGCCACUAGGAUUUUUUGUUUUGAUGCCACUUACAAGUUGACCCAUGACCUGCAACUGGGUUUUUUGUUUUCAUGCCACUUGCAAGUCGACCCUGGAAUUGCAACUGGGUCUAAUGUUUUAUGCCACUUGCAAGUCGACCCUUGACCUGCAACUAGGUUCUUUUCUUUGAUGCCACUUGCAAGACAACAAUCAGACUCGCAACUAUGGUGUUUCUAUAGUUUUAAUAGCCCAGUUGCAAGUCCACCAUCGUCUCAGAAUUGUGGGCCCAUAGUUUUUGUUUUAAUUUCCACUUGCAAGUGAAGCCACGACUUGCUACAAGGGUUUUUGUUUGAUGUCACUAGCAAGUCGACCCUUGACUUGCAACUAGGUAUUUUUCUUUAAUGCCACUUGCAAGUCGACCCUCGACUUGCAAUCAGGUUCUUUGUUUGAUGCCACUUGCAGGUCGUCACUUGACUUGCAACUGUGGUGUUUGUCUAGUUUGUAAUAACCCAAGUUGCAAGCCGACCCUCGACUCGCAUCUGUGGUGUUUGUCUAGUUAUAAUAGCCCGAGGGGCCGAGAUGCAAGUCCACCAUUGACUCGCAAUUGUGGGCCUGUAGUUUUUUUUCAUUUUCCAACUUGCAAGUGAAGCCUCGACUUACAAAUAGGUUUUUUGUUUGAUCCCACUUGCAGGUCGACCCUCGACUCGCAACUGGGUCUUCUAUUUUUUAUGCCACUUGCAAGUGGACCCUCGACUUACAACCAGGUUCUUUGUUUGUUGCCACUUGCAAGCCGACCAUCGACUCGCAAUUGUGGUGUUUCUCUAGUUGUAAUAGACCCUGAUGCAAGUCCACCAUCUGCUCGCAAUUGUGGGAGCGUAGUUUUUGUUUCAUUCCCACUUGCAAGUGAAGCCUUGACUUGCAACUAGGUUUUUUGUUUGAUGCCACUUGCAAGUCGACCCUUGACUUGCCACUGUGGUGUUUCUCUAGUCGUAAUAGCCCAGUUGCAAGCCGCUGCAAGCCGUCCCUCGACUUGCAACUAGGUUUGUUGUUUGAUGCCACUUGCAAGUCGACCCACGAUUUGGAAAUAGGUUUUUUGUUUGAUGCCACUCGCAAGUCGACCCUCGACUUGCAAUUGGGUCUUUUGUCUUAUGUCACUUGCAAGUCAACCCUCUGACUCACAACUGGGUUCUUUGUUUGAUGCCACUUGCAAGCCGACAAUCGACUCGCAACUGUGGUGUUUCUCUAGUUUGAUUAGCCCCAGUUGGAAGUCCACCCUCGAAUCGCAAUUGUGGGCCCAUAUUUUUUGUUUAAUUUCUACUUGCAAGUGAAGCCACGACUUGCAACUAUGUUUUUUAUGCCACUUGGAAGUCAACCCUUGACUUGCAACUGGGUCUUCUUCUUUGAUGCCACUUGCAAGUUGACCCCCGACUUGCAACCGAGUUCUUUGUUUGAUGUCACUUGUAGGUCAACACUUGACUCACAACUUUGGCCUUUGUCUAGUUGUAAUAGCCCCGGUAGCAACUCCACCAUUGACUCACAAUUGUCGGCCUAUAGUUUUUUUUCAUUUUCCAACUUACAAGUGAAGCCUUGACUUGCGACUAGGUUUUUUGUUUGAUGCCACUUGCAAGUCGAGCCUUGACUCACAACUAGGUCUUUAGUUCUAUGCCACUUGGAAGUCGACCAUCGACUCGCAACUGGGUCUUCUAUUUUUUAUGCCACUUGCAAGUCGAUCCUCGACUUGCCACUAGGUUUUUUGUUUUGAUGUCACUUGCAAGUUGACACCUGACUUGCAAUUGGGUUUGUUGUUUUCAUGCCACUUGAAAGUAGACCCUCGAAUUGCAAUUGGGUCUAUCGUUUUAUGCCACUUGCAAGAAAACCCUCGACCCACAACUUGGUUCUUUUGUUUGAUGCCACUUGCAAGACGACAAUCAGACUCGCAACUAUGGUGUUUCUCUAGUUUUAAUAGCCCAGUUGCAAGUCCACCAUCCUCUCGCAAUUGUGGGCCCAUAGUUUUUGUUUUACACUUGCAAGUGAAGCCAUAACUUGCAACAAGGUUUUUUGUUUGAUGCCACUUGCAAGUCGACCCUUGACUUGCAACUGGAUAUUUUUGUUUAAUGCCACUUGCAAGUCGACCCUCGUCUUGCAAUCAGAUUCUUUGUUUGAUGCCACCUGCAGGUCAACACUUGACUCACAACGGUGGUGUUUGUCUAGUUUGUAUUAGUCCAAGUUGCAAGCCGACCCUCGACUCGCAUAUGUGGUAUUUGUCUAGUUGUAAUAGCCCCAGUUGCAAGUCCACCAUUGACUUGCAAUUGUGGGCCUGUAGUUUUUUUUUCAUUUUCCAACUUGCAAGUGAACCCUGACUUGCAACUAGGCUUUUUGGUUGAUGCCACUUUCAAGUCGACCCUUGACUUGCAACUGGGUCUUUAGUUUGCCACUUGCAAGUCGACCCUCGAAUCGCAACUGGGUCUUCUAUUUUUUAUGCGACUUGCAAAUGGACCCUCGACUUGCAAUCGGGUUCUUUGUUUGAUGCCACUUGCAAGCCGACAAUAGACUUGCAACUGGGUCUUUUGUUUUAUGCCACUUACAAGUCGACCUUCGACUCACAACUGGGUUCUUUUGUUUGAUGCCACUUGCAAGCCGACAAUCGACUUGCAACUAUGGUGUUUCUCUAGUUGUAAUAGCCCCAGUUCAAGUCCACUAUCGACUCGCAAUUGUGGGCUCGUAGUUUUUGUUUCAUUUCGACUUGCAAGUGAAGCCUCGACUUGCAACUAGGGUUUUUGUUUGAUGCCACUUGCAAGUCCACCCUUGAUUUGCAACCAGGUCUUUCUGUUUGAUGCCACUUGCAAGUCGACCCUCGACUUGUAACCGGGUUCUUUGUUUGAUGCCACUUGUAGGUCGACACUCGAUUCGCAAUUGUGGUGUUUGUCUAGUUUAAUAGCCUCAGUUGCUAGCCGACCCUCGACUCGCAACUGUGGUGUUUGUCUAGUUGUAAUAGCCCAGUUGCAAGUCGACCCUCAACUUGCAAUUGUGGUGUUUCUUGAUACGUCUCCAACGUAUCUGUAAUUUUUGAUUGCUCCAUGCUAUAUUAUCUACUGUUUUGGGCAAUAUUGGGCUUUAUUAUCCACUUUUAUAUUACUUUUGGGACUAACAUAUUAACCGGAGGCCCAGCCCAGAUUUGUUGUUUUAUGCCUAUUUCAGUGUUUCGAAGAAAAGGAAUAUCAAACGGAGUCGAAACGGAACGAAAUCAACUGGAGAAGUUAUUUUUGGAAGGAAACCUACCGGAUAGACUUGGACCCUAUGUCAGAAGAUGAAGGAGGAGCUCAUGAGGGUAGGGGAGCGCCCACCCCCCUGCCUCGUGACCACCCCUUCGUCCACCGACGUACUCCUUUCACCCAUAUAUACCCACGUAUCCUAAAACUUCCAGAGAACACAAUAGAUCGGGAGUUCCGCUGCCAGAAGCCUCCGUAGCCACCGAAAGCUAAUCUAGACCCGUUUCGGCACCCUGCCGGAGGGGGCAAUCCCUCUCUGGUGGCCAUCUUCAUCAUCCCGGUGCUCUCCAUGACGAGGAGGGAGUAGUUCUCCCUCGGGGCUAAGGGUAUGUAUCAGUAGCUAUGUGUUUGAUCUCUCUCUCUCUCUCUCUCUCUCUCUCGUGUUCUUGAUUUGGCACGAUCUUGAUGUAUCACGAGCUUUGCUAUUCUAGUUGGAUCUUAUGUUUCUCCUCCCCCUCUUCUCUCUUGUAAUGAAUUGAGUUUCCCCUUUGAAGUAAUCUUGUCGGAUUGAGUCUUUAAAGAUUUGAGAACACUUGAUGUAUGUCUUGCCGUGCGUAUCUGUGGUGACAAUGGGAUAUCACGUGAUUCACUUGAUGUAUGUUUUGGUGAUCAACUUGCGGGUUCCGCCCGUGAACCUAUGCAUAAGGGUUGGCACACGUUUUCGUCGUGAUUCUCCGGUAGAACUUCGGGGCACUCUUUGAGGUCCUUUGUGUUGGUUGAAUAAAUGAAUCUGAGAUUGUGUGAUGCAUAUCGUAUAAUCAUACCCACGGAUACUUGAGGUGACAUUGGAGUAUCUAGGUGACAUUAGGGUUUUGAUUGAUUUGUGUCUUAAGGUGUUAUUCUAGUACGAACUCUAGGGCUGUUUGUGACACUUAUAGGAAUAGCCCAACGGAUUGAUUGGAAAGAAUAACUUUGAGAUGGUUUCGUACCCUACCAUAAUCUCUUCGUUUGUUCUCUGCUAUUAGUGACUUUGGAGUGACUCUUUGUUGCAUGUUGAGGGAUAGUUAUGUGAUCCAAUUAUGUUAGUAUUGUUGAGGGAACUUACACUAGCGAAAGUAUGAACCCUAGGCCUUAUUUCCUACCAUUGCAAUACCGUUUAUGCUCACUUUUAUCACUUGCUACCUUGCUGUUUUUAUAUUUUCAGGUUACAAAAACUAUUAUCUACUAUCCAUAUACCACUUGUAUCACCAUCUCUUCGCCGAACUAGUGCACCUAUACAAGUUACCAUUGUAUUGGGUGUGUUGGGGACACAAGAGACUCUUUGUUAUUUGGUUGCAGGGUUGCUUGAGAGAGACCAUCUUCAUCCUACGCCUCCUAUGGAUUGAUAAACCUUAGGUCAUCCACUUGAGGGAAAUUUGCUACUGUCCUACAAACCUCUACACUUGGAGGCCCAACAACGUCUACAAGAAGAAGGUUGUGUAGUAAACAUCAAGCUCUUUUCUGGCGCCGUUGCCGGGGAGGUUAGCACUUGAAGGUAUAUCUUUAGAUCUUGCAAUCGAGUCUUUUAGUUUCUUGUUUUAUCACUAGUUUAGCUUAUAAAAGAAAAUUACAAAAAAAAUGGAAUUGAGUUUGUCUCAUACGCUUCACCUUUUUAAUAUCUUUCGUGAGUAUGAUGGAAAGGAUAAUUGUGCUCAUGUGCUAUAAGAAGAAAUCUAUAAAAUGUUUGGCACUAAAUAUUUGAAUGAUGAGCAUGAUUGCAAUGUUGUUAGUAUGAAUUCCUUGAAUAUCCAUGAUGCUAAUGAUAUGCAAAGCCACAAGCUUGGGGAAGCUAUGUUUGAUGAAGAUGAUAUUUUUUGUCCCCCAAGUUUUGAUGAGAAAAUUUAUUAUGAUGAAAGCAUGCCUCCUAUUUAUGAUGAUUAUAUUGAUGAAAGUAGAUUUGGAGAGGUCAUGACUUUAUUUUGUGAUGAAUCCACUAUUCCGGAAGAGGUUCCAAUUGAUUAUGAGAACAAAGUUGCUAUCUAUGAUGAUUAUUGUGAUGACUUGUAUGCUAUAAAUAAUAAUGAUAUCCACGAAACUUGUCAUCAUGAUUUUAGUUUUCAAUUGGAUUAUUCCUCACAUGAUAAUUAUUUUGUUGAGCUUGCUCCCACUACUAUUCAUGCGAAGAAAUUUGCUUGUGUGGAGAGUAGUAAAUUUUCUAUGCUUGUAGAUCAUGAAAAGAAUGCUUUAGGUGCUGGUUAUAUUGUUGAAUUCAUUCAUGAUGCUACUAAAAAAUAUUAUGAGGGAGGAAUAUAUGCUUGUAGGAAUUGCAAUAAUAUCAAGUUUCCUCUCUAUGUGCUUAAAAUUUUGAAGUUAUGCUUGUUUUGCCCUCCUAUGCUAAUUGAUUAUUGUUUCCAUAAGUUGUUUGCUCACAAAAUCCCUGUGCAUAGGAAGUGGGUUAGACUUAAAUGUGCUAGUCAUAUUCUUCAUGAUGCUCUCUUUAUAUUUCAAUUCUUAUCUUCUAUGUGAGCAUCAUUGAAAUCAUCAUGCCUAGCUAGGGGCGUUAAACGAUAGCGCUUGUUGGGAGGCAACCCAAUUUUAUUUUAGUUCUUUGAUUUUUGUUCCUGUUUAGUAAUAAAUAAUUCAUCUAUCCUCUGUAUAGAUGUGGUUUUAUGUGUUUAAUUAGUGUUUGUGCCAAGUAGAACCUUUGGGAAGACUUUGGGAAAGUCUUGUUGAUUAUGCUGUAAAAACAGAAACUUUAGCGCUCACGAGAAUUGCUGCCAGUUUUCAUUGGAGAGUGCUAUUUAGUUAAUUAUUUUUUCAGAUGAUUAAUAGAUAAAUUCCUCAGAUCCAAAAAUUUAUUUGAGAAUUUUAUGAGUUUUAGAAGUAUAUGUUUGAUUCAGAUUACUACAGACUGUUCUGUUUUUGACAAAUUCUGUUUUCAUUGUGUUGUUUGCUUAUUUGGAUGAAUCUAUGAGUAGUAUUGGAGGGUAUGAACCAUAGAGAAGUUGGAAUACAGUAUAUAUUACAGCAAUAUAAAUAUUGAAUGAGUUCAUUACAGUACCUUGAAGUGGUGAUUUAUUUUCUUAUACUAACGGAGCUUACGAGUUUUCUAUUAAGUUUUGUGUUGUGAAGUUUUCAAGUUUUGGGUAAGGAUUCGAUGGACUAUGGAAUAAGGAGUGGCAAGAGCCUAAGCUUGGGUAUUCCCAAGGCACCCCAAGGUAAUAUUCAAGGAAAACCAAGAGCCUAAUCUUGGGGAUGCCCCGGAAGGCAUCCCCUCCUUCGUCUUCGUUCAUCGGUAACUUUACUUGGAGCUAUAUUUUUAUUCGCCACAUGAUAUGUGUUUUGCUUGGAGCGUCAAUUUAUUUUGCUAUAAUUUGCUUGCUGUUAUUUAGAACAAUGUUUUGCAUAUUUUAUUUCAAUAAAAGUGGCAUUGAUAGCCUUUACUAUGCCUAUGUUACAAGUAUACAUGUUGCUGUUUGAAAACAGAAAGUUUACCGCUGUUGCAAUAAUUGCCUAGAAAAGUCAGAAUGUGAUAAAAUGUUGAAACAUUUUGCAUAUUAAUCUCUGAUAAAUUUACAACAGUGGGAAUUUUCUUUCAUAAUUUUUGGAGCUAGGGAAGUAUGGAUGUUGCUGCAUUCUUUAUAGACUAUCCUGUUUAGGCAGAUUGCUGUUAUGUUUGCAUUGUUUGCAUAUGUUUGCUUCUUUAAUGAUUCUAUUUGAGGAUAGGACUAUUAAAUAUGCAUAUACAUUUAGUAUGCAAUGUUGAAUAAUAAUUUUAGUGAUUUGCUACAGUAGAGUAUGAUAAGGUUUUGGCAAUGGUUUAUACUAAGUUAUCUCACGAGUCCUUGUUGAGUUUUGUGUGGAUGAAGCUUUUGAGAUUUAUGGAGACCGUGAUAUGAGAGGAAUUAAGGAUACACAAAAGCUCAAGCUUGGGGAUUCCCAAGGCACCCCAAGAUAAUAUUUCAAGAAGUCUCAAGAAUCUAAGCUUGGGGAUGCCCCGGUUGGCAUCCCAUCUUUCUUCUUCAACAACUAUCGGUUAGUAUCGGUUGAUCCUAAGUUUUUGUUUCUUCACAUGAUGUUUGCCAUUCUUAGAAUGUCAUUUUAUUUUGCUUUGCUUGCUGUUUGAAUAAAAUACCAAGAUUUGAAAUUAUUAAAUGUUAGAGAGUCUUCACAUGGUUGCAUAAUUAUUCAACUACUCAUUGAUCUUCACUUAUAUCUUUCGGAGUAGUUUGUAAUUUGCUCUAGUGCUUCACUUAUAUCCUUUUAGAGCACGGGGGUGGUUUUAUUUUAUAGAAAUAGAUGAACUCUCAUGCUUCACUUAGAUUAUUUUGAGAGUCUUAAAUAGCAUGGUAAUUUGCUUAAAAUCCUAAUAUGCUAGGUAUUCAAGAAUAAUAAAAUUCUCUUAUGAGUGUGUUGAGUACUAUGAGAAGUUUGAUACUUGAUAAUUAUUUUGAGAUAUGGAGAUGGUGAUAUUAGAGUCAGGCUAGUUGAGUAGUUGUGAAUUUAAAGAAUACUUGUGUUAAAGUUUGUGAUUCCUGUAGCAUGCACGUAUGGUGAACCGUUAUGUGAUGAAGUCGGAGCAUGAUUUAUUUAUUGAUUGUCUUCCUUAUGAGUGGCGGUCGGGGACAAGUGAUGGUCUUUUCCUACCAAUCUAUCCCCCUAGGAGCAUGCGCGUAAUACUUUGCUUUGAUAACUUCUAGAUUUUUGCAAUAAGUAUAUGAGUUCUUUAUGACUAAUGUUGAGUCCAUGGAUUAUACGCACUCUCACUCUUCCAUCUUUGCUAGCCUCUCCAGUACCGCGCACCUUUCGCCGGUAUCAUACACCCACCAUAUACCUUCCUCAAAACAGCCACCAUACCUACCUAUUAUGGCAUUUCCAUAGCCAUUCCGAGAUAUAUUGCCAUGCAACUUUCCACGGUUCCGUUUAUCAUGACACAUUCAUCAUUGUCAUAUUGCUAGCAUGAUCAUGUAGAUGACAUCGUAUUUGUCGCAAAGCCACCGUUCAUAAUUCUUUUAUACAUGUCACUCUUGAUUCAUUGCAUAUCCCGGUACACCGCCGGAGGCAUUCAUAUAGAGUCAUAUUUUGUUCUAAGUAUCGAUUUGUAAUUGUUGAGUUGUAAGAAAAAUAAAAGUGUGAUGAUCAUCAUUUUUAGAGCAUUGUCCCAAGUGAGGAAAGAAUGAUGGAGACUAUGAUUUCCCCAUAAGUCGGGAUGAGACUCUGGACGAAAAAUAAAUAAAAGAGGCCAAAGAAGCCCAAAUAAAAAGAGAAAGAAAAGAGGCCAUGAAAAAAAAGGCCCAAAUAAAAAAAUGAGAGAAAAAGAGAGAAGGGACAAUGUUACUAUCCUUUUACCACACUUGUGCUUCAAAGUAGCACCAUGAUCUUCAUAAUAGAGAGUCUCUCACGUUAUCACUUUCAUAUACUAGUGGGAAUCUUUCAUUAUAGAACUUGGCUUGUAUAUUCCAAUGAUGGGCUUCCUCAAAUUGCCCUAGGUCUUCAUGAGCAAGCAUGUUGGAUGCACACCCACUUAGUUUCUUUUUGAGCUUUCAUAUACUUAUAGUUCUAGUGCAUCCGUUGCAUGGCAAUCCCUACUCACUCACAUUGAUAUGUAUUGAUGGGCAUCUCCAUAGCCCGUUGAUACGCCUAGUUGAUGUGAGACUAUCUUCUCCUUUUUGUCUUCUCCACAACCACCAUUCUAUUCCACCUAUAGUGCUAUAUCCAUGGCUCACGCUCAUGUAUUGUGUGAAGAUUGAAAAGUUUGAGAACAUCAAAAGUAUGAAACAAUUGCUUGGCUUGUCAUCGGGGUUGUGCAAGAUUUAAAUAUUUUGUGUGGUGAAGAUAGAGCAUAGCCAGACUAUAUGAUUUUGUAGGGAUAACUUUCUUUGGCCAUGUUAUUUUGAGAAGACAUGAUUGCUUAGUUAGUAUGGUUGAAGUAUUAUUAUUUUUAUGUCAAUAUGAACUUUUGUCUUGAAUCUUUCAGAUCUGAAUAUUCAUACCACAAUUAAGAAGAAUUGCAUUGAAAUUAUGCCAACUAGCAUUCCACAUCAAAAAUUAUCUUUUUUAUCAUUUACCUACUCGAGGACGAGCAGGAAUUAAGCUUGGGGAUGCUUGAUACGUCUCCAACGUAUCUAUAAUUUUUGAUUGCUCCAUGCUAUAUUAUCUACUGUUUUGGGCAAUAUUGGGCUUUAUUAUCCACUUUUAUAUUACUUUUGGGACUAACCUACUAACCGGAGGCCCAACCCAGAUUUGUUGUUUUAUGCCUAUUUCAGUGUUUCGAAGAAAAGGAAUAUCAAACGGACUCGAAACGGAACGAAAUCAACUGGAGAAGUUAUUUUUGGAAGGAAACCUACCGGAUAGACUUGGACCCUACGUAAGAAGAUGAAGGAGGAGCUCACAAGGGUAGGGGGCGCGCCCACCCCCCUGGGGCACGCCCCCAGCCUCGUGGCCACCCCUUCGGUCCACCGACGUACUCCUUUCACCCAUAUAUACCCACGUAUCCUAAAACUUCCAGAGAACACAAUAGAUCAGGAGUUCCGGCACCAGAAGCCUCCGUAGCCACCGAAAGCUAAUCUAGACCCGUUCCGGCACCCUGCCGGAGGGGGCAAUCCCUCUCCGAUGGCCAUCUUCAUCAUCCCGGUGCUCUCCAUGACGAGGAGGGAGUAGUUCUCCCUCGGGGCUGAGGGUAUGUACUAGUAGCUAUGUGUUUGAUCUCUCUCUCUCUCUCUCUCUUGUGUUCUUGAUUUGGCAUGAUCUUGAUGUAUCAUGAGCUUUGCUAUUAUAGUUGGAUCUUAUGUUUCUCCCCCCCCCUCUUAUCUCUUGUAAAGAAUUGAGUUUCCCCUUUGAAGUAAUCUUAUCGGAUUGAGUCUUUAAAGAUUUGAGAACACUUGAUGUAUGUCUUGCCGUGCGUAUCUGUGGUGACAAUGGGAUAUCACGUGAUUCACUUGAUGUAUGUUUUGGUGAUCAACUUGCGGGUUCCGCCCAUGAACCUAUGCAUAGGGGUUGGCACACAUUUUCGUCGUGAUUCUCCGGUAGAACUUUGGGGCACUCUUUGAGGUCCUUUGUGUUGGUUGAAUAGAUGAAUCUGAGAUUGUGUGAUGCAUAUCGUAUAAUCAUACCCAUGGAUACUUGAGGUGACAUUGGAGUAUCUAGGUGACAUUAGGGUUUUGAUUGAUUUGUGUCUUAAGGUGUUAUUCUAGUACGAACUCUAGGGCUGUUUGUGACACUUAUAGGAAUAGCCCAACAGAUUGAUUGGAAAGAAUAACUUUGAGGUGGUUUCGUACCCUACCAUAAUCUCUUCGUUUGUUCUCCGCUAUUAGUGACUUUGGAGUGACUCUUUGUUGCAUGUUGAGGGAUAGUUAUGUGAUCCAAUUAUGUUAGUAUUGUUGAGGGAACUUACACUAGCGAAAGUAUGAACCCUAGGCCUUAUUUCCUACCAUUGCAAUACCGUUUAUGCUCACUUUUAUCACUUGCUACCUUGUUGUUUUUAUAUUUUCAGAUUACAAAAACUAUUAUCUACUAUCCAUAUACCACUUGUAUCACCAUCUCUUCGCCGAACUAGUGCACCUAUACAAUUUAACAUUGUAUUGGGUGUGUUGGGGACACAAGAGACUCUUUGUUAUUUGGUUGCAGGGUUGCUUGAGAGAGACCAUCUUCAUCCUACGCCUCCUACGGAUUGAUAAACCUUAGGUCAUCCACUUGAGGGAAAUUUGCUACUGUCCUACAAACCUCUGCGCUUGGAGGCCCAACAACGUCUACAAGAAGAAGGUUGUGUAGUAGACAUCAUUUCUCUACUUGUAAUAGCCCAAGUUGUAAAUCCACCAUUGACUCGCAAUUGUGGGCCCGUAGUUUUUGUUUCUUCUUCCAAAUUGCAAGUGAAGCCUCGACUUGCAAAUAGGUUUUUUUAUCCCACUUGCAAGUCACCCUCGACUCGCAACUGGGUCUUCUAUUUUUUAUCCCACUUGCAAGUGGACCCUUGACCUGCAACCGGGUUCUUUGUUUGAUGCCACUUGCAAGCCGACUAUCGACUCACAAUUGUGGUUUUUCUCUAGUUGUAAUAGCCCCUGUUAUAAGUCCACCAUUGGCUCGCAAUUGUGGGAGCGUAAUUUUUUAUUUCCACUUGCAAGUGAAGACUCGACUUGCGACUAGGUUUUUUGUUUGAUGCCACUUGCAAGUCGACCCUUGACUCGCCACGGUGCUGUUUCUCUAGUUAUAAUAGCCCCGCUUGCAAGUCCACCAUUGAUUCANNNNNNNNNNNNNNNNNNNNNNNNNNNNNNNNNNNNNNNNNNNNNNNNNNNNCGUUUGAUGCCACUUGCAAGUCAACCGGGUCCUUUGUUUGAUUCCACUUGUAAGUCGACCUAGGACUUGCAACCGGUUUUCUUUUUGUGUAGUUGUAAUUGCACACUUGCAAGGACAAGAUUGACUUGCAACUGGGAGCCUGUAGUUUUUCUUACAUGCCAUUUUUGCAAGUUGACCCUCGAAUUGCAACUAGGUUAUAUAUUUGAUGCCACUUGCAAGUCAACCCUCGAAUUGCAAAAUGCCACUUUUGCAAGUCAACCCUUUGACUUGCAACUCUAGUGUUUGUCUAGUUGUAUUCAUGCCUCUUGCAAGUUGACCCUCGACUUGCAACUGGGACUUUUUGUUUGAUGCCACUUGCAAGUCGACCCUCGACUUUGCAACCAGGUUUUUUUAUUUCAUUCCACUUGCAAGUCAACCCUUGACACACAUCUGUGGUUUUUGUCUAGUUGUAAUAGCCCCAGUUGCAAGUCCACCAUCCACUCGCAAUUGUGGGCCCAUAGUUUUUGUUUCAUUUCCACUAUGAAAGUGAAGCCUCGACUUGCGACUAGGUUUUUUUGUUUGAUGCCAUUUGCAAGUCGACCCUCGACUUUCAACUAGGUUUUUUUGUUUGAUGCCGCUUGCAAGUCGACCCUCGACUUGCAAUUGGGUCCUUUUGGUUUGAUGCCACUUACAAGUUGACACUCGACUUUGCAACUAGGUUCUUUGUUUGAUGCUACUUGCAAGCCGACCCUCGACUCGCAACUGUGUUGUUUGUCUAGUUGUAAUAGCUACAGUUGCAAGCCGACCCUCGACUCGCAACUGUUGUGUUUGUCUAGUUUUAAUAGCCCCAGUUGCAAGUCCACCAUUGACUCGCAAUUGUGGGCCCUUAGUUUUUGUUUCAUUUUUGCUCACUUAGCCUUGUAGUCCGUCCAGUCAACAUGAAUGUUUCAUUCUGCAGUUUUGUUGGACAAAAACAACAAUAAGAAUUUUCUUAUUCAAUGUAAAUGUUUUUUUGCUACUAUUAUUGGUCUAUCAACAUAAGUUUUUUUAGUGAAGUGUUGUAUUUUUUAACACUUUUUUGUCCUAAUGUUUACAGAAGUUUCCUUUUUUCUAAUCAUACGUCAGCACCAACGGGACAACGAUCUAUGUGUGGUGAACCAAAAAAAUGCAGCCUGCACAACACAAAACAAAGUUAAGCCCACUCUUUUUUAUCAUCUGCUUUUGUUAUAUGAACCACUUAAGUAGGAUAGAAUUUGUGAAGUGCUACACCCUAGAUGUGUAUUUGUUCAAACCACAGAGUUAGCAGCUAGUAGCAUUUCUGUGUAUGAACGGUUCCUGCCGAAGUCUUCAUUCAACGCCAAUGCCUGCAAUUUUUGAUUAUUUUAUGGGGAUUAAAAUUUUGAAAUAGAUACGGUUCAUAUCAACUAGACAGAGAGAACAUAAAUUUCAUGAUUUUUUCUUCAAAAGCACUUUUACUAUUUUUAUUUGAUCCAAAACAAUAAACCAACUUACAUCUUCUGUUGACCAGCAAGUGGGUUUGAUCUGUUACUCACAAGAUUCAGAGCAACAUUCGAUGGUGUUGCAAACUCAUAAAUAGGAGUGGUGAACGAGUAAGGUGGAAUCAUGUGCUGGUAUUGCUGUCCACUGUCUUCCAUUUGAAAAAGCCUUGGUUUGAACAUCACUGCUGGGUAUUGGGACUGCACAUGCUGCAAUCAAAAUUUAUCAGUAAGUUUCAUCUAUUUUUUUCUGUCAAUUUGUAAUGGUCCCAUGCGUUCUUUGUGAAUAGAGAUUCAUACCUGAGUUCCAAUGUAGUCUCCUGUAUAGUUAUCUUCAUUUACUGCAAACAUCAUUUUUUGUCAAAAAUUUAACAUUUAUGUUCCUAUACAACAUUUUAAUAUUAUACUCUAUUCACACCAAAGUUUGUAUGAAAAUGUAGGAGCACAUCCAUAAGCUAUUUUCCUUUGGGGUAUCAGGCUAGCGUUUUCUGUCCUACACUGUUAUGUUUCUCAUGGGUUGUUCUACUUUACUAGUACAAGGACUUGUUUUUCCUUUUCAAAGUAGUUUCUCUCUGGAUAAAUGGAAACAAACGCACUCUGAAUAAACUGGAACAAGGAGUUGUUUAAUUACUACCAUUAUUCAGUUAGCACACGUAUUAAGCUCAACAUAUAAAAACAAACAACCUAUCUGACCAUGCAAAAGACAGUAAAAUGCAGUUUUUUUAUGUUCAGUUUCUUAGGGCCAGGAUAGUUAUUUUUCUGAAACUAAAUAACACUUUGUGCUAACUAUGUGUUUUCUGAAACUAAAUCAUAGUGUGCUUGGGUCAAAGAUAAUGAUGUCUGUGUGUUCUUUGUACCUAUGGUCUGCUUAGCAAAUUACUUGAUCUGAUUGUUUCUGAACUUCAGCAUGCGUUAGUUGAACUUUGGUGUGUGUUUUUCCCACAAAUGAGGACAAUCAUAGGUUUCAUAGAAAAAGAGAAGGGUAUUGCAGCGCACAUGAUCUUGGUAACCAAACCAAUUUCCCAAGGAUUUACAAUCAGAAAAGGAUCUACAAGGAGAAAGGAUCUAAAAGGAGAGGACAAUUUCUUGUACUACAAACUCACCCUAGUAAGAAUGCCAAGUGCCCGACAUGAUCCUCCAACUUUGUCUUCUUCCUCUAGUCAACUUCCCAAUUUUUACUCUUUUGUCCUCAACCUUGUAGUUCAUCCAUGGCGGCUGCGUGGGGGAAGAGGAGGGUGGGUUGGGUGGAUUGGUACUGAUUUGGGAAGAAAGAAACAUCGGGGGAUGGGGAGGGUGGGGUGGGGUGGCCACAGGACUGUUGUUGGAAAUAUGCCCUAGAGGCAAUAAUAAAUUGGUUAUUAUUAUAUUUCCUUGUUCAUGAUAAUCGUUUAUUAUCCAUGCUAGAAUUGUAUUGAUAGGAAACUCAGAUACAUGUGUGGAUACAUAGACAACACCAUGUCCCUAGUAAGCCUCUAGUUGACUAGCUCGUUGAUCAAUAGAUGGUUACGGUUUCCUGACCAUAGACAUUUGAUGUCGUUGAUAACGGGAUCACAUCAUUAGGAGAAUGAUGUGAUGGACAAGACCCAAUCCUAAGCCUAGCACAAAGAUCGUGUAGUUCGUUCGCUAAAGCUUUUCUAAUGUCAAGUAUCAUUUCCUUAGACCAUGAGAUUGUGCAACUCCCGGAUACCGUAGGAAUACUUUGGGUGUGACGUAACUGGGUGGCUAUAAAGGUGCACUAGGGGUAUCUCCGAAAGUGUCUGUUGGGUUGGCAUGAAUUGAGACUGGGAUUUGUCACUCCGUGUGACGGAGAGGUAUCUCUGGGCCCACUCGAUAGGACAUCAUCAUAAUGUGCACAAUGUGAUCAAAGAGUUGAUCACGGGAUCAUGCAUUACGGUACGAGUAAAGUGACUUGCCGGUAACGAGAUUGAACAAGGUAUCGGGAUACCGACGAUCGAAUCUCGGGCAAGUAUCGUACCGAUGGACAAAGGGAAUUGUAUACGGGAUUGAUUAAGUCCUUGACAUCGUGGUUCAUCCGAUGAGAUCAUCGUGGAGCAUGUGGGAGCCAACAUGGGUAUCCAGAUCCCGCUGUUGGUUAUUGACCGGAAAACGUCUCGGUCAUGUCUACAUGUCUCCCGAACCCGUAGGGUCUACACACUUAAGGUUCGAUGACGCUAGGGUUAUAAAGGAAGUUUGUAUGUGGUUACCGAAUGUUGUUCGGAGUCCCGGAUGAGAUCCCGGACGUCACGAGGAGUUCCGGAAUAGUCCGGAGGUAAAGAUUUAUAUAUGGGAAGUCCUGUUUUGGUCACCGGAAAAGUUUCGUGGUUUAUCGGUAACGUACCGGGACCACCGGGAGGGUCCCGGGGGUCCACCAAGUGGGGCCACCAGUCUCGGAGGCUUGCAUGGGCCAAGAGUGGUGAGGGACCAGCCCCUGAGUGGGCUGGUUCGCCUCCCACAAGGCCCAAGGCGCAACAAAGGAGGAGAAGGGGAAACCCUAGGCUUAGAUGGGCCCUAAGGCCCACCCUAGGGGGCGCCCCCCCUCUCCCCUCUUGGCCGCCCCCCUUUUCCCAUAUAGGGCUGCCGCCCCCCCUAGGGAUGGGAACCCUAGAGGGGGCGCACCCUCCUCCCCUUCCCCUAUAUAUAUGAGGCCUAGGGGCUGCCCAAUACACAUGAGUUCCUCUCCCCGUUGGUGCAGCCCUCCCUCUCUUCCUCCUCUCCCGCGGUGCUUGGCGAAGCCCUGCAGGAUAGCCACCCUCCUCCAUCACCACCACGCCAUUGUGCUGCUGCUGGAUGGAGUCUUCCUCAACCUCUUCCUCUCGCCUUGCUGGAUCAAGGCAUGGGAGACGUCACCGGGCUGUACGUGUGUUGAACGCGGUGGUGCCGUCCGUUCGGCACUAGGAUCAUCGGUGAUUUGGAUCACGACGAGUACGACUCCAUCAACCCCGUUAUCUUGAACGCUUCCGCUUAGCGAUCUACAAGGGUAUGUAGAUGCACUCUCCUUCCCCUCGUUGCUAGAUUACUCCAUAGAUUGAUCUUGGUGAUGCGUAGAAAAUUUUGAAUUUCUGCUACGUUCCCCAACAGUGGCAUCAUGAGCUAGGUCUAUUGCGUAGAUUCUAUGCACGAGUAGAAUACAAAGUAGUUGUGGGUGUUGAUUUUGUUCAAUAUGCUUACCGUUACUAGUCCAAUCUUGAUUCGGCGGCAUUGUGGGAUGAAGCGGCCCGGACCGACCUUACACGUACUCUUACGUGAGACUGGUUCCACCGACUGACAUGCACUAGUUGCAUAAGGUGGCUAGCGGGUGUUUGUCUCUCCCACUUUAGUCGGAUCGGAUUCGAUGAAAAGGGUCCUUAUGAAGGGUAAAUAGCAAUUGGCAUAUCACGUUGUGGUUUUUGCGUAGGUAAGAAACGUUCUUGCUAGAAACCCAUAGCAGCCACGUAAAACAUGCAAACAACAAUUAGAGGACCUCUAACUUGUUUCUGCAGGGUAUGCUAUGUGAUGUGAUAUGGCCAAGAAGAAUGUGAUGAAUGAUAUGUGAUGUAUGAGAUUGAUCAUGUUCUUGUAAUAGGAAUCACGACUUGCAUGUCGAUGAGUAUGACAACCGGCAGGAGCCAUAGGGGUUGUCUUUAUUUAUUUAUGACAUGUGUGUCAACAUUAACGUCAUGUAAUUACUUUACUUCUAUUGCUAACCGUUAGCUGUAGUAGUAGAAGUAAUAGAUGACGUGACAACUUCAUGAAGACACGAUGAUGGAGAUCAUGAUGAUGGAGAUCAUGGUGUCAUGCCGGUGACAAGAUGAUCAUGGAGCCCCAAGAUGGAGAUCAAAGGAGCUAUAUGAUAUUGGCCAUAUCAUGUCACUAUUAUUUGAUUACAUGUGAUGUUUAUCAUGUUUUUGCAUCUUGUUUACUUAGAAUGAUGGUAGUAAAUAAGAUGAUCCCUCAUUAAAAUUUCAAGAAAGUGUUCCCCCUAACUGUGCACCGUUGCUAAAAGUUCGUAGUUUCGAAGCACCACGUGAUGAUCGGGUGUGAUAGAUUCUUACGUUCAAAUACAACGGGUGUUGACGAGCCUAGCAUGUACAGACAUGGCCUCGGAACACAUGCAAAACACUUAGGUUGACUUGACAAGCCUAGCAUGUACAGACAUGGCCUCGGAACACAGAAGACCGAAAGGUCGAGCAUGAGUCGUAUGGUAGAUACGAUCAACAUGAAGAUGUUCACCGAUGUUGACUAGUCCGUCUCACGUGAUGAUCGGACACGGCCUAGUUGACUCGGAUCAUGUAAUCACUUAGAUGACUAGAGGGAUGUCUAUCUGAGUAGGAGUUCAUAAGAUGAACUUAAUUAUCCUGAACAUAGUCAAAAGGUCUUCGCAAAUUAUGUCGUAGCUCGCGCUUCAGUUCUACUGUUUAGAUAUGUUCCUAGAGAAAAUUUAGUUGAAAGUUGAUAGUAGCAAUUAUGCGGACUAGGUCCGUAAACUGAGGAUUGUCCUCAUUGCUUCAUAGAAGGCUUAUGUCCUUAAUGCACCGCGCAGUGUGCUGAACCUCGAACGUCGUCUGUGGAUGUUGCGAACAUCUGACAUACACAUUUUGAUAACUACGUGAUAGUUCAGUUAAACGGUUUAGAGUUGAGGCACCGAAGACAUUUUGAAACGUCGCGAAACAUAUGAGAUGUUUUGAGGGCUGAAAUUGGGAUUUCAGGCUCGUGCCCACGUCAAGAGGUAUAAGACCUCCGACGAUUUUCUUAGCCUGCAAACUAAGGAGAAAAGCUCAAUUGUUGAGCUUGUGCUCAGAUUGUUUGAGUACAACAAUCAUUUGAAUCGAGUGGGAGUUGAUCCUCCAGAUGAGAUAGUGAUGUUUCUCCAAAGUCAUUACCACCAAGAUGCUAGAGCUUCGUGAUGAACUAUAAUGUAUCGGGGACAUAUAUGAUGAUCCUUGAGAUAUUCGUGAUGUUUGACACCACGAAAGUAGAAAUCAAGAAGGAGCGUCAAUUGUUGAUGGUUAGUAAAACCACUAGUUUCAAGAAGGGCAAGGGCAAGAAGGGAUACUUCAUGAAAUGGCAAUUCAGCUGCCGCUCUAGUGAAGAAACCCAAGGUUGAACCCAAACCCGAGACUAAGUGCUUCUAUAAUAAGGGGAACAACCACUGGAGCAGAAUUACCCUAGAUAGUUGGUAGAUGAGAAGGCUGGCAAGGUCGAUAGAAGUAUAUUGGAUAUACAUCAUGUUGAUGUGAACUUUACUCCUAGUAGCACCAGGGUAUUAGAUACCGGUUCGGUUUCUAAGUGUUAGUAACUCGAAAUAAAAGCUAUGGAAUAAAUGGAGACUAGCUAAAGGUGAGCUGACGAUAUGUGUUGGAAGUGUUUCCAAGGUUGAUAUGAUCAAGCAUCGCAUGCUCCCUCUACCAUCGAGAUUGGUGUUAAACAUAAAUAAUUGUUAUUUGGUGUUUGCGUGAGCAUAGACAUGAUUGGAUUAUGUCUAUCGCAAUACGGUUGUUCAUUUAAAGAAUAAUAGUUACUCUGUUUAUUUGAAUAAUACCUUCAAUGGUCUUACACCUAAAAUGAAUAGUUUAUUGAAUCUCGAUCGUAGUGAUACACAUGUUCAUGCCAAAAGAUAGUAAUGAUAGUACCACCUACUUACGGCACUGCCACGUAAGUCAUAUCGGUAUAAAACGCAUGAAGAAGCUCCAUGUUGAUGGAUCUUUGGACUCACUCGUUUUUGAAAAGUUUGAGACAUGCGAACCAUGUCUAUUGGUGUAUAUGCAUGAAGAAACUCCAUGCAAAUGGACCGUCUGGACUCACUUGAUUUUGAAUCACUUGAGACAUGCAAAUCAUACCACAUCGGCAAGAUGACUAAAAGCCUCGUUUUCAGUAAAAUGGAACUAGAAAGCAACUUGUUGGAAGUAAUACAUUUUGAUGUGUGCAGUCCAAUGGGUGCUGAGGCAUGUAGUGGAUAUCGUUAUGUUCUUACUUCACAGAUGAUUUGAGUAGAUGUUGAGUAUAUUUACUUGAUGAAUCACGAGUCCGAAUUAUUGAAAGGUUCAAGUAAUUUUAGGGUGAAGUUGAAAGAUCAUCGUGACAAGAGGAUAAAAUAUCUAUGAUAUGAUCAUAGAGAUGAAUAUCUGAAUUACGAGUUUGGCACAGAAUUAAGACAUUGUGGAAAUCGUUUCACAACUAAUACAGCCUGGAACACCAUAGUGUGAUGGUGUGUCCGUACAUCAAAACUGCACCCUAUUGGAUAUGAUGCAUACCAUGAUGUCUCUUAUCAAAUUACCACGAUAGUUUAUGGGUUAGGCAUUAGAGACAACCACAUUCACUUUAAAAGGGGCACCACAUAAUUCCGAUGAGAUGACACCAUAUGAACUAUGGUUUAGAGAAACCUAAGCUGUCAUUUCUUAAAAGUUUGGGGCUGCGACACUUAUGUGAAAAAGUUUCAGGCCAAUAAGCUCGAACCCAAAGCCGAUGAAUACAUCUUCAUAGGACACCCAAAAUAGUUGGGUAUACCUGCUGUCUCAGAUCCGAAAGCAAUAAGGGAUUGUUUCUAGAAUCGGGUCCUUUCUCGAGGAAAAGUUUCUCUCGAAAGAAUUGAGUGGGAGGGUGGUGGAGACUUGAUGAGGUUAUUGAACCGUCACUUCAACUAGUGUAUAGCAGGGCACAAAGAGUUGUUCCUGUGGCACCUACACCAAUUGAAGUGGAAGCUUAUGAUAUUGAUCAUGAGAUUUCGGAUCAAGUCACUCCCAAACCUCGUAGGACGACAAGGAUGUGUACUACUUCAGAGUGGUACAUAAUCCUGUCUUGGAAGUCAUGUUGCUAGACAACAAUGAACCUACGAGCUAUGGAGAAGCGAUGGUGGGCCCGGAUUCCGAUAAAUGGCUCGAGGCCAUAAAAUCCGAGGGAGGAUCCAUGUAUGAAAACAAAGUGUAGACUUUGGAAGAACUACUUGAUGGUUGUAAGGCUGUUAGGUACAUAUGGAUUUUAAAAGGAACACGGACAAUGAUGGUAAGUAUCACCAUUAAGAAAGCUCGACUUGUCGUUAAGAUGUUUUCCGACAAGUUCAAGGAGUUGACUAUGAUGAGACUUUCUCACACGUUGCGAUGCUAAGAGUCUGUUGGAAUUAUAUUAGCGAUUACUGCAUUAUUUAUGAAAUCUUGCAGAUAGGAUGUCAAAACAUUGUUUCCUCGACGAUUUUCUUGAGGAAAGGAAGUAUGUGAUACAACCGGAAGGUUUUGUCAGUCCUGAAAGAUGAUAAUAUGUGUGCAAAGCUCCAGCAAUCCUUCUAAGGACUGGAGUAAGCAUCUCGGAGUUGGAAUGUAUGCUUUGAUGAGAUGAUCAAAGAUUUUGGGUUUAUACAAAGUUUAUGAGAAACUUGUAUUUCCAAAGAAGUGAGUGGGAGCACUAUAGAAUUUCUGAUGAGUAUAUAUUGUUGACAUAUUGUUGAUCAGAAAUGACGUAGAAUUUCUGGAAAGCAUAUAGGGUUGUUUGGAAAGUGUUUUCAAUGGAAAGCCUGGAUUAAGCUACUUGAACAUUGAGCAUCAAGAUCUAUAAGGAUAGAUCAAAACGCUUAAUGGUACUUUCAAAUGAGCACAUACCUUGACAAGAUUUUGAAGGAGUUCACAAUGGAUCGGCAAAGAAGGAGUUCUUGGCUGUGUUAUAAGGUGUGAACAUUGAGUAAGACUCGAAACCUGACCACGGCAGAAGAGAGAGAAAGGACGAAGGUCGUCCCCUAUGCUGAAGACAUAGGCUCUACAGUAUGCUAUGCUGUGUACCGCACCUAAAGUGUGCCUUGCCAUGAGUCAGUCAAGGGGUACAAGAGUGAUCCAAGAAUGGAUCACAUGACAGCGGUCAAAGUUAUCCUUAGUAACUAGUGGACUAAGGAAUUUUCUCGAUUAUGGAGGUGGUAAAAGAGUUCAUCGUAAAGGGUUACGCCGAUGCAAACUUUGACACUAAUCUAGAUUAUUCUGAGUAGUAAACUGGAUUCGUAUAGUAGAACAGUUAUUUGGAAUAGCUCCAAAUAGAGCGUGGUAGCUGCAUCUAGGAGAUGACAUAGAGAUUUGUAAAGCACACACGGAUCUGAAAGAUUCAGACCCAUUGACUAUAACCUCUCUCACAAGCAUAACAUGAUCAAACCUAGAACUCAUCGAGUGUUAAUCACAUGGUAAAUGUGAACUAGAUUAUUGACUCUAGUAAACUCUUUGGGUGUUAGUUACAUGGGGAUGUGACCUUGAGUGUUAAUCACAUAUCGAUGUGAACUGGAUUAUUGACUCUAGUGCAAGUGGGAGACUGUUGGAAAUAUGCCCUAGAGGCAAUAAUAAAUUGGUUAUUAUUAUAUUUCCUUGUUCAUGAUAAUCGUUUAUUAUCCAUGCUAGAAUUGUAUUGAUAGGAAACUUAGAUACAUGUGUGGAUACAUAGACAACACCAUGUCCCUAGUAAGCCUCUAGUUGACUAGCUCGUUGAUCAAUAGAUGGUUACGGUUUCCUGACCAUAGACAUUGGAUGUCGUUGAUAACGGGAUCACAUAAUUAGGAGAAUGAUGUGAUGGACAAGACCCAAUCCUAAGCCUAGCACAAAGAUCGUGUAGUUCGUUCGCUAAAGCUUUUCUAAUGUCAAGUAUCAUUUCCUUAGACCAUGAGAUUGUGCAACUCCCGGAUACCGUAGGAAUACUUUGGGUGUGCCAAACGUCACAACAUAACUGGGUGGCUAUAAAGGUGCACUACGGGUAUCUCCGAAAGUGUCUGUUGGGUUGGCAUGAAUCGAGACUGGGAUUUGUCACUCCGUGUGACGGAGAGGUAUCUCUGGGCCCACACGGUAGGACAUCAUCAUAAUGUGCACAAUGUGAUCAAAGAGUUGAUCACGGGAUGAUGUGUUACAGAACGGGUAAAGAGACUUGCCGGUAACGAGAUUGAACAAGGUAUCGGGAUACCGACGAUCGAAUCUCGGGCAAGUAUCAUACUGAUGGACAAAGGGAAUUGUAUACGGGAUUGAUUAAGUCCUUGACAUCAUGGUUCAUCCGAUGAGAUCAUCGUGGAGCAUGUGGGAGCCAACAUGGGUAUCCAGAUCCCGUUGUUGGUUAUUGACCGGAGAACGUCUCGGUCAUGUCAGCAUGUCUCCCAAACCCGUAGGGUCUACACACUUAAGGUUCGAUGACGCUAGGGUUAUAAAGGAAGUUUGUAUGUGGUUACCGAAUGUUGUUCGGAGUCCCGGAUGAGAUCCCGGACAUCACGAGGAGUUCCGGAAUGGUCCGGAGGUAAAGAUUUAUAUAUGGGAAGUCCUGUUUUGGUCACCGGAAAAGUUUCGGGGUUUAUCGGUAACGUACCGGGACCACCGGGAGGGUCCCGGGGGUCCACCAAGUGGGGCCACCAGUCCCGGAGGCUUGCGUGGGCCAAGAGUGGUGAGGGACCAGCCCCUGAGUGGGCUGGUGCGCCUCCCACAAGGCCCAAGGCGCAGCAAAGGAGGAGAAGGGGAAACCCUAGGCUUAGAUGGGCCCUAAGGCCCACCCUAGGGGGCGCCCCCCCUCUCCCCUCUUGGCCGCCCCCCUUUUCCCAUCUAGGGCUGCCGCCCCCCCUAGGGGUGGGAACCCUAGAGGGGGUGCACCCUCCUCCCCUUCCCCUAUAUAUAUGAGGCCUAGGGGCUGCCCAAUACACAUGAGUUCCUCUCCCCGUUGGUGCAGCCCUCCCUCUCUCUUCCUCCUCUCCCGCGGUGCUUGGCGAAGCCCUGCAGGAUAGCCACCCUCCUCCAUCACCACCACGCCAUUGUGCUGUUGCUGGAUGGAGUCUUCCUCAACCUCUUCCUCUCGCCUUGCUGGAUCAAGGCAUGGGAGACGUCACCGGGCUGUACGUGUGUUGAACGCGGAGGUGCCGUCCGUUCGGCACUAGGAUCAUCGGUGAUUUGGAUCACGACGAGUACGACUCCAUCAACCCCGUUCUCUUGAACGCUUCCGCUUAGCGAUCUACAAGGGUAUGUAGAUGCACUCUCCUUCCCCUCGUUGCUACAUUACUCCAUAGAUUGAUCUUGGUGAUGCGUAAAUUUUUUUGAAUUUCUGCUAUGUUCCCCAACAACUGUUGGUGCGCAGGUAUAAAGUGCAACAGAAAAGUUGCAUAAACCCUGUGUGUGUUUUUGCACUUUUCCUGAGCCACCUAAGCUUCGAUUUUGCUACUAUUUUUUCCUACUACCAAGGCCCAGGCAUGUGGACACUUGUUGUUUUUCUUUCAUGUCAGACAGACAAACAAACAAGCCCGACACAAAAAGGUUCAGGGUGCGGGGGUAGUUGGACUGGAAGAGGUGGGCGGCCCACAUACAAACAAACAGGCCGCCACAAACAAACAAGCGUUGACUGUGCCGGGAUGAUCGGAAGCAACCACGUUGGUUGUUUAGUAACAAGUGGGGACAUAUUACAGGAUGAUGUCAGUUUAGAUGUGAGAUAAUAUCUCACAUCUAGAUGUGACAUAGACAGAUAGAUUGAAAGUAAAGAUUGCAACAUAAAAUAGAUUGGAAACUUAUAUGAUAGAAAAUAGACCCGGGGGCCAUAGGUUUCACUAGUGGCUUCUCUCAAGAUAGCAUAAGUAUUACGGUGAGUGAACGAAUUACUGUCGAGCAAUUGAUAGAAAAGUGAAUAAUUAUGAGAAUAUCUAGGCAUGGUCACGUAUAUAGACAUCACGUCCGUGACAAGCAGACCGACUCCUGCCUGCAUCUACUACUAUUACUCCACACAUUGACCGCUAUCCAACAUGCAUCUAGAGUAUUAAGUUCAUAAGAACAGAGUAACACCUUAGGUAAGAUGACAUGAUGUAGAAGGAUAAACUCAAGCAAUAUGAUAUAAACCGCAUCUUUUUAUCCUCGAUGGCAACAAUACAAUACAAUACAAUACAAUACAUGUAGUUUCCCUUUCUGUCACUGGGAUCGAACACCGCAAGAUUGAAUCCAAAGCUAAGCACUUCUCCCAUUGCAAGAAAGAUCAAUCUAGUAGGCCAAACCAAACUGAUAAUUCGAAGAGACUUGCAAAGAUAACCAAUCAUGCAUAAAAGAUUUUAGAGAAAAAUCAAAUAUUGUUCAUAGAUAGACUUGAUCAUAAACCCACAAUUCAUCGGAUCUCGACAAACACACCGCAAAAAGAGUUACAUCGAAUAGAUCUCCAAGAAGAUCGAGGAGAACUUUGUAUUGAGAUCCAAAGAGAGAGAAGAAGCCAUCUAACUAAUAACUAUGGACCCGAAGGUCUGAAGUAAACUACUCACACAUCAUCGGAGGGGCCAUGGAGUUGAUGUAGAGGCCCUCCGUGAUCAAUGCCCCCUCUGGCGGAGCUCCGAAAAAGGCCCUAAGAUGGGAUCUCUUGGGUACAGAAGGUUGCGGCGGUGGAAAUAGGGUUUCGUGGUGCUCCUAGAUGUUUUCGGGGUAUGUGAACAUAUAUAGGAGGAAGAAGUAGGUCGGUUGAGCCAUGAGGGGGGAGGGCGCGCCCAGGGGGUAGGCGCGCCUCCCUGCCUCGUGGACACCUCGUCCGUUUCUUGACGUCCACUCCAAGUCCUCUGGAUCACGUUUGUUCCAAAAAUCACGCUCCUAAAGGUUUCAUUCCGCUUGGACUCCGUUUGAUAUUUUUUUUCUGCGAAACACUGAAAUAGGCAAAAAAAACAGCAAUUUGCACUGGGCCUUGGGUUAAUAGGUUAGUCCCAAAAAUAAAAUAAAAGUGUAAAAUAAAGCCCAUUAACAUCCAAAACAGAUAAUAUAAUAGCAUGGAACAAUAAAAAAUUAUAGAUACGUUAGAGACGUAUCAGGACGACCCGCAGACACCAUGGUGGACGAAGUGGUAAUUCAUGCCUAAAUUAUCUACGACUAUAUUAUUGGCGUUGUUGUGGUAUAGAUGCUCCUGUGAUAUUGCCACUGCUUAGAAGGAGAUAUUACUGGAAAAAGCGAAACUGCCAUGCAUGUUGGUGUGUUGGGAGGAUGCGUUCUCCAGAGUUAUAACCAAUGUGGUAUAUGUGACAGCAACGAUCUAAUUGAUGUUGGGUUCGUGUUGGGUGGGCACUUGUGGAACGGCCACCAUGCGCUGGUAGAGUGUCCACCCUGGAGAAAACAAUCAGGGGAUAUGCAGAGAAGAAGACUGGAACUGUUGUCUGAAGUCUACAGGAGCUUCGGUUCAUUAGGUGAAGUGUAUGACUACUACAACAUGUACUCCUGGGAAAUUGGAUUUGGAAUCAAGUAGUAAUGUGACUUAUGAUUUAGGGAUCAGCUGCUGAAGAUAAUUAUAUCAUACUUUUUCAGGUGUUUUAUCAUAAUUGCCACAUGAAUGUCAAGUCAUAUACUCGUGACUGCCGUUUUGUGUGUGCAGGGGAGAACAUCACUAUCGAGUCUAUCAGUGUGAGGUCUACUUCAACUCAGCUGCAAAAGGCACCCAUCGGUGAGUGCCCUUCUUGUUUGGGAACGUAGUAAUUUCAAAAAAUUUCCUACGCACACGCAAGAUCAUGGUGAUGCAUAGCAACGAGAGGGGAGAGUGUGAUCUACGUACCCUUGUAGAUCGACAACGGAAGCGUUUGGUUGAUGUAGUCGUACGUCUCCACGGCCCGACCGAUCAAGCACCAAAACUACGGCACCUCCGAGUUCUAGCACACGUUCAGCUCGAUGAUGAUCCCCGGACUCCGAUCCAGCAAAGUGUCGGGGAAGAGUUCCGUCAGCACGACGGCGUGGUGACGAUCUUGAUGUAUUACUGUCGCAGGGCUUCGCCUAAGCACCGCUACAAUAUUAUCGAGGACUAUGGUGGCAGGGGGCGCCGCACACGGCUAAGAAUAUGAUCACGGAUCAACUUGUGUUCCUCUGGGGUGCCCCUGCCUCCGUAUAUAAAGGCUCAAGGGGGGGUGCGGCCGGCCUAGAGGUGGCGCGCUAGGAGGAGUCCUACUUCCUCCGGGAGUAGGAUUCCCCCCCCCCCAAUCCUAGUUGGAAUAGGAUUCGCGGAGGGGGGAAAAGAGAAAGGGGGCCGGCCCCCUCUCCUUGUCCUAUUCGGACCAAGGGAGGGGAGGGGCGCGCGGCCCAUCUAGGCUGCCUCUUCUCUUUUCCACUAAGGCCCACUAAGGCCCAUAUAGCUCCCGGAGGGUUCCGGUAACCUCCCGGUACUCCGGUAAAAUCCCGAUUUCACCCGGAACACUUCCGAUAUCCAAACAUAGACUUCCAAUAUAUCAAUCUUUAUGUCUCGACCAUUUUGAGACUCCUCGUCAUGUCCGUGAUCACAUCCGGGACUCCGAACAACCUUCGGUACAUCAAAACGUAUAAACUCAUAAUAUAACUGUCAUCGAAACCUUAAGCGUGCGGACCAUAUGUGUUCGAGAACAAUGUAGACAUGACCGAGACAUGUCUCCUGUCAAUAACCAAUAGCGGGACCUGGAUGCCCAUAUUAGCUCCUACAUAUUCUAUGAAGAUCUUGUUGGAAAUAUGCCCUAGAGGCAAUAAUAAAAGCAUUAUUAUUAUAUUUCCUUGUUCAUGAUAAUUGUCUUUAUUCAUGCUAUAAUUGUGUUAUCAGGAAAUCGUAAUGCAUGUGUGAAUAAUAGACACCAACAUGUCCCUAGUAAGCCUCUAGUUGACUAGCUCGUUGAUCAACAGAUAGUCAUGGUUUCCUGACUAUGGACAUUGGAUGCCAUUGAUAACGAGAUCACAUCAUUAGGAGAAUGAUGUGAUGGACAAGACCCAAUCCUAAACAUAGCUCAAGAUCGUAUAGUUCGUUUGCUAAAGUUUUCCAAUGUCAAGUAUCCUUUCCUUGGACCAUGAGAUCGUGUAACUCCCGGAUACCGUAGGAGUGCUUUGGGUGUACCAAACGUCACAACGUAAUUGGGUGACUAUAAAGGUAGACUACGGGUAUCUCCGAAAGUGUCUGUUGGGUUGACACGGAUCAAGACUGGGAUUUGUCACUCCGUAUGACGGAGAGGUAUCACUGGGCCCACUCGGUAAUGCAUCAUCAUCAUGAGCUCAAAGUGACCAAGUGUCUGGUCACGAGAUCAUGCAUUACGGUACGAGUAAAGUGACUUGCCGGUAACGAGAUUGAACGAGGUAUUGGGAUACCGACGAUCGAAUCUCGGGCAAGUAACAUACCGAUUGACAAAGGGAAUUGAAUACGGGGUUGCUUGAAUCCUCGACAUCGUGGUUCAUCCGAUGAGAUCAUCGAGGAGCAUGUGGGAGCCAACAUGGGUAUCCAGAUCCCGCUAUUGGUUAUUGACCGGAGAGUCGUCUCGGUCAUGUCUACAUGUCUCCAGAACCCGUAGGGUCUACACACUUAAGGUUUGGUGAUGCUAGGGUUGUAGGGAUAUGUAUAUGUAGUAACCCGAAUGUUGUUUGGAGUUCCGGAUGAGAUCCCGGACGUCACGAGGAGUUUCGGAAUGGUCUGGAGGUAAAGAAUUAUAUAUAGGAAGUGCUAUUUUGGCCAUCGGGACAAGUUUCGGGGUCACCGGUAUUGUACCGGGACCACCGGAAGGGUCCUGGGGGUCCACCGGGUGGGGCCACCUGCCCCGAGGGGCCACAUGGGCUGUAGGGGGUGCGCCUUGGCCUACAUGGGCCAAGGGCACCAGCCCCAAGAGGCCCAUGCGCCUAGGGUUCAAGAAGGGAAGAGUCCCAAAGGGGGAAGGCACCCUCUAGGUGCCUUGGGGGGGAGGGAUUCCUCCCUUGGCCGCCGGCCCCCUAGGAGAUUGGAUCUCCUAGGGCCGGCGCCCCCCCCCCCCUUGGCUCCCUAUAUAUAGUGAGGGAAGGAGGGCCUCUAAGACAACGCCUUUGGUGCCUCCCUCUCCCUCUCCAACACCUCCUCCUCCUCCAUAGAGCUUAGCGAAGCCCUGCCGGAGUACUGCAGCUCCAUCACCACCACGCCGUCGUGCUGCUGCUGGAGCCAUCUUCCUCAACCUCUCCUCUCCCCUUGCUGGAUCAAGAAGGAGGAGACGUUAUGCUGACCGUACGUGUGUUGAACGCGGAGGUGCCAUCCGUUCGGCGCUAGGAUCUCCGGUGAUUUGGAUCACGUCGUGUACGACUACCUCAUCCCCGUUCUUUGAACGCUUCCGCUCGCGAUCUACAAAGGUAUGUAGAUACAUCCGAUCACUCGUUGCUAGAUGAACUCAUAGAUGGAUCUUGGUGAAACCAUAGGAAUUUUUUUUGUUUUCUGCAAUGUUCCCCAAUAGUGACAUCAUGAGCUAGGUCUAUGCGUAGUUCUUCUUGCGCGAGUAGAACACAAUUUGUUGUGGGCGUAGAUGUUGUCAACUUUCUUGCCGCUACUAGUCUUAUCUUGCUUCAGCGGUAUUGUGGGAUGAAGCGGCCCAGACCAACCUUACACGUACGCUUACGUGAGACCGGUUCCACCGACUAACAUGCACUAGUUGCAUAAGGUGGCUGGCGGGUGUCUGUCUCUCCCACUUUACUUGGAGCGGAUUCGAUGAAAAGGGUCCUUAUGAAGGGUAAAUAGAAGUUGACAAAUCACGUUGUGGCUUUCACGUAGGUAAGAAAACGUUCUUGCUAGAACCCUAUUUCAGCCACGUAAAACUUGCAACAACAAUUAGUGGACGUCUAACUUGUUUUUGCAGCAAGUGCUUUGUGAUAUGAUAUGGCCAAAGUUGUGAUGAAUGAUGAAUGAUAUAUAUGUGAUGUAUGAGAUGUUCAUGCUAUUGUAAUAGGAAUCACGACUUGCAUGUCGAUGAGUAUGACAACCGGCAGGAGCCAUAGGAGUUGUCUUUAAUUUUUGUAUGACCUGCGUGUCAUUGAGAAACGCCAUGUAAAUUACUUUACUUUAUUGCUAAACGCGUUAGCCAUAGUAGUAGAAGUAAUAGUUGGCGAGCAACUUCAUGGAGACACGAUGAUGGAGAUCAUGAUGAUGGAGAUCAUGGUGUCAAGCCGGUGACAAGAUGAUCAUGGAGCCCCAAGAUGGAGAUCAAAGGAGCUAUGUGAUAUUGGCCAUAUCAUGUCACUAUUAUUAUUUGAUUGCAUGUGAUGUUUAUCAUGUUUUGCAUCUUGUUUACUUAGAACGACGGUAGUAAAUAAGAUGAUCCCUCAUAACAAUUUCAAGAAAGUGUUCCCCCUAACUGUGCACCGUUGCGACAGUUCGUUGUUUCGAAGCACCACGUGAUGAUCGGGUGUGAUAGAUUCUAAUGUUCACAUACAACGGGUGUAAGACAGAUUUACACAUGCAAACACUUAGGUUGACUUGACGAGCCUAGCAUGUACAGACAUGGCCUCGGAACACAGAAGACCGAAAGGUCGAGCAUGAGUCGUAUAGAAGAUACGAUCAACAUGAAGAUGUUCACCGAUGUUGACUAGUCCGUCUCACGUGAUGAUCGGACACGGCCUAGUUGACUCGGAUAAUGUUAUACUUAGAUGACUAGAAGAGGGAUGUCUAUCUAAGUGGGAGUUCAUUGAAUAAUUUGAUUAGAUGAUCUUAAUUAUCAUGAACUUAGUCUAAAAUAUUUACAAUAUGUCUUGUAGAUCAAAUGGCCAACGUAGUCCUCAACUUCAACGCAUUCCUAGAGAAAACCAAGCUGAAAGACGAUGGCAGCAACUACACGGACUGGGUCCGGAACCUGAGGAUCAUCCUCAUAGCUGCCAAGAAAGAUUAUGUCCUACAAGCACCGCUGGGUGACGCACCUGUUCUCCCUGCAGAACAAGACGUUAUGAAUGCUUGGCAGGCACGUACUGAUGACUACUCCCUCGUUCAGUGCGGCAUGCUUUACAGCUUAGAGCCGGGGCUCCAAAAGCAUUUUGAGAGACACGGAGCAUAUGAGAUGUUCGAAGAGCUGAAAAUGGUUUUCCAAGCUCAUGCCCGGGUCGGGAGAUAUGAAGUCUCUGACAAAUUCUUCAGCUGUAAGAUGGAGGAAAAUAGUUCUGUCAGUGAGCAAAUACUCACUAUGUCUGGGUUACAUAACCGCUUGACUCAGCUGGGAGUUAAUCUCCCGGAUGACGCGGUCAUUGACAGAAUCCUCCAGUCGCUUCCACCAAGCUACAAGAGCUUUGUGAUGAACUUCAAUAUGCAGGGGAUGGAAAAGACCAUUCCUGAAGUAUUUGCUAUGCUGAAAUCAGCAGAGGUAGAAGUCAAGAAGGAACAUCAAGUGUUGAUGGUGAAUAAAACCACUAAGUUCAAGAAGGGCAAGGGUAAAAAGAACUUCAAGAAGGACGGCAAGGAAGUUGCCGCGCCCGGCAAGCAAGCUGCUGGGAAGAAGCUAAAGAAUGGACCCAAGCCCGAGAUUGAGUGCUUUUAUUGCAAGGGAAGUGGUCACUGGAAGCGGAAUUGCCCCAAAUACUUAGCAGACAAGAAGGCCGGCAAAUCAAAAGUUAUAUGUGAUAUACAUGUAAUUGAUGUGUACCUUACCAGUACUCGUAGUAGCUCUUGGGUAUUUGAUACCGGUGCAGUUGCUCACAUUUGUAACUCAAAGCAGGAGCUGCGGAAUAAGCGGAGACUGGCGAAGGACGAGGUGACGAUGCGCGUCGGGAAUGGUUCCAUGGUCGAUGUGAUCGCCGUCGGCACGCUACCUCUAAAUUUACCUACGGGAUUAGUUUUAAACCUCAAUAAUUGUUAUUUAGUGCCAGCUUUGAGCAUGAACAUUGUAUCGGGAUCUCGUUUAAUUCGAGAUGGCUACUCAUUUAAAUCCGAGAAUAAUGGUUGUUCUAUUUAUAUGAGAGAUAUGUUUUAUGGUCAUGCUCCGAUGGUGAAUGGUUUAUUCUUAAUGAAUCUCGAGCGUAAUGAUACACAUGUUCAUAGUGUGAAUAACAAAAGAUGUAAGGUUGAUAAUGAUAGUCCCACAUACUUGGGGCACUGCCGCCUUGGUCACAUAGGUGUCAAACGCAUGAAGAAGCUUCAUGCAGAUGGACUUUUAGAGUCUCUUGAUUAUGAAUCAUUUGACACGUGCGAACGAUGCCUCAUGGGUAAAAUGACCAAGACUCCGUUCUCAGGAACAAUGGAGCGAGCAACCAACUUAUUGGAAAUCAUACAUACUGAUGUGUGCGGUCCAAUGAGCGUUGAGGCUCGCGGUGGCUAUCGUUAUGUUCUCACCCUCACUGAUGACUUAAGUAGAUAUGGGUAUGUCUACUUGAUGAAACACAAGUCUGAAACCUUUGAAAAGUUCAAGGAAUUUCAGAGUAAGGUUGAGAAUCAACGUGACAGGAAAAUCAAGUUCCUACGAUCAGAUCGUGGAGGAGAAUACUUGAGUCACGAAUUUGGCACACACUUAAGAAAAUGUGGAAUAGUUUCACAACUCACGCCGCCUGGAACACCACAGCGUAAUGGUGUGUCCGAACGUCGUAAUCGCACUCUAUUAGAUAUGGUGCGAUCUAUGAUGUCUCUUACCGAUUUACCGCUAUCUUUUUGGGGCUAUGCUUUAGAGACUGCCGCAUUCACUUUAAAUAGGGCUCCGUCGAAAUCCGUUGAGACGACACCGUUUGAAUUAUGGUUUGGGAAGAAACCUAAGCUGUCGUUUCUAAAAGUUUGGGGAUGAGAUGCUUAUGUCAAGAAACUUCAACCUGAAAAGCUCGAACCCAAGUCGGAAAAAUGCGUCUUCAUAGGAUACCCUAAAGAAACUAUUGGGUAUACCUUCUACCUCAGAUCCGAAGGCAAGAUCUUUGUUGCCAAGAAUGGAUCCUUUCUAGAGAAAGAGUUUCUCUCGAAAGAAGUAAGUGGGAGGAAAGUAGAACUUGAUGAAGUAUUACCUCUUGAACCGGAAAAUGGCGCAACUCACGAAAAUGUUCCUGAGGUGCCUGCACCGACUAGAGAGGAAGCUAAUGAUGAUGAUCAAGAUACUUCUGAUCAAGCUCCUACUGAAAUUCGUAGGUCCACAAGGACACGUUCCACACCAGAUUGGUAUGGCAACCCUGUCUUGGAAAUCAUGUUGUUAGACAACGGUGAACCUUCGAACUAUGAAGAAGCGAUGGCGGGCCCGGAUUCCGACAAAUGGCUGGAAGCCAUGAAAUCUGAGAUAGGAUCCAUGUAUAAAAACGAAGUAUGGACUUUGACUGACUUGCCCGUUGAACGGCGAGCCAUAGAAAAUAAAUGGAUCUUUAAGAAGAAGACAGACGCGGAUGGUAAUGUGACCAUCUAUAAAGCUCGUCUUGUCGCUAAGGGUUAUCGACAAGUUCAAGGGGUUGACUACGAUGAGACUUUCUCACCGGUAGCGAAGCUAAAGUCCGUCCGAAUCAUGUUAGCAAUUGCCGCAUUCUACGAUUAUGAGAUAUGGCAAAUGGACGUCAAAACGGCAUUCCUUAAUGGUUUCCUUAAGGAAGAACUGUAUAUGAUGCAGCUAGAAGGUUUUGUCGAUCCUAAGAAUGCUGACAAGGUGUGCAAGCUCCAACGCUCGAUUUAUGGGCUGGUGCAAGCAUCUCGGAGUUGGAACAUUCGCUUUGAUGAGAUGAUCAGAGCAUUUGGGUUUAUGCAGACUUAUGGAGAAGCAUGCGUUUACAAGAAAGUGAGUGGGAGCUCUGUAGCAUUUCUCAUACUAUAUGUAGAUGACGUACUUUUGAUGGGAAAUGAUAUAGAACUCUUGGACAGCAUUAAGGCCUACUUGAAUAAGAGUUUUUCAAUGAAGGACCUUGGAUAAGCUGCUUAUAUAUUAGGCAUCAAAAUCUACAGAGAUAGAUCGAGACGCCUCAUAGGUCUUUCACAAAGCACAUACCUUGAUAAGAUAUUGAAGAAGUUCAAUAUGGAUCAGUCUAAGAAGGGGUUCUUACCUGUGUUACAAGGUGUGAAAUUGAGCUCUGCUCAAAGUCCGACCACGGCAGAAGAUAUAGAAGAGAUGAGUGUCAUCCCCUAUGCCUCAGCCAUAGGUUCUAUUAUGUAUGCCAUGCUGUGUACCAGACCCUUGCCGUAAGUUUGGUAGGAAGGUACCAAAGUAAUCCCGGCAAGGAACACUGGACAGCGGUCAAGAAUAUCCUGAAGUACCUCAAAAGGACUAAGGAAAUGUUUCUCGUUUAUGGAGGUGACAAAGAGCUCAUCGUAAAGGGUUACAUCGACGCUAGCUUCGACACAGAUCUGGAUGACUCUAAGUCACAAACCGGAUACGUGUAUAUUUUGAAUGGUGGGGCAGUAAGCUGGUGCAGUUGCAAGCAGAGCGUCGUGGCGGGAUCUACAUGUGAAGCGGAGGACAUGGCAGCCUCGGAGGCAGCACAUGAAGCAAUUUGGGUGAAGGAGUUCAUCACCGGCCUAGGAGUCAUACCCAAUGCGUCAGGGCCGAUCAAGCUCUUCUGUGAUAACACUGGAGCUAUUGCACUUGCCAAGGAGCCCAGGUUUCACAAGAAGACAAGGCACAUAAAGCAUCGCUUCAACUCCAUUCGUGAAAAUGUUCAAGAUGGAGACAUAGAUAUUUGUAAACUACAUACGGACCUGAAUGUAGCAGAUCCGUUGACUAAACCUCUCCCUAGAGCAAAACAUGAUCAACACCAGAAUUCCAUGGGUGUUCGAUUCAUCACAAUGCAACUAGAUUAUUGACUCUAGUGCAAGUGGGAGACUGUUGGAAAUAUGCCCUAGAGGCAAUAAUAAAAGCAUUAUUAUUAUAUUUCCUUGUUCAUGAUAAUUGUCUUUAUUCAUGCUAUAAUUGUGUUAUCCGGAAAUCGUAAUACAUGUGUGAAUAAUAGACACCAACAUGUCCCUAGUAAGCCUGUAGUUGACUAGCUCGUUGAUCAACAGAUAGUCAUGGUUUCCUGACUAUGGACAUUGGAUGUCAUUGAUAACGAGAUCACAUCAUUAGGAGAAUGAUGUGAUGGACAAGACCCAAUCCUAAACAUAGCUCAAGAUCGUAUAGUUCGUUUGCUAGAGUUUUCCAAUGUCAAGUAUCCUUUCCUUAGACCAUGUGAUCGUGUAACUCCCGGAUACCGUAGGAGUGCUUUGGGUGUACCAAACGUCACAACGUAACUGGGUGACUAUAAAGGUAGACUACGGGUAUCUCCGAAAGUGUCUGUUGGGUUGACACGGAUCAAGACUGGGAUUGGUCACUCCGUAUGACGGAGAGGUAUCACUGGGCCCACUCGGUAAUGCAUCAUCAUUAUGAGCUCAAAGUGACCAAGUGUCUGGUCACGGGAUCAUGCAUUACGGUACGAGUAAAGUGACUUGCCGGUAACGAGAUUGAACGAGGUAUUGGGAUACCGACGAUCGAAUCUCGGGCAAGUAACAUACCGAUUGACAAAGGGAAUUGAAUAUGGGGUUGCUUGAAUCCUCGACAUCGUGGUUCAUCCGAUGAGAUCAUCGAGGAGCAUGUGGGAGCCAACAUGGGUAUCCAGAUCCCGUUGUUGGUUAUUGACCGGAGAGUCGUCUCGGUCAUGUCUACAUGUCUCCAGAACCCGUAGGGUCUACACACUUAAGGUUCGGUGACGCUAGGGUUGUAGGGAUAUGUAUAUGCAGUAACCCGAAUGUUGUUCGGAGUCCCGGAUGAGAUCCCGGACGUCACAAGGAGUUUCGGAAUGGUCCGGAGGUAAAGAAUUAUAUAUAGGAAGUGCUAUUUCGGCCAUCGGGACAAGUUUCGGGGUCACCGGUAUUGUACCGGGGUCACCAGUAUUGUACCGGGACCACCGGAAGGGUCCCAGGGGUCCACCGGGUGCGGCCACCUGCCCCGGGGGGCCACAUGGGCUGUAGGGGGUGCGCCUUGGCCUACAUGGGCCAAGGGCACCAGCCCCAAGAGGUCCAUGCGCCUAGGGUUCAAGAAGGGAAGAGUCCCAAAGGGGGAAGGCACCCCCUAGGUGCCUUGGGGGGGAGGGAUUCCUCCCUUGGCCACCGCCCCCCUAGGAGAUUGGAUCUCCUAGGGCCAGCGCCCCCCCCUUGGCUCCCUAUAUAUAGUGAGGGAAGGAGGGCCUCUAAGACAACGCCUUUGGUGCCUCCCUCUCCCUCUCCAACACCUCCUCCUCCUCCAUAGAGCUUAGCGAAGCCCUGCCGGAGUACUGCAGCUCCAUCACCACCACGCCGUCGUGCUGCUGCUGGAGCCAUCUUCCUCAACCUCUCCUCUCCCCUUGCUGGAUCAAGAAGGAGGAGACGUUACGCUGACCGUACGUGUGUUGAACGCGGAGGUGCCAUCCGUUCGGCGCUAGGAUCUCCGGUGAUUUGGAUCACGUCGUGUACGACUACCUCAUCCCCGUUCUUUGAACGCUUCCGCUCGCGAUCUACAAAGGUAUGUAGAUGCAUCCGAUCACUCGUUGCUAGAUGAACCCAUAGAUGGAUCUUGGUGAAACCGUAGGAAUUUUUUUUGUUUUCUGCAACGUUCCCCAACAGAUCUUUAUCGGUCAGACCGCAUAACAACAUACGUUGUUCCCUUUGUCAUCGGUAUGUUACUUGCCCAAGAUUCGAUCGUCGGUAUCCAAUACCUAGUUCAAUCUCGUUACCGGCAAGUCUCUUUACUCGUUCCGUAAUACAUCAUCUUGCAACUAACUCAUUAGUUACAUUUCUUGCAAGGCUUAAGUGAUCUGCAUUACCGAGAGGGCCCAGAGAUACCUCUCCGAUGAUCGGAGUGAAAAAUCCUAAUCUCGAAAUACGUCAACCCAACAUGUACCUUUGGAGACACCUGUAGAGCACCUUUAUAAUCACCCAGUUACGUUGUGACGUUUGGUAGCACACAAAGUGUUCCUCCGGCACACGGGAGUUACAUAAUCUCAUAGUCAUAGGAACAUGUAUAAGUCAUGAAGAAAAGCAAUAGCAACAUACUAAAUGAUCGGGUGCUAAGCUAAUGGAAUGGGUCAUGUCAAUCAGAUCAUUCAACUAAUGAUGUGAUCUCAUUUAAUCAAAUGACAACUCUUUGUCCAUGGUUAGGAAACAUAACCAUCUUUGAUUAACGUGCUAGUCAAGUAGAGGCAUACUAGUGACACUUAGUUUGUCUAUGUAUUCACACAUGUAUUAUGUUUCCGGUUAAUACAAUUCUAGCAUGAAUAAUAAACUUUUAUCAUGAUAUAAGGAAAUAAAUAAUAAAUUUAUUAUUGCCUCUAGGGCAUAUUUCCUUCAGUCUACCACUUGCACUAGAGUCAAUAAUCUAGAUUACACAGUAAUGAUUCUAACACCCAUGCAGCUUUGGUGCUGAUCAUGUUUUGGUCGUGGAAGAGGCUUAGUCAAUGGGUCUGCUACAUUCAGCUCCGUAUGUAUCUUACAAAUCUCUAUGUCUCCCACUUGGACUAGAUCCCGGAUGGAAUUGAAGCGUCUCUUGAUCUGUUUGGUCCUCUUGUGAAAUCUGGAUUCCUUUGCCAAGGCAAUUGCACCAGUAUUGUCACAAAAGAUUUUCAUUGGACCCGAUGCACUAGGUAUGACACCUAGAUCGGAUAUGAACUCCUUCAUCCAGACUCCUUCAUUUGCUGCUUCCGAAGCAGCUAUGUACUCCGCUUCACAUGUAGAUCCCGCCACGACGCUUUGUUUAGAACUGCACCAACUGACAGCUCCACCGUUUAAUGUAAACACGUAUCCGGUUUGCGAUUUAGAAUCGUCCGGAUCAGUGUCAAAGCUUGCAUCAACGUAACCGUUUACGAUGAGCUCUUUGUCACCUCCAUAUACGAGAAACAUAUCCUUAGUCCUUUUCAGGUAUUUCAGGAUGUUCUUGACCGCUGUCCAGUGAUCCACUCCUGGAUUACUUUGGUACCUCCCUGCUAAACUUAUAGCAAGGCACACAUCAGGUCUGGUACACAGCAUUGCAUACAUGAUAGAGCCUGUGGCUGAAGCAUAGGGAACAUCUUUCAUUUUCUCUCUAUCUUCUGCAGUGGUCGGGCAUUGAGUCUGACUCAACUUCACACCUUGUAACACAGGCAAGAACCCUUUCUUUACUUGAUCCAUUUUGAACUUCUUCAAAAUCUUGUCAAGGUAUGUGCUUUGUGAAAGUCAAAUUAAGCGUCUUGAUCUAUCUCUAUAGAUCUUUAUGCCUAAUAUGUAAGCAGCUUCACCGAGGUCUUUCAUUGAAAAACUCUUAUUCAAGUAUCCCUUUAUACUAUCCAGAAAUUCUAUAUCAUUUCCAAUCAGUAAUAUGUCAUCCACAUAUAAUAUCAGAAAUGCUACAGAGCUCCCACUCACUUUCUUGUAAAUACAGGCUUCUCCGAAAGUGUGUAUAAAACCAAAUGCUUUGAUCACACUAUCAAAGCGUUUAUUCCAACUCCGAGAGGCUUGCACUAGUCCAUAAAUGGAUCGCUGGAGCUUGCACACUUUGUUAGCUCCCUUUGGAUCGACAAAACCUUCCGGUUGCAUCAUAUACAACUCUUCUUCCAGAAAUCCAUUCAGGAAUGCAGUUUUGACAUCCAUCUGCCAAAUUUCAUAAUCAUAAAAUGCGGCAAUUGCUAACAUGAUUCAGACAGACUUAAGCAUCGCUACGGGUGAGAAGGUCUCAUCGUAGUCAACCCCUUGAACUUGUCGAAAACCUUUUGCGACAAGUCGAGCUUUGUAGACAGUAAUAUUACCAUCAGCGUCAGUCUUCUUCUUGAAGAUCCAUUUAUUCUCAAUUGCUUGCCGAUCAUCGGGCAAGUCAACCAAAGUCCAUACUUUGUUCUCAUACAUGGAUCCCAUCUCAGAUUUCAUGGCUUCAAGCCAUUUUGCGGAACCUGGGCUCACCAUCGCUUCUUCAUAGUUCGUAGGUUCAUCAUGAUCUAGUAGCAUGAUUUCUAUAACAGGAUUACCGUACCACUCUGGUGCGGAUCUUACUCUGGUUGAUCUACGAGGUUUAGUAGUAUCUUGUUCUGAAGUUUCAUGAUCAUUAUCAUUAGCUUCCUCACUAAUUGGUGUAGGUGUCGCAGAAACAGGUUUCUGUGAUGUACUACUUUCCAAUAAGGGAGCAGGUACAGUUACCUCAUCAAGUUCUACUUUCCUCCCACUCACUUCUUUCGAGAGAAACUCCUUCUCAAGAAAGGAUCCAUUCUUAGCAAAGAAUAUCUUGCCUUCGGAUCUGUGAUAGAAGGUGUACCCAACAUUCUCCUUUGGGUAUCCUAUGAAGACACAUUUCUCCGAUUUGGGUUCGAGCUUAUUAGGUUGAAGCUUUUUCACAUAAGCAUCGCAGCCCCAAACUUUAAGAAACGACAACUUUGGUUUCUUGCCAAACCAUAGUUCAUAAGGCGUCGUCUCAACGGAUUUUUAUGGUGCCCUAUUUAACAUGAAUGCGGCCGUGUCUAAAGCAUAACCCCAAAACAAUAGUGGUAAAUCAGUAAGAGACAUCAUGGAUCGCACCAUAUCUAGUAAAGUACGAUUACGACAUUCGGACACACCAUUACGCUGUGGUGUUCUGGGUGGCGUGAGUUGCGAAACUAUUCCGCAUUGUUUCAAAUGUACACCAAACUCGUAACUCAAAUAUUCUCCUCCAUGAUCAGAUCGUAGAAACUUUAUUUUCUUGUUAUGAUGAUUUUCAACUUCACUCUGAAAUUCUUUGAACUUUUCAAAUGUUUCAGACUUAUGUUUCAUUAAGUAGAUAUACCCAUAUCUUCUUAAGUCAUCUGUGAAGGUGAGAAAAUAACGAUAUCCGCCACGAGCCUCAAUAUUCAUCGGACCACAUACAUCUGUAUGUAUGAUUUCCAACAAAUCUGUUGCUCUCUCCAUAGUGCUGGAGAACGGUGUUUUAGUCAUCUUGCCCAUGAGGCACGGUUCGCAAGUACCAAGUGAUUCAUAAUCAAGUGGUUCCAAAAGCCCAUCAGUAUGGAGUUUCUUCAUGCGCUUUAUACCGAUAUGACCUAAACGGCAGUGCCACAAAUAAGUUACACUAUCAUUAUCAACUCUGCAUCUUUUGGCUUCAACAUUAUGAAUAUGUGUGUUACUACUAUCGAGAUUCGUCAAAAAUAGACCACUCUUUAAAGGUGCAUGACCAUGCAAGAUAUUACUCAUAUAAAUAGAACAACCAUUAUUCUCUGAUUUAAAUGAAUAACCGUCUCGCAUUGAACAAGAUCCGGAUAUAAUGUUCAUGCUCAACGCUGGCACCAAAUAACAAUUAUUUAGGUCUAAUAUUAAUCCCGAAGGUAGAUGUAGAGGUAGCGUGCCGACCGCGAUCACAUCGACUUUGGAACCGUUUCCCACGUGCAUCGUCACCUCGUCCUUUGCCAGUGUUCGCUUAAUCCGUAGUCCCUGUUUCGAGUUGCAAAUAUUAGCAACAGAACCAGUAUCAAAUACCCAGGUGCUACCGCGAGUUCUAGUAAGGUACACAUCAAUAACAUGUAUAUCACAUAUACCUUUGUUCACCUUGCCAUCCUUCUUAUCCGCCAAAUACUUGGGGUAGUUCCGCUUCCAGUGACCAGUCUGCUUGCAGUAGAAGCACUCAGUUUCAGGCUUAGGUCUAGACUUGGGUUUCUUCUCUUGAGCAGCAACUUGCUUGCUGUUCUUCUUGAAGUUCCCCUUCUUCUUCCCUUUGCCCUUUUUCUUGAAACUAGUGGUCUUGUUGACCAUCAACACUUGAUGCUCCUUUUUGAUUUCUACCUCCGCAGCUUUCAGCAUUGUGAAGAGCUCGGGAAUAGUCUUAUUCAUCCCUUGCAUAUUAUAGUUCAUCACGAAGCUCUUGUAGCUUGGUGGCAGUGAUUGGAGAAUUCUGUCAAUGACGCAAUCAUCUGGAGGAUUAACUCCCAUCUGAAUCAAGUGAUCAUUAUACCCGGACAUUUUGAGUAUAUGCUCACUGACAGAACUGUUCUCCUCCAUCUUGCAGCUAUAGAACUUAUUGGAGACUUCAUAUCUCUCAAUUCGGGCAUUUGCUUGAAAUAUUAACUUCAACUCCUGGAACAUCUCAUAUGCUCCAUGACGUUCAAAACGUCGUUGAAGUCCCGAUUCUAAGCCGUAAAGCAUGGCACACUGAACUAUCGAGUAGUCAUCAGCUUUGCUCUGCCAGACGUUCAUAACAUCUGGUGUUGCUCCAGCAGCAGGCCUGGCACCCAGCGGUGCUUCCAGGACGUAAUUCUUCUGUGCAGCAAUGAGGAUAAUCCUCAAGUUAUGGACCCAGUCUGUGUAAUUGCUACCAUCAUCUUUCAACUUUGCUUUCUCAAGGAACGCAUUAAAAUUCAACGGAACAAUAGCACGGGCCAUCUAUCUACAAUCAAACAUACAUAAGCAAGAUACUAUCAGGUACUAAGUUCAUGAUAAAUUUAAGUUCAAUUAAUCAUAUUACUUAAAAACUCCCACUUAGAUAGACAUCCCUCUAAUCUUCUAAGUGAUCACGUGAUCCAAAUCAACUAAACCAUAACCGAUCAUCACGUGAAAUGGAGUAGUUUUCAAUGGUGAACAUCACUAUGUUGAUCAUAUCUACUAUAUGACUCACGCUCGAUCUUUCGAUCUCAGUGUUUCGAGGCCAUAUCUGCAUAUGCUAGGCUCGUCAAGUUUAACCUGAGUAUUCUGCGUGUGCAAAACUAGCUUGCACCCGUUGUAGAUGGACGUAGAGCUUAUUACACCCGAUCAUCACGUGGUGUCUGGGCACGACGAACUUUGGCAACGGUGCAUACUCAGGGAGAACACUUUUAUCUUGAUAAUUUAGUGAGAGAUCAUCUUAUAAUGCUACCGUCAAUCAAAGCAAGAUAAGAUGCAUAAAAGAUAAACAUCACAUGCAAUCAAUAUAAGUGAUAUGAUAUGGCCAUCAUCAUCUUGUGCUUGUGAUCUCCAUCUCCGAAGCACCGUUAUGAUCACCAUCGUCACCGGCACGACACCUUGAUCUCCAUCAUAGCAUCGUUGUCGUCUCACCCCAAUCUUAUGCUUCCACGACUAUCGCUACCGCUUAGUGAUAAAGUAAAGCAUUACAGCGCGAUUGCAUUGCAUACAAUAAAGCGACAACCAUAUGGCUCCUGCCAGUUGCCGAUAACUCGAUUACAAAACAUGAUCAUCUCAUACAAUAAAAUUUAGCAUCAUGUCUUGACCAUAUCACAUCACAACAUGCCCUGCAAAAACAAGUUAGACGUCCUCUACUUUGUUGUUGCAAGUUUUACGUGGCUGCUACGGGCUUAAGCAAGAACCAAUCUUACCUACGCAUCAAAACCACAACGAUAGUUUGUCAAGUAGGUGUUGUUUUAACCUUCGCAAGGACCGGGCGUAGCCACACUCGGUUCAACUAAAGUUGGAGAAACUGUCACCCGCAAGCCACCUAUGUGCAAAGCACGUCGGGAGAACCGGUCUCGCGUAAGCGUACGCGUAAUGUCGGUCCGGGCCGCUUCAUCCAACAAUACCGCCGAACCAAAGUAUGACAUGCUGGUAAGCAGUAUGACUUAUAUCGCCCACAACUCACUUGUGUUCUACUCAUGCAUAUAAGAUCAACACAUAAAACCUGGCUCUGAUGCCACUGUUGGGGAACGUAGUAAUUUCAAAAAAAUUCCUACGCACACGCAAGAUCAUGGUGAUGCAUAGCAACGAGAGGGGAGAGUGUGAUCUAUGUACCCUUGUAGAUCGACAACGGAAGCGUUUGGUUGAUGUAGUCGUACGUCUCCAGCCCGACCGAUCAAGCACCGAAACUACGGCACCUCUGAGUUCUAGCACACGUUCAGCUCAAUGACGAUCCUCGGACUCCGAUCCAGCAAAGUGUCGGGGAAGAGUUUCGUCAGCACGACGGCGUGCUGACGAUCUUGAUGUAUUACGGUCGCAGGGCUUCGCCUAAGCACCGCUACAAUAUUAUCGAGGACUAUGGUGGCAGGGGGCGCCGCACACGGCUAAGAAUAUGAUCACGUGGAUCAACUUGUGUUCCUCUAGGGUGCCCCGGCCUCCGUAUAUAAAGGCUCAAGGGGGGGUGCGGCCGGCCUAGAGGUGGCGCGCCAGGAGGAGUCCUACUCCCUCCGGGAGUAGGAUUCCCCCCCCCCCCCCAAUCCUAGUUGGAAUAGGAUUCGUGAAGGGGGGAAAAGAGAAAGGGGGCCGGCCCCCUCUCCUUGUCCUAUUCGGACCAAGGGAGGGGAGGGGCGCGCGGCCCAUCUAGGAUGCCUCUUCUCUUUUCCACUAAGGCCCACUAAGGCCCAUAUAGCUCCCGGGGGGUUCCGGUAACCUCCCGGUACUCCGGUAAAAUCCCGAUUUCACCCGGAACACUUCCGAUAUCCAAACAUAGGCUUCCAAUAUAUCAAUCUUUAUUUCUCGACCAUUUCGAGACUCCUCGUCAUGUCCGUGAUCACAUCCGGGACUCCGAACAACCUUCGGUACAUCAAAACAUAUAAACUCAUAAUAUAACUGUCAUCGAAACCUUAAGCGUGCGGACCCUACGGGUUCGAGAACAAUGUAGACAUGACCGAGACAUGUCUCUAGUCAAUAACCAAUAGCGGGACCUGGGUGCCCAUAUUGGCUCCUACAUAUUCUACGAAGAUCUUUAUCGGUCAGACCGCAUAACAACAUACGUUGUUCCCUUUGUCAUCGGUAUGUUACUUGCCCGAGAUUUGAUCGUCGGUAUCCAAUACCUAGUUCAAUCUCGUUACCGGCAAGUCUCUUUACUCGUUCCGUAAUACAUCAUCUUGCAACUAACUAAUUAGUUACAUUGCUUGCAAGGCUUAAGUGAUGUGCAUUACUGAGAUGGCCCAGAGAUACCUCUCCGACGAUCGGAGUGACAAAUCCUAAUCUCGAAAUACGUCAACCCAACAUGUACCUUUGGAGACACCUGUAGAGCACCUUUAUAAUCACCCAGUUACGUUGUGACGUUUGGUAGCACACAAAGUGUUCCUCCGGCACACGGGAGUUACAUAAUCUCAUAGUCAUAGGAACAUGUAUAAGUCAUGAAGAAAAGCAAUAGCAACAUACUGAACGAUCGGGUGCUAAGCUAAUGGAAUGGGUCAUGUCAAUCAAAUCAUUCAACUAAUGAUGUGAUCCCGUUUAAUCAAAUGACAACUCUUUGUCCAUGGUUAGGAAACAUAACCAUCUUUGAUUAACGUGCUAGUCAAGUAGAGGCAUAUAUACUAGUGACACUUAGUUUGUCUAUGUAUUACACAUGUAUUAUGUUUCUGGUUAAUACAAUUCUAGCAUGAAUAAUAAACUUUUAUCAUGAUAUAAGGAAAUAAAUAAUAACUUUAUUAUUGCCUCUAGGGCAUAUUUCCUUCACUACUGUCCUCGACGGUGUGUGUUUGCAAUUUUUUCUGAAAGGAAAAAUGCUUGGGAUGAGGGUAUACCACAGGUUGGUUUGUAGUAGGCGCAUUUGGUUCUGUUUGGCUGUGACAUGGUCUUCCUUUUGUGUUCCUUGAUCUAGUGACUAUUGUUGUGCCGUAUAUAGCAAGGGCAUUAAUAUUGUGUUUAGUUUCUAUACAAUCAGUAGGUUAAUUAAGACUGUAGCAAAGGCAAAGUGAUUAACUGAUCUUGUCAUGUAUGCAUGCACAUUGUUGUAGCUUCUAUUGCCACAAGCAUGUGGAAUAAAAGAAAAUGAACUCUUUGGGAAUUGAAAUGCUCUAUUAUACAUCUGCAUCACCUUCCAAGCCCAGUUAGGGAAUUGAUGGGAAUGAAAAUCAGUGCACAGAAAUCGACUUGUUAUGUCUUUGCAAGGGUAUCUAUUUUCAGUAGGUUAGUUAAGAGUUUUUAUUAUAGGAAGUCAAAGUGGCUGAACUUUUGUAUUAUAUACUACUUUUGCAUCAUUCUAGGGUGCUACCUCUUGAGCACUGCGUUGGAUUUCCCCGAAGAGGAAGGGGUGAUGCAGCAAAGUAGCGUAAGUAUUUCCCUCAAUUUUUGAGAACCAAGCUAUCAAUCCAGUAGGAGGCUACGCUCGAGUCCCUCGUACCUACACAAAAACAAUAGCUCAACGCAACCAACACGCUUAGGGGUUGUCAAUCCCUUCAUGGUCACUUACGAAAAUGAGAUCUGAUCGAGAUGAUAAAUAAUAUUUUUGGUAUUUUUGGUAUAAAGAUGCAAAGUAAAAGCAAAGCAAUAAUAAAGUGAUGGAGAUCGAUAUGAUGAGAAAGAGACCCGGGGGCCAUAGGUUUCACUAGUGGCUUCUCUCAAGAGCAUACGUAUUCUAUGGUGGGUGAACAAAUUACUGUUGAGCAAUUGACAGAAUUGAGCAUAAUUAUGAGAAUAUCUAGGUAUGAUCAUGUAUAUAGGCAUCACGUCCGAUACAAGUAGACCGAAACGAUUCUGCAUCUACUACUAUUACUCCACUCGUCGACCGCUAUCCAACAUGCAUCUAGAGUAUUAAGUUAAAAAUAGAGUAACGCCUUAAGCAAGAUGACAUGAUGUAGAGGGAUAAUUUCAUGCAAUAUGAUAAAAAACCAUCUUGUUAUCCUCGAUGGCAACAAUACAAUACGUGCCUUGCUGCCCCUUCCGUCACUCGGAAAGGACACCGCAAGAUUGAACCCAAAGCUAAGCACUUCUCCAAUGGCAAGAACAACCAAUCUAGUAGGCCAAACCAAACUGAUAAUUCGAAGAGACUUGCAAAGAUAACCAAUCAUACAUAAAAGAAUUCAGAGAAGAUUCAAAUAUUAUUCAUAGAUAGACUGGAUCAUAAACCCACAAUUCAUCGGUCUCAACAAACACACCGCAAAAACAAGAUUACAUCGAAUAGAUCUCCACAAGAGAGGGGGAGAACAUUGUAUUGAGAUCCAAAAAGAGAGAAGAAGCCAUCUAGCUACUAGCUAUGGACCCGUAGGUCUGAAGUAAACUACUCACACUUCAUCGGAGGGGCUUGGAUGAUGAUGUAGAAGCCCUCCGUGAUCGAUGCCCCCUCCGGCGGAGCUCCGGAACAGGCCCCAAGAUGGGAUCUCGUGGAUACAGAAAGUUGCGGCGGUGGAAUUAGGUUUUUGGCUCCAUCCCCGAUCGUUUGGGGGUACAUUGUACCGCCCUCGAUGCGGCUAUAUCUCCCACGUGUCGAAGCACGACUUAGAGGCAUAACCGCAUUGAAAGCAAUGUCGCAAGUGAGGUAAUCUUCACACAACCCAUGUAAUACAUAAGGGAAAGAGAUACAUAGUUAGCUUACAAUCGCCACUUCACACAAUACAUGAAUAAAGCAUUACAACAUCCAAAUACAAUCAAGGUCCGACUACGGAACAAAAAUAAAAGAAGAACCCCAAGUGCGACAAAGGUUCCCGAUCGACCCCAACUGGGCUCCACUACUGAUCAACUAGAAAGAAACAACACAAAGGACAAGAUCUUCAACGAGCUCCUCCUUGAGCUUGGUUGCGUCACCUGCUCGGUAACAUCGGCACCUGCAAACUGGUUUUGGAAGUAUCUGUGAGUCACAAGGACUCAGCAAUCUCGCACCCUCGCGAUCCAGACUAUUUAAGCUUAUGGGUAAGGUAAAAGGUAUGAGGUGGAGCUGCAGCAAGCGACUAGCAUAUAUGGUGGCUAACAUACGCAAAUGAGAGCAAGAAGAGAAGGCAAAGCACGGUCGAUAAAAGUAUGAUCAAGAAGUGAUCCUAAAACAACCUACGUCAAGCAUAACUCCAACACCGUGUUCACUUCCCGGACUCCGCCGGAAAGAGACCAUCACGGUUACACACGCGGUUGAUUCAUUUUAAUUAAGGUCAACUUCAGGUUUUCUACAACCGGACGUUAACAAAUUCCCAUCCGCCCAUAACCGCGGGCACGGCUUUCAAAAGUUCAAAUCCCUGCAGGGGUGUCCCAACUUAGCCCAUCACAAGCUCUCACGGUCAACGAAGGAAUAGACCCCCUCCCGAGACAUUCCGAUCAGACUCGGUAUCCCAGUACAACAAGACAUUUCGACAGGGUAAAACUAAACCAGCAACACGGCCCGAAUGUGCCGACAAAUCCCGAUAGGAGCUGCACAUAUCUCUUUCUCAGGGCACACUCAGAUUGUCCAAACUUCCGGUAGGCCAGCCCAGAGUUGCCCCUGGUGGCCACCGGCAGCUGACAGUUUGGACCAACACUCAGAGGAGCACUGGCCCGGGGGGGUUAAAAUAAUGAUGACCCUUGAGUCUGCAGAACCCAAGGGAAAGAAAAGGCUAGGUGGCAAAUGGUAAAACCAAUGUUGGGCAUUGCUGGAAGAGCUUUACUUAAGACCAACUGUCAAGGGGUUCCCAUAAUAGCCCAACCGCGUAAGGAACGCAAAAUCCGGGAACAUAGCACCGAUAUGACGGAAACUAGGGCGGCAAGAGUGGAACAAAACACCAGGCAUAAGGCCGAGCCUUCCACCCUUUACCAAGUAUAUAGAUGCAUUAAUUAAAUAAGAUAUAUAGUGAUAUCCCAACAAGUAAACAUGUUCCAAUAAGGAACGGUAUCUCCAUGUUCCAACAAGGAACAAACUUCAAUCUUCACCUGCAACUAACAACGCUAUAAGAGGGGCUGAGCAAAGCGGUAACAUAGCCAAACAAUGGUUUGCUAGGACAAGGUGGGUUAGAGGCUUGGUUCAACAAUAUGGGAGGCAUGAUAAGCAAAUGGAAGGUAUCGCAGCAUGGGCAUAGCAAAAGAGCGAGCAACUAGCAAGCAAAGAUAGAAGUGAUUUCGAGGGUGUGAUCAUCCUUCCCGAAAUCCCGCAAGGAAGAAGAACGAGUUCAUGAAGAAGACAAACGGACGUAGUCGAACGGAUCCUCACAAACGUGACGUUGUCAGAAACAACCCGAAGAAGCACACCGGAUAGAAGCAAACAACAUAGUAAACAACCACCACAUAGACAUGGCAUGAUGCACAAACAAGUAUGAUGCAUGUCUGGUUUAAUGAAGCAUGGCAUGGCAAAGUGCACAAGCAAUCCUACAAAUUAAGUGGAGCUCAAUAUGCAACGAGUUGCAUAUUGACGAAACACCACAUCACUUAUUUAGUUCACUCUCGGUUAGGUACCCCACAAUAUUAAAUGUUGGUUAACAUGGCAAGAGGUGAAGCAUAACAAAACUAUAUCAUCUAAACAAUUUAAAUGGGGCCGGAUAUAACAAAUAACAAAUCCGGUAAGUCCCCAUAUGCAUAAGCAAAUUAAAGCAACAACAAAUUUUAACCAUCUUAAAGUUGUUAACAUGAUGCGGAUGACAUAUUCAAGUUUAUGCAAUAUUUAUGAAAACAUUGACAUGAUAAGAUAUGAGGCAUUUGUCAUCGUGGCGAAAACUAAAGGGGUGCCACGGCAACGACAACGGAAAUGGUGCCACGGCAACAUUCCGGUUCCGGUAACUCGAUUGAGAUACCGAUGCAAAGGAGAAGUGUGCGGAUGCGUGCAAAAGAUGGUGGGGUGCUCCCGGAUUCCGGGCGUCCCACGAGUUGGCGACAAGGAAACGGGUGACAAUUUGGACACGGUGCAAACUCGAGCAUCUCAAACAUCACAAGCAUUCAUUCACUGACGUCGCCUCGAGGUUAUACCUUCGCAGCGUGCAAGUGGGGCAGUUCUUGUUCGGUGCAAAGUAGAGGAAGUAGUCGUUCUCGCGACGGCGGUAGAGGUUCUCACGAUCUCGGUGACGGUAGUGGUACAUGUUUAUCGUUGCCCAAGUUUUCGUAGAUGUUCAUGUCACCGUAGUGGCACUUGGUGAAUCCCGAAACGGUCUUGGCGCCUUCGCGCGUAGGGGUACUUGGCGUUUUACUCCACGGUCUUGGCGGAUCCACGCGAUGGUAGUGGUACUCGCGAAGAGGUACUUAACGAAUCCAACAUCCUCGGGGCGACGGUAGUGGUACACACGACGUCGGGGUACUUGUCGGUCCGGUCUUGGCGGUGUAGAUGUACACGUUGUCGGGGUACCUGUUGCAUCACCGGGUGUAGUCGUACACGUUCGAAGCGGGACUUAGCGUAUCCAUGUACUUGGCAGUCCAAGACGUAGAGGUACACUAGUCCAAGUGGAACUUGACGAUGACGGGGUCUUCAGGGUACUUGAUGCUUGAGGUUCCAAUCUAGUUUCGAAUGCACGCAACACAUCGCAGGAGCAAGAGGAAACAACUUGGUGGGGUUCUGCCCAUACAUGGUGAACUCGAAGUCGAGGCGAACGGCACUGCUUGAGAAGGAAAACGACGGCUGUGACGGGGCAAGUGGAGCAACAUGCGGCAGGGGCGUCCAUGAAGGUGAGCAGGGAAGGCAUGGCAAGGAGGCAUGGGAGGAUCCCGUGGCCAUGGAGGGCCAGCAGCGGCCUGGACAAUGGCGGAGACGGGGCUGGAGAUGGACGGCGAGGAGGAGAGCUUGGGGUCGAGCGUGGUGCAGGGCUCCGGGUGGCUCGGCGCGGUGCAGCUCGCACACGAGGAGAAGAAGAUGAGGCCCGACGAGGAAGGGGCUCGCCGACUGGGAGGCUCUGGUGGCUGGCGUCCACGCCGGAGUGGGGAAGGCGGCGGCACUAUGACGAAGGCGGCGUCGGGCGCGCAGGAUGCAGCAGUGGGGCGACGAACGGGCGGCGGGGCUCCAGGGACUUGGCGCGGCGGCCCUCGCGGGAGACGGGGAGGAGGCGAGAUGGCGCGGCGGCGGCCUCACCGGAGUGGAGAAGGCGGCGGCACUGGCUCGCGCAUGCUGGGAUCGGGAUCGGGAUCCCGACCUCUGUUGCGAGCGUGUGAGGAGGAGGGAAACAAGGAGAGAAGUGGGAUCGGGGGAGCUGGCUUCUGGCGGCGGUGAUGGGAACGAGAGGGAGAAGCGAUCGGGCUCAGCUGGCGGCUAGGGUUAGCUAGGCAGGGGCCGGCUGGGCCUUGGGCCACUGGUGCGGCUGCUGGACGUUGGGAGGCCCAGGUGGGCAGUGGUGCAGGCCACCGCUCCCUCCAAAUAUCUCUCUCCCUUCCUUCUCUUAUAAUUUUCUUUAUUAGAAAAACAAGAGAAGACAAAGAAAGAAAGUGGGGGGGGGGUUAGGACACGAAGUUGGACUCAUGGAUAAUUAUCACGGACUCAUUAAAAAAAUGUGCACGGUCCACGAAAAUAGGAGAGGCAAGAUUGCAAGGAUUUAAUUCAAAGUCAUUUGAAUUUAAUUCAAAUGGUUUGAAUAAGGGCUAGGAAAAAGAUGUGUCCAAAAAUGUUCGGAUUUUUGGUAGAGCUCCGAAUAUGAUGAAAGAAAUAUAUGGCCAUGUUGGAGACCGAGAAUUAAGAUAACAAAGGCAUUGGGAUAUUUUGCAAAUGUGUUUGCGUUAACUCCAAGCGAAUGGAAUAUUUUUAUUUAGCUCCCUAAUAUUGGGAGGAUAUGUUAUAAAGAGAAUCACCAUGUGAAUUCCCUCGAUUUAAAUGGACCGAAGAUCCAUGCAAUUUAUUUAGUUGAGUUGCAAAAGAUUUAUGAGAUGAAGGCAUGAUGACAUGAUAAGAUGCAACACGCAAGCAAAUGACAUGGCAACGACGGCGAAAAACUGGAGGACACCUGGCACAUCGGUCUCGGGGCGUCACAACACUCCACCACUACGAGAGGAUCUCGUCCCGAGAUCUAGAAUGGCACCGGAGGGAAAGCAGAAGAGAUAAGAGAAGAGGUAAAACAAAUUGCUUCUUUGACAAACGAGUGAAAACAAAGAACCCUGAAAAGGUUGAACAAAUUUGAAUGAAAGAAUACAAUGAAGAUGAACGAAGUUGAAAGCACUCCGGUAGAAAAGAGAUGCAAGACUUGAUAAGAUGAAAAAGGACUUGAGCACAGGACACAACAAUGCGGUUAAAUGGAUAAACCAAGAAAAGAACAUGAUCCUGACAAAACAAGAAGAUGGGUUGAAGAGAGCAACAUCACAAUGCCUCCAGAACAAAAGUAAGAAUGGAAUGGAAUGAACGAAGUGAAACAAGAUCUUGAGAGAGCACGAUAACAACAAAUGCUAGAACGGAGUUGUUGGAAAAACCAACAACGAAAAGAAUAAUCUUGAUAUGGUCUUAUGGGAUACCUCAAAUUAUGAGGUGACAACCUGCCACUCACGAAAAACAAGAUUGGAUUGAUAUGAACAAGAAGACGAGAAACUUAUCUCACCGGGAGAAUAAAUGAAGACUAGGGUCGUUUAUAAACACCAUAGACAGCAACGAUCCUUAGGGAAGGCUUUAGGUGAAAUAUAACCCAAGGUAACUCCAAUGAAGAGAUUGAUGGGUUACCAAGGAACUCAUGAACGAACUGAAAAUGAUGGGUUUAAAAUAUGUCAUUCCGGACAACUUGUGAACCAUGAAACAUGAACUCAAAUUAUCAAGAAUGACAUAAUACCACCUCCAAAGAUGCGGAAGAAAGAUUGAACUCCGGAUUGCAAGAUGAGAAUGCUUGAGCUCCUUAGAAAAGAAUCUCGAUGAACACUUCGAGAAGGAGUAUAAAACCUUGAUGAACCAUCAUGUAGAACCUUGAUGAAGUACUCCGGUAACAAAAGAAUGAUCCGAAAUAAUUGAAUGAUGAAAAUAAUAAGAUUGAAGCCUCGCAAUGAUUUAUAUAGAGAUCUCCUUGAUAAUAUAAGUGAAAGAGGUUGGAACUCCGGGAAAAGAAAAGAUGAAACAAAUGAAACUGAGAAUUUGAAGGGCCUCCGGAAUAAAGAAUUAAUCACUUGGAUGAACAAGAAUAAGAAUUAUGUUAUGCUUGUCCUUCAUCAAUUAAAUUGAUGACAAACAAUGGAUUUGGCACACUACUUAUUCUCGUAGAAAGGAUUAAGAGAGAUAUAGCGCAAACCUGAGAAAGUCUUCAAUGAACCACCGGUAGGAUUGAAACAACGAAUGAAUUGGUAUGAUAAAGAAGGAAGAGAAAUCUUAAAUGGACCACCGUAAGGAUUGAAAAAGAACGAAUAAAAGAUAACGGAUCACCGGGAAGAAUUAUCAAAUGCACGAAGAUGCUUGAUAGGGUUAAGAUAUAAGAGAACGAAGAGAUCAAGAAAUGAUUAGAUAUCACUUGAAUGAUGCACCGGUAAGAUUGGAGAAAAUGAACUGAGAGUUGCAAUGAAUAAUAUUUGAAAAGAUGGCCUCUAGAAAAUCAAACUGAAAAGACUCCUGAAUUGCACCGGAUGGGUAAAAGAAUUCUCACGAUCAAAACAAUUACGAGAGGAUGGCAACAAGCUAGAAUCACGAGUCUCUGAGAGAACUGAUAAGAUAUGGAGGAAAAAAACUCUUCAUCGGUCUUCAAAUGUAGAGAAUGACGAUGAGAAACACUACCAAGAAUUAUUUAGACACUCUGGAAGAAUCAAAGCGAAUAGAUUUAGCCAACGAUGAAAAUAAUUGUGAAAGAUCUAGGAGAAAACAUUUGACUGAUGAUAAAUCAUUCUUACGUCAAACUUUGACAAGAACUUUAAGGAUAUCUCUGGGAAAUAAAAAGAGUCAGGUAAGAUCCUGGGAAAAGACCUGUGGGUUAGGGCCCACUGAAAAGAAACACCGUAGAAUGAUUUAAAAGAGAGAAUGCACCGGUAAGAUUAAAUGACUAGAAUGAGAUAACAACCUCGAAAGAUCUUGAACGAAUGCAGAGUGGAAAACAUGAAUCUUCGAGAUAUCUUGAGCACUCUGGAAUAAUAGAAUAGCGAGAGGUGAACGAUUAAGAAUUGCACCGGCAUGAGAAAACAUUGAAAUACAGAAAAGAAUAUGAUCAACACCGAAAGCUUGAAUUGGUUCCACCGGAGAAGAAAAGAAUGACGAAUGAUGAACUUGAGGCUCCGUUAGAAUCUUCAUGAGAAUCACCGGAUAAGAACAUUGAUUGAAAAGAAAGAAGAGAAUUCACAUGAAUAAAAGGAUACUUGAUCAAGAAAUCUGAGUCCUUGAAAAAACAAGGGAGGGAGGAUGGGAAAAACAAAGACAAUUUGGAAUAGAUGAAAUGAACACCGUUGAGAAACUUAGAAUUGAUCUUGCGGAUGUUGAAAUGAUCGGAUCCACUUGAAGAGAAGCACACCGGUUAAAAAGGAUUGACAAAACAAUCUUGAUGAUCAAGAAGGAUUAGUAUUCAGAUCGGAGUAUGAGAACACCAUUUAGACAAGGGAUGGAAUCAACAUUUGACUUUGAAGCAACUCGAAUACCACAACUCAAAAACAAAAACAAAGGAUUGGCUCGCAGAAUAAGCCGGAACAAACAUAUGAUAGAGAUUUCGUCCGAAGUUUUCAUGGUGGGGCCUACACGGGCUCGAUCGUACAGCACCAUCAUGUACAAGGCAGUGCACAUGACAUACGAAGCGUCCCCGAGUUGGCAUAGCCAAGGACUCUUUAAGACACAACGAGACCACUGUAAAACCAACCGUGAAUAGGCGGACCACUAGACGUCGAACCCCAAUUUCAUAUCGUACAUCUGUCGGAAAGAAAUCCUAAGAGCUACUUGAAUUCCCACUUAUAAACUCCCGAACCUUUCCGGUUAUGCAAUCAGGUGUUGGGGAUAUAGGGGAAGCAUAAUAUCUCACCCAAACUAACAAAUCCUACAUCCAGUUGUAUCCAUCCUUCAACACAUAACCAAGAAACCUUCGGAAAUCAUCUACCUCAACCUUCGAAAAGCAUCCGUUAUACAAGUUAUGGCAAUACUCCCGAACUCCCGCCCCAGUACUGGGUGGCGUCGAGGUUAUCUCACCAACGAACUGCAUAAAAGAGAUUUUCGAUGUCGGCGUACUAAACUCAGGUAUUCCAGAAUUGCAACGAUAAAAUUAUGAUGACAACACCUCAGAGCUCAACUCCCCGGGACACUUCCACUAAACCCCUGACAGGAGGCACCAAGACAAUGUUCUCAUCACAAAACCAUCGGAACGAUUCCAAGAUACCCGCGUGAUCCUAAAUUUUUUUUAGUGAAAUUUCAGAAGAGAAGAGUCAAAACUCUACGUCAGGAUGCCUUACCAGAGCGAUGAGGAGGCUGGGAAGUAAAAAGAAUUCCUAAACUCUCCGAUAUAUAAUUCCUAAAUGACUCAAAACAUUUUUCUAGACUCGAGAGUGCCUGCUAAAAACGAUCAAGCAAUGGGGCUCCUAAGGUCGACGAAGGCUCUGAUUACCAACUUGUAACACCCUCGAUGCGGCUAUAUCUCCCACGUGUCGAAGCACAACUUAGAGGCAUAACCGCAUUGAAAGCAAUGUCGCAAGUGAGGUAAUCUUCACACAACCCAUGUAAUACAUAAGGGAAAGAGAUACAUAGUUAGCUUACAAUCGCCACUUCACACAAUACAUGAAUAAAGCAUUACAACAUCCAAAUACAAUCAAGGUCCGACUACGGAACCAAAAUAAAAGAAGAACCCCAAGUGCGACAAAGGUCCCCGAUCGACCCCAACUGGGCUCCACUACUGAUCAACUAGAACGAAACAACACAAAGGACAAGAUCUUCAACGAGCUCCUCCUUGAGCUUGGUUGCGUCACCUGCUCGGUAACAUCGGCACCUGCAAACUGGUUUUGGAAGUAUAUGUGAGUCACAAGGACUCAGCAAUCUCGCACCCUCGCGAUCAAGACUAUUUAAGCUUAUGGGUAAGGUAAAAGGUAUGAGGUGGAGCUGCAGCAAGCGACUAGCAUAUAUGGUGGCUAACAUAUGCAAAUGAGAGCAAGAAGAGAAGGCAAAGCAUGGUCGAUAAAAGUAUGAUCAAGAAGUGAUCCUAAAACAACCUACGUCAAGCAUAACUCCAACACCGUGUUCACUUCCCGGACUCCGCCGGAAAGAGACCAUCACGGUUACACACGCAGUUGAUUCAUUUUAAUUAAGGUCAACUUCAGGUUUUCUACAACCGGACGUUAACAAAUUCCCAUCCUCCCAUAACCGCGGGCACGGCUUUCAAAAGUUCAAAUCCCUGCAGGGGUGUCCCAACUUAGCCCAUCACAAGCUCUCACGGUCAACGAAGGAAUAGACCUCCUCCCGAGACAUUCCGAUCAGACUCGGUAUCCCGGUACAACAAGACAUUUCGACAGGGUAAAACUAAACCAGCAACACUGCCCGAAUGUGCCGACAAAUCCCGAUAGGAGCUGCACAUAUCUCUUUCUCAGGGCACACUCAGAUUGUCCAAACUUCCGGUAGGCCAGCCUAGAGUUGCCCCUGGUGGCCACCGGCAGCUGACAGUUUGGACCAACACUCAGAGGAGCACUGGCCCGGGGGGGUUAAAAUAAUGAUGACCCUUGAGUCUGCAGAACCCAAGGGAAAGAAAAGGCUAGGUGGCAAAUGGUAAAACCAAUGUUGGGCAUUGCUGGAAGAGCUUUACUUAAGACCAACUGUCAAGGGGUUCCCAUAAUAGCCCAACCGCGUAAGGAACGCAAAAACUGGGAACAUAACACCGAUAUGACGGAAACUAGGGCGGCAAGAGUGGAACAAAACACCAGGCAUAAGGCCGAGCCUUCCACCCUUUACCAAGUAUAUAGAUGCAUUAAUUAAAUAAGAUAUAUAGUGAUAUCCCAACAAGUAAACAUGUUCCAAUAAGGAACGGUAUCUCCAUGUUCCAACAAGGAACAAACUUCAAUCUUCACCUGCAACUAACAACGCUAUAAGAGGGGCUGAGCAAAGCGGUAACAUAGCCAAACAAUGGUUUGCUAGGACAAGGUGGGUUAGAGGUUUGGUUCAACAAUAUGGGAGGCAUGAUAAGCAAAUGGAAGGUAUCGCAGCAUGGGCAUAGCAAAAGAGCGAGCAACUAGCAAGCAAAGAUAGAAGUGAUUUCGAGGGUGUGAUCAUCUUGCCUGAAAUCCCACAAGGAAGAAGAACGAGUCCAUGAAGAAGACAAACACACGUAGUCGAACGGAUCCUCACAAACACGACGUUGUCGGAAACAACCCGAAGAAGCACACCGGAAAGAAGCAAACAACAUAGUAAACAACCACCACAUAGACAUGGCAUGAUGCACAAACAAGUAUGAUGCAUGUCCGGUUUAAUGAAGCAUGGCAUGGCAAAGUGCACAAGCAAUCCUACAAAUUAAGUGGAGCUCAAUAUGCAAUGAGUUGCAUAUUGACGAAACACCACAUCACUUAUUUAGUUCACUCUUGGUUAGGUACCCCACAAUAUUAAAUGUUGGUUAACAUGGCAAGAGGUGAAGCAUAACAAAACUAUAUCAUCUAAACAAUUUAAAUGGGGCCGGAUAUAACAAAUAACAAAUCCGGUAAGUCCCCAUAUGCAUAAGCAAAUUAAAGCAACAACAAAUUUUAACCAUCUUAAAGUUGUUAACAUGAUGCGGAUGACAUGUUCAAGUUUAUGCAAUAUUUAUGAAAACGUUGACAUGAUAAGAUAUGAGGCAUUUGUCAUCGUGGUGAAAACUAAAGGGGUGCCACGGCAACGACAACGGAAAUGGUGCCACGGCAACAUUCCGGUUCCGGUAACUCGAUUGAGAUACCGAUGCAAAGGAGAAGUGUGUGGAUGCGUGCAAAAGAAGGUGGGGCGCUCCCGGAUUUCGGGCGUACCACGAGUUGGCGACAAGGAAACGGGUGACAAUUUGGACACGGUGCAAACCCGAGCAUCUCAAACAUCACAAGCAUUCAUUCACUGACAUCGCCUCGAGGUUAUACCUUCGCAGCGUGCAAGUGGGGCAGUUCUUGUUCGGUGCAAAGUAGAGGAAGUAGUCGUUCUCGCGACGGCGGUAGAGGUUCUCGCGAUCUCGGUGACGGUAGUGGUACAUGUUUAUCGUUGCCCGAGUUUUCGUAGAUGUUCAUGUCACCGUAGUGGUACUUGGUGAAUCCCGAAACGGUCUUGGCGCCUUCGCGCGUAGGGGUACUUGGCGUUUUACUCCACGGUCUUGGCGGAUCCACGCGAUGGUAGUGGUACUCGCAAAGAGGUACUUAAUGAAUCCAACGUCCUCGGGGCGACGGUAGUGGUACACACGACGUCGGGGUACUUGUCGGUCCGGUCUUGGCGGUGUAGAUGUACACGUUGUUGGGGUACCUGUUGCAUCACCGGGUGUAGUCGUACACGUUCGAAGCGGGACUUAGCGUAUCCAUGUACUUGGCAGUCCAGGACGUAGAGGUACACUUGUCCAAGUGGAACUUGACGAUGACGGGGUCUUCAGGGUACUUGAUGCUUGAGGUUCCAAUCUGGUUUCGAAUGCAUUCACGCAACACAUCGCAGGAGCAAGAGGCAACAACUUGGUGGGGUUCUUCCCAUACAUGGUGAACUCAAAGUCGAGGCGAACGGCACUGCUUGAGAAGGGAAACGACGGCUGUGACGGGGCAAGUGGAGCAACAUGCGGCAGGGGCGUCCAUGAAGGUGAGCAGGGAAGGCAUGGCAAGGAGGCAUGGGAGGAUCCCGUGGCCAUGGAGGGCCAGCGGCGGCCUGGACAACGGCGGGGACGGGGCUGGAGAUGGACGACGAGGAGGAGAGCUUGGGGUCGAGCAUGGUGCAGGGCUCCGGGUGGCUCGGCGCGGUGCAGCUCGCACACGAGGAGAAGAAGAUGAGGCCCGACGAGGAAGGGGCUCGCCGACUGGGAGGCUCUGGUGGCUGGCGUUCACGUCGGAGUGGGGAAGGCGGCGGCACUGUGACGAAGGCGGCGUCGGGCGCGCAGGACGCAGCAGUGGGGCGACGAACGGGCGGCGGGGCUCCAGGGACUUGGCGCGGCGGCCCUCGCGGGAGAUGGGGAGGAGGCGAGAUGGUGCGGCGGCGGCCUCACCGGAGUGGAGAAGGCGGCGGCACUGGCUCGCGCAUGCUGGGAUCGGGAUCGGGAUCCCGACCUCUGUUGCGAGCGUGUGAGGAGGAGGGAAACAAGGAGAGAAGUGGGAUCGGGGGAGCUGGCUUCUGGCGGCGGCGAUGGGAACGAGAGAGAGAAGCGAUCUGGCUCAGCUGGCGGCUAGGGUUAGCUAGGCAAGGGCCGGCUGGGCCUUGGGCCACUGGUGCGGCUACUGGACGUUGGGAGGCCCAGGUGGGCAGUGGUGCAGGCCACCUUUCCCUCCAAAUAUCUCUCUCCCUUCCUUCUCUUAUAAUUUUCUUUAUCAGAAAAACAAGAGAAGACAAAGAAAGAAAGUGGGGGGGGGGGUUAGGACACGAAGUUGGACUCGUGGAUAAUUAUCAUGGACUCGUAAAACAAAUGUGCACGGUCCACGAAAAUAGGAGAGGCAAGAUUGCAAGGAUUUAAUUCAAAGUCAUUUGAAUUUAAUUCAAAUGGUUUGAAUAAGGGCUAGGAAAAAGAUGUGUCCAAAAAUGUUCGGAUUUUUGGUAGAGCUCCGAAAUAUGAUGAAAGAAAUAUAUGGCCAUGUUGGAGACCGAGAAUUAAGAUAACAAAGGCAUUGGGAUAUUUUGCAAGUGUGUUUGCAUUAACUCCAAGCGAAUGGAAUAUUUUUAUUUAUCUCUCUAAUAUUGGGAGGAUAUGUUAUAAAGAGAAUCACCAUGUGAAUUCCCUCGAUUUAAAUGGACCGAAGAUCCAUGCAAUUUAUUUAGUUGAGUUGCAAAAGAUUUAUGAGAUGAAGGCAUGAUGACAUGAUAAGAUGCAACACGCAAGCAAAUGACAUGGCAACGACGGCGAAAAACUAGAGGAGACCUGGCACAUCGGUCUCGGGGCAUCACAUGCGUGGAUAUAUAUAGGAUGAAGAAGUACGUCGGUGGAGCUUCGAGGGGCCCACGAGGCAGGGGGCGCGCCCUAGGGGGUGAAGGAAAUAUGCCCACGAGGCAGGGGGCGCGCCCGUUGACUAAGCCUCUUCCACGAGCAAAACAUGAUCAGCACCAAGGCUCCAUGGGUGUUAGAAUCAUUACUGUGUAAUCUAGAUUAUUGACUCUAGUGCAAGUGGGAGACUGAAGUAAAUAUGCCCUAGAGGCAAUAAUAAAGUUAUUAUUUAUUUCCUUAUAUCAUGAUAAAAGUUUAUUAUUCAUGCUAGAAUUGUAUUAACCGGAAACAUAAUACAUGUGUGAAUACAUAGACAAACAGAGUGUCACUAGUAUGCCUCUACUUGACUAGCUCGUUAAUCAAAGAUGGUUAUGUUUCCUAACCAUGGACAAAGAGUUUUCAUUUGAUUAACGGGAUCACAUCAUUAGUUGAAUGAUCUGAUUGACAUGACCCAUUCCAUUAGCUUAGCACCUGAUCGUUUAGUAUGUUGCUAUUGCUUUCUUCAUGACUUAUACAUGUUCCUAUGACUAUGAGAUUAUGUAACUCCCGUGUGCCGGAGGAACACUUUGUGUGCUACCAAACAUCACAACGUAACUGGGUGAUUAUAAAGGUGCUCUACAGGUGUCUCCAAAGGUACAUGUUGGGUUGACGUAUUUCGAGAUUAGGAUUUGUCACUCCGAUCAUCGGAGAGGUAUCUCUGGGCCCUCUCGGUAAUGCACAUCACUUAAGCCUUGCAAGCAUUGCAACUAAUGAGUUAGUUGCGGGAUGAUGUAUUACGGAACGAGUAAAGAGACUUGCCGGUAACGAGAUUGAACUAGGUAUUGGAUACCGACGAUCGAAUCUCAGGCAAGUAACAUACCGAUGACAAAGGGAACAACGUAUGUUGUUAUGCGGUCUGACCGAUAAAAGAUCUUCGUAGAAUAUGUAGGAACCAAUAUGGGCAUCCAGGUCCCGCUAUUGAUUAUUGACCGGAGACGUGUCUCGUUCAUGUCUACAUUGUUCUCGAACCCGUAGGGUCCGCACGCUUAAGGUUUCGAUGACAGUUAUAUUAUGAGUUUAUAUGUUUUGAUGUACCGAAGGUUGUUCGGAGUCCCGGAUGUGAUCACGGACAUGACGAGGAGUCUCGAAAUGGUCGAGACAUAAAGAUUGAUAUAUUGGAAGCCUAUGUUUGGAUAUCGGAAGUGUUCCGUGUGAAAUCGGGAUUUUACCGGAGUACCGGGAGGUUACCGGAACCCCCCGGGAGAUAUAUGGGCCUUAGUGGGCCUUAGUGGAAGAGAGGAGAGGUAGCCAGCGAUGGGUCGCGCGCCCCUCCCCUCCCUUGGUCCGAAUAGGACAAGGAGAGGGGGCCGGCCCCCCUUCCUCCUCUCUCUCCUCCGCGAAUCCUAUUCCAACUAGGAAAGGGGGGGAAGUCCUACUCCUGGAGGGAGUAGGACUCCUCCUGGCGCGCCUCUCCUGGCCGGCCGCACCCCCCCCCUUUGAGCCUUUAUAUACGGAGGUAGGGGCAACCCCUAGAGACACAAGUUGAUCCACGUGAUCAUAUUCUUAGCCGUGUGUGGUGCCCCCUUCCACCAUAGUCCUCGAUAAUAUUGUAGCAGUGCUUAGGCGAAGCCCUGCGACAUUAGUACAUCAAGAUUGUCACCACGCCGUCGUGCUGACGGAACUCUUCCCCGACACUUUGCUGGAUCGGAGUCCGGGGAUCGUCAUCGAGUUGAACGUGUGCUAGAACUCGGAGGUGUCGUAGUUUCGGUGCUUGAUCGGUCGGGCCGUGAAGACGUACGACUACAUCAACCAAGUUACCGCUUCAGUUGUCGAUCUACAAGGGUACGUAGAUCACACUCUCCCCCUUGUUGCUAUGCAUCACCAUGAUCUUGUGUGUGCAUAGGAAUUUUUUUGAAAUUACUAUGUUCCCCAACAGUGGUAUCAGAGCCUAGGUUUUUUGUGUUGAUGUUAUAUGCAUGAGUAGAACACAAGUGAGUUGUGGGCGAUAUAAGGCAUACUGCUUACCAGCAUGUCAUACUUUGGUUCGUCGGUAUUGUUGGACGAAGCGGCCCGGACCGACAUUACGCGUACGCUUACGCGAGACCGGUUCUCCCGACGUGCUUUGUACAUAGGUGGCUUGCGGGUGACAGUUUCUCCAACUUUAGUUGAACCGAGUGUGGCUACGCCCGGUCCUUGCGAAGGUUAAAACGGCACCAACUAGACAAACUAUCGUUGUGGUUUUGAUGCGUAGGUAAGAUUGAUUCUUGCUUAAGCCCGUAGCAGCCACGUAAAACUUGCAACAACAAAGUAGAGGACGUCUAACUUGUUUUUGCAGGGCAUGUUGUGAUGUGAUAUGGUCAAGACAUGAUGCUAAAUUUUAUUGUAUGAGAUGAUCAUGUUUUGUAACCGAGUUAUCGGCAACUGGUAGGAGCCAUAUGGUUGUCGCUUUAUUGUAUGCAAUGCAAUCGCGCUGUAAUGCUUUACUUUAUCACUAAGCGGUAGCGAUAGUCUUGGAAGCAUAAGAUUGGCGAGACGACAACGAUGCUACGAUGGAGAUCAAGGUGUCGGGCCGGUGACGAUGGUGAUCAUGACGGUGCUUCGGAGAUGGAGAUCACAGGCACAAGAUGAUGAUGGCCAUAUCAUAUCAAUUAUAUUGAUUGCAUGUGAUGUUUAUCUUUUAUGCAUCUUAUCUUGCUUUGAUUGACGGUAGCAUUAUAAGAUGAUCUCUCACUAAAUUAUCAAGAAGUGUUCUCCCUGAGUAUGCACCGUAGCGAAAGUUCUUCGUGCUGAGACACCACGUGAUGAUCGGGUGUGAUAGGCUCUACGUUCAAAUACAACGGGUGCAAAACAGUUGCACACGCGGAAUACUCUGGUUAUACUUGACGAGCCAAGCAUAUACAGAUAUGGCCUCGGAACACAGAGACCGAAAGGUCAAGCGUGAAUCAUAUAGUAGAUAUGAUCAACAUAGUGAUGUUCACCAAUGAGACUACUCCAUCUCACGUGAUGAUCGGACAUGGUUUAGUUGAUUUGGAUCACGUAAUCACUUAGAGGAUUAGAGGGAUGUCUAUCUAAGUGGGAGUUCUUAAGUAAUAUGAUUAAUUGAACCUAAAUUUAUCAUGAACUUAGUACCUAAUAGUAUCUUGCUUAUGUAUGUUUGAUUGUAGAUAGAUGGCCCGUGUUGUUGUUCCGUUGAAUUUUAAUGUGUUCCUUGAGAAAGCAAAGUUGAAAGAUGAUGGUAGCAAUUACACAGACUGGGUCCGUAACUUGAGUAUUAUCCUCAUUGCUGCAUAGAAGAAUUAUGUCCUGGAAGCACCGCUGGGUGCCAGGCCUGCUGUUGGAGCAACACCAGAUGUUAUGAACGUCUGGCAGAGCAAAGCUGAUGACUACUCGAUAGUUCAAUGUGCCAUGCUUUACGGCUUAGAACCGGGACUUCAACGACGUUUUGAACGUCAUGGGGCAUAUGAGAUGUUCCAGGAGUUGAAGUUAAUAUUUCAAGCAAAUGCCCGGAUUGAGAGAUGUGAAGUCUCCAAUAAGUUCUAUAGCUGCAAGAUGGAGGAGAACAGUUCUGUCAGUGAGCAUAUACCCAAAAUGUCUGGGUAUAAUAAUCACUUGAUUCAAAUGGGAGUUAAUCUUCCACAUGAUUGUGUCAUUGACAGAAUUCUCCAAUCACUGCCACCAAGCUACAAGAGCUUCGUGAUGAACUAUAAUAUGCAAGGGAUGAAUAAGACUAUUCCCGAGCUCUUCGCAAUGUUGAAAGCUGCGGAAGUAGAAAGCAAGAAGGAGCAUCAAGUGUUGAUGGUCAACAAGAUCACUAGUUUCAAGAAAAAGGGCAAAGGGAAGAAGAACGGGAACUUCAAGAAGAACAGCAAGCAAGUUGCUGCUCAAGAGAAGAAACCCAAGUCUGGACCUAAGCCUGAAACUGAGUGCUUCUACUGCAAGCAGACUGGUCACUGGAAGCGGAACUGCCCCAAAUAUUUGGCGGAUAAGAAGGAUGGCAAGGUGAACAAAGGUAUAUGUGAUAUACAUGUUAUUGAUGUGUACCUUACUAAUGCUCGCAGUAGCACCUGGGUAUUUGAUACUGGUUCUGUUGCUAAUAUUUGCAACUCGAAACAGGGACUACGGAUUAAGCGAAGAUUGGCUAAGGACGAGGUGACAAUGCGCGUGGGAAACGGUUCCAAAGUCGAUGUGAUCGCAGUUGGCACGCUACCUCUACAUCUACCUUCGGGAUUAAUAUUAGACCUAAAUAAUUGUUAUUUGGUGCCAGCGUUAAGCAUGAACAUUAUAUCUGGAUCUUGUUUGAUGCGAGACGGUUAUUCAUUUAAAUCAGAGAAUAACGGUUGUUCUAUUUAUAUGAGUAAUAUCUUGUAUGGUCAUGCACCCUUGAAGAGUGGUCUAUUCUUAUUGAAUCUCGAUAGUAGUGACACACAUAUUCAUAAUGUUGAAGCCAAAAGACGCAGAGUUGAUAAUGAUGGUGCAACUUAUUUGUGGCACUGCCGUUUAUGUCAUAUCGGUCUAAAGCGCAUGAAGAAACUCCAUACUAAUGGACUUUUGGAACCACUUGAUUAUGAAUCACUUGGUACUUGCGAACCGUGCCUCAUGGGCAAGAUGACUAAAACACCGUUCUCCAGUACUAUGGAGAGAGCAACAGAUUUGUUGGAAAUCAUACAUACAGAUGUAUGUGGUCCGAUGAAUAUUGAGGCUCGUGGCGGAUAUCGUUAUUUUCUCACCUUCACAGAUGACUUAAGCAGAUAUGGGUAUAUCUACUUAAUGAAACAUAAGUCUGAAACAUUUGAAAAGUUCAAAGAAUUUCAGAGUGAAGUUGAAAAUCAUCGUAACAAGAAAAUAAAGUUUCUACGAUCUGAUCGUGGACGAGAAUAUUUGAGUUACGAGUUUGGUGUACAUUUGAAACAAUGUGGAAUAGUUUCGUAACUCACGCCACCCGGAACACCACAACGUAAUGGUGUGUCCGAACGUCGUCAUCGUACUUUACUAGAUAUGGUGCGAUCUAUGAUGUCUCUUACUGAUUUACCGCUAUCGUUUUGGGGUUAUGCUUUAGAGACGGCCGCAUUCACGUUAAAUAGGGCACCAUCAAAAUCCGUUGAGACGACGCCUUAUGAACUAUGGUUUGGCAAGAAACCAAAGUUGUCGUUUCUGAAAGUUUGGGGCUGCGAUGCUUAUGUGAAAAAGCUUCAACCUGAUAAGCUCGAACCCAAAUCGGAGAAAUGUGUCUUCAUAGGAUAUCCAAAGGAGACUAUUGGAUACACCUUCUAUCACAGAUCCGAAGGCAAGACUUUUGUUGCUAAGUUCGGAAACUUUCUGGAGAAGGAGUUUCUCUCGAAAGAUGUGAGUGGGAGGAAAGUAGAACUUGACGAGGUAACUGUACCUGCUCCCUCAUUGGAAAGUAGUACAUCACAAAAACCUGUUUCUGCGACACCUACACCAAUUAGUGAGGAAGCUAAUGAUAAUGAUCAUGAAACUUCAGGACAAGAUACUACUGAACCUUGUAGAUCAACCAGAUUGAGAUCCGCGCCAGAGUGGUACGGUAAUCCUGUUCUAGAAGUCAUGCUGCUGGAUCAUGAUGAACCUAAGAACUAUGAAGAAGUGAUGGUGAGCCAGAUUCCGCAAAAUGGCUUGAAGCCAUGAAAUCUGAGAUGGGAUCCAUGUAUGAGACAAAGUGUGGACUUCGGUUGACUUGCCCGAUGAUCAGCAAGCAAUUGAGAAUAAAUGGAUCUUCAAGAAGAAGACUGACGCUGAGGGCAAUAUUACUGUCUACAAAGCUCGACUUGUCGCAAAAGGGUUUCGGCAAGUUCAAGGGGUUGACUACGAUGAGACCUUCUCACCCGUAGCGAUGCUUAAGUCUGUCCGAAUCAUGUUAGCAAUUGCCACAUUUUAUGAUUAUGAAAUUUGGCAGAUGGAUGUAAAAACUUCAUUCCUGAAUGGAUUUCUGGAAGAAGAGUUGUAUGUGAUGCAACCGGAAGGUUUUGUCGAUCCAAAGGGAGCUAAUAAAGUGUGCAAGCUCCAGCGAUCCAUUUAUGGACUGGUGCAAGCCUCUCGGAGUUGGAAUAAACGCUUUGAUAGUGUGAUCAAAGCAUUUGGUUUUAUACAGACUUUCGGAGAAGCCUGUAUUUACAAGAAAGUGAGUGGGAGCUCUGUAGCAUUUCUGAUAUUGUAUGUGGAUGACAUAUUACUGAUUGGAAAUGAUAUAGAAUUUCUGGAUAGCAUAAAAGGAUACUUGAAUAAGAGUUUUCAAUGAAAGACCUCGGUGAAGCUGCUUACAUAUUAGGCAUAAAGAUCUAUAGAGAUAGAUCAAGAUGCUUAAUUGGACUUUCACAAAGCACAUACCUUGACAAGAUUUUGAAGAAGUUCAAAAUGGAUCAAGCAAAGAAAGGGUUCUUGCCUGUGUUACAAGGUGUGAAGUUGAGUCAGACUCAAUGCCCGACCACUGCAGAAGAUAGAGAGAAAAUGAAAGAUGUUCCCUAUGCUUCAGCCAUAGGCUCUAUCAUGUAUGCAAUGCUGUGUACCAGACCUGAUGUGUGCCUUGCUAUAAGUCUAGCAGAGAGGUACCAAAGUAAUCCAGGAGUGGAUCAUUGGACAGCGGUCAAGAACAUCCUGAAGUACCUGAAAAGUACUAAGGAUAUGUUUCUCGUAUAUGGAGGUGACAAAGAGCUCAUCGUAAACGGUUACAUUGAUGCAAGCUUUGACACUGAUCCGGACGAUUCUAAAUCGCAAACCGGAUACGUGUUUACAUUAAACGGUGGAGCUGUCAGUUGGUGUAGUUCUAAACAAAGCGUCGUGGCGGGAUCUACAUGUGAAGCAGAGUACAUAGAUGCUUCGGAAGCAGCAAAUGAAGGAGUCUGCAUGAAGGAGUUCAUAUCCGAUCUAGGUGUCAUACCUAGUGCAUCGGGUCCAAUGAAAAUCUUUUGUGACAAUACUGGUGCAAUUGCCUUGGCGAAGGAAUCCAGAUUUCACAAAAGAACCAAGCACAUCAAAAGACGCUUCAAUUCCAUCCGGGAUCUGGUCCAGGUGGGAGAGAUAGAGAUUUGCAAGAUAAAUACGGAUCUGAAUGUAGCAGACCCGUUGACUAAGCCUCUUCCACGAGCAAAACAUGAUCAGCACCAAGGCUCCAUGGGUGUUAGAAUCAUUACUAUGUAAUCUAGAUUAUUGACUCUAGUGCAAGUGGGAGACUGAAGGAAAUAUGCCCUAGAGGCAAUAAUAAAGUUAUUAUUUAUUUCCUUAUAUCAUGAUAAAAUUUUAUUAUUCAUGCUAGAAUUGUAUUAACCGGAAACAUAAUACAUGUGUGAAUACAUAGACAAACAGAGUGUCACUAGUAUGCCUCUACUUGACUAGCUCGUUAAUCAAAGAUGGUUAUGUUUCCUAACCAUGGACAAAGAGUUGUCAUUUGAUUAACGGGAUCACAUCAUUAGUUGAAUGAUCUGAUUGACAUGACCCAUUCCAUUAGCUUAGCACUCGAUCGUUUAGUAUGUUGCUAUUGCUUUCUUCAUGACUUAUACAUGUUCCUAUGACUAUGAGAUUAUGUAACUCCCGUGUGCCGGAGGAACACUUUGUGUGCUACCAAACGUCACAACAUAACUGGGUGAUUAUAAAGGUGCUCUACAGGUGUCUCCAAAGGUACAUGUUGGGUUGACGUAUUUCGAGAUUAGGAUUUGUCACUCCGAUCGUCGGAGAGGUAUCUCUGGGCCCUCUCGGUAAUGCACAUCACUUAAGCCUUGCAAGCAUUGCAACUAAUGAGUUAGUUGCAGGAUGAUGUAUUACGGAACGAGUAAAGAGACUUGCCGGUAACGAGAUUGAACUAGGUAUUGGAUACCGACGAUCGAAUCUCGAGCAAAUAACAUACCGAUGACAAAGGGAACAACGUAUGUUGUUAUGCGGUCUGACCGAUAAAAGAUCUUCAUAGAAUAUGUAGGAACCAAUAUGGGCAUCCAGGUCCCGCUAUUGAUUAUUGACCGGAGACGUGUCUCGGUCAUGUCUACAUUGUUCUCGAACCCAUAGGGUCCGCACGCUUAAGGUUUCGAUGACAGUUAUAUUAUGAGUUUAUACGUUUUGAUGUACCGAAGGUUGUUCGGAGUCCUGGAUGUCAUCACGGACAUGACGAGGAGUCUCGAAAUGGUCGAGACAUAAAGAUUGAUAUAUUGGAAGCAUAUGUUUGGAUAUCGGAAGUGUUCCGGGUGAAAUCGGGAUUUUACCGGAGUACCGGGAGGUUACCGGAACCCCCCGGGAGAUAUAUGGGCCUUAGUGGGCCUUAGUGGAAGAGAGGAGAGGUAGCCAGAGAUGGGCCGCGCACCCCUCCCCUCCCUUGGUCCGAAUAGGACAAGGAGAGGGGGCCGGCCCUCCUUCCUCUUCUCUCUCCUCCGCGAAUCCUAUUCCAACUAGGAAAGGGGGGGAAGUCCUACUCCUGGAGGGAGUAGGACUCCUCCUGGCGCGCCUCUCCUGGCCGGACGCACCCCCCUUUGAGCCUUUAUAUACGGAGGUAGGGGCAACCCCUAGAGACACAAGUUGAUCCACGUGAUCAUAUUCUUAGCCGUGUGCGGUGCCCCCUUCCACCAUAGUCCUUGAUAAUAUUGUAGUAGUGCUUAGGCGAAGCCCUGCGACAUUAGUACAUCAAGAUUGUCACCACGCCGUCGUGCUGGCGGAACUCUUCCCCGACACUUUGCUGGACCGGAGUCCGGGGAUCGUCAUCAAGCUGAACGUGUGCUAGAACUCGGAGGUGACGUAGUUUCGGUGCUUGAUCGGUCGGGCCGUGAAGACGUACGACUACAUCAACCAAGUUACUGCUUCCGUUGUCGAUCUACAAGGGUACGUAGAUCACACUCUCCCCCUCAUUGCUAUGCAUCACCAUGAUCUUGCAUGUGCAUAGGAAUUUUUUUGAAAUUACUACGUUCCCCAACAGGGGGCCCUACCCUCGUGACCACCUCGUGGCUUUCUUGACGGAGGGUCCAAGUCUCUUGGAUCUUAUCUGAUGAGAAAAUCACGUUUCCGAAGGUUUCAUUCUGUUUGGACUCCGUUUGAUAUUCCUUUUCUUCAAAACCCUAAAACAGGCAAAAAACAGCAAUUCUGGGAUGGGCCUCCGGUUAAUAGGUUAGUCCCAAAAAUAAUACAAAAGUGGAAAAUAAAGCCCAAUAAUGUCUAAAACAGUAGAUAAUAUAGCAUGGAGAAAUCAAAAAUUAUAGAUACGUUGGAGACGUAUCAUAGGGCUGCAGCUGUGUUGCUGCGAGCAUGUGGAAUUGAAUCAGGGAGGUACCACAAGAGGAAAAAAAUACUUUGCCCUUCCUAUUUCUUCUUAGGACCCCGUUAGCCUCAGAGCAGUUUGAAUGAUUGAUUUUGUUGCCACUAGACAGUAAAAAUGUAGCGACCAGACCUCAAACGGUCCAAUCUCUAUGGUCAGGUGUCAUCCCUGGAUCAGUAAUGCUGACACCACACAAUACUUGAAGGAUUUAUAACAGAGUAACAAUCACACACUUAUUACAUUGAGUGUCUCAAUAGAGAUCUUAUUACAAUAAAUAUGGCUUAAGGCCAUCUAAUAAUGAUAACAGCGGAAGGCUUGGAAGAUAAGUGAGUCCAUCAACUCCAAUGGCAUCACUGAGUAUAGAACCACGACCUAAAACUCCUUAAUCAUCGUCUGAAAAGUCUGCAACAUUAACGUUGCAGCCCGAAAACAGGUCAGCACAUGGAAUAUGCUGGCAAUGUAACACAUAGAGAGUAAUGGAAAGAAACAGCUAUACUAUAUGCAUAUUUGGCUGGUGGAAAGCUCUAUGGUUACAGUUUUGCGUAAAGCCAAUUUUUCCCUACUGCAAAGGAAUAAAUUUAUUUAACUAUUAUGGUGGUUGUUAAACAUUGAGAAUGGUUGACAGCAUCCUCAAUCCCAAUUAAGUAACAUCAUUAAACAAACCCGUCAAAUUAAAUUUUAUAGUAACAUGUUGAGAUUCACAUGAUAAUCCAGGUACUAGAUACUCAAAACAUCCAUAACCGGGGACACGGCUAAUCAUGAUUAGUUUAUACACUCUGCAGAGGUUUGCGCACUUUUCCCCACAAGACUCGAUCGCCUCCGUUUGGUUUCUCGCACUUCAUGGUGUUUGCGAAACGGAUGACCGAGACAUAGUCUUUCAGAAGCGCUAGCACCUUACGAUGGGUAGACCGUACCACCUACAUCCCCUACAUCUGCUAGUCUAUCAGUGUAAGAGUUCGCACGACUUAGUCAACUAUGCUAGAACCCAUAAUAGCUUGUGGCUGCACACGGAAGUUUCUAGCAUGAAAAAUCUCAUGAUCUCUUUGAGCCUGGGUGGCGGUCCAAAAGAAAACAGGCAAUCCUGGAAUACCCAGGUACCUCAAUCCACCCAGAUGUGUAUUUAAGUUGCCACCUUAGAUAAACCAUUGAUUUAAAAAUCCCACAUCUAUCAUGGAUAUCACUCACCCAAUCCAUGUCUACUAGCAUAGCAUAGCAAUAAUAAGCAAACGUAGAAGUAACUCCCAAAGGUUUGAUAAUAAACAGGUAAUAGGUACUACCUCAAUUACUUCCCAAACCCAUAAUUUAGUUAGAUCCUAAUCAUGCAAUGUGUAAGGAUUGAUCUAAUGCAAUAAAACUGGGUAGUAGAAGGUAUGAUCAAAGUGUUACUUGCCUUGCUGAUGAUCCGGGAAACCUAAUGAUUCGAAGUAACAAGCGGCGCACUCCGAGUACUCUAUCGCAAACAAACAAGCAUACGAUAAGUACUCAACUAAUGCACAGGUAAAACUCAAAUAAGAUAUCUAACCAUAAAGUUUAUCUUAAGAACUCCGGUUGGCAAAAAUAAUCAAAUCGAACGAAGCAACGAAAGACAAAUGGCAAAAGAAACAGGCUUCGUUUACUACUCUGGAUCUAAGGCAAUUUUUACAGAAGCUAAAACUUGUUUAAGUUGGUUAAACGGGAAGAUGGUUUCGAGACGAAACUCCAGGCACUUGAAUCGUCUGAUUCCGAUAAACGAGCGAAAAGUUAUACUAGAACAAAAAUCGGAUCAGAAAUCGCGAUCAGAAAAUCGCGGAUUUAAUCCGAGAAAAAGAAAAACGACGAACAGUUUAUCGAAUGAACGUUCAUUAACUGGAUCUAAACGACGAAAUUAUUCGUUAAAACGAACGAACGAGCGAACGCUCGCUAAAUAGAAUAAACCGAAAAAACGUUCUAAUAAAAAAACGGAUCUAAAAAAUAAACCACGACUUAAAAAAAACGGGCGGUUUUCUAAAGAAAACCGCCGGCGACGGCGGCUACCUCGGGCGAUGUGUCCGGUGAGCGGGCGGGGCGGCGGCGGCGAGGCGGCGGCGAGGCAGCGGCGAGGCGGCGGCGCGGCGCGGGUGGCGGCGGGGNNNNNNNNNNNNNNNNNNNNNNNNNNNNNNNNNNNNNNNNNNNNNNNNNNNNNNNNNNNNNNNNNNNNNNNNNNNNNNNNNNNNNNNNNNNNNNNNNNNNNNNNNNNNNNNNNNNNNNNNNNNNNNNNNNNNNNNNNNNNNNNNNNNNNNNNNNNNNNNNNNNNNNNNNNNNNNNNNNNNNNNNNNNNNNNNNNNNNNNNNNNNNNNNNNNNNNNNNNNNNNNNNNNNNNNNNNNNNNNNNNNNNNNNNNNNNNNNNNNNNNNNNNNNNNNNNNNNNNNNNNNNNNNNNNNNNNNNNNNNNNNNNNNNNNNNNNNNNNNNNNNNNNNNNNNNNNNNNNNNNNNNNNNNNNNNNNNNNNNNNNNNNNNNNNNNNNNNNNNNNNNNNNNNNNNNNNNNNNNNNNNNNNNNNNNNNNNNNNNNNNNNNNNNNNNNNNNNNNNNNNNNNNNNNNNNNNNNNNNNNNNNNNNNNNNNNNNNNNNNNNNNNNNNNNNNNNNNNNNNNNNNNNNNNNNNNNNNNNNNNNNNNNNNNNNNNNNNNNNNNNNNNNNNNNNNNNNNNNNNNNNNNNNNGUGGCGGUGGCGCGGUUCGGUGCUAGGGUUUCGGCCUGGGUGGGCUGGCUCGGGCCCCGGGCGGCGGCUUAUAAGGGCUGCCCCGGGCGGAGUCCCGCUCGGGUACGGCCCGGAGUCGGUUCGCGUUUUUUAUAAUAAUGCGCAGAAAAACAAAUAAAAGAAAUACUAAACGGACUCCAAAAAUUCCGAAACAUAUUUUCCCCGGCUUCUAAAAUCAAGCCGCACAGGGUGAACAUUUAUUUGGGGUCUAAAUGCAAUUUUGGAAAACGCGCAUUUUUCCUAAAUUCAAAUAAAAUAGCAAAUAAAACCAAAUAAAAUCUUAUUUGGAUCUUUUAUUAAAUCCUCAAUAUUUCUUUAUUUUGGGAAAGUCAUUUUAUUCCCUCUCUCACAUUUUUGUAAUAGAAAUUAUUGAGGAUAACAUAAAUAAAAUCAAAUGAUCCUAUUUUGAAAAUUUGAGACAACUCAAAUAUGAAAAUAACAAAAUCUCCAACUCUCUCCGAGGGUUCUUAAGUUGCGAAAAAUUUCUAGGAUCAACCAAAAUGCAAUAAAUAUGCUAUGCAAUGAUGAUCUAGUGUAUAACAUUCCAAAUUGAAAAUUUGGGAUGUUACAAAAAAAAAUACUGUUUUGAUUACAUGAGUCGCUUUAUGCUGUUGCCCUGAAGUCGGUAUAAAACUGGCUAAAAGCUUGCUGGUCGCCAUGAGUAAAAUUGUAAAGCUUAUUGUGUCCAUAGGGAAGGGUGCACCGCCAGAAAAUGUGUGUCGUGUGAAUGGAUGCGAGGGGUACUAAUUCUGUGUGGGCACGCGGUAGUGCUGAGAUUCAUCUUUUAGAUGUUAACUGGCAUGUCUGACAUAUUUUGUAAUUUGAUUGCAGUGUUUGGAUUGGAGGGAACAUCCUUGCAUAUCUUGAGUCGUUCCAGCAAGUUGCUAGAUGGGUGUAGAGUCGUAUACUCUAGAACUGCCAUGUGGUGUACGUGGGGGAGAACUUCACCAGCUAGUCCUUCGAUGUGUGGCCUACUUCAAACGGUGAGUGCCCUUCGGUCUCAAUUGCGGUUCUUGACAGUGUGUUUGUUUUAGUUGUGAAUCUCCAGUGCCUAGUAUGUCAAGAAACCUCAAAGUGAAUCUGCUUUUAUUCAACCCAUGGCGUCAUCUGCGUCCGCCUCAUGCCAUGCAGUAGCAGAGAUAAGCCUCCAUAUGAUGAUCACGGGGCAAGAAAUGUAAUGGUGUGCAAGCAGCAGCUCUGGUGAGUGCGGUACAAGCAAGCGUAUAUCAAGUUCAUUUUCCCCCCUGCAGGGUGAGGGUUGAGUAGUCGUAACAGCACAUCAUAAGCAUGUAAUCUGCGUAUAGUUGUGUACCAAAAAUGUAGCUGCCUGUGUGACAGCUGCAUCAACCCUGGUGUUGCUUUGCAUUUGGUGGAUGAACUAUGCUAUUAUUGGAUCCGAGUUAGGACUUGUUUUUUGUAUAUUUGCAUGCUAUCCGAAAAAAAUCCAUGAAAUGCAGAAGGGUGAGGUUAAGUGUUGCGUGUAAAUCUCUGUAUCAGGAGUACUCCCUCCGUAAACUAAUAUAAGAGCGUUUAGAUCACUACUUUAAUAAUCUAAACACUCUUACAUCAGUUUACAGAAGGAGUACAUAUUAAGUGAUGUUCGUUGCAUGAUAAUAAUAAACAAUUGCGAAAAAUGACAAUAAUGUUUUAUUGAACCAUGCAGAAAGUUAAAAACAGAGCCCCCUCGAUGAUUCAGGUGUGUAGAACCGCUCACCGGCGUUCUGUCCACGGCUUACUAGAAACUAGAAGUGGCCGUUCCAAAAAUUCAAUUUUGUGAAAAUUGACAUCACAAAUUUAAAUACAUACUCUAGGCAUGAGUAUAUAUUUACAAACUUUAUACUACCAUCUUUUUUAGGGUACUUUAUACUACCAUCUUUUGCACAACCUUUACUUGUAGUAAAAAGUUUUGCCGAAAUAUUGCGUGAUAGGGCUGGCUAAAUGAGUAGUCAGUUUUUUUUAAAAGGAGUGGUCACGUGUGUGCCUCAUCCACAGCUGCCGGCAUGCACACGUCGGCGACCGGCUUGCGUGCAAUGCGUUCCAUUGGAACAGAUUGGUCCAGGACAUGCAUGCCGCCUCUGGGAAACGGCCGUCCGCUAUUCAUGUGGGCCCCCGGCUGACUCCUAUACGGCCCAAAAUAUUGGAUUUUCAAACAAACUAUACAUGGACAAUACCUGACGCAGCCCAUAUCCCGCUGAGAACAAGCGCCUAGCGAUUCCGGGACCAGGCGAGCUCGUCCGCUCCUGCCAAUUUCCGCCAGUUAACUUUGGUAUUCAUGGUAGCUAACUUUGAAAGAAUUUUUUAUGAUAGACAGUCAUCCUACACAGACAAACAGUAAGUUGCAUCCCUAUAACAUUAAAGUUGUUUCCGUUUCACCCAAAGUUGCUCACAAAAAAGUUAGUCAAAAUAUACUCAUAUAGGAUCUAGUUUUGUAGAGAGCGGGGAACAUAAUCGUGAAAAUAAAUCUUAAUUUCGAUAAUCGGUCCAAAAGUUGUAGCUUUUUAAAAUUUUGAAAAUGUAAAUUAAAUGCAAUUUACAUGUGAUCUUGCUGGAAAAUCCCAUGAUGGGCGGACGCACUGAGACAAGGUGGACCAGGUGCUUUUCAUAUGCGUUAAUUUUUUCCUAUGGGUUGUGUAUUACGGGUCACAUGCGGGAGAGAGAGGCGGAAGACAAGAGCAUGUAAUUUCUGUCGUGCGUGUGCACCAGCCACGACAAAAUCAUGCAGCCGCAUGAUCUAGAAUUUAGGAAUUAAUAAUGGUAUUCAUCCCACCAAAAUACUAUAUUUAGCCCAUCCUAUCUUCAAUCAUUUUAACUUGUCCAACACUAUUCAAAACCUACCCGUGUGACCGAUUUUAUGCAUACAGCUCUAUCCUACAAUUAUCUAGCAGGUGCUACGUUGGUGGCCGCAUGGCUGGCUGCAGCUCUGCCCACGGGAUUUGAUCUGUGGCGAGGCCGGCCGGGGCCGUCUCGUCUACAACUUUUUUGUGAACUUUUGAUCUAUGUUUAUCAUUUUUUUAAAUGAACUUUUUUUAAAAUGACGAACAUUUUUUCAAAAUUUGUGAACUUUUUUUAAUAAAGAUGAACAUUUUUUUCAAAAUUUGUUCGGCGCUUUUGGUGGCACUUAUUGCGACUGGCGCUUGCAACGCAGGCAUAGCGGGCCGGUCCAGGAGAAAAAGGUGUUCCAUUCAUACUAUGAGGAAAAUACUCUAUUUGACCCUUCUCUUAAUACAACAUUACCAUGUGGGAGUAAUAUAUACCAAAUUUGGUAUGCAUAUUAUUUUAUGAUAUAAAUAAAAACAGAAUUAAACAAAUAAAAAAAGUGAACAUGAAGAAAGUUCAUAAAUUUGAAAAGAUUCGUACAAAGUGCAAAAAGUUCGUCAAUUUGAGAGAAGUUCACGAAUUAAAAAAACACAAAUUUUUAAAAAAAUGCUCAUCAUUUUUUUAAAGUUCAUCAAUUUUGAAAAAAAUAAAAUAAAUGGAAAAAAGUUCAUCAAUUUCGGAAAAAAUUCUUCGAAUUUUGAAAAGAAGUCCAUCGUUUUAGAAAAAAUAUCAUCAAUUUUGAAAAAAAGUUCACCACUUUUGAAAAAAAAUUACAAAUUUUGCAAAAAAGUUCAUCGUUUCUGAAAAAAAAUUGGUUUUGAAAAUAGCUCAUUCCAUUUGAAGAAAAAUGUUCAUCUAUCUUGAAAAUGGAUUUCCAAAAAUGUGCAUAAUUUUGGAAAAAAAAUUAUCAAAUUUCCAAAACAAUCAUCAAAUUUUUAAAAAUGUUCAUCCAAUUCAAGGAAAAGUUCACGUAUUUGGAAACAAUUCAUCAAACCAGGAAGAGAAAAAACAGAAAACACAAAAACAAAAAAGUAAAAAGUAAAAUAGAAAAAAGAGAAAGAAGGAAUAAAGGAAGGAAGGACUUGAUGGUUACCACAUCGAGCUGUGUGGUGCGCUGGUUACACCUAGUACAUGGAUGAGAGGGGCCGUAGGUUUGACUCUCAACCAGGACAAGUUUUUUGUCUAUUAAUACAGGAAAAGAAAACGCCAUAUGAGCCAGCCCAGCGCGGGGCACUGCAGGCGCCCGUUUGCAAAAUACACAUUAAAGGGUGCCUGCGGGGCCUCCUAAUUGACGCGUUUUGUGUCAAAUACAGAAAAAGAAAACACCAUAUGGGCAAGCCCAGUGCAGGGCGAUGCAGGCGUCCAUUUGCAGAACACACAUUAACGGGUGCCUGCGGGGCCUCCUAUUUGACGCGUUUUGCAUCCAACAGUGACCCGACACACAAGGCGACCGUGACUGGGCCGGCCCAAUAGAGGUUGUCAAACUGUAGGUCUAAAAAAUACACAUCAACGGAUGCCUGCGGGACCUCCAAUCUGACGCAUUUUGCGUCAAACAGUGAGUGACGCAUAGGACGACCGCGACUGGGCCGACCCAAUAGAGGCUGCCUGACUGUAGGUCUAAAAUACGCAAAAAGAAUGCACUCGCUGUGGUUCGAUCUUUCGAUCUGAUGAACCUGUGUCAGCGUUGCUAGCCAACCAAGCUAAUUAUGGACCUUCACAAUUUACUAGCGCGAGUUCUCUACAAUUGAAGACAACGGCAAAUCCGAAACUUCUUAAAUUUCGGACAUGGAUAUGUUUGAAAAAGGAAACUUUUUAGAAACGUGAACAUUUUCAAAUCUGUGAAGCAUAUUUAAAAAACUCAUUUUUUUUGGCAAAAUGGGAAUUUUAUUGAUUCUGUGAACAAUGUUUGAAAUUUUGAAUAGGUUUUGAAAAAAAUAACGCUUUUUCAAACUCGUAAACAAAAUUUGAAGAUGCGAACAAUUUUUUGAAUUUUCGAACAAAUUUUGAAAAUAUGAACACCUUUUUGUAUUGAAAAAAAAGAUUGCAAACGAGAACAUUUUUCAAAAUUAUGAACAAUUUUUUAGAAAACACAAACCUUUUUUGAGAAACAGGAAAAAAAUUGAAAAAUAAGAACAAUUCUCGAAAUUAUGAAACAUUAUUUCAAAACUUACAUUUUUCUAAAUCCCAUGAAUAUUUUUCGAAUUUGCAAACAAAAUUUGAAAACAUAAUCAUUUUUGAAUUCAUGAACAAAUUUGGAAAGCUAGAACAUUAUUUGAAAUUCCCAACAUUUUUAAAUUUGUGAACAAAUAAAAUUCCCAUACCUUUUUUUGGAUUUCGGUCAAAUUUUCAAACACAUGAAUAGUUUCUAAUUCAUGAACAAAAUUGAAAAUUGGAAACAUUUUCUGAAGUUUCCAAAUUUUUUUUGGAUUUGAGGAAUAUUUUCAAAUGAAUUCAUCUCAUUUUACAUGAAUUAUUAUUUAUGUAUAAAUAAAACCAGAUUUCUAGUUUUCUGAAACUAUUCAUGAGUUUAGGCCUUGUACAAUGCAAGAUGCUUGAAGAAAUAAACCAGACUUUCAUUUAGAACCGGUGCUUAUGUGUACAAGACAUACGCUUAAUUAGGCAUCUCUCCUAUAUAGAAAGGAUUGUACAAGGCCUUGAUGUGCUGCUUGACCUUGGGGGUUAUGGGUGAGUGAUUUUCUUCGUGCGGGACGCGGACAGUCGUCCAUGGUUUUCUUCCGACUUUUUAAGCGCCCGCGCGGGACGCGAGAUGCUCGAUGUACCACCACUUACGGUUUAAUACUAGAUAGAGGCACUUGAAGAAUGAAUUACAGCAGAACAUUUCUAAAAAAACUGACUUCCAAACAUCUACUAUUAGCAAGCAGUGCUCCAAGUUCUUUUGUUAUAAGGGCCACACGACCCACUUCAUUCGUGUGCCACGGACGUGCUCCGCAGUCCACAUCCUAAGGAUGUACAACGCCCAUCCCGCUCCUGCUGUACGGGCAUCUGAUGUGGUAUGGUAGAUCCAUGAGUCGGGGCUCUCGGUAAAAGUAGUUGCUUACAGGAGCACUCUUGUGCUUGUGCGGCCACCGGAGAACCCAGAGAAGAGGGGGCAAACAAAUUCGCCCAAGACUAACAAAAAAACAGCCGACUCCCAUAGAAAACCCUCAAAUGCUGCUUCUAUCUAACGCCCUAGGAGAAAACAGAGGGAUGAACUCAUGCAUAACUACAUGGGCUAGUUCGGUCUUAUCCAUAAGCAUGAUCAUCAAGCUGAACAAAAACAAGGUUCAGCAGGGCAUGCAUCUACAAAUCGUGGUGAAUUUCCACAGCCCUUGCCCGCAGAGCUGAAGUGUUGCCUGCAGAGCAUGCAUCUCGAGAUGGUUUCAAGCCUGUGAAAAUCAAACAUGCAAAAUAUUGUAAGUAGUCAUAGUAGAGGCAUUAUAUGGGAAAAGGAAUGGUAGAAGUUAGUUAAUUAAAGUUGCGACAUCGACUGAAAACCAAAGUUGCAUGGUGG
rnacentral:lncRNA from 1 species